rnacentral:lncRNA from 1 species
UGAAGCAAUCUCUCGCAAAAACAUUAACCCACUACUACCCUUUUGCUGGAAGAUUGAUUGACAGCUUUUCAGUCGACUGUAGUGAUCAUGGGGCUGCAUUUAUUGAAGCUAAUGUUGGCUGUGAUAUAUCAAAGUUUCUUCAACCACCAGAUAUGGAGCUGCUACAACAGUUAAUCCCACCUAGUCCCCAGUUAUCGAAUUUAGAUGUUUCUGAAAGAGAACUUUUGGCAGUCCAAGUAAAUUUGUUCAGCGGCGGUGAAAUGGCAAUUGGUGUUUGUUUUUCGCAUGGAGUGGCCGAUGGUUCAGCAAUAUUUAACUUCAUGAAAACGUGGGGCGAAAUCACUCGUGGGGUGAUUAAUGGUAAUGAUAAUAUUUGCAAUAACAAUGUCGUUUUAGAUUGCACCUCUUUGUUUCCGCCGGUAAAUUUUCCAAAGCCGUAUCAAAUCGUCACAAGCCCACAAUCUUCAGGCAACAUUGUGUUCAAAAGAUUGUUGUUUGAUAGCAAGAAGAUAGCAGCUCUAAAGGAGAAGGUGAAUAAAGAAAUAGGUAAAUUUAAUGAGCUACAAGCAACGCGUUUCGGGGUUGUAUCAGCACUCAUUUGGGGGGCCUUCAUUGCUAUAGCCCGUGAAAGAAAGAGGGCAAUUGACAAUAAGUUGUACUCUCAUGCAAUCUAUUAUACUAUGAAUUUGCGUAACAAGUUGAAUCCACCAAUGAUUCCACAAUGCAUGGGUAACAUUUAUCGGCUUGUAAGGGCAGAAUGGUCACUAGCCAAGGAUGAUGCCAUAGAGGAAACAAGUUUAUUAAGAGAAGUGAUCAAAGCAAAGAGAAUGGGAAGAGAAGUGAUGCAUAAUAAUGAGUACUUAGGUUUCAUAAAGGAUAUGAAAGAAACAUGGGAAGAUUCAAGGUCGUUUGGUUUAACUAGUGUGGUUGGAUUGCCCUGUUAUGAAGUUGAUUUUGGCUGGGGAAAGCCUGUUUGGUUUAGUGUCGGGCCGUUGUUAUUAAUUGAUCUUGCUAUUUUAACGAGCACAAGCGAUGGUGAAGGAAUAGAAGCAUUGAUGGUAAUGUUUAAGGAGGACAUGGAUAAAUUUGAACAGGAACCCAGCAUCAUGGCUUAUGCUUCCUCUAACCCCAGCAUAUUUAUAGGGAAGUAGGAACUUAAUUUUAUUUAUCUUGCUUUGAAUAAAAGAGUUUUUGUUUAUCUUUAACUUGAGUAAUGAUGAUAUGCUUGCAAAGUUGGGAAUGAGUUAUUGUACAAUAAUUGUAUCUUAUUUUCGUCAUAUUUCUUUUAAAUAUAAUCAUGCUGUAGAUAAAUACUUUCUUUCUAGAAAACCAACAACCAUAUUGAUGGUUAGGGAAAAUGAGGGGAAAAAACACUGAAUAUGAUGUAGUUAUAUUGGACAAGCAUAGCUGCAUAAAGAUGAUUUUGAUAUAUUUAAAAUGUGAAUCAACUCUGAAUUUGCCACAUAAUGUCAUUUAGUUUUUUUAUUAAGGAAAAUAUUAUCUAUGACCAAGAGAAUCGAGAAGCUUAGUUUGAGUGUAGUUCAGCAACUAGAAUGGAAGACACAAGAGCUUGCUUUGAGUUGAAUUCAGUAGAAGGAGCCUUGAAGCUUAGCUUGUGGCUUUGAGUUUAGUUUCUUCAGCUGGAUAGGAGAGCCUUAGGAGCUUGCUUUAAGUUUAGUUCAGCAGCUCGGCUGAAAGAGCCCAAAAGUUUGAUUUAAGUUCAAUUGAAGAGAGAGAGAGAGAGAGAGAAUAGUAGUGAAUAGUGAUAGGGAUGAAAUGGUAACGUCACCCAAUCCUAAGUGAUGAUGACAAUCAAAAUAAGUUCUAAUUUGAGUUAUUUGCUAUCACCAAUUGCUAUAAAUUAAUAAGCACUGAUAUUUGAACUCCAUCACAACAAUAUUAAGACAAAAAAUGGGGUAAUGUUCAUGUUAUAGUACCGCUGUAGCACAAAAAACGAAAGCACUGUCCAUCCUUCUACAUGUAAGCUAAACACAUGGUUAAAUACGCAUGAUGAAUAAAGGAUAUCAUUUAUCUCUAAUAUGAAUUUGGAUCUAGUGCUACAUUGAGUUGUGCUGAUUUUUUUUAAUAAUAAUGUAUAAAUAAAAUUUAACUAUGUAUUAUUUUUUAAUCAAAUGAUUACUAAUCAUAUUAUUAUAAAAAGUUCUGGACAAUAUUGAAUUCAAAUCCAUUAAAUAUAAUCCCUAACACUUGUGUUUUUUCGAGGUUAAUUAGGGGUUAAUAAUUUUUUAACCUUAUUAAUUGAUAAGAGUACUAGUAUUUACCUAGAAGAAUUUUUUAAUGCAGUAAUAAACCGACAUUAAAACCAUAUGGAUUGCCGUUAGUUGAAAAAAAUACAUUAAAUCCAUUUGAGAUUGCCGUCAAUUAAAAAAUAAUGGAAAAAAAAACACUUAAAACCAUAUGAUUUUACUGUUGAUUUUGUUACCAUUCUGAAACCUUUAUUGGUAAAUAUCAUUUUUCAAUUGAUCAGUAGCGGUGAUCACCUACUAAUAUCUAUAAAAACAAUCAAACCAUUAUUUGCCUCUUCACACUUCUUGCCGUACUACACUUCUUACACAAAAGUAAACACAUCGCAACUAUACAUCUAAUGGGGUAAACACAUCGCCUUUUAUGAAUAGCAAUCAAACUCAUCAAAGACAACUGCUAUUUAUUCCACCUUAUGAAUCCGCACUUCCAUUCACUUGUCAGAUAAAUUUGUAAAUGAAUAGUAAUAUUUGUUCCCUCAAAUUUAUCUCUUUCACGUAAUCUCAUUUAUUUUUAAGAUAAUUCUUGUAAAAAAAAAGCAGAAAUAAUAAUUAAAAAAAUUCUCUUCUCUGUCGUUUGCCUUUCUCUCAAUCUCUCAUCUGCUGUUAACUUCUAUGCUGUUGGAUCAGAAACAUAUUGAACUUAGAUAAACAUAACAAUGGCAAUUACAAAACAUUCAUAAGAUUAGAGAAAACCCAAGCCAUUUUAAAGCACCAUAACAUAUCUCUGCACCAUAGAAAUUCAAUUGUUCACGAUUCAAAAUAAACACCCUUGGAAGCAGAUAUAUUGGGCUAAAGUCAAAAGCAACAAAUGAGAGAGAAACGAAAAGAAAAUUACAAAAAGAAAAGUUUAUUUUCAUUUCAAAUUUCUUAUAAGGGUAAUUUUGUAAAUAAAUGAGUUUGAUUUAAAGUGAAGCCUGAUAAGAUAAUCUCGAUUUAUUGACUUUAAUGCUAAAAGUCAAAAUACAUUAAUGGCAAAUGGUAGACAAGUAACCGGCCAUUUUAGAACAAGCUCUCUAGGCCACUCUCUUCAAAAUUUUUAUAGGGAAAUUUAUAAAAAUAAUCUUAAAAUUUUUAUAAUUUUUAAAUUUAACCCACCCAAUUUUUUCCUAUCAUAACUAGCCAAACAUCUUAUUUUUUGACUAAAUUAUCCUCAUCAAUUUUGUCAAAUUUACAAAGGUAUGCCACUUGAGAAAUUCCAACACAACUAAAUGCUUUCAACCCUCAAUAACUUAACAAACCUUCAUCACUCCCAACAAACUUAAUCACUCUUAAUAAAUCAAAAAAUUCUAUCAAACAAGCAUUGCAUAAUUGAAGAUAUAAUCAACUACUUGGAGAGCUUCUUAAGGUUAGUGUAUGUUCUUACACUAUAUAAACUUUUAAUAUAUUGAUUUUAUCGACUAAGUUCAAAAUUAAAGUGAAUUUUGCUGCCAAUGUUAUUACUUUUCAUUAAUAAAAACAAAGUGGAUGGUUAAAGUUCUUAGUUUGAGUUGAGAAAUCAAGAUAAAUCAUUGAAAAUACUAAAAACUCGAGUAAAAAAUAAAACCCAAAACAAGUGAGACAUGCUAAUUUAGUGAGAUAGACAGUGGGACAGGUGCUUGUUUCAUAUAAACUCGUUGUGUUUAUGUGCGAUAGACACCUGUCCCACUGCCUGUCGCACAUAACUUGGUGAGACAGGCACCUGUCCCACUUGUUCAACAUGCUUGUCUCACCAAAUUAUGCACAACAUGUAGUGGGAUAGGUGCAUGUCACACAUAAACCCAUUGUGUUUAUGUGAGACAGGCACCUGUCCCACUGCCUGUUUCAUAUAAACACGCUUGUCUCACUAAAUUUCAAAUAUUUUCCGAAAGUCAUAACUUGAGCUACAUGUUUCCGUUUUAGGCUUAUAAUAUACCAUUUCGAAACUUGCGACAAGACAAAUCAAAUGCAACAUCGUAGACUCCAUUCUAUCACAUGGUCGAUUCAAAAAUUUACCUAAACUUAAGUGCGAUAGGCAUCUAUUGCAGCUAAGGGUAUAAUCACAUUAAUUGUGAUUAAUUGUGCAUAAUAUAUUGCUUCGACAAGUGUCCUGUGGUGAAAGAAAAGAAAAAUAUCAGUUAUGGUUUCAAGUUGGUGAUGAUUUGAUACGCUUAUCGAUUGGAGAGCAGUACCUAGUAACGGGACUUUGCUAUGGCAAAGAUGUCGUGCUGAAGAAGCAUAAAACAAUGCACAUGUUACUUAAGAAGUAUUUUGGCAAUAUGUGAACAUGCACGAUAGAUUGUGUUAUUAGACCUCGACGUUGUCUUCAUCGUCAUACUAUAUUCGUUAGGAUUUAUCUAAAAAACUUCAUACACUCAUACUAGAAAUUGAUCAAAAGUACAAUCUUUCUGAACUAAAAAGGUCGUAUUCUUGGCAUUCACGUACUCCAUACGGUCAUCUGCCAACGUCUCCCACCAAUCGCCGUAACAUAAUUGAAGCACAAUUGAAUCCAUUAAACCUAAAAAUUAUUAAGAAAACAAAAGAAAUAAGACUAAAUGAUACAAAAUAUGGUAAAGUGAAUAUGCACCACAUUUAUAUGGAUGUCGUACAUAAUGUGAUUAUGCGCUUAGAUGCAAUAGGUGCCUAUCACACUUAAGUUUAGGCAAAUUUUUGGUUCAACCAUGUGAUAGAAUGGAGUAUACGGUGUUGCAUUUGAUUUGUCUCAUCGCAAGCUUUGAAAUAGUAUAUUAUAUACCUAAAAUGGACACAUGUGACCCAAAUUAUGAAUUUCAAAAAAUAUCUAAAAUUUAGUGAGACAUGUGUGUUUAUGUGAGAUAGGCAGCGGGACAGAUGCCUGUCUCACAUAAACACAGUGGGUUUAUGUGCGACAAGCACUUGUCCCACUGCCUGUCGCACAUAAUUUGGUGAACAUGCAUGUUGAACAAGUGGGACAAGUGUCUGUCUCACCAAGUUAUGUGCGACGGGCAAUGGGACAGGUGCCUGUUGCACAUAAACGCAGCGGGUUUAUGUGAGACAAGCAGCUGUCCCAUUGCCUGUCUUACUAAAUUAGCUUGUCUCACUUGUUAUGUGUUUCAUUUUGUGCUCGUGUUGUUAGUGUUUUCAAUGAUUUAUCUUGAUUUCUCAACUCAAACUAAGAACUUUAACCAUCCACAUUGUUUUAGUAAUGAAAAAUAAUAACAUUGGUAGCAAAACCCACUUUAAUUUCGAACUUAGUUGAUAAAAUCAAUAUAUUAAAAGUUUAUAUAGUGUAAGAGAAUAAACUAACCUUAAGAAGCUUCCCAAGUAGUUAUCUUCAGUUAUGCAAUGCUUGUUUGAUGGAAUUUGUUGAUUUAUUAAGAGUGAUCAAGUUUGUUGAGAGUAAUGAAGAUUUGUUAAGUUGUUGAGCGUUGAAAGCAUUUAAUUGUGUUGGAAUUUAUCAAGUGGCGUGCCUUUGUAAAUUUGAUGAAAGAGAUGAGGAUAAUUUAGUCUAAAAAUAGGGUGUUUGGCUAGUUAUGAUAGAAAAAAAUUGAGCGGGUUAAAUUUAAAAAUUACAAAAAUUUUAAGAUUAUUUCUAUAAAUUUCUCAAAUUUUUAAAUGGCUAUUUUACCGACAUUUGGAAGCAAUGAGUCAAGCUUCCAUAAAUGCACCUUGACUUCAUUUCAUGCAUGAUGGCAUGCAAGACAAAUUUGGCUCCUUUAUUCAUCACGUUGGCAAUUAUCAUGCUCAUUUGGUGGCUUAUAAAAGUCAAGAUUAUCAAGCUCAAAUGGAGGCUAUUUCAGCGGAUUUGAUCCAAAUUAUUUGACAAUUGAAGGCUUACUUUGCCUUUAGACAGAGAGGGGUCUUGGAAAUGGAAGCUAGAGGAGUUGGAGUGUGAGUGCAGUUCUCAAACAAUUUAAGAACUUAGACUGAUUUGUGAGAAGUAAUUCUUUAACAUUUAAAAGAGUUAAAGUGUUCUCGAGUGAUUUGAGAGUUUGGGUGUAUUGAAACUUUAGGUUAUGAGAUAAAUAUUCAAUAUAUGUACUUUAUAUUUUUAUAGUGAAAUAUUCUUUUUUGUCUUCGCUUAUUGAAGUAGACUAAAACACUGAACUACUAAUGUCAUUUGUUUUUUGUUGCGAUAUAUAUAAUCUUGAAUUGUUGCAAUAGAUAAUUUGAGGCAGUCAAAUAUCAUCACUCCUUUGCAAAAAGUAUAAAAAAAUAUAAAAGCACAAAAUAAAGAAUAUUGAUAUUUGAACCCGCAUUUUAUCUCACUAACUCCACCUUUAAUUAACCCCACAAAAAUAAUGAUAUUUAAACCCACAAUGUAUCUCACUAACUCCAGCUUUUGAUUCUCCCCAUUUAUUUCUGGAAUUGCCCUAUUUAUCAAAAUUUUUCCCGAAUUUUUAUUCGCUUAUGAAGCAUCAAGUUUUCGAGGGCAAAAUAUGUUUAUGCUCAUCGUCAUCGAAGGCAACUUCAAUUAAAAGUCAUCAUUUUGUCAACUGCAUCAUAUCUUUUUGUUCAUUCCAGCUAUGACCAUCUAAUUCGGCAACUCCUUCAGCUGCCAUGCAGUUGACCAGAAAUGUAGAUGUUAUUAGCAUACCCACCCGUUGCAUGACUUUGUGAUUGUGAAAAAUCACACUAUAAAAGGCAUGAUCAAACAGUUUCUGACUCAAUCAUCAGCCAUCCAUGGACGAUUGACUUGGCCAGAUAAAUAAUUUUCAGGCUCUGUAGAUAAUGUUUCUGCUUGAACACAAGAAUAUGCAUAAAUCAUUCAUAAAUGAAAAUGUAUUGCUAAAGAGACUAAGGUCCCAUUUGAGAUUACCGUUAAAAUGUUAUAAGCUAUUUAUUUCAUAAGUUUUGAUAAACAAGAAAAAAAAUUCAGUAAAAAUGUGUUCAAUAAAUUUUUAAAAAGCUACUUAUUUCAUAAAUUUCUCCAUUUUGACAAUAAUUUUUAGAAGCAGGUAAAAGGUUGUUUUUCAUAGACUAGUUACUAAAUAAGCCAUCACAUCUUUUUAAAGCUUCUAUUAUAAAUUUAAUAUUUUAACAAAAUGACAACUAUACAAAUAAACGAUAAUCUAAACAUAUGUCUAUUUUUAUCUCGUUUUAAAAUUUACCAAACUCAUAUGAUCUAUUUUUCAAAUUCAUAGCAAUGAUAAUAACACAAUUUACAAAACACCAAGCUAUUAUUUUAAUCAGUAGCUUAUUUUCAUCUACAUAAUAGAAACAACUUAUUUCAUCAGUUAUCGUAAUCCCAAAAUGGCGCUAAGUGCAAGAAAAUGAUUAUUGAUGAAUUAUUUACUUUCCAAAGUUCUGUCGUCUUUUUCUCUUGAAUUUGAACAAGAGUCAGGGGUAAAAAAAUGAUAACUAAGGUAGUUUUGCAAAAAGUGAGGUUUAAUUGAGGGGCUAAAAAAUCAGUAUUCUCACACAUUACACAAUAGAGAUACAAUAAUUUAAUGUGAUUUAUAUUGAAUUGGCUGUAUACUAAUAAUUAGUAAAUUAUAGUUGUUCAAGCGGCAAUUUCAUUGUGUUGUAUAUUAGAAAAUAUCAAGGGAGCAAGAUAAUCAUGUAUGUUUCUCACAUUUACACUUAGGCCCCUAUUUUUUAAAAUUUCUCAGUACAACCCAUAUGUUAAAUAAACUGUAAUACAAAAAAAAAAAUUGUAUUCUUUUCUUAUUAUAAGUUUUGUUCUCAGUCAAAUAUAUAAUUUACACGGUAUUGAGUUGUUGGUCUUUUUCUAUCAUAAGCUCAGUGUCACUAAAGUCAAUGAUGUGGCUUGAUAUUUAGAAAUUAACGCCCAUUGCUCCUAGUUGUAAGUUGUUGGUUUUGUACAUGUUAACAACUCAUUUUCUUUUAACUAAGAAUUUUCAAAUUAAAAAGUAUAAAAGUUGUGUAUAUAAUUAAAAAAUAACGGGUUAUAUUCAUACUAUGAUAGAUGAUAAAUUAUUUUAAAUAUACAUAUACGUGGGUUGUCUAAAGACUAAAGGAGCAAGAGUCUAGCCUAAUAGUAUUGUAGUAAUAAUUUGAGGGGGAAAAACAUUACACUGCCUUGUUAGAUAGAAUUAGGCUAUUGCUUGAGAGAUUGAAGCAACAAGCAUUGUCCUUAAUUCUAGCCAUAAUUCCUAACCGUGCAUGUAGCAUUAUUUAUAAUAAUUAUUUAGUGAGCAUUGUCCAAUAGCCCAGUUCCAUAUUUCGUAUAUUCACUUCACAACUAAUAAAUUCUGUUAACAAGUAACCAUAGAGUAAGAUAUUUGGUAAUUGUCAUGCCACUAGCAUUCUCCUGUGAAUUUCCAAUAAUAGCAUCAUAUCUCGUUAGCGUGGUUUCAAAGAAAUAUUGACAUAGCUAAUCCAAUGUCUUAAAUACUUAAAAUAGCAAAACAAAAAGCUGAUGAUUCCUGCAAACAUCAAUCGAACGACGGAGAAUUUGUUGAAAAUAAAGAGAAUGAAAUAAGGUUUAGGUAGGGAGACAUAUUCAGCGUUACUUCUUGAAGAAUUAUACAACUAAAAAUAUUUUUAAAAAAAGUCGAUAUGAAAAGCAACAAUUACCUAACCCUUAUUAGUUGGCUCUGGACACGCGGAAGUUGUUGACGAGAAUAAUCAGAGAUAAUAGAAACAAAAUUAUAAAUCAAAAUGAUUGGUUAUUGUCUCCAUUUUUAUAAAUCAUUUAAAAUAUUGAUUAAUUGACGUCAAGAUUGAUUGACUCAAAUCUUUAUAAAUGAAAAUAUUACAUCAGUUGUAUAAUUUUAAUUUUUAUUUUUUCAUACAUUGUGUAAAUUCAGCGUUUAUGUUCCUGGAAAUUUAGUUUAUUCAUUUCAUCAAUUGAUUACUCCAGUAUAAACGAAUUAGUUUAAAAUACUUUAGAUUCUUUUAAGCAAUGGACAUAUGGGGCUGUUUGUUUGUUUGUUUUUUCUAACUUCAUGAUUUAAUUGACUUAAUUUCAAUUAAUUAAGUCAUUGAGAGGGCGUUUGUUUUCUAACUUAAUGAUUCAAAGUGACUUAUUAAUUAAGUUAAGUAGAGGGCGUUUGUUUUUAUAACUUAAUUUGAAUUUUUAAAUAAUUUUGACUUAAUUAAAAAAGUUAAUUUUUUUUUGGGUUUUUAUGACUGGAGAAGUUUGAAUCAGCCAAUUGAUUUCUAAUAUUAAAAAUAUCUCUAAUUUAUUAUUUAUUUUUCAUGCUUAUCCUAAAACACACCCAUACAUGUUUAUCUACUAAUAAUCUCAUCUUUAUUUUUUCCAGCUGCUAUGAAAUCCCUCCCUACUUUACUUCUCUCAUCAAGUUCUUGAAUUUCUCAUUAUCGUUAAUAAAAGAUUUUAUUCUUAAAAUUUUUAUGUAAUUAUAUAAUCAGUUUUUAUUAAAAAAGAAAUUUAUAUGUUAUAAUUUCAAAAUAAUUAUAUAUAUAAAGCUUAGGAAAAGGAUACAAAACUCUCUAAUGUCUCAAAAAAGACUUUUAAACUCUAAAUUAUUAAUGGAUUCAAUUUUUUUAAAUAAUUUAAAGGUUAAUAUGAUACAUUCCAUAAUUAAUAAUGGGUGAUGAUAGUUGAUGAAGAAGAAGAAGAUGACAUUGAAUAAGAUGAGCAAUUAGGAAAAAGGAGAUAAUAAACUGAAUUUCAACAGUAAAAUUCCAACCAUUAUAAAUAAGGGUGUGUUUCUAAUUCUAUUAAUAAUUUAUGGGCAAAAUGGAUUAGUCAAUACAAUUACUUGUAUUUUAGAGGAAGAUAAUGGUAAUCAUAAGUUGAAAAUAAUUUUUCUUGUUAAAAUUAACAGAAUCCAUUAACAAAUUGGGGGUAAAUGUUUUUUUAAACGUUAGAGAGUUUUGUAUCCCUUUCUAUAAAGGUUUGGGGUGUAUCAGUCAUUUUCUCUAUUAUUUCCUUGACAUUCGAAUUUAAUAAGGAUACAAAUGUAAAAGUACACAUUUUUAGUUUUUAAGUUAAAAAAAAAACUUAAUACUUUUUCAAAGAUUGAAAAAAAAAUUAUUUAAAUUCAGACAUCCUAGUCUAUUAAAAUUUCAUAGUAGUUCAAGUCUAUUUAAAUUUCAAAUAAAAAAAUUCCAGCUAAAUCCGUUUGUUUUUUCAACAUAAUGAAAAUUUUUAGUUAUUAAGUCAUUAAGUCAUUAAGCCAACUUUUUAACUUUUUGCUAAGCAAAAAAGAUGCCAUUAAAAUAUAUCUUCCAAAAUAUCCCUAUCUAAUUAAUUAAUUUUCAUCCUUACCUACUUACCUAAAUAAAAUUUCAUCCUUACCUAAAUAAAAUUUAAUAAUUAACAUUAUUACCCAUCUCUAUAACUUGUGAUAAUAUAGCGGUAGGUGACUAUUAUUUUUAUCCUUUUAUUUUCUUCAAAUUAGCAUAAUUAAUCUUCAUGAUUUUUUUGAAUAUUUUUUUAUAUAAAAAUAUUAUGAACUACAAUUAAAUUGAUUAACAUGUACUAAUUUAGAGUAUAAAGGGUUGUACUCAAUUAAACAUGAUUUAUGUUAUGGUAGCAUUCUAUUUUAUUUAAGUUCUUUGAGGUGUUUAUUAUUUAUUUAACAUUUUGUAAGGGCACAAAUGUAAAAAUAUCAAUUUUCAAAUUUUGUAAGUUAAAAAAAUAAACGACUUAAUAUUUUUUUUUAGCAAUUCAAACGAAAAAAUAUCAUUCAGAUUCAAACAUCCAAUUCUAUCACAAUUUAUACUAAUUCAGAUUUACUUAAAUUUUAGAGAAAAAAAAAAUACUUGUUUUUACACUUAGAGCUAAUGUAUUGUCAUAAAUAGAAUUCUCACUAAAAAAUCAGGUACAGAUUGAAGAUAUUUAAACUUUAUGUUAAGUCCAUUAUUUAUAGAGUUGACAUUUUAUGGCAAGUCUAAUUAAAUUGGAAGUUUAUUUAUUGCAUAUCUUGUAAUAGGGAUUAAUUUAUUAAUUCCCUAAUUUAGUGAGAUUCCAAUUUAUUAGGAAUGUUUGUUUCUUAAUUUAAUUAAAUGUCUAUUUUAGCAAGUCAAUUAAUAGUGGGAUUCUAUAAUUGGUGCAUGAGAUCUAUUUAGAGUAAGAAGUUGGUUCAAACAGAAAGUCAUUAAAUGCUCUAGAUAUUUCUUAGGAGACAAGUAAGGCAAGAAGAUCAGAUUUAAUCCUAUUCAGAUUCAUGGGAAUUAUAAGAGAAAAGAAACUCUUAUUUGGAAAGAAUCCAAAUCUUUUAAGACUUGCUAUUUUGGUGAAUCCCUAGUGCCUAUAUAAAGAGAGGUAUUUCACAAUUGAAGUUGGAUCGCACAACACAAAGUAUAAAGCAGAGAAGCAAAAUUUGGCCUCCUCCCUAGAGAAUCCGGAUUUGGCGCAUAAUGUUGUGUUGAUUUGUUUUCUUACCUUUUUUUCAUCUAUGUGGAGAGUCUAUGUGGAUCUUGGAUCACUAGACAUUGAAGAAUUAAAUAAUUGCUAUUGAUCACUUUGCGAAGUGCCUUGAAGAUCGUGGAUCAAGAGGGGUAGCAAUUAUUCAAGAGAAGCAGAUUCAUUCUAAGGUUGAGUAAAUUGUAUGGUGAUAAACUGUAAGUGAAAGUCUUAAGUUUGGUAAAUUCAUAGGUUGUAAUAUCUCAACUUAGUGAAUUACUUUUCAUCUUGGCGUGGCCUUGUGGAUGUAGGAUUGAUUAAUCCGAACCACGUAAAAAUCUCCGUGUCAUUUAUUUUCUGCAUUUUAUUGUGUUUUUGAAAAAUUAAUAUUUUCUAUGCGGAUGAACAGUAAUCGGAAACAGUAAACGUAAAUAGUAACUGUGAAUAGUUGCGGUGAACAGUAAUGGUGACCAGUAACAGUGAAAAGUACUUCCGAAAAAAUUAAGUAAUUAAUUUUUUAUUUUUAAUUGCCUACUUCUAUUGUCGAUAGAUCUAAAUUCUUUUCACUUUAGAUUUUGAAAUAUCCAAAGAUUAGAGACCAAAUUUAUUUAUCAUUAAUGGCAUAUAUUAUUAAGCAAUAAUCCUAUGCAAACAACAUCAUCUUAUUUUUAAUGAGUCAAAUGGAAUAGAGCAAUGAGCUUUUCGUCAAAUGGACCAAUCAGAUUAUUCCAAAAUGAACAAUGUAGAUUAAUUAAAUGAGUAAUGAUACAGUCACAAACUCUUAUACAAACUUAUCUUGUACAAACGUAUGUGAUGAGCAUAAUUUAUAUACAUAUUUUACCGUUUAUUAUCUAAUUACUAGUUAUUUUUAUUUGAUAUUUUUUAAUUUAUUGAAUUAUUUUAUUGCAUAAGAAAUUAAUUGGAGAUUGGAAAUAAAAAGUGUAAAAAUAAUAACAAUUUAAGAGAAUAUCAGUUGAAGCCGUGACAGAGUUAAGAGCCAAGAGCAAUUUGCAUUGAAUUUCAAUUCUCCAAUUGAGUUGCACGUGCAUGGCAUUGCAAAAGUGGAAAGCAAUUUAAAUGGGGCCCACACUGGACUUUCAAAAGUGGAAUUAAUGGCUUAUGGUGGCGUUAUUAUGGAAGCUUUGUUUUAUAAUUGGAAAAGGAUUUUAAUUAGUAGACAGAGGAUUCGGUGGCUAAGCAUUAUAAAAAGAGAGUUUUGGCUUUUGAAUGGGGGGCCGCCAGAGGACAAAAACAAAGGUGCAGACGCAAGGCUGGAAGAGAGCAUUCGGCAGCAGCAUCAAUUCGCCUUCCAUGACUGAUUUUAUUUCUUGUAUUGCUCUCAAUUCAAGUAUGUCUAGUUAAUUUUUUUAUACUGAGGUUAAUGAUAAAAUCUUGUUCAAUGAAAUAAUUAUCUUUUUAAUUCCCUAUAUAUGUUCUUUAAUGAUUAUGAUUUUUAUUUCACAUGAUUAAUUGGAUGUUAUUAAAAUCUUUUCAUUAAUUCUGUCAUACAUUAUUGAUUGUUAGGAUUAAUAUUUGAUUAAAUCUAUACUUGGAUUUAUAAAGUUUAUACAUGAUUAUCUUUGAUUCUAUGUCUUUUAUUAAAUUGUUUACAUGGAGUGCUUAGGAAACUUUGACUCUUUGUUAUUCAAUAUGUUUACAUGAGCUUCUUAGAAGUCAUACUAUUAAGCAGAAAAAGAACCUACACAAGAUUAAUUUUAUUUGGGCUUAAUUAUUAUAUCUAUGAGAUGACAUAGAUUGAUUUCAAGUUGUCACUCUAAAAUUGGGGAUUAAUUAAUAAUUAGAUAAUUACUAGUUGAAUAGUGGUGGAUUCUAAAACCUUGGUAAUUUUUGUCUUAUUGAAAUUUCAUUUACUUUAAUUGUUUUCUUAGCUUAAUUAGUUUAAUUUCUCUUAAAACUCAAUUUGCUCAACUAGGUUAGAAUUAAUACUAAUUUUAGAUUUAAAUUAGACUUUAUAACAAUCCAUGUUGGAUCGACCUCGUUACCACUAUUCUAUCUCUAGAUUCGUGCGCUUGCGAGUAUAUUAAAAUUUUCAUAAGUUUUUGGCGCCGUUGCCGGGGAUUGUGCUAGAAAGUCAGUUUAAUCUAGGUUAAUUUGAUUCUUCCACUAGUUAUAAUUUAGGCUGUCUUUUAUUUUAUUUAUUCAAAUUUUUAUUAAAAAAUACAAAAAUUUGUUUAAUUUUGAAUUUAUUGUUUAGUUGUUUGAUUUCUUUUAUUUUAAUUUUGUUUAUUUUAAUUAUUGUUGUUUUAUUUUUCUUCUUUGUCUAGUUAGUUUAUGAGUGUUUGGGAACGUGAUUCAACAAAUUGUUUGGUUAAAAGAGAGUCGAAAAUUGAUAGUAGUCAAGUUAGUUCUUCUCAAGUCAUGGAUGACCUAAAUAGAUUAUUGCCAGUACUACCACCAGUGCAAGCAGAUAAAACCCUUAGAGAAUACUUUUCACCACUUGUGGCCAACCAACCAUCUUGUAUUGUGUUGCCACAAACUACAGCGACACACUUUGAACUUAUGCCCUCAGUCAUUCAACUUAUACCAUCUUUCCAUGGGUUAGAGAGAGAGGAUCCAUAUUUGCACAUUAAGGAAUUUCUUGACAUAUGCUCUACAUUCCGUUUUCAAAUUUUUAAUGAUGAGUCAAUUAGGCUUCAUAUGUUCCCUUUCUCAUUAAAAGACAAAGCAAAAGCUUGGUUGAAUUCGCUUUCUGCUGGGUCUAUUACUACGUGGGAUGAAUUGAAUAAUAAGUUCCUCACCAAGUUUUUCCCUAUGUCUAAAGCAAAUGCCCUUAGGAGAGAGAUGAAUGAUUUUUAUCAAAGAGAGGGUGAGCAAUUUUAUGAGUGUUAGGAAAGAUUUAAUGAUUUACUCCUUAAGUGCCCCCACCAUGGUUUUUAGAAAUGGAGACUUAUACAAUGCUAUAACGAUUUAACCAUGUCGAAUCGUCAUAUGGUAGAGUCUAUGAAUGGUGGGAGAUUUUUGAACCUACAUGAAGGGGCUGCAUGGGAUUUCUUUAAUUCACUUUCUGAGAAUUCUCAACAGUGGAAUUUUUCAAACCAAAGGGAAAAAUCAUCUCAAGUUUCUAGAAAGGGGUUAUAUGAAGUUAAGGAUGAUUUUGACGUGAAAUCCACUCUAGUUACACUUUCUAGAAAAGUAGAUGCCUUAGCUCUGAACCAAUCAAUGAAUCAUCACCCUAGUGUAGCUAAUGAGGUUUGUGCUAUUGGUUCUAACUUGUUUCAUACAAUACAGAAUUGUCCAUCAUUACCAGUCUAUCCAGAGGCUUAUUCUGAGUAGGUACAUGCCUUAGCCCAAACAUAUAUAAAUAGCUAAAGCACAAGUCUGCUGUACGGCCAAGGCGGAUGUACGGUACAGCAGGGAUACACUUCAAAGUUUCAUUCAGUCAACCCAACAAGCUUUUCAGUCAAACACGCAAGCUAUUUUAAAGCUUGAACAUCAAUUGAGUCAAUUAGCAACUACUAUAGCGGAGAGAGAAAAAGAAAAAUUUCCAAAUCAACCAGUUCCUAAUCCUAAAGGAGUGCAUGAAGUUGGAUUAAUGAAAAUACAUCGUGGUAUUAUAGAGGAUGUGUUGAUACAAAUUGACAAAUUUUAUUAUCCUAUUGAUUUUAUUGUUAUCGAUACCCAGCAUGUACAGGAUCCUCAUAAACACACCUCAGCUAUUCUAGGUCGUCAUUUCUUAACUACAACUGAUGCUCAUAUUAGUUACAGGACUGGAAACAUGGAAUUGUCUUUUGGUAACAUGACCAUGGAAUUAAACAUUUUUAAUGUUCCCAAGCAAGCACAAGAAGAUGAUGAAGUUGUUGAAGUACAUAUGAUAGAAGCAUCAAUUGAUGACUCACUUAUUUCUAACCACUGUGACAAUCCAUUAACACCAUGCACAACUAACUCUAAUUUCUCUGUUGAUGUUGACAGUGGUAUUGAAGAAGUUAAUACUUUACUUGAUUCGACUCUUAUUCUAGAUCUAAUUAAGUGGAAAGAAAAGAUUGAGCCACUUCCUCCUAAAGAGAAAAUUGAACCAUUCAAGUUGGAGCUACUUCCUAAAGCAGGUCACAUUCUGACAUGAAAAAUGUGCUAAGAUUUAAAGUGCUUAAAUUGUUAGAUUUUUAUACUACUUCAGAUACCUCGCAGGUAAGCUUGGAACAGAAGAAAUCAAAGAAGUGCGAUAUUAAGGAGUUUCAUUACCAUCAUCCUUUUAUGGAUAAAAUGCUCAAGUGCUUAAUCAAUUAUGCUUUCUGGUAUUUUCUGUAUAAUUGCUUUGAUUUUCACCAAAUUUUUAUUGAUCCUGGUUAAUUCAUUGUUUACAUUAAGUAGUUAGUUAGUAGGAUUUUUUUUAUUUUGUUUUUUUUUAUUUUCUUAUUUAUAUUUCUUGUAACGUGUUAUUUUUAAUUGUCAUUUAGUUUUAAGCUUUCCCAGCCCAUCCAGGUGUGUUCUAUCCAAUUUUCUUUUUUAUUAUUUAUGUUUUUAUUUUUAUUUUUUUAUUUUAUUUUUCAUCUUUUUGCAUGCAUAUCUUUUGUUUUUGAAACAUUGAGGACAAUGUUCCGAAUAAGUUUGGGGGUGGGAAUAGUGUGUUCUUUGUUUGGUUGUUAUUAAAAAAAUAAAAUAAAAUAAAAAAAUUUCAAAAAUUCAAAAAUUCAAAAAAUGUUUUUUUGUUUUUAUGUGAAAAGCCAAUGAUAAAAACUUGAUUGAUAAUGAAUAUGGUUUUUAGAAAGGGUUGAAUAUUGUCUUAGUUUAUACUUGAUUCUUGUGAGUUCCUCUUGAUUGAGAUUCUUUACACAUCAUGAGCACUAAUAUCAGUUCUUUCAUGAUUUUCACUUGAAAUUUGAGAUUGACACAGCCUGAGUUGAGAAUUUUAGAUAGAGUAAAUGACUGUUUGUCUUGAUUCUUAUCUCCACAAUACAAAAUAGCAUACGCAGGUGCCAGAGUCAGAAAUAACCACCUAUAACUCUUAAGAGUGAAGCUAUCCUUGAGUAAUUUGGGCCUAUGUACCACAAGUAUGUAGAGGAUAAUCUACCAUGAGAAGAAGGCUACCUUAAGGGGUAGAGUGAAAGCUCCUAACUAUGGUUAAAAAGAAAAAAGAAAAAAAAAAUCAAGUGCAUGUGCUGAAAAAAAAAAUCAAAAGAAAAUGCACAUAAAAGCAUGUGAAAAAAAAAAUGGAGAUUAAGAUGAUAAGAUCUGUUUGACCUACUCUUUUCUUUGUUUGAGGCGAAGGCUGUUGAUAUUGAAGAUUUUGGGAAUGAAUUUGAUUGAAUUGAUUUCACACACAUACUACAAGAAUCGAAAGAGAGAUGGGAUUGAUUAUUGAAUUAAAGUUAGAACUUUGCCAAUAUUUGAAAUUUUCUUUGAGCUAUAUAAUUUUUGCAAUCUUUAAGGCUAUUUUUCAUGUUUUAUUUAAAGUUUUUUGUUCUUUUAAUUUAAUUUAAUUUUUUUAAAAUGAUGUUUGUGGGUAUCAUCACUGAAGCCCUCACGAGACUAUAACUCGUCCACUGAGGCCGCCUAGGGGUUUAAAGGUUUGUUGCAUACAAUAAAUGCAAUCGCAAUCACCUACGAAAGUGGUUUAGUUAGGAUUUACUUUUUGUUUUGUUAGUUUUAUUUUUGUUUUAAGUUUUAGUUUUGCUCGAGGACUAGCAAAAUCUAAGUUUGAGGGUAUUUAAUGAGCAUAAUUUAUAUACAUAUUUUACUGUUUAUUAUCUAAUUACUAGUUAUUUUUAUUUGUUAUUUUUUAAUUAAUUGAAUUAUUUUAUUGCAUAGGAAAUUAAUUGGAGAUUGGAAAUAAAAAGUGCAAAAAGAAUAACAAUUUGGGAGAAUAUUAAUUGAAGCCGUGACAGAGUUAAGAGCCAAGAGCAAUUUGCAUUGAAUUUCAAUUCUCCAAUUGAGUUGCACGUGCAUGGCAUUGCAAAAGUGGAAAGAAAUUUAAAUGGGGCCCGCACUUGACUUUCAAAAGUAGAAUUAAUGGCUUAUUGUUGCGUUAUUAUGGAAGCUUUGUUUUAUAAUUGGAAAAGGAUUUUAAUUAGUAGACAAAGAGGAUUCGGUGGCUAAGCAUUAUAAAAAGAGAGUUUUGGCUUUUGAAUGGGGGGGCCGCCAGAGGACAAAAACAAAGGUGCAGACGCAAGGUUGGAAGAGAGCAUUCGGCAGCAGCAGCAAUUCGCCUUCCAUGACUGAUUUUAUUUCUUGUGUUGCUCUCAAUUUAAGUAUGUCUAGUUAAUUUUUUUAUACUGAAGUUAAGGAUGAAACCCUAUUCAAUGAAAUAAUUAUUUUUUUAAUUCCCUAUAUAUGUUCUUUAAUAAUUAUAAUUUUUAUUUCACAUGAUUAAUUAGAUGUUAUUAAAAUUUUUUCAUCAAUUAUUAUUAAAAUCUUUUCAUUAAUUCUGUCAUACAUUAUUGAUUGUUAGGAUUAAUAUUUGAUUAAAUCUAUACUUGGAUUUAUAAAGUUUAUACAUGAUUAUCUUUGAUUCUAUGUCUUUUAUUAAAUUGUUUACAUGGAGUGCUUAGGAAAUUUUGACUCUUUGUUAUUCAAUAUGUUUACAUGAGCUUCUUAGAAGUCAUACUAUUAAGCAGAAAAAGAACCUACACAAAAUUAAUUUUAUUUGGGGUUAAUUGUUAUAUCUAUGAGAUGACAUAGAUUGAUUUCGAGUUGUCACUCUAAAAUUGGGGAUUAAUUAAUAAUUAGAUAAUUACUAGUUGAAUAGUGGUGGAUUCUAAAACCUUGGUAAUUUUCGUCUUGUUGAAAUUUCAUUUACUUUAAUUGUUUUCUUAGCUUAAUUAGUUUAAUUUCUCUUAAAACUCAAUUUGCUCAACUAGGUUAGAAUUAAUAUUAAUUUUAGAUUUAAAUUAGACUUUUCAAUUUAUAACAAUCCCUGUGGGAUCGACCUCGUUACCACUAUUCUAUCUCUAGAUUUGUGCGCUUGCGAGUAUAUUAAAAUUUUCACAACAGUCUGUGACAUAAUAAAAUUGGUUGAAUUAAAUAUCUCUUGGCCCACAUGAUUUAUUUUUAUUAUUUUUUAUUUUCAUUCAACCAAUGAAUUAAUACCGCAUCCAUUUGUACAAGAGUUUGUGGCUAUAUCAUCACUCUAAUUAAAUAAUAUUACAAAAUACUAUUUGCUUAAAGGCUUAGAUGGGGAUGAUGGAUGAGAAAUCUCACCCUCUAAAUACCAAUUUUUCUUCCUAUUAUUCAAAUUUAGGUGACCACAGGUCUAUAUUUACAAGCAGCCAAGCUACACCCAAGAGGCUAAUUAAUCUUUUCCUUAAACUCAACUUUUGAAAUUAGUUACCAAUUUCUACUUUCUUGAAUCAUUUUACUUGGUGUUUUAUCAUAUCUUACGAUGCAGUAUCGCCGCUAUAUCUUUUCCCAAAGUUUAAUUUAAUGGAGGAAAUCUGAGAGAUAGAUUCUUCAAAUCUAAUAUUUAUGACAUUAAGCUUUUAAAUUCAAUAUAAAAUCAAAAUUCGCAGUCACCUAUUCUCCACACAAAGCAAAGAAAAAUUUCUAGAGCAAUUUACUUGCUCCAUCUUUUCCCCAGAAUACACAAAAUUCUAUCAAAGAUUUACAAAAUAGACAUGGCAUAAGAACUUCUGUCAUUUGCUCUACCAAAUUUGACAUUUAUCACUAAAGAUUAAUGUGCCUUACAAGGAGCAAAAUCCAUCGAUCUCAAGAAACAUCCCAAUAUUGAGAGAAACAAUAAAUUUAUUUGAGUAAUCGUGCCAUCAUCGACUUAGCGAUAUACCAGAUUCACUUCCAUGGAAAGUCUGUCAAAUUUUGUAGUUGAUUCUCUUCGCUGUCAUCCAGGCCUUUGGAAAUGAAUCAAACGGUGGCUGGGAUUCCAAUGUUUUGACUACAAUGCUGCUCUACUGGGAGCUUGCAUUGUCAACUUUUUUAAUUAUAGCAUGUGUAUAUUUGACUUUAAGUUUUGUGUUUAGAGCAUAUAACAAUCCAUAGGUUGUGAGUCAGAUGUAUAUGUUGUUUGCUUGUGUCAAUACAUACUUAUUUUGAAUGAAAGAGUUGUUAAUUGUUAAUUAUAUUUCUUCUCUCUUGUUUUUUUUUUUUUGUCAUUUUUCCGAUUAAUUUCUUACUAUGUUAAAUGAAAAUAAGGUUUCUUUGAUAUUAAUGUGGAAGUAGGAAUUCUUGAAUAAUUUAUUUGUGAAAUGUUAAUUUUUCAAUUUAUUUUGUUACUUGUAAAGUUAGGAGGUGCGUAAAUGAUAAACUAAUUUUUUAGCCCUUUACCUAAUUAGAAUUUAAAUAAGCAACUUUUGAAUCCUUCACAUACACAUUUAUGUCCUUUUAUAUAAUUCAAAUUUCAGUAAAAGUGUCAAAAGUUUUUUUUUUUUUUGGGUUAAAUUUCACAUCCCAUCCUGUACAUAAACACCAAUUAGAUAAAUUUCUUUUCCAUAAGCCGCAUCUAGUUGACUACAUCACCGAGCCAUUGACCAUGCUAAGAUGUUGACCGGUCAACAAUUGACCAUUGACUUUGAGAGUCAACUUUCACAAAAAAAUUUAAUUUUUUGCUCUAAAUCUCUCCUAAAGUUUUUGAUGUUAUGGAUCUAUACGUGCAUUCAUAAUCUCCAAAUUCUCACUUAAUUUGUGAGUUAUGGAAUGUGUUGUUCCAUGAUCCACAAUUAAAGGGAUCAAAAUGGAGUAUCAAAAUGAUGGCUCUAUUAGGUGCACGUGAUGUAUAGGUGCACGUGAUGUAUGUGAAGUUGUAGAGAAAUGUUUUACUGUACUAGAAGAUGAAGUUACUUUAAUUGCGACACAAAAGAAGAAUUUGAAAGACUUGAAAAUGAAAGAGAAGAAAGAAAAAUAUUUCAUCUUUCAAACAUUAAAUAAAGAUGCUUUUGAACAGAUUUUUCAACGCUACCUCCUUAAAAAAAGUAUGGGAUAAGUUACAGACCUCUUACAAAGGAGAUGAAUAAGUUAAGAAAGUUCAUCUCCAAAUAUUAAAAAAAGAAUUUGAAUCUUUUCAUAUGAAGGUAUCUAAAUCUAUUUCGGAUUAUUUUACCCAAGUUGUGAUUGUUGCUAUGAAACGAUGAGCAACUUCAAGAAAGGUUGCAAGCCUACAAAAAAUAUAUGAAAGAAGAAGCAUGGGAUUGAAGAACAACUCCUCAAGAUGGAAAUCAAUUCGAAGAAGAGAGAAGAAAGCUCCGUCAACAGGAAAAACCAAUAUGUCCAAGUUAGAGGCUAAGGAUAAGGUAGAGGUUGUGGUCAAGGACUAGACAGGAAUUUCAACACCAAUAACUCUAGUUAUGAAAGAGGAGAAUGCUCAAUCAGAAUAUGAGGAAGAGGCAACCCAAGAUUGAGGUAUGACAAAUCCUAAGUAUAGUGCUACAAUUGCUAAAAGUUUGGCCAUUAUGCUUUUGAAUGUUAAGACUCCCAAUAAUAAAGUUGAGGAGAAGAACAAUUAUAUGGAAGAGAAGACUGAAGAGAAUAAAACAAUACUACUAGCAUACUAGGACAAUUAUAGAGGUCACAAGUGCCUAGUAUCUUGAUACUAGUGCGAGCAAUCAUAAAUAUGGAAGAAAAAAUGUGUUCAUGGAGCUAGAUGAAUCAUUAAAUAGCAAUGUAUCAUUCAGAGAUGAUUCCAAAGAAUAGUGAAAAGGAGAGAUAAAAGCCUUAAUUGUUUAAAAAAAAUGGAAGACAUCAAUUUAUUUAAAAUGUUUACUCUACGCCCAAUAUAAAAAGAAACAUCUUGAGCUUAGGUCAACUCUUACAAAAAGGCUAUAAUAUUCACAUGAAAGAUCAUAGUCCUUUUAUAAGAGAUGACAAAAGAAACUUAAUUAUGAAGGUGAAAAUGUCAAAAAAUAGAAUGUUCUCUUUGAAUAUUCAAAAAGAUGAUGUAAAGUGUUUAAAGACUUGUUACGAGGAUGCAUAUGACUUUGGCAUCUUCAAUUUCGGUAUCUCAAUUUUAGAGGAUUGGAGUUACUAUCUAAGAAGAAUAAUAGAAUAUGGUGAAAGUCUUACCAUGUAUUAAUAACCCUGAUCAACUUUGCGAAGGAUGCUUAGUAGAAAAAUAAUUUAAAGAAAGCUUUCAAAAAGAGUCAAACUUAAGGGCAAAAAGGGCGCUCGAGUUUAUUCACUCAAAUAUUUUUGUUCCAAUCAAGCCAAGCUCCCUUGGUAAAAAUAGACACUUCUUUCUCUUCAUAGAUGGUUUUCCAAGAAAAGCUUAGGUAUACUUUUGAGGUAAAAGUCAUAAGUUUUGAAACUUUCAAGAAGUUCAAAACUGUAAUGGAGAAAGAAAGUGGAUACCUAAUUAAAGCCAUAAGAUCUAUCGAGGAGGAGGAUUCACUUCUAAAGAAUUUCAAGGCUUUGUGAAGCAAAUGAAAUUCAACGUCCUUUGACUAUUCCACCACCCCCCAAUAAAGUGGUAUCCCAUAAAGAAAGAAUAGAACCAUUCUCAACAUAUGCAAGAAAUAUGAUGAAAAAUAAGAGACUGCCUAAAUAAUUAUGGGCUAAAGCUGUUACUUGUGCGGUCUACCUAUCUAACAGAUCUUCAACAAGUCUAUGAGACAAUACACCAUAAGAAGCAUAAAAUGGCAUAAGUCAAGCAUCUUCCACUUAAGAGUUUUUAGAAGCAUAGUUCAUGUACAUGUAUCAUACGAGCAAAGAACCAAAUUGGAUGACAAAAGCGAGAAGUUCAUCUUUAUCGACUAUGACAAUAAUUCCAAAGGAUACAAAUUGUAUAGUCCAAACAUAGGAAGAUCAUAAUUAGUGGAGAUGUAAUUUUUUAUUAAAAAAAAUGAGAAUGGGGUUUUAGCUCUCACGUAGAUGGUGUUAUCUUUUUUUUUUUUUUCUCUCUUCAAGAAAACGAACAGAUAAUAGAGGAGCAAGUAGGAGAACAAGAUCAAGAACCCGUUGUUUCACCUACCUCUCCAGUAUCAACCACUCAUGAAGAUCACCACCAUUAUUUUUGGAGGAAAGAGAUGUGACACACACAAGCAUAAACUAUGAUGAGGUGCUUGAUCUUGUUGCCCGAUUGGAAACUAUAAGACUAAUCAUUUCAUUAGCAGCCCAAAAGAAGUGAAAGAUUUUGCAAAUAGAUGUGAAGUCAAUUUUCUUGAAUGGUAGUAACGAGACAUGGCAUCUUUAAAACAAGUUACAGUCAAUUAGAGGGUAUGUGAUCUGAUUAUUGUCAGUAGUAGUAGCAAGAAUAUAAUUUCCAAGAUCAUGGUUGACGAGCUUCUCAUUAAUAAUAUUUAGUAUUUUCUCAAUUGAGACAUUUUUCUCCUUUGUGAGAGCCCUCUUCUUGAGUUUUUAAGAACGUACAGUAGAAUAACAUCUAGUAUCGUUUUCGCGUUGCAUCACCAUCUAUCAUCCUUAAUUCAGGUCCUUCUUCUCACUCAUCAUGAGUCAAUCUUAAUCUUUAGAAAUCACAAUAAACUAUAAUGGAAAUACAAAGCUCAAUAUGUAAACUAUUUUUUCAUAGACCAAAAUACAAACAUAUUUAUAUGUACUGUAAAAGUAUGAUAUGCAAUGCUCUUGGUAAAAAAGAAUUAUUCAAAACUUUGGGUUACUUUCAAACUUUCACACUUCCUUUCAAUGCAUGAUAUGCAAGUCCCUUUGAAAUUAGUCACUUGAAUCGUUUUACAUGAUAUUCUACCCAUAGCUUACAGGCGGAGCAUCAGCACCAGAUAUUUUCCAAAUUAAAUUGUAGGAAAUCUAAGAAGAUAUCACACUUUUAUUAAUUUAAAUUCAAGUUCACUGUCAUUCACUUUCAAAAACCAAAAGACCCUUCACUUUCAACUCUUUACUUGCUUCCUUUUUCUUCCAAUUUUUCUCUUUCUGAAUGGAUUUUCUACAAGUAAAAUUUUCUUUCUCUUCUCUAGAAUGCAAAAAAGUAUAGCGAAGUUUUAAAAAAUGGACAUGGCGGAAAAUUAUUGUCAUUUGCUUCAGCAAAUUUCACAUUUAUUAGUAAAGAUAAGUGCGCCUUCAGUAGAACAUAAAACCCAUUAAUGUCAAGAAUCCAAUAUUUGAGAGUAGCAAUAUAAUUUAUUUGAAAUAAAGGAUGACAUGGACAAACUUGAACCAAACUUAGCAUCAUAGCUUAUGUUCAUUUAUUAUUUAUCUUGUUUUGAAUAGAAAAGAGUUGUUUAUCAAUUAUAUUUCUUUUAUCUUGUUUCUAUGUAAUUUUUCCAAAUAUUUCUUAAGAUGUUAAAACAAAAUUAAAAUUUCCUAAGUUAUUAAUAGGAAAGUACGUAGGAGGACUCGAGUAAUUUCUUUGCGUACAUAUUUUUGCAUAUGCCAAAUUGCAGCAACUAGUGAUCGGUCAUUCUGUUGUGCGCGGAAUGCGGAAUCAAGAGCACCAAACAAUUACAGAAAAAUAAAGGACACAAGAAUUACGUGGUUCGGUAGUUAAACCUACAUCCACGAAGGCAAGAAAGAAUAAUUGUUUAUUUAACAAUUAAUAGAGUACAAAUAUUUGAUUAACGAAUCUCACUUCCCAGAAACCCAAAUAUACCCAAUACUCUCACACUCUGCAAGAAAGAUAAAUUCCCUAGACACACUUCUCUCACUUCUCUCAAAAGCUUAGAAAUUUAUAAGCUUAACAAUUUUGGGAUGAUUUUAAAUGAAUGAAAUCCUGAACUAUUUAUAGGAGAAAUGAAUUACUAUGCAAAGAAUAAAAUAAUUAAAAAUAUAAUUUUUAAUUAUUAUUAUUUUUCAAAUUCAUCCCCUUUGUCAAUUCUUUCUUUUCGGCUACAAAAUCAAUUUUGAUUUUGCUUCUCUACAAUUGUUGGUGCAACCAACAAUUUGUUGACUUCAACACAUUCUUGGUUUUUUUUUUUUUUUUUUUUCCACAAGCAAAGUAACAUGAAUAGACCUGGAGUAAACAAAAUGAUAGUUAGUUAGGGAGAGAUAAUGAACUUCACCCCUUGAAGAAUUAUAUAUUCAACUAAAGCCAAAACAAAAAGAGAAAUUGGUUUCACAUGGAUUCGUUGAUCAUUUUGCGCAAACUCAUUGAAAUUUAUCCAAUUUUAAUACUUCUUGUUACUUGUUGUGUAAGAGCAUGUAUAACGUAUUUAAUAUCUUUGGUGAUCAUUUUGGACAAACUCAUUAAUUAAUUUUAGUCAUUCUUGUUACUUGUUAAUUGUUAUAUAAGAACAUAUGUAAUAUAUUUGGUGUAGGUAAUGAAAAUUAUUAGAUAUAUGCUUUUAUUAUAUAUAAUAAGUAACAAGAAUUAUUAAAAUGAAAUAAAUUUCAAUAAAGAGAAAGGUUUAUAUAAGACAGCCCCCUAAUGUUUUGUCAUCUGACAGUGUAGUGUGUCCCAUAUUAAAUUAAUUAAAUAUAAUAGAUCUUGUUGCGAUCUUUUUGCGAAAAAAGAAUUCUCAAGAGCUCAUCAUAUAUAGUUCCUAAAAAAUUACUAUAUUUGAUAGAUAAGCGUGUCCUAAUUAAGAAAAGAUUUGUAGGAUCAAAUUAAUAAAUAGAGCCACGAUCCUCUUCGCAAUCUAUCGACCAGCUGCAAUCGAGCAGUUUAGAUUUUAAUCACAGCCAUGAUCUCUUCAAGGCUCCUAUGCUGCCUAACAGCGUUACUGAUUCUCCCCUCAUCAUCAAAUGCAGCUGAUCCCGAUCCUCUACAAGACAUCUGUAUCGCAGAUUUGGAUGCCAAAAUCUCUGUGAAUGGCUUCCCUUGCAAAUCUGAAACUGAAGUAACUUCCGAUGAUUUUUUCUUCGAUUUGUCCGAAGAAGGAAACUUGUCAAAUGCCUUCGGACGUGCAGUAACUGAAGGCAAUGUUCAUGAAUUUCCAGGGGUCAACACUCAAGGAAUUUCAACAAAUCGAGUUGACCUUGCUGUUGGUGGAAUCAACCCUCCUCAUUUACAUCCUCGCUCAAGCGAGUCAAGUAUUGUCAUUAGAGGAACAGUGCUCGUAGGAAUCAUAACAACUGACAAUGUGUUUUACUCAAAGGUUGUGACAGCCGGGAUGCUGUUUCUAAUUCCUAGAGGACUGGUUCACUUCCAGCUAAAUGUCGGAAAAGAAAAUGUUCUUUUCUUCCCUUCUUUCAACAGCCAAUUACCUGGCACUCAGUUCGUGCACUCAAGUCUGUUUAAUACAACACCGCCAAUUCCUAAUGAAGUGUUAACCAAAACUUUCCUGGUAGGCGAUGAGGUGAUUAAUGCCAUUAAAGCAGCCAUCACAUCAGCCCAGUUAGGACAUCGGCCCAAAUAGAUUAACGUUCACAAUAAUGCUUGGUCGGGGAAGUUAUUUACUUAAUUAUUUAUAUUGAUUUGAAUAAAAGGAUUGUUUUCUAAUAAGAAUAAUGAUUGGGUUAUAAAGUUUGUAUUCUAACUUGUGUGUCGCCUUGUUUGAUAAGAAUAAUGAUAGGCUUUAUCUUAUAGAGCCGUAUAAUGAUUAGUUACUUAGCCUUAUCCGUGAUUCUAUUUGUAUAUUUCCACAUCUAUUUGUAUUCCAACUUUGUAAGUGUAUCACUGAUCUUCUAUCUGUAUUCUUCUUUUUCAUUUCUUUGUAAUUUCAUCUAUCUUUAAAAGUUUAUGCCAACUUGAUAUUGCUGUAAUUUUUAAAAUAAUUAGUUAUGAAUAGAUUCAAUAAUUUAUUUUUGUAUCAGUCAGAUUCAAUACCAUGGCCCCUAAGCACCUAUUCAAGCCCAUUAAACAUACACUACUCAUAAUCAUCAUUAUUCUUAGAGCUUAAAGAGUAAUGAUAUUUGAACCAAAGGAUUCUACAUAAUGGCGACAAACAAUUGUAAAAUCACAUGGUGUUAUGAUGUUAAGCAAAUAAUUAACAUUGUUUUUCAAUUAAAACUAUAAAACCGUAUAAUUCUAGCAUUGAUUUUUUUUCUCAUUAUGUCACCAUUAGGGCUUUUAUUACUUUUAGAACUUAAAACUAUUCCAAAUUCACUAAAUAAUCAAUCUUUUUUUCUGCAUUAGCUUAUGAAACGAUGGACGAUGGACGAGAUUCAAUUGUUCCCAUUACAAAAGCUGCUCUGGUGGCAGCUGCAUUACCAGAUUUUGAGCUAAACUUCAAACUUAUGUACUAGAUGAUUUUAAUUUGAUGCAAUACAUAUUUUUACUUCUAAUUUAGUUGUAAGAUGUAAUUAGAUGUGAGUUGGGUUGUUGGGUUAAGUUGAAUAUCUAGGAGUGAUGUAAUUAGAUGUGAGUUGGGUUAAGUUGAAUAUCUAGGAGUGUGUGUGUGUGUGUGUAUGUGUUGUAUUUUGAAUUAUUUUCAAGUUUAUUGUUCUAAGGAAGACAUGGACAAAUUUAAACAAACCGUUAGCAUCAUCGCUUAUGUCCAUUUACUUAUUUCUCCUGUUUUGAAUAAAUUAAAAGAGUUAUUCACUUGUUUGUUAAUUAUAUUUCUCCUUUCUUAUUUCUGAGUCAUUUUUCUGAAUAAUUUCUUCAUAUGUUUAAAUAAAAUUAACAUUCCCUAAGAUACUAAUGGAAAAGAUGUCUUGGAUAAUUCGUUUGCGAAUACAUUUAUCCAUUAGAUACAUAUUACAAAUUGCGGCAAAUAGUUAUCUUUCUUUCUUUCUUUUUUAUUUUCUGCUGUACCGUACAUCCGCCUUGGCCGUACAGCAGUGUUUUUAUAACUUAAUUUGAAUUUUUAAAUAAUUUUGACUUAAUUAAAAAAGUUAAUUUUUUUUUGGGUUUUUAUGACUGGAGAAGUUUGAAUCAGCCAAUUGAUUUCUAAUAUUAAAAAUAUCUCUAAUUUAUUAUUUAUUUUUCAUGCUUAUCCUAAAACACACCCAUACAUGUUUAUCUACUAAUAAUCUCAUCUUUAUUUUUUCCAGCUGCUAUGAAAUCCCUCCCUACUUUACUUCUCUCAUCAAGUUCUUGAAUUUCUCAUUAUCGUUAAUAAAAGAUUUUAUUCUUAAAAUUUUUAUGUAAUUAUAUAAUCAGUUUUUAUUAAAAAAGAAAUUUAUAUGUUAUAAUUUCAAAAUAAUUAUAUAUAUAAAGCUUAGGAAAAGGAUACAAAACUCUCUAAUGUCUCAAAAAAGACUUUUAAACUCUAAAUUAUUAAUGGAUUCAAUUUUUUUAAAUAAUUUAAAGGUUAAUAUGAUACAUUCCAUAAUUAAUAAUGGGUGAUGAUAGUUGAUGAAGAAGAAGAAGAUGACAUUGAAUAAGAUGAGCAAUUAGGAAAAAGGAGAUAAUAAACUGAAUUUCAACAGUAAAAUUCCAACCAUUAUAAAUAAGGGUGUGUUUCUAAUUCUAUUAAUAAUUUAUGGGCAAAAUGGAUUAGUCAAUACAAUUACUUGUAUUUUAGAGGAAGAUAAUGGUAAUCAUAAGUUGAAAAUAAUUUUUCUUGUUAAAAUUAACAGAAUCCAUUAACAAAUUGGGGGUAAAUGUUUUUUUAAACGUUAGAGAGUUUUGUAUCCCUUUCUAUAAAGGUUUGGGGUGUAUCAGUCAUUUUCUCUAUUAUUUCCUUGACAUUCGAAUUUAAUAAGGAUACAAAUGUAAAAGUACACAUUUUUAGUUUUUAAGUUAAAAAAAAAACUUAAUACUUUUUCAAAGAUUGAAAAAAAAAUUAUUUAAAUUCAGACAUCCUAGUCUAUUAAAAUUUCAUAGUAGUUCAAGUCUAUUUAAAUUUCAAAUAAAAAAAUUCCAGCUAAAUCCGUUUGUUUUUUCAACAUAAUGAAAAUUUUUAGUUAUUAAGUCAUUAAGUCAUUAAGCCAACUUUUUAACUUUUUGCUAAGCAAAAAAGAUGCCAUUAAAAUAUAUCUUCCAAAAUAUCCCUAUCUAAUUAAUUAAUUUUCAUCCUUACCUAAAUAAAAUUUAAUAAUUAACAUUAUUACCCAUCUCUAUAACUUGUGAUAAUAUAGCGGUAGGUGACUAUUAUUUUUAUCCUUUUAUUUUCUUCAAAUUAGCAUAAUUAAUCUUCAUGAUUUUUUUGAAUAUUUUUUUAUAUAAAAAUAUUAUGAACUACAAUUAAAUUGAUUAACAUGUAUAAUGGAAAAGAUGUCUUGGAUAAUUCGUUUGCGAAUACAUUUAUCCAUUAGAUACAUAUUACAAAUUGCGGCAAAUAGUUAUCUUUCUUUCUUUCUUUUUUAUUUUUUUCAGAGCAACUCAACAUUAAUAGAACAACAUUGAACCAAAUAACGCUUAGGUAGGGAGACAUACCGGGCAUCACCACCACAAAUCCUUCCACCCCGUACCCUAAUACCAUCCCCAAGCCAUCAUAUGCUUCUGCAGUCAACCCUGUGUCCAUCGUUGACCCUAAUGUUGCCUCUAGGCUCUUUAAAUCCUUUGUUGAUGUUUGUUACAAUUUCAUCUUCGCCUUCUUUUUCUGUGAAGAUGGGCACCUUUCAUCGAGGCGAACCUGCUAUACAUUUUAAAGAAUUAGCAGUGCAGAUUAAUUAACUAGUUUCUUAAGAUAGUUGAAACAAGCAUAACCCUCGCAAUAUAUAUAUAUAUAUAGCCGUAUGUUCAUAAUCGAUCAUUCUAUUAAAAAAAUUUCAAUACUUCUAUUUUCUUUUUACUUCAUGGAGUCUUAUUACAGUAGAUACAAAUUAAUUUUCAAUUAGUGAAAUAAUUUUCAAUUAAUGGAAAAGAUGUCUUGGAUAAUUCGUUUGCGAAUACAUUUAUCCAUUAGAUACAUAUUACAAAUUGCGGCAAAUAGUUAUCUUUCUUUCUUUCUUUUUUAUUUUUUUCAGAGCAACUCAACAUUAAUAGAACAACAUUGAACCAAAUAACGCUUAGGUAGGGAGACAUACCGGGCAUCACCACCACAAAUCCUUCCACCCCGUACCCUAAUACCAUCCCCAAGCCAUCAUAUGCUUCUGCAGUCAACCCUGUGUCCAUCGUUGACCCUAAUGUUGCCUCUAGGCUCUUUAAAUCCUUUGUUGAUGUUUGUUACAAUUUCAUCUUCGCCUUCUUUUUCUGUGAAGAUGGGCACCUUUCAUCGAGGCGAACCUGCUAUACAUUUUAAAGAAUUAGCAGUGCAGAUUAAUUAACUAGUUUCUUAAGAUAGUUGAAACAAGCAUAACCCUCGCAAUAUAUAUAUAUAUAUAUAGCCGUAUGUUCAUAAUCGAUCAUUCUAUUAAAAAAAUUUCAAUACUUCUAUUUUCUUUUUACUUCAUGGAGUCUUAUUACAGUAGAUACAAAUUAAUUUUCAAUUAGUGAAAUAAAGUGGCGCAAGAGAUUUGAUGUUAGUACGGUCCCGCCACAGAUUGAAAAAUACUAAAGUUCAUUUUUUUAAUUAAAAAAAACAACAAUUUCAAUUGUGCUCAAGACUAAAAUAUUAAAUCGAAUCGAUUUGCAUAAAAUUAAUUAGGGUAAUUUAAUUCUAUUUAUGUUAAAAUUAUCCACUUCAUGAAAUUAAUUAUUAAUUUUUACACUGGUCGAAUCAUUUUGCAUGAUGUUCUACCAUAGGUUACGACGGACCGUGACCGCCAGAUCUUUUCCUAACUAAAGUGGAAAUUUAAUGAAGGAAAUCUACGAAUAUGAAAUUUCUAUGACAUUAAUUAAAGUUCAACUUCAAUAUAAAUUCAAGUUCAGAGAAGUUUGCUCUCCAAAACCAGAAACCAAAAACAAAACAAAAAAAUUCACAUAUAUCGAUAAAGCUAAAUGUGCACUUGCUUAGAGCAAAAAACCCAUUAAUCUCAAAAAAAUACUCCUUCAUUCAGAGAGACAAUAAUUUAUUUGAGUACCAGAAUUUCAAAUAUGGAUGUUGUAGGCUCUCCCCUCCCUCGUGUUUUGUUCAAUUUUUUUUUUUUUUUUGUAACAAUAAUUUUUUAUCUUUAAUCUUCAUCUUAAAGCCAUUAUGCUUGAUGACUCGUUCAUGUCAUUUUCUUCAGCCUUUACAAAGGUUGUUUCCCCGUUUGUUAGUUGCUGUUACUUGCCCAGCUGGAUUCCCGCCAAUACCAACAACCGUAUAUGCCUUUCUCACGUGCCAAGCAUGCGAAAUUUAAGUGAACCCAAAACGACAACAGGCUUGUGUCGUUUUGAUUAUAUUUGGUUUAUGAUAUCACGUGACAACACACAUGACUUUCGAACCACUUGUGGAUGACAUCCUCGAUAUUGUCGGUUGUCAGGCUUCAACACACUAGACAACAUGUACUGUCUUCGGAGUUCCGCAAAUACUAAACCAUUUUUUUUUUUGAAUGGGCAAAUACUAACUUAAUUAUGUGGCAUCCUUACGGAAAACUCUUUAGAAUUAUUGGAGAAUUUUAAUCCCGCCCAAGAUUCCAUAAAUAAAAAAUACCAAAUAAAUAAUAAGUAAAAUUAGACGGAGAAUAAAACUAGUCACACAACACAAGAAUUUACGUGGAAAUUUCUAUACUGAAGAAAAACUACGGCCACCAAGGAUGACGAGAGAAAAAUAUACUAUGUAAAAAAUUAUUACGAUCAUUCUAGUAUUUUUUCUCACACCAAAAACGCCAAUAACACUCAAUCUUUCAAUAGUUUUAUUGUUUCUCACACACAAGAAACUGUUUACUUGCAGAGAAUUAAUUGUUGUGUUAUAUAAAUAAGUGAACUCAACCUCCCUAUAUAUAGUGAUUAUUUAUUGUAGGAGAAAUAUUAUUUUUUUUAUACUAGUUAUAUUCCUCCUUAAAUAAGACAAGUCCCAAAGAAAAAAUUACUUAUUAUUUAAAUAGAAAUCCUACCAAAAAAAGGAAAAUAUCCUAAAAAAUCCUUAUUGAAAAAUAAGAUAUAUUUCCUGUUUGGUAACGGAUAAAAGGAGGAAAAAAGGGAGAGUGGGGGCAUGACUUUUAUCUCAUCCAUAACUUCCGAAAAGUGGGAGAGAACAAGGGGGGAAAGAGGGGAGUGGGGAGUUACCUAGGGGGGAUUUUAUUUAUUUUUUCUCUCUUCUCCGGGGGGUGUUUUUUGGGCUCUCUUCCUCUCAUGGAAAUUUCUUGCUUUUACACUAUACUUUACUUUCUGUAAAUUACUCGAAAAGCUUUGGGUUUGAAGGCAAUGCUUAUUAAGCCACAUGAGUGGUGGCACAAAUUUUUCCGAAAGGCCUAGAAACUGACUUGAGCGUCGGAGGCUUCACGCCGGAAAAACUUCCGGCGCCUCUGACCGUCUUCUAUGAUUUCCGGUAUUCACAGAUUAAUCGCCGGUGGUUGCAGGACAUCUAGACGAUUGACCAAUCGAUUCUCUACCAAAUAAAUCUAAAGUUGAUGCGGGAGUUUGGUAUCAAGUCGCUAACCGACUCAAUCGGAUUUCGACAUCAACAUUUGGCGCCGUCUGUGGGGAUCGAUACAAGAAGCCAAUUUGUUAUCUCUAUCAACUUUCAUCUAGCCAAAGCGAAGGCAAAAUAUUAUCAUGUGUGAAUUGAAGCAACCUGUCUUUUAUUUCUGAACUCACGUGAAAGAAGCAAAGCGAAUCGGUAAAAAACUAACCCAAUGUUGGCAUUUAGAAGCUUCAGAUCGGUAAAAUCUGUCACAGAUUCAUCUCCACUUGUAUUUCCAAUUAAAUUACUGCAAUUACUUUCAAUUUAUUUGUUUGUGUGCAUGAUAUAUUGCAUCAAAUGAUCAAUUGUGAUUUGGCUUUCAUGAGCAUGAGAAAUUGAUUAUAGAGGAUAGAUUUAAAAAAUACAUAUACUGAAUAUAUGAAAUCAUAUCACAAACUAGUGGCCACAUGCUUGUUGGUUUAUAGUCAAUUGCUGAUCAUGUGCUUACCAUUAAAGUCUUGCACGCAUACAAGUUUAGAUAUUAAGAUUUUAACCACUUUCCCAAUCGGAUUAUGCCACGGUUUCAGCAUGCAUUUUGAUGGGUUUAAUCAUUUCGAAUGAUAUUUAAUUACUAAUUGGAUGCAGAGAUGUGUCAGAUUGUAAUUUCAGAAACAGGUUUCAGAUGAUAUUUGUUAAAAGUGGUGAUACGAGAUCACGCACAGUAAGCGUUAGACAAAAUGAUUGAUAGAAUAAAAAAAAAAAUCGCAGCCUCAAAUUGUAAAGAGCAAGCUUAGGACUCUACAUAGGAACAAUCAAGAUGGUGAGAUUAAUUGGACUGGAAAACAAAGGCUGCAACUGAAAUUACAGGGAGUGACGCUCAAUAGAACAUUGCGCAAGAGCAAAGGACUAAAAUCCAAAAUAAUUCUAAGAAGGGAGCAAAGCAGAGUCAAGCUCGGGAUUUGUUUGAUGACGUACCAAUGAAAUAAUGCAGAGCACAAUCUCAGGUGCACUUGUUCUAAAACCUCAGUUUUAUAUUUAUCCUUUAAAUCCGCUACCUGACUUCAAAAAUCUGAUGGAUGGGGUUUUGACUUAUUAAGUCGUUAAUAAAAAAUAGUUAAGAUUGCAUAUUAUAGAAUAUAUAGCAUAGUCAUAUNNNNNNNNNNNNNNNNNNNNNNNNNNNNNNNNNNNNNNNNNNNNNNNNNNNNNNNNNNNNNNNNNNNNNNNNNNNNNNNNNNNNNNNNAAAGGCCCAAACAUAUAUAAAUAGCUAACCUUGGCCGUACAGCAGUGAGCUAUUUUCUGGACAAGUUAUACGUUAUAGGUCAGAAAUUAAAUUUUUGAUAGUUUAUUACAGCUGAUCAAUUUGCAGAGCAAAUCCAUAUUUAAGGAUUUAAAGAAAAAAACCUCAAAUAAGAGCACAUCGAAGGCACACAUUUAUAGGAAUCAGAACAGGUCAGAAGUUAUAUUUUGAUUUACAAGCAGUUUUUUCUAUGAAAAUUUAAUUGUUUCUCUAAAUUCUGCUAUAUGCGAUGAGGAUACCUUAUAUUCAUUAAAUUGAUUGCGCUCAUAUUAGGGCUGACGGUAUAACUUAGUUAACUUGAUUUCUUGAAAGUUACUCAAUAUGAGAAUAAUUUAAGAAAUGAGAGCUAGGCUAGCGUUGAGAAGCCAAUCAAAGUUUACUAAUAAGGCAUGCAAAGGCUCACCAAGUCUCAAAGUCUAUUUUAUGGCGAGACCAGAAGCCAAGUGUGCCAGGAUUUACUCGACCAAGCGAAGGCAAGCAGACCCUCAAGUAUUAUAAAAAUUCCUAAGGCAUGCAAAGGCUCACCAAGUCUCAAAGCCUGUUUUAUGGCGAGACUAGAAGCCAAGCGUGCCAGGAUCUGCUCGACCAAGCUAAAGUGAGCAGACCUUUAAGUGUUAUAAAAAUUUCUAAGGCAAGUAAAGGCUCCAAAGUCUCAAAACCUGCUCAAUGGCGAGAUAAAAAGUCAAGCUUGCUAGAAUUUGCCCGACCAUGUGAAGCCGAGCAAAAAAAAAAAAUUUACAACUUCUAUACCAGAAGACAAGUAAGAACAUUCUUAUUAAUAUGCCAACAGUUCGUAAAGUUAUUCAUCAUAACAGACAAUGUCCAAAAAAUAGGAAAAGGCAACUACAACACAAAACAUGUUUAAGAAGACGGCGGCUCAGUAAGCCGAGAAGCCUCAGUUGGCUGGUCCACCUCAGGUGCUGGGGGAGUAUCACCAGUUGCGUCCGGGGGGGCACUCGCCUCGCCAACAUCAACAGGGAUUGCACGAGGAGGAGAGUUUUCCUCCUCGACCAUAAUUGGCUCCACCACUUCGGCAUCCUCUUUCGCCGCCUCCUCAUCCAUGUGUUGAGCAACACCAGCUGCAAGGUCAUCCAUUUGCAGAUCAGGGUGCUACUUCCCAAGGACAACCAUGAUGCAACGAUAAGAAUGCCGAAGUCCUUGGUCGUAUUGGUUGUCAGCUUCAUUCUCCAAGUUCUCGUCCUAAGCCCGGUAGGAAUCGCGGAGAGAUUCGAGCUGAGCCUCGUACAUAACCUUCUGCCUUUGCAGAUCCUCCUUGACCUUGGUUAGCUCUUCCUCGAGAGUAAUAGCCUUUGCUUAAGCAAGAGAUUCUCACUCUAUCAGCUUCAGAUUCUCGAGAUUCAAGUCUCCUACUUUCUUCUCGGCAACGUCGGCUCUGGUCAUCGCCGAUUGAAUGUCCUCCUUCAUCUUCCAGUCAUAACGGCCAACCUUGACCUUAUAGUAAGUGGUCAUGCAGCUGAGAUGGAAAUCGCUAUACUGCAUGGCCCCCACCAGCUCACCCAGGGUGCAGCCAUCAAAGUCCUCCAGGUCCUUCUUACUUACAAGUUUAGAUAACUCGUUGAGAUAGGGGACCAAGUGUUCUGCUCGGUUGUCAGAUAAACGAGAUCUAGGCCUGACAGGAGGAGAAGAGGAAGCAGGAUCAGUGGCUGCUCCACUAGUUUCUCCGACUUUGGCAGGAGGAGGAGGUAGAGUCUUCAAGGGAGGAACCUGCUGCACAAUGUUCACCCGCUUCGCAGUAAGAGUGUUCUUGUUCUGGUCUCUCUUUGCAGUUUGAGGUCGAGAACGUUUCCAAUUCAGAGCCCCGAUCACAACAUCCUCCAUCUUAUGGCCGGGGGGCACCAAGCAAGAUUCAACCAGGUUAUAACGUGGUUAGCAGCUCCUAGUGUGAGCAAGAAUUGGCCAGCACAGCCUCGACCUGUUUGAGCUGGUCGGGAUUAAGCGGGAAGUGAACACCCCAAGAACCUGUAAAACGAACAGACAUUUGGUUAGAGACAAAUCAACAAAGUGAGAACAACUAUGGAGACAAGUCAUUUAAAAUGAGCAGGCAACCUGGAACCACGAAACGGGGUGGGACGCGAUAAUCUUUCCCAUCAAUCUGUGCAACUUGACCCCAGGGACCCCCUUAUAAAAAUUCCUAAGGCAUGCAAAGGCUCACUAAGUCUCAAAGCUUGUUUUAUAGUGAGACCAGAAGCCAAGCGUGCCAAGAUAUGCUCGACCAAGUAAAGGCGAGCAGACCCUUAAGUGUUAUAAAAAUUCCUAAGGCAUGCAAAGGCUCACUAGAAGCCAAGCAUGCCAAGAUCUGCUCGACCAAGCGAAGGCGAGCAGACUACAAAAGUUUCAGAAAUCUUCCAAGGCAUGCAAAGGCUCCAAAGUCUCAAAGUCUAUUUUAUGGCAGGACAGAAAGCGAAGCAUGCCAGGAUCUGUUUGACCAAGCGAAGGCGAGCAGACUACAAAAGUUCUAAAAAUCUCCUAAGGCAUGGAAAAGCUCCACAAGUCUCAAAGCCUCCUCGAUGGCGAGACAGGAAGCCAAGCUUGCCAGAAUCUGCUCGACCAUGUGAAGCCGAGCAAACAAUGAAAAUUUCAAAAAGUUUCUAAGGCAAGUAAAUGCUCCAAAGUCUCAAAGCCUGCUCGAUGGCGAGAUAAGAAGUCAAGCUUGCUAGAAUCUGCCCGACCAUGUGAAGCCAAGCAGAAAGAAAAAAAAAAGGUACUACAAGUAAAAGGCUUACAGUCUCCAAACCUCCUCGCAGUGAAACGAAGUCAAAGUUCUCUCUUGCCCGACUAAGAUUAUGCGAGCAAGAGUUAUAUGAGCGAAAAAUGUUCUAAAGCAGAUAAAUGACUAAGUCUUAAAACUUACUUGAAAUGAGAUAAAUACCUAAACUUAUGAAACCUGCUUUACAUGAUUAUGUGAGUAGGAAAAUGGUAUAUUUAAAGGCAUGUAAAAGUUUAAAACUUGAAACUUUUUUGUUAAGGGCAAGGUUAAUUUAAGCAAUCCCGAGCCGAUUUAUGGCAACCACCUCGAGUUCACUUUAAAAUUUAUAUAGUUUCCAGUCUUGAUUCGUUAAAGCUCUCAACACUAGAAACUGGGGGACUGGUGUUUGGUAACGGAUAAAAGGAGGAAAAAAGGGAGAGUGGGGGCAUGGCUUUUAUCUCAUCCAUAACUCGAUGUGUUGGUGAUUGGAUAUUGUAAAGGAUUUAUUAGAUAUUGUAUACGGAUUUGAUUCACCAUAUAUUUUGUGAUGCUAUUUGUUGGAAGUUUCAAGUGAUUGAAAUUUUUAGCGCAUCACACUAUUUGGUAUUUGAUAGUUUUUAUGAAUUUGAAUGUAAUUUUUAUUUCAAUUAAUUCAAGUUUUAAAUGUGGUUUUUGUUGUUUUUAUUUCAAAAUUCUGGAAUUUAAAUAAUAAUAAUUAAUAUUAUUAUAAUUUCAAAAUUAAAAAUAAUAAUUUUAUUCUUUUUUAAACUUUAAAUCUCAUGACAAAGAAUGUGAAUCAUUGAUAUAUGACAGCUUUUGAAGAAACCCAUCAAAUUCAAAAUAAUUUAAAUACCUGCUAAAAUUUCCAAUUAAUUCUCGAAAGUCUUUCAAAACGACGUCGCUUGGUUCGUGAUACAUGUGUGAUAAAUAUACAUUGUCAUGGGAACAUGUGAUAGAUAAAAUGUUGUCACAGAUUUGUGAGACGGGCUACAAUGACAGAUGGAAACUCUGUCAUAAGAGGGGUCGGAUGAUAGAUAUUCUCUGUCAUGGUAGCCCAUUUUUCUAGUAGUGUUCAAAUAGAAAAAUUAGUACGUUGUCAAUAUAAUUGUCUUAUAUAUGAUGCCAACAAUGAAACUAAACAAUCAUUCCCUUUAGCAUCCUUUUGGAAAAAUCUCUAUAACAAAUUGGAACAUUUUAAAAACUCAAAUCUUCAUAAAAAGUGGAGUGAGGAGUACCAUUAAUGAGUAAGUCCUGUGUUCGCACUUACAAAUACAAACACAAAGAUUAAAAUAAAUUUGAUCACUCACUAAUUGGAGUAUUUAUGUUAAACUUAUAGUUAUGUUUGGCCCUAAAAGUAUGCAAUAAAAUAACAUCAUUUUCAUAUACAAAAUUUUAUUUAUUCAUUGUUUAUUUUGACCGAACAUUAUUAGACUUAGUUUAUGAAGCAUGUAUUUUAUAUAUUGAUAAUUCUGCUGUACGGCCAAGGCGGAUGUACGGUACAGCAGGCCUAUCUAUCUUUUUUUGGUUUUUGUAUAUAUAUAACUCAUGAGAUUUAUAAUUUUUCAUUAUCAUGUUAACCCCUGGUCUGGACUGUCCUAAUAUUUAAACUUCUUUCCACCAUUUUCAAUUCUUAAAUUGACCAAUAUUUAUCUCAAUGUGUCCCUUUACUUGCCCAUUGAAUUUUGCAUCAAGGAUCUGAUGUGGUAGAAGAGAAGCUAACAAUUUAUGCGCUCGACAAUGUCUUUGCCUUUUGAAUUGAUUGAGAGAUCAUCAUUUCUUCACCCACUGGAAACUUUAGAUUAUGCUUUACGCUUUGGGCUUAUACUGGCAAGCCUACAAUCAUGGUAUUAAAGUUGGUAGAUUGAGGAGAUUCUGGUGAUUCCAGAAUUUUCUACAUUUUCUCUUUAUCUUUUGGAUUUUUAGAACUUUUUCCUUUCUUUUUAUUAGCUUGAUUUUGAUGGAUUUUAUUUAAUUAUAUAUGGAAGGUUAGAUGUUGUGCAUUAAUUAAAUUAUAGUCUUGAAAAAAUACUCUUUAAAAAAAUUCAUCUAGAAAUUUAGAAUUGAAAUCUGUCGAAGGCUAGACUAAAAGUUCUCUUCUCGUCUUUGGCAUUGCACUUGGUUUUAUAUUUCUCUUUACUAUGUACUCUGUUGCAAAAUAUUUUGUUUAUACUUAAUCUUUUAUAAUCCAGCAACUCUUAUGAAGACCUAGUCAACUGUCACUGCUACAUAAGCAUUCAGGUUAUGCUGCUUUAUCAUCAUUUUUAUUUUCUUCCAUUUUUCUCUUUUACAGCUUGUGAGCUUACUGCUUCAUUAUGUCAAUUUUCUGAAUGUGAUUUUUUAUUUUCUCUUGGGUUGUUUAUUCUCAUUUUCCCUUUAGUAUCAAAGCUGAUUAAAUCAAUUAGACACUGAUGAAUUUUAUUAUGAAUUUGAUUAAUUGUAAGUGGGCAAUAUAUUAAUAUGUAUUUUUUUGGCACUCAUUUUAUUGUAACCUAUGUUUCAGGUGAUGUUGGUGGCUUUCGGGAAUUUACUAAGAGUGUUUUUUUUAUGGAUUAAUUGUUUUUCUAGUGAUGUGUUGGUGAUUGGAUAUUGUAAAGGAUUUAUUAGAUAUUGUAUACGGAUUUGAUUCACCAUAUAUUUUGUGAUGCUAUUUGUUGGAAGUUUCAAGUGAUUGAAAUUUUUAGCGCAUCACACUAUUUGGUAUUUGAUAGUUUUUAUGAAUUUGAAUGUAAUUUUUAUUUCAAUUAAUUCAAGUUUUAAAUGUGGUUUUUGUUGUUUUUAUUUCAAAAUUCUGGAAUUUAAAUAAUAAUAAUUAAUAUUAUUAUAAUUUCAAAAUUAAAAAUAAUAAUUUUAUUCUUUUUUAAACUUUAAAUCUCAUGACAAAGAAUGUGAAUCAUUGAUAUAUGACAGCUUUUGAAGAAACCCAUCAAAUUCAAAAUAAUUUAAAUACCUGCUAAAAUUUCCAAUUAAUUCUCGAAAGUCUUUCAAAACGACGUCGCUUGGUUCGUGAUACAUGUGUGAUAAAUAUACAUUGUCAUGGGAACAUGUGAUAGAUAAAAUGUUGUCACAGAUUUGUGAGACGGGCUACAAUGACAGAUGGAAACUCUGUCAUAAGAGGGGUCGGAUGAUAGAUAUUCUCUGUCAUGGUAGCCCAUUUUUCUAGUAGUGUUCAAAUAGAAAAAUUAGUACGUUGUCAAUAUAAUUGUCUUAUAUAUGAUGCCAACAAUGAAACUAAACAAUCAUUCCCUUUAGCAUCCUUUUGGAAAAAUCUCUAUAACAAAUUGGAACAUUUUAAAAACUCAAAUCUUCAUAAAAAGUGGAGUGAGGAGUACCAUUAAUGAGUAAGUCCUGUGUUCGCACUUACAAAUACAAACACAAAGAUUAAAAUAAAUUUGAUCACUCACUAAUUGGAGUAUUUAUGUUAAACUUAUAGUUAUGUUUGGCCCUAAAAGUAUGCAAUAAAAUAACAUCAUUUUCAUAUACAAAAUUUUAUUUAUUCAUUGUUUAUUUUGACCGAACAUUAUUAGACUUAGUUUAUGAAGCAUGUAUUUUAUAUAUUGAUAAUUCUGCUGUACGGCCAAGGCGGAUGUACGGUACAGCAGGCCUAUCUAUCUUUUUUUGGUUUUUGUAUAUAUAUAACUCAUGAGAUUUAUAAUUUUUCAUUAUCAUGUUAACCCCUGGUCUGGACUGUCCUAAUAUUUAAACUUCUUUCCACCAUUUUCAAUUCUUAAAUUGACCAAUAUUUAUCUCAAUGUGUCCCUUUACUUGCCCAUUGAAUUUUGCAUCAAGGAUCUGAUGUGGUAGAAGAGAAGCUAACAAUUUAUGCGCUCGACAAUGUCUUUGCCUUUUGAAUUGAUUGAGAGAUCAUCAUUUCUUCACCCACUGGAAACUUUAGAUUAUGCUUUACGCUUUGGGCUUAUACUGGCAAGCCUACAAUCAUGGUAUUAAAGUUGGUAGAUUGAGGAGAUUCUGGUGAUUCCAGAAUUUUCUACAUUUUCUCUUUAUCUUUUGGAUUUUUAGAACUUUUUCCUUUCUUUUUAUUAGCUUGAUUUUGAUGGAUUUUAUUUAAUUAUAUAUGGAAGGUUAGAUGUUGUGCAUUAAUUAAAUUAUAGUCUUGAAAAAAUACUCUUUAAAAAAAUUCAUCUAGAAAUUUAGAAUUGAAAUCUGUCGAAGGCUAGACUAAAAGUUCUCUUCUCGUCUUUGGCAUUGCACUUGGUUUUAUAUUUCUCUUUACUAUGUACUCUGUUGCAAAAUAUUUUGUUUAUACUUAAUCUUUUAUAAUCCAGCAACUCUUAUGAAGACCUAGUCAACUGUCACUGCUACAUAAGCAUUCAGGUUAUGCUGCUUUAUCAUCAUUUUUAUUUUCUUCCAUUUUUCUCUUUUACAGCUUGUGAGCUUACUGCUUCAUUAUGUCAAUUUUCUGAAUGUGAUUUUUUAUUUUCUCUUGGGUUGUUUAUUCUCAUUUUCCCUUUAGUAUCAAAGCUGAUUAAAUCAAUUAGACACUGAUGAAUUUUAUUAUGAAUUUGAUUAAUUGUAAGUGGGCAAUAUAUUAAUAUGUAUUUUUUUGGCACUCAUUUUAUUGUAACCUAUGUUUCAGGUGAUGUUGGUGGCUUUCGGGAAUUUACUAAGAGUGUUUUUUUUAUGGAUUAAUUGUUUUUCUAGUGAUGUGUUGGUGAUUGGAUAUUGUAAAGGAUUUAUUAGAUAUUGUAUACGGAUUUGAUUCACCAUAUAUUUUGUGAUGCUAUUUGUUGGAAGUUUCAAGUGAUUGAAAUUUUUAGCGCAUCACACUAUUUGGUAUUUGAUAGUUUUUAUGAAUUUGAAUGUAAUUUUUAUUUCAAUUAAUUCAAGUUUUAAAUGUGGUUUUUGUUGUUUUUAUUUCAAAAUUCUGGAAUUUAAAUAAUAAUAAUUAAUAUUAUUAUAAUUUCAAAAUUAAAAAUAAUAAUUUUAUUCUUUUUUAAACUUUAAAUCUCAUGACAAAGAAUGUGAAUCAUUGAUAUAUGACAGCUUUUGAAGAAACCCAUCAAAUUCAAAAUAAUUUAAAUACCUGCUAAAAUUUCCAAUUAAUUCUCGAAAGUCUUUCAAAACGACGUCGCUUGGUUCGUGAUACAUGUGUGAUAAAUAUACAUUGUCAUGGGAACAUGUGAUAGAUAAAAUGUUGUCACAGAUUUGUGAGACGGGCUACAAUGACAGAUGGAAACUCUGUCAUAAGAGGGGUCGGAUGAUAGAUAUUCUCUGUCAUGGUAGCCCAUUUUUCUAGUAGUGUUCAAAUAGAAAAAUUAGUACGUUGUCAAUAUAAUUGUCUUAUAUAUGAUGCCAACAAUGAAACUAAACAAUCAUUCCCUUUAGCAUCCUUUUGGAAAAAUCUCUAUAACAAAUUGGAACAUUUUAAAAACUCAAAUCUUCAUAAAAAGUGGAGUGAGGAGUACCAUUAAUGAGUAAGUCCUGUGUUCGCACUUACAAAUACAAACACAAAGAUUAAAAUAAAUUUGAUCACUCACUAAUUGGAGUAUUUAUGUUAAACUUAUAGUUAUGUUUGGCCCUAAAAGUAUGCAAUAAAAUAACAUCAUUUUCAUAUACAAAAUUUUAUUUAUUCAUUGUUUAUUUUGACCGAACAUUAUUAGACUUAGUUUAUGAAGCAUGUAUUUUAUAUAUUGAUAAUUCUGCUGUACGGCCAAGGCGGAUGUACGGUACAGCAGGCCUAUCUAUCUUUUUUUGGUUUUUGUAUAUAUAUAACUCAUGAGAUUUAUAAUUUUUCAUUAUCAUGUUAACCCCUGGUCUGGACUGUCCUAAUAUUUAAACUUCUUUCCACCAUUUUCAAUUCUUAAAUUGACCAAUAUUUAUCUCAAUGUGUCCCUUUACUUGCCCAUUGAAUUUUGCAUCAAGGAUCUGAUGUGGUAGAAGAGAAGCUAACAAUUUAUGCGCUCGACAAUGUCUUUGCCUUUUGAAUUGAUUGAGAGAUCAUCAUUUCUUCACCCACUGGAAACUUUAGAUUAUGCUUUACGCUUUGGGCUUAUACUGGCAAGCCUACAAUCAUGGUAUUAAAGUUGGUAGAUUGAGGAGAUUCUGGUGAUUCCAGAAUUUUCUACAUUUUCUCUUUAUCUUUUGGAUUUUUAGAACUUUUUCCUUUCUUUUUAUUAGCUUGAUUUUGAUGGAUUUUAUUUAAUUAUAUAUGGAAGGUUAGAUGUUGUGCAUUAAUUAAAUUAUAGUCUUGAAAAAAUACUCUUUAAAAAAAUUCAUCUAGAAAUUUAGAAUUGAAAUCUGUCGAAGGCUAGACUAAAAGUUCUCUUCUCGUCUUUGGCAUUGCACUUGGUUUUAUAUUUCUCUUUACUAUGUACUCUGUUGCAAAAUAUUUUGUUUAUACUUAAUCUUUUAUAAUCCAGCAACUCUUAUGAAGACCUAGUCAACUGUCACUGCUACAUAAGCAUUCAGGUUAUGCUGCUUUAUCAUCAUUUUUAUUUUCUUCCAUUUUUCUCUUUUACAGCUUGUGAGCUUACUGCUUCAUUAUGUCAAUUUUCUGAAUGUGAUUUUUUAUUUUCUCUUGGGUUGUUUAUUCUCAUUUUCCCUUUAGUAUCAAAGCUGAUUAAAUCAAUUAGACACUGAUGAAUUUUAUUAUGAAUUUGAUUAAUUGUAAGUGGGCAAUAUAUUAAUAUGUAUUUUUUUGGCACUCAUUUUAUUGUAACCUAUGUUUCAGGUGAUGUUGGUGGCUUUCGGGAAUUUACUAAGAGUGUUUUUUUUAUGGAUUAAUUGUUUUUCUAGUGAUGUGUUGGUGAUUGGAUAUUGUAAAGGAUUUAUUAGAUAUUGUAUACGGAUUUGAUUCACCAUAUAUUUUGUGAUGCUAUUUGUUGGAAGUUUCAAGUGAUUGAAAUUUUUAGCGCAUCACACUAUUUGGUAUUUGAUAGUUUUUAUGAAUUUGAAUGUAAUUUUUAUUUCAAUUAAUUCAAGUUUUAAAUGUGGUUUUUGUUGUUUUUAUUUCAAAAUUCUGGAAUUUAAAUAAUAAUAAUUAAUAUUAUUAUAAUUUCAAAAUUAAAAAUAAUAAUUUUAUUCUUUUUUAAACUUUAAAUCUCAUGACAAAGAAUGUGAAUCAUUGAUAUAUGACAGCUUUUGAAGAAACCCAUCAAAUUCAAAAUAAUUUAAAUACCUGCUAAAAUUUCCAAUUAAUUCUCGAAAGUCUUUCAAAACGACGUCGCUUGGUUCGUGAUACAUGUGUGAUAAAUAUACAUUGUCAUGGGAACAUGUGAUAGAUAAAAUGUUGUCACAGAUUUGUGAGACGGGCUACAAUGACAGAUGGAAACUCUGUCAUAAGAGGGGUCGGAUGAUAGAUAUUCUCUGUCAUGGUAGCCCAUUUUUCUAGUAGUGUUCAAAUAGAAAAAUUAGUACGUUGUCAAUAUAAUUGUCUUAUAUAUGAUGCCAACAAUGAAACUAAACAAUCAUUCCCUUUAGCAUCCUUUUGGAAAAAUCUCUAUAACAAAUUGGAACAUUUUAAAAACUCAAAUCUUCAUAAAAAGUGGAGUGAGGAGUACCAUUAAUGAGUAAGUCCUGUGUUCGCACUUACAAAUACAAACACAAAGAUUAAAAUAAAUUUGAUCACUCACUAAUUGGAGUAUUUAUGUUAAACUUAUAGUUAUGUUUGGCCCUAAAAGUAUGCAAUAAAAUAACAUCAUUUUCAUAUACAAAAUUUUAUUUAUUCAUUGUUUAUUUUGACCGAACAUUAUUAGACUUAGUUUAUGAAGCAUGUAUUUUAUAUAUUGAUAAUUCUGCUGUACGGCCAAGGCGGAUGUACGGUACAGCAGGCCUAUCUAUCUUUUUUUGGUUUUUGUAUAUAUAUAACUCAUGAGAUUUAUAAUUUUUCAUUAUCAUGUUAACCCCUGGUCUGGACUGUCCUAAUAUUUAAACUUCUUUCCACCAUUUUCAAUUCUUAAAUUGACCAAUAUUUAUCUCAAUGUGUCCCUUUACUUGCCCAUUGAAUUUUGCAUCAAGGAUCUGAUGUGGUAGAAGAGAAGCUAACAAUUUAUGCGCUCGACAAUGUCUUUGCCUUUUGAAUUGAUUGAGAGAUCAUCAUUUCUUCACCCACUGGAAACUUUAGAUUAUGCUUUACGCUUUGGGCUUAUACUGGCAAGCCUACAAUCAUGGUAUUAAAGUUGGUAGAUUGAGGAGAUUCUGGUGAUUCCAGAAUUUUCUACAUUUUCUCUUUAUCUUUUGGAUUUUUAGAACUUUUUCCUUUCUUUUUAUUAGCUUGAUUUUGAUGGAUUUUAUUUAAUUAUAUAUGGAAGGUUAGAUGUUGUGCAUUAAUUAAAUUAUAGUCUUGAAAAAAUACUCUUUAAAAAAAUUCAUCUAGAAAUUUAGAAUUGAAAUCUGUCGAAGGCUAGACUAAAAGUUCUCUUCUCGUCUUUGGCAUUGCACUUGGUUUUAUAUUUCUCUUUACUAUGUACUCUGUUGCAAAAUAUUUUGUUUAUACUUAAUCUUUUAUAAUCCAGCAACUCUUAUGAAGACCUAGUCAACUGUCACUGCUACAUAAGCAUUCAGGUUAUGCUGCUUUAUCAUCAUUUUUAUUUUCUUCCAUUUUUCUCUUUUACAGCUUGUGAGCUUACUGCUUCAUUAUGUCAAUUUUCUGAAUGUGAUUUUUUAUUUUCUCUUGGGUUGUUUAUUCUCAUUUUCCCUUUAGUAUCAAAGCUGAUUAAAUCAAUUAGACACUGAUGAAUUUUAUUAUGAAUUUGAUUAAUUGUAAGUGGGCAAUAUAUUAAUAUGUAUUUUUUUGGCACUCAUUUUAUUGUAACCUAUGUUUCAGGUGAUGUUGGUGGCUUUCGGGAAUUUACUAAGAGUGUUUUUUUUAUGGAUUAAUUGUUUUUCUAGUGAUGUGUUGGUGAUUGGAUAUUGUAAAGGAUUUAUUAGAUAUUGUAUACGGAUUUGAUUCACCAUAUAUUUUGUGAUGCUAUUUGUUGGAAGUUUCAAGUGAUUGAAAUUUUUAGCGCAUCACACUAUUUGGUAUUUGAUAGUUUUUAUGAAUUUGAAUGUAAUUUUUAUUUCAAUUAAUUCAAGUUUUAAAUGUGGUUUUUGUUGUUUUUAUUUCAAAAUUCUGGAAUUUAAAUAAUAAUAAUUAAUAUUAUUAUAAUUUCAAAAUUAAAAAUAAUAAUUUUAUUCUUUUUUAAACUUUAAAUCUCAUGACAAAGAAUGUGAAUCAUUGAUAUAUGACAGCUUUUGAAGAAACCCAUCAAAUUCAAAAUAAUUUAAAUACCUGCUAAAAUUUCCAAUUAAUUCUCGAAAGUCUUUCAAAACGACGUCGCUUGGUUCGUGAUACAUGUGUGAUAAAUAUACAUUGUCAUGGGAACAUGUGAUAGAUAAAAUGUUGUCACAGAUUUGUGAGACGGGCUACAAUGACAGAUGGAAACUCUGUCAUAAGAGGGGUCGGAUGAUAGAUAUUCUCUGUCAUGGUAGCCCAUUUUUCUAGUAGUGUUCAAAUAGAAAAAUUAGUACGUUGUCAAUAUAAUUGUCUUAUAUAUGAUGCCAACAAUGAAACUAAACAAUCAUUCCCUUUAGCAUCCUUUUGGAAAAAUCUCUAUAACAAAUUGGAACAUUUUAAAAACUCAAAUCUUCAUAAAAAGUGGAGUGAGGAGUACCAUUAAUGAGUAAGUCCUGUGUUCGCACUUACAAAUACAAACACAAAGAUUAAAAUAAAUUUGAUCACUCACUAAUUGGAGUAUUUAUGUUAAACUUAUAGUUAUGUUUGGCCCUAAAAGUAUGCAAUAAAAUAACAUCAUUUUCAUAUACAAAAUUUUAUUUAUUCAUUGUUUAUUUUGACCGAACAUUAUUAGACUUAGUUUAUGAAGCAUGUAUUUUAUAUAUUGAUAAUUCUGCUGUACGGCCAAGGCGGAUGUACGGUACAGCAGGCCUAUCUAUCUUUUUUUGGUUUUUGUAUAUAUAUAACUCAUGAGAUUUAUAAUUUUUCAUUAUCAUGUUAACCCCUGGUCUGGACUGUCCUAAUAUUUAAACUUCUUUCCACCAUUUUCAAUUCUUAAAUUGACCAAUAUUUAUCUCAAUGUGUCCCUUUACUUGCCCAUUGAAUUUUGCAUCAAGGAUCUGAUGUGGUAGAAGAGAAGCUAACAAUUUAUGCGCUCGACAAUGUCUUUGCCUUUUGAAUUGAUUGAGAGAUCAUCAUUUCUUCACCCACUGGAAACUUUAGAUUAUGCUUUACGCUUUGGGCUUAUACUGGCAAGCCUACAAUCAUGGUAUUAAAGUUGGUAGAUUGAGGAGAUUCUGGUGAUUCCAGAAUUUUCUACAUUUUCUCUUUAUCUUUUGGAUUUUUAGAACUUUUUCCUUUCUUUUUAUUAGCUUGAUUUUGAUGGAUUUUAUUUAAUUAUAUAUGGAAGGUUAGAUGUUGUGCAUUAAUUAAAUUAUAGUCUUGAAAAAAUACUCUUUAAAAAAAUUCAUCUAGAAAUUUAGAAUUGAAAUCUGUCGAAGGCUAGACUAAAAGUUCUCUUCUCGUCUUUGGCAUUGCACUUGGUUUUAUAUUUCUCUUUACUAUGUACUCUGUUGCAAAAUAUUUUGUUUAUACUUAAUCUUUUAUAAUCCAGCAACUCUUAUGAAGACCUAGUCAACUGUCACUGCUACAUAAGCAUUCAGGUUAUGCUGCUUUAUCAUCAUUUUUAUUUUCUUCCAUUUUUCUCUUUUACAGCUUGUGAGCUUACUGCUUCAUUAUGUCAAUUUUCUGAAUGUGAUUUUUUAUUUUCUCUUGGGUUGUUUAUUCUCAUUUUCCCUUUAGUAUCAAAGCUGAUUAAAUCAAUUAGACACUGAUGAAUUUUAUUAUGAAUUUGAUUAAUUGUAAGUGGGCAAUAUAUUAAUAUGUAUUUUUUUGGCACUCAUUUUAUUGUAACCUAUGUUUCAGGUGAUGUUGGUGGCUUUCGGGAAUUUACUAAGAGUGUUUUUUUUAUGGAUUAAUUGUUUUUCUAGUGAUGUGUUGGUGAUUGGAUAUUGUAAAGGAUUUAUUAGAUAUUGUAUACGGAUUUGAUUCACCAUAUAUUUUGUGAUGCUAUUUGUUGGAAGUUUCAAGUGAUUGAAAUUUUUAGCGCAUCACACUAUUUGGUAUUUGAUAGUUUUUAUGAAUUUGAAUGUAAUUUUUAUUUCAAUUAAUUCAAGUUUUAAAUGUGGUUUUUGUUGUUUUUAUUUCAAAAUUCUGGAAUUUAAAUAAUAAUAAUUAAUAUUAUUAUAAUUUCAAAAUUAAAAAUAAUAAUUUUAUUCUUUUUUAAACUUUAAAUCUCAUGACAAAGAAUGUGAAUCAUUGAUAUAUGACAGCUUUUGAAGAAACCCAUCAAAUUCAAAAUAAUUUAAAUACCUGCUAAAAUUUCCAAUUAAUUCUCGAAAGUCUUUCAAAACGACGUCGCUUGGUUCGUGAUACAUGUGUGAUAAAUAUACAUUGUCAUGGGAACAUGUGAUAGAUAAAAUGUUGUCACAGAUUUGUGAGACGGGCUACAAUGACAGAUGGAAACUCUGUCAUAAGAGGGGUCGGAUGAUAGAUAUUCUCUGUCAUGGUAGCCCAUUUUUCUAGUAGUGUUCAAAUAGAAAAAUUAGUACGUUGUCAAUAUAAUUGUCUUAUAUAUGAUGCCAACAAUGAAACUAAACAAUCAUUCCCUUUAGCAUCCUUUUGGAAAAAUCUCUAUAACAAAUUGGAACAUUUUAAAAACUCAAAUCUUCAUAAAAAGUGGAGUGAGGAGUACCAUUAAUGAGUAAGUCCUGUGUUCGCACUUACAAAUACAAACACAAAGAUUAAAAUAAAUUUGAUCACUCACUAAUUGGAGUAUUUAUGUUAAACUUAUAGUUAUGUUUGGCCCUAAAAGUAUGCAAUAAAAUAACAUCAUUUUCAUAUACAAAAUUUUAUUUAUUCAUUGUUUAUUUUGACCGAACAUUAUUAGACUUAGUUUAUGAAGCAUGUAUUUUAUAUAUUGAUAAUUCUGCUGUACGGCCAAGGCGGAUGUACGGUACAGCAGGCCUAUCUAUCUUUUUUUGGUUUUUGUAUAUAUAUAACUCAUGAGAUUUAUAAUUUUUCAUUAUCAUGUUAACCCCUGGUCUGGACUGUCCUAAUAUUUAAACUUCUUUCCACCAUUUUCAAUUCUUAAAUUGACCAAUAUUUAUCUCAAUGUGUCCCUUUACUUGCCCAUUGAAUUUUGCAUCAAGGAUCUGAUGUGGUAGAAGAGAAGCUAACAAUUUAUGCGCUCGACAAUGUCUUUGCCUUUUGAAUUGAUUGAGAGAUCAUCAUUUCUUCACCCACUGGAAACUUUAGAUUAUGCUUUACGCUUUGGGCUUAUACUGGCAAGCCUACAAUCAUGGUAUUAAAGUUGGUAGAUUGAGGAGAUUCUGGUGAUUCCAGAAUUUUCUACAUUUUCUCUUUAUCUUUUGGAUUUUUAGAACUUUUUCCUUUCUUUUUAUUAGCUUGAUUUUGAUGGAUUUUAUUUAAUUAUAUAUGGAAGGUUAGAUGUUGUGCAUUAAUUAAAUUAUAGUCUUGAAAAAAUACUCUUUAAAAAAAUUCAUCUAGAAAUUUAGAAUUGAAAUCUGUCGAAGGCUAGACUAAAAGUUCUCUUCUCGUCUUUGGCAUUGCACUUGGUUUUAUAUUUCUCUUUACUAUGUACUCUGUUGCAAAAUAUUUUGUUUAUACUUAAUCUUUUAUAAUCCAGCAACUCUUAUGAAGACCUAGUCAACUGUCACUGCUACAUAAGCAUUCAGGUUAUGCUGCUUUAUCAUCAUUUUUAUUUUCUUCCAUUUUUCUCUUUUACAGCUUGUGAGCUUACUGCUUCAUUAUGUCAAUUUUCUGAAUGUGAUUUUUUAUUUUCUCUUGGGUUGUUUAUUCUCAUUUUCCCUUUAGUAUCAAAGCUGAUUAAAUCAAUUAGACACUGAUGAAUUUUAUUAUGAAUUUGAUUAAUUGUAAGUGGGCAAUAUAUUAAUAUGUAUUUUUUUGGCACUCAUUUUAUUGUAACCUAUGUUUCAGGUGAUGUUGGUGGCUUUCGGGAAUUUACUAAGAGUGUUUUUUUUAUGGAUUAAUUGUUUUUCUAGUGAUGUGUUGGUGAUUGGAUAUUGUAAAGGAUUUAUUAGAUAUUGUAUACGGAUUUGAUUCACCAUAUAUUUUGUGAUGCUAUUUGUUGGAAGUUUCAAGUGAUUGAAAUUUUUAGCGCAUCACACUAUUUGGUAUUUGAUAGUUUUUAUGAAUUUGAAUGUAAUUUUUAUUUCAAUUAAUUCAAGUUUUAAAUGUGGUUUUUGUUGUUUUUAUUUCAAAAUUCUGGAAUUUAAAUAAUAAUAAUUAAUAUUAUUAUAAUUUCAAAAUUAAAAAUAAUAAUUUUAUUCUUUUUUAAACUUUAAAUCUCAUGACAAAGAAUGUGAAUCAUUGAUAUAUGACAGCUUUUGAAGAAACCCAUCAAAUUCAAAAUAAUUUAAAUACCUGCUAAAAUUUCCAAUUAAUUCUCGAAAGUCUUUCAAAACGACGUCGCUUGGUUCGUGAUACAUGUGUGAUAAAUAUACAUUGUCAUGGGAACAUGUGAUAGAUAAAAUGUUGUCACAGAUUUGUGAGACGGGCUACAAUGACAGAUGGAAACUCUGUCAUAAGAGGGGUCGGAUGAUAGAUAUUCUCUGUCAUGGUAGCCCAUUUUUCUAGUAGUGUUCAAAUAGAAAAAUUAGUACGUUGUCAAUAUAAUUGUCUUAUAUAUGAUGCCAACAAUGAAACUAAACAAUCAUUCCCUUUAGCAUCCUUUUGGAAAAAUCUCUAUAACAAAUUGGAACAUUUUAAAAACUCAAAUCUUCAUAAAAAGUGGAGUGAGGAGUACCAUUAAUGAGUAAGUCCUGUGUUCGCACUUACAAAUACAAACACAAAGAUUAAAAUAAAUUUGAUCACUCACUAAUUGGAGUAUUUAUGUUAAACUUAUAGUUAUGUUUGGCCCUAAAAGUAUGCAAUAAAAUAACAUCAUUUUCAUAUACAAAAUUUUAUUUAUUCAUUGUUUAUUUUGACCGAACAUUAUUAGACUUAGUUUAUGAAGCAUGUAUUUUAUAUAUUGAUAAUUCUGCUGUACGGCCAAGGCGGAUGUACGGUACAGCAGGCCUAUCUAUCUUUUUUUGGUUUUUGUAUAUAUAUAACUCAUGAGAUUUAUAAUUUUUCAUUAUCAUGUUAACCCCUGGUCUGGACUGUCCUAAUAUUUAAACUUCUUUCCACCAUUUUCAAUUCUUAAAUUGACCAAUAUUUAUCUCAAUGUGUCCCUUUACUUGCCCAUUGAAUUUUGCAUCAAGGAUCUGAUGUGGUAGAAGAGAAGCUAACAAUUUAUGCGCUCGACAAUGUCUUUGCCUUUUGAAUUGAUUGAGAGAUCAUCAUUUCUUCACCCACUGGAAACUUUAGAUUAUGCUUUACGCUUUGGGCUUAUACUGGCAAGCCUACAAUCAUGGUAUUAAAGUUGGUAGAUUGAGGAGAUUCUGGUGAUUCCAGAAUUUUCUACAUUUUCUCUUUAUCUUUUGGAUUUUUAGAACUUUUUCCUUUCUUUUUAUUAGCUUGAUUUUGAUGGAUUUUAUUUAAUUAUAUAUGGAAGGUUAGAUGUUGUGCAUUAAUUAAAUUAUAGUCUUGAAAAAAUACUCUUUAAAAAAAUUCAUCUAGAAAUUUAGAAUUGAAAUCUGUCGAAGGCUAGACUAAAAGUUCUCUUCUCGUCUUUGGCAUUGCACUUGGUUUUAUAUUUCUCUUUACUAUGUACUCUGUUGCAAAAUAUUUUGUUUAUACUUAAUCUUUUAUAAUCCAGCAACUCUUAUGAAGACCUAGUCAACUGUCACUGCUACAUAAGCAUUCAGGUUAUGCUGCUUUAUCAUCAUUUUUAUUUUCUUCCAUUUUUCUCUUUUACAGCUUGUGAGCUUACUGCUUCAUUAUGUCAAUUUUCUGAAUGUGAUUUUUUAUUUUCUCUUGGGUUGUUUAUUCUCAUUUUCCCUUUAGUAUCAAAGCUGAUUAAAUCAAUUAGACACUGAUGAAUUUUAUUAUGAAUUUGAUUAAUUGUAAGUGGGCAAUAUAUUAAUAUGUAUUUUUUUGGCACUCAUUUUAUUGUAACCUAUGUUUCAGGUGAUGUUGGUGGCUUUCGGGAAUUUACUAAGAGUGUUUUUUUUAUGGAUUAAUUGUUUUUCUAGUGAUGUGUUGGUGAUUGGAUAUUGUAAAGGAUUUAUUAGAUAUUGUAUACGGAUUUGAUUCACCAUAUAUUUUGUGAUGCUAUUUGUUGGAAGUUUCAAGUGAUUGAAAUUUUUAGCGCAUCACACUAUUUGGUAUUUGAUAGUUUUUAUGAAUUUGAAUGUAAUUUUUAUUUCAAUUAAUUCAAGUUUUAAAUGUGGUUUUUGUUGUUUUUAUUUCAAAAUUCUGGAAUUUAAAUAAUAAUAAUUAAUAUUAUUAUAAUUUCAAAAUUAAAAAUAAUAAUUUUAUUCUUUUUUAAACUUUAAAUCUCAUGACAAAGAAUGUGAAUCAUUGAUAUAUGACAGCUUUUGAAGAAACCCAUCAAAUUCAAAAUAAUUUAAAUACCUGCUAAAAUUUCCAAUUAAUUCUCGAAAGUCUUUCAAAACGACGUCGCUUGGUUCGUGAUACAUGUGUGAUAAAUAUACAUUGUCAUGGGAACAUGUGAUAGAUAAAAUGUUGUCACAGAUUUGUGAGACGGGCUACAAUGACAGAUGGAAACUCUGUCAUAAGAGGGGUCGGAUGAUAGAUAUUCUCUGUCAUGGUAGCCCAUUUUUCUAGUAGUGUUCAAAUAGAAAAAUUAGUACGUUGUCAAUAUAAUUGUCUUAUAUAUGAUGCCAACAAUGAAACUAAACAAUCAUUCCCUUUAGCAUCCUUUUGGAAAAAUCUCUAUAACAAAUUGGAACAUUUUAAAAACUCAAAUCUUCAUAAAAAGUGGAGUGAGGAGUACCAUUAAUGAGUAAGUCCUGUGUUCGCACUUACAAAUACAAACACAAAGAUUAAAAUAAAUUUGAUCACUCACUAAUUGGAGUAUUUAUGUUAAACUUAUAGUUAUGUUUGGCCCUAAAAGUAUGCAAUAAAAUAACAUCAUUUUCAUAUACAAAAUUUUAUUUAUUCAUUGUUUAUUUUGACCGAACAUUAUUAGACUUAGUUUAUGAAGCAUGUAUUUUAUAUAUUGAUAAUUAAUUUCAUUUCAAUAUUGGAUGAUAUAAAUCACAAAUUUUUUAUGAAUAAAAAAUUGUACAUAGUCAUUAAUGAAUUGGACAUGUCAUUAUGUACGUAAUUUUAUACUUUUCCUAUCUCUACAAUGAGUGAUUUUUUCUUGAUCGCUAAAUUGGAGAUUUCAAGUAGAAAAGUUAAUUUGUUGUCAAUAUAAUAGUAAUACAUAUGAUGCCAACAAUGAAACAUAACAAUCAUUUCCUUUGUCAUCCUUAUAGAAAAAUCUCUAUAAUAAACUGGAACAUUUAAAAUCUUAAGUGUUUAUAAAAUAUGGAGUGAGGACCAUUAACGAAUAAGUCAUGUUCAUAUUUACAAAAACAAGCACAGAAGCACAAACACAAAAAUUGAAAUAAAUGUGAGAACAGAUAACUAUUUUUGAAAUAAUGCCCAUUACGAGCAUUACUGGUCUUUAUUGUUUGUAACCGCUACUUGAAACGCCUUUAGUGCUGCAACUAUUUGCUACUUUCUUGAAAUCCCAUCUUCGCACCAAACCAAUCUUCAAACCCGGCUAAUAAUUACUUCAUUUUAGAGCAAUUCGGAAGUCUUGUCACAAAUUUUCACCCCGAUAAGUCAGGGGUUUACUUGAUACAAAUAAAUAAACUAUUUCUUUCCGUAAGAAAUUGGUGUAAAAUCGAUUAUCCAGAUGUUAUUAUCCCAAUUUAUGAAUCUUAAUUUUCAUGAUGAGAAAUUAUGCCCCUAUUAACCAUACAAAAUAAAUUUUAAAAAUAAAAUAAAAUAAAAUAAAACCAUACAGAGUAUACAAAAAGAGAGCGGUUAAUAUUUAUUAUUAUUGUUGAAAUAAUUUAUUGAAAUUCACCUAGUGUCUGUUUAAUCUUUAUAUUUUAAAAAAUAACUCAAGACACCCUUACCGUUGAAUAUGUUACACUUAUAUCCUUACUUUUUCUUUUAAUUUAUAAUAAUAUUCUUACAACAUUAUUCUUGAGAAUAUUAAUAAAAAAUAAUUUAUUAUAUUAAACUUAAAAGUAACAUAAAAAUUAACACAAAUUUUUAUAUUAUUAUUUUACUUUUGUUAUUUCACGACUUUAUAUCGUAUUAGAAAAGUUUAAGUAACUAGUUUUGCUCCUUGUGGCUAGCUGUUAUUGGCAGCUGGAGCAUGUAAUCUUAAACCCAAUAACUUUAAGAGGAAAAUGUUAAUAAGUAUAAUUAUCACAAAGAAAUCAAAAAUAUAAAAAGUAUAAAAAUCAAAUAAUCUAAAAAUAAAAUUCCACUAUAAAAGAAAAACAAAACUAACAUUACACGAAGGAAAAUGGUCGUUAGUUUCCUGAAUACUUCAAUUAACUUCCUUAAGUUUGUUCCUGCUCCUUUAGUUUGCUGAGACAUACUGCAGUAAAUGAUGACUUUGAACGACUUGUCACUUUCUUCAGGAAAUUAAGGAAUUUGCCCAAAAUUGAAAAGUAAAGUCAUCUCUAACAAAGUUCGAAAAAGUUUCUCAAAACUCACUAACCUCGCUUCCAAUUCCUUCAUUGAUUCGCAUAUAUUCUCUGUUUUUCUUCUAUUAGUUUCUGUUAGGAAUUUUAGCAAACAUUUGAUAUGGAUAACACAAUUAAAAUAAUAGAACAAAGAAUUUCGAUUCCUAAUUUAACUGAAAAAAAAAAUCUGAAUUUCACUUAAUACAAUCACAACUAAAGUAAUCAAAAUUAAAUUAGCUGAGUUAAAAAAUGCAUGCCAUCUUCUCAUUGUUAUCAACCUGCAACUCAAUAUCGAAAAACACCGAACGUGACCCUCUGUUAGCCUUAUGCCUCUUGUCCCCUCCCUCUCCAUAGCCUAACAUCUUCCAUGUGCUUCCUAUUGGUUUUUUACCCAAUAAGUAAAAAAAGAAGGAAAAAAAAAGUUCAAAUAUUUAGCGCGAUUGAGAUUAGAACUGAUCAAGUUCUAUUCAUCUUCCUAGGACGAGAUGAAUGCUGCUCGUCCAGUCUUCCUUAGCAUUUUGCAGCUUCACACCAACAUUUUUUGACUUGGAUUUCUUGAACUGAUCAAGUUGCAGGAAAAUAAUAAUAAUAAUAAUAAAGAUUUGAAAUAGAGAGGCAAAGCUAAACGAGAAAAAGACUUGAGAACUUUAUUUAUUUAUUUAUUUUUGUAUUAGUUUGUUUAGGGUUUUAAUUCUGCUUCAUUUUUUUUUCUGUUAUAUAAAAACUUAGCAUGUUAAUAACUGAAUAUUUUAGAAGUGAGAAAACUAAAAUUAAAAAAAUGAAAAACGUAAAUUAAAUUUCCAGAGAAUUUUUUAAUUAAAUUUUAAAAAAGAAAAAAAUAAAAAAGAAGAACAGUUUCAGUUCUUUUGUAAAUAAUAAAAAAUCAAAAUUAAAUUUUAAUGAAAUAGAAGCUUUAACAAGUUAAAAAAUAUUUAUAAGUCAAGACAAAACUAUAUGCUAUAAUUUUUUAGUUUACUAACUAUAUCUAAUUAUCCAGAACAAUUUAUCAUGAAAGUUGAGGGGCACAGGUUCAAGUUCUACCGCUAUCUAAAAGUUGGUGUUAAGACUUUAGUUUUCCUCUUAUUAAUAGGUAAGGGGAAAUUAAGACUUUAAAUUAUCUCCUAUUAAUAGGCAAGCGUUAAAAGGAGAAUUUAAAAAAAAAAUCUGUGCAAAAAAGUGAAGUCUCUAAAUUAUUAAAAACUAGAGUAAAUAGGAGAAUUAAAAAAAAAAUCCUUAAAAAAAGUGAAGUCUCUAAAUUAUUGAAAACUAAAAGCGUUUGCGAGACUAAUACUUGUGUCUCAAAUUAUUGAACAAAUUUACACAAUUCUUUUAGCUACAAAAUAUUAAUGUCACUGACGACUACAUUUUGUUACACAUAUUUGUUGUUAUAAGAGAUGAUAAACUAUCCAAGAAUGUUAAAAUUUGCAGGAAUUUAUUAGUGCUAAAAAUACGAUGUCUCUGCAUAACGAAUGUCAUUAUGUUCACCAAAAGAAUAAGAAUCAAAUAGCAAAUAAAUGUGUUUUAAAAACAAAAUAACUUGGUCAAAAAGUACAGUAAUAACUAAAACAAAAUAUUCAAUUACUAUUUUUAAGAUUUUGUCGCUAUAGAAUUAUUUGUGACAAAAAAUUUGGGUGCCUAAUUUAGAGAAAGCCAAAAUAAUUUUGGAGACUAAUAUUUUUGUCAUAGCUUGUUUCACCAAAUUUAUACUCUUUUUUAGUUGAUAAUUUUUUGUCGCCUCUAAUUAUUUUUCAUCAUCACAUUUUUUUGUCACAACUGAUAAUUAAUUGUUUGGAGGAAUUGUUUUUCACUAUAUAUAUAUUAUGACCAAUGUAAUAUUUGUCACAAAAAGUUGAAUCAAUGACCAAUUAAUGCAUCCCAAAAUAAGAAUUAUUGGUUAGAAAAUAUAAUAUAAAUUAGAACUAGACUAAUAGUUUGAAAUUGUUGUAAAAAAAUCGUCUUAAAAAGUCAAAUUUCUUAUACUACACAUUGAUAUAUAUUGAUUAAUUUGUUAAUUAAUUUUUUAUUUAUAGAUAAAUUAAUUAAUGUUACGAAUAUCGUUGAAAGAGUAUUAUUAUAAAAAAAAAGAAAAAAAGGAUAAGAAUGUAACAUAUUUAACUGAAGAGGUGUUUUGAGAUAUUUUUUAAAAUAUAAAACUAAACAAACAUUUAACUCAUAAUAUAGGAAUUAAAUAAUCAUUUAUCUUUAUUUUGUAGAUAACUAGUUUUGCUGGAAACUCCCAUAUAUACAACAGAUUUGGAAACACAAUACGCCACUCACAGUCACUUGGAGAAAUUCUCAAAGAGUAAAUAUGGCAGUGAUACUCAAAAAUAUAUUCCGAAUCACUGCUUCCAAGUUGGUCACCAAUAAUAUCCAAAUCUUCACGAAAAGAAGUAUAAAAACUGCCACUUCUGAUGUUCAAAUCAUUUCCACCGAAGCAAUCAAACCUCAUCUCCAACACCAAAACAUCUCAGAACCUAUAAGCUUUCAUUGCCUGAUCAAUUGUGUUCUAAACUUUACGUGUCCCUUGUUUUCUUCUACUCGACCAAUUGCAAACAGCAAGAUCUCAGAAAAAAAUCCGAUUUGUUGAAGCAGUCUCUCGCAAAAUCAUUAACGCACUACUACCCUUUUGCUGGACGAUUGAUUGAUAGCUUUUCAGUCGACUGCAAUGACCAUGGGGCUGCAUUUACUGGGGCUGCAAUUGUUGGCUGUGAUAUAUCAAAGUUUCUUCAACCACCAGAUAUGGAGCUGCUACUACAAUUAAUCCCACCUAGUCCCCAGUUAUCGAAUUUAGAUAUUUCUGAAAGAGAACUUUUGGCAGUCCAAGUAAAUUUGUUCAGCGGCGGUGAAAUGGCAAUUGGUGUUUGUUUUUCGCAUGGAGUGGCCGAUGGUUCAGCAAUAUUUAACUUCAUGAAAACGUCGGGCGAAAUCACUCGUGGGGUGAUUAAUGAUAAUGAUAAUAUUUUCAAUAACAAUGUCGUUUUAGAUUGCACUUCUUUGUUUCCGCCGGUAAAUUUUCCGAAGCCGUAUCAAAUCGUCACAAGCCCACAAUCUUCAGGCAACAUUGUAUUCAAAAGAUUGUUGUUUGAUAGCAAGAAGAUAGCAGCUCUAAAGGAGAAGAUGAAUAAAGAGCUAAUGGGUAAUAAUUUUGAUGAUAGGUUACAAGCAACACGAUUCGGGGUUGCAUCAGCACUCAUUUGGGGUGCCUUCAUUGCUAUUGCUGGGGAAAGAAAGAGGGAAAUUCAUAACAAGUUGUAUUCUCAUGCUAUGUAUUAUACUAUGAAUGUGCGUAACAAGACGAAUCCACCGAUGAUUCCACGGUGCAGGGGUAACAUUUUUUGGUUUGCAAGGGCAGAAUGGUCACUAGCCGAGAAUGAUGCCAUAAAGGUAGCAAGUUUAGUAAGAGAAGUGAUCAAAGCAAAGAGAAUGGGAGGAGAAGUGAUGCAUAGUAAUGAGCACUUAGGUUUCAUAAAGGAUAUGGAAGAAACAUGGGAGGAUUCAAGGUCGUUUGUUUUAACUAGUGUGGUUGGAUUGCCUUGUUAUGAAGUUGAUUUUGGCUGGGGGAAGCCUGUUUGGUUCAGUGUCGGGCCCUUCUUAUUACUUGAUUUUGCAAUUUUAUCAAGCUCAAGCGAUGGUGAAGGAAUAGAAGCAUGGGUGGUAAUGUUUAAGGAGGACAUGGAUAAAUUUGAACAAGAACCUAGCAUCAAGGCUUAUGCUUCCUCUAACCCUAGCAUAUUUAUAGGGAAGUAGGAAGUUAAUUUUAUGUAUGUUGCUUUGAAUAAAAGAGUUUUUUUUCCUAAAUAGAGUAAUGAUGAUAUGCUUAUAAAGUUAAAAAUAUGUUUGUUUUACAAUAAUUAUAUCUUGUUAUUGUCAUAUGUCUCUUUAAAUAAAAUCAUGUUAUGAAUGCAUACUUUCUUUCUUUCGAUCAAUGAAACCCACCAACCAUUUUGAUGGUUAUUUUGGACAACGAGAAGGGGAGGAGGAAAAAAAAAUAAAAAUGAAUGUGAUGUAGUUAUUUUGGAUAAGCAUAGCUUCAUAUAGAUGAUUUCGAUAAAUAAAAAAUGUGAAUCAAUUCUGAAUUUGCCAAAUAAAAUGUAUGUGAUGUAGUUUUUUAUCAAGGCAACCAGCAUCUGUGACCAUUGUGUGUUAAAUCUUAAUGGGCACUGAGCCCAUUUGUGAAUAACCGUAAGAACCAUGCUAUUUCCCUCUCCCAGUCCUCACAUUGCCUCUGAAAAGGCAGUGGCUAUUCACCCAACGUUAUUUCUUAUUAAUAAUCCCCACUUUUAUUCCACUGCAAGCAAUUUAAGGAAUCAUAUCGUAUCCAAUUCCUUGCAGAAUUAAAAUUUUCUUUAUCUACUGAGUAUCCAAAUCCUUGAAGAACUAACUAUUUUCUUUCUUUGUACAACUUCUUUUAUCAGUUACAUUAAUUGGUUUAUUAGUUAAAAAAUAAUAAUAAUAAUCACGUGAUCUGCUAAUCUAUUUCCAGAAAAUAAUUCAUUUGUUUUCGAAAAAUAAAUUGAACAAGUACUUAAUAUCGUAAAGGGUGUUAUUGUUUUAAAGGGUAGUUACUGGCAAUCGCGCUCUACUGCCGAUAGCUGAAGACUAAUUAUAAUGUCAUAAUUGAAACCAAGAAAAGCCUUCAAGUCCGCACGAACGUCUAGGAAAGGAGGACACGCGUCCUUUUGUAGAGCAGCGACUGUAUCAGACACUCCCAAAGGCCCAAAGGCAACUGGAACUGAUCUAGCACAACUCAUGAUAAAAGUACAAAAUAUUGUAUAAUUUUUUUAUGGGGCAGGUUCAAUAAGGUUUGAGAAGACAAAAAUAUAAACACAAUUUUUUACAAUAAUUUUGAGUCAUUAGAUUAAACAAAAAAUGAAUGGUUACAAUUAAAUGACGUGAUUGUAUUAAUAUCAGUAAUAAUUUUUUUUCUCUCUUUUCUCAUUAAUACUCUAUUCUCUCUCAUCCUUCUACUGAAUUUGUUAUCUCUCUCCCCUAGUUCUCCACCUCCUACGAAGAAAAACCAAGAGCAAUUGCAAAUAAUUGAAUAACUUUUUCUUUCCAAAUGACAAAUCAUUUAUCCAGAGAGCUCCUUCAUGAAUGUGAAGCAUACGGAAAUCAUUCAAAUCUGAGUACAUUUAGCUAUAAGCAAGUUUCCUUAGUGCUACGAGAAUCCACCAUUAAUGCAUUUGUGACGGAGCAGGUGUAGCGGAAGUAGAAUUGAUAGGGUCGAUAAUAUUAGAUAUCGUUCUAAUAUUGUACAUCGAAGCGUGAUUAGUUCUUAUUUUAAUUAAAAAAAACUCAGUGAGAUUUUAAUAAUGCGUAAAGUGAGAUUAGAUGAUAUUCUAAUUCAAACAACUCUAUAAGAGAGUUUUUUUUUUUUUAUAGAUAAUCCCAAUAGAAAAAAGGGAUUUUAUUGAAUAAUUGAAGUUGAAGUUAUCAAAGCAAUAACAAGACCUCCCUAUUUAUAAUAGAGAAAGCCUACUUCUCUAAAUUAACUUAAAAAUGAAAACUAAAUCACAAUUAUAAUAGAAAUAAAAGAUUAAGAUACAUACCUUAAUUGAUUCUAAUUAUAGAAAAUCCUAAAAUAAUAAAAUUCUUGAAUCCUAAAAUAACAUGCUAUGUCAGUCUCACCCUCUUAAAAGAAAAUCGUCCUCAAGUUUGAAUACAAUCUGAGGAUGAAACUUGUAAUGUAAGACCAAAUCAUCUUGUAAUUUGAACCUAUAGUCUUUGUCAUCAAUCUUUGUCGAAACUUUGAAGGAUUUAUACUUCAUCAAUUUCCUUUGCUUAUACAUUCUUCGAGGCGAUGAAGACUUCAAGAGCGAACAAUGAUCAAAUAACUCUUAACCUUCCCUAUUUGUCGCUCAAUAUGCUUUCCAACAAAUUUUACCUUUCAAAUUAAAUCUUUGCAAACACAACCUUCUUGUCCAUAAUGUAAAUCCGUAGAACCAUUUCGAUCAUUGCAGUUUCUUCAACUUGAUUUUACUACACAACCUCGAUCGUAUUGUUAGGCUUAAUGCUCAAAUCAAGAGUAGGUUGUACUUCUUCUUUAAUAAUAUCUUCAUCUUAGAAAUUGUCUUUUCUUCCGGCAUCUCACACGAGUCUUCUUCCUUAACGACAGGUGGAAAUCAUUGGUACAUCUUUAGGCAUUCUCAUAGAGACACCAUUUUUUGAUUUAAUCUUUGGUUUCUUCAAUUCUUUAAUCACGUCAUUAAAGCUUCUUUUACACUGUGUCUCGAUUUGUGACUUGAUUUGUGUGCUAAAUAAAUUGCAUGUUAUAAAGUGUAGAUAGUGUAUGUAGGCAUCUUAUUUUGAAUUGAAAAGCUUAGCCCCCUAAAAGACCUUGUAAUUAUAUCCUCUUCAAGUUUAUAAUAAUAUUUGCAUCCAUAAAAUUAUUUAAACUCAUAAGCAUAAAAUCAGAUCGCAAAAUAUGCUUCAUAUGGUUCCAUGAUCAAAUUUUGCAUUUGCCUCGGUCAAGUCAAGAAUAUUACAAUUGUUCCCACCAUUCUGAAACACUAAAUCUCAAUUUACAAACAGUAAAUGAAAUUUGUUUUUCUUUAGGAGUACGCAAAACUACAAACCAAUGUUCAACCUUGUCCAACCAACCAAGAAAUUUCUCAGGACGAGUGUGUGCAAAUAAGUCCGACACAUGAUAAAUAGAAGGUAUGGACAAUAGUUUGCCAUUAAUUAUCAAGUUUCCAGACAAUUUCAAAACUCUAAAUAAUGCUCAACUCUUGCAUUUGGUGUCGUUGGCGGUUGGUUGCCAUGUUUUGGACGAGGGGCGUUGGAUCUAGAACAGACAAUAGCUCGGAGCAAGUUCAUGUCGGCUGUGACAAUCAACUUGUGUCAAUUUGAUCGAAAAAGUAACUUGAAGCAAUGGCGACUUAUAGUAAGUGUGGCUGUGAUUCAUGGCGGUUUAUAGCGGAGUUGGCUGUGAUUUGGCUGGUGGUGGUUGGUGAAAGAAAUUCUAUGAAGAGUAUAAUUCUUGUUCUGUAAUUUUAAUGAAUUUUACAGAGUUAUUUAUACAAAAUAAAGACAAAGUAACUGUUGAAAGGCUUAAUAAUAUUAAAGGAAAAUAAGUAACUUCCUAAACUAUUGCACAAUAUCUUUAUAAAAUAGGAAUGAAAUAUUCCUACAUGAUAUUGGCAUUCAAGUGUAAAAAUCGUGCUGGAGAUAUUCCUUGACAAAUAGCUUUGACGUGAGCAAGCUGUGUGGAGUGAUAAACCCUUUGUUGACUUGACCGUUGAUGACUUUCCUUUUGGUAAUCUUGGUCAGCUUGCUUAACAUCCCCCCUCAAGCUGGCAAGUGACAUUUGAUGAACGCCAAGCUUGUAUCUGAAAUCGCGGAACAUGGCUUUUGACAAAGCCUUAGUAAAAACGUCUGCAAUUUGUAACGAAUAAGGGACAAACCUCGUAACCAAGGCACCAUCAGCAACCUUUUCUCUAAUGAAGUGAUAAUCUAAUUCAAUAUGCUUCGAGCGAGCAUGAACUUCGUAACCAAGGCACCAUCAGCAACCUUUUCUCUAAUGAAGUGAUAAUCUAAUUCAAUAUGCUUCGAGCGAGCAUGAAAGACUGGGUUAAUAGUCAUAUACAAGGCACUUAAAUUAUCACUUAAAAUUUGUGGAGGUUGAGCAAGAGGAAUGCCAAUUUCUCGGUACAGGUAUGUGAUCCAUGUGAGUUCUGCUGCUGUAGAAGCAAGGGCUCGGUACUCAGCUUCAGCACUGGAUCUAGAGACAGUUGGCUGUCGUUUUGAAGACCAUGAGAUGCAAUUUGCACCCAUAUAGACACAAUAUCCCGUGGUACUUCUCCGAGUGUCUGGACAGCCUCCCCAAUCAGCAUCACAAAAGGCAGUAAUAUUAAGAGAGCUUUGUUGGAGAAAUCUGAUCCCAUAAUCCAAGCUCCCUUUUAAGUACCUGAGAAUACGUUUAACAGCACGUAAAUUAGCCUCAGUGGGUGUUUGAAAAUGUUGACAUACCUUAUUGACUGCGUGAACGAUGUCCGGCCUUGUUAGAGUGAGAUAUUGGAGCCCUCCAACUAAUCGUCUAUAUUCGGUUGCAUUGACGGGCUUGUGAUCAAUGGGGUUGGCUUGUUCUUUGAUGGCCAUAGGAGUUGACAAACUAGUGCUUUCUAGCAUCUUUGCUUUGGUCAGUAAGUCUUUGGUGUAUUUGGUUUGAGAAACAUAAAUACCUCCAGAGAAAUACCGAAUCUCAAGUCCUAAGAAGAAAUGGAGCUGUCCCAAAUCCUUUAAAGCAAACUCAAUGCUUAGUUGAUGAAUAAGUUGGUCAAUUAAAAAAGUAUUGUUGCCUGUCACCACUAUAUCAUCAACAUAAAUUAGCAUUAGGAUUAAUGAGUCAUUAUUAUGAAAUAUAAAUAAGGAAGAGUCGGCUUUACUGCAUAUGAAACCCAAUUGAAGUAAAUAAUGAGAAAGCCUAUCAAACCAAGCACGGGGUGCUUGUUUAAGACCAUACAAGGACUUGUUAAGCUUACACACAUAAUCAGGAUAUAAAGGAUUAGAGAAACCAGGAGGUUGUUCCAUAAAAAUAGUUUCUUUUAAAAAACCAUGUAAAAAAGCAUUUUUAACAUCAAGUUGUCUCAUGGUCCAAUUUAAUGUUACAGCAAGAGAAAAAAUUAACCGAAUUGUGGUAGGUUUAAUCACAGGACUAAAGGUUUCUUCGAAAUCCAAACCUGGAAUUUGUGUGUAUCCUUGUGCUACAAGACGCGCCUUGUAUUUGUCUAUGGACCCAUCUUCCUUAAACUUAGUUCGAUACACCCAUUUUGAUCCCACUAUGUUUGUAUUCACUGGCCUUGGUACCAAACUCCAUGUAUUAUUCUGAUGGAGAGCAUCAAGCUCUUCUAACAUAGCUGUGCGCCAAUGAGGUUGUCGAAUGGCGGUUUUGAAGUGUUUUGGCUCUAUUGUUGUAGUAAGAGCCAUUUUAUCAACCAACUCAGGGUGAUGACGCAACUUGUGUCUAGUUAUCAUUUGAUGAGUGUUGCUUGUUUCUGGCUCUUUUGGAAUACGAAGAUCUACAAAUAUAUCAAUGCCUUUAGUUGACUGAGGAGUAUUAGUUUCUAACUCCAAAUGAGUGCUGCCAGUUCCUAUAUUGUUCUCUGACUCUUGCUCAAUUAAAGUGAUAUCAAAUUCUUCAAAUGAUGCUGAGCUAGGGCUUAAGCUGGCUUGAUUAUCUGUAGAGGCUGAAUCGGUGUGGAUGACUAUAUCAUGAAUUUCACGUGGGACUUGUUGGCUUGUGUCCAAGUCAUGCAUGUUUGAGUUCAUUGUGUUUUGAAGACCUAUAGAGUUUGGAUUUGCAUGAGCAACUUGUUGUUGGUUUACGUGAAACUCAUGCUGGGCUUGCUGAAAUGGGGAGCUAUUUUCNNNNNNNNNNNNNNNNNNNNNNNNNNNNNNNNNNNNNNNNNNNNNNNNNNNNNNNNNNNNNNNNNNNNNNNNNNNNNNNNNNNNNNNNNNNNNNNNNNNNNNNNNNNNNNNNNNNNNNNNNNNNNNNNNNNNNNNNNNNNNNNNNNNNNNNNNNNNNNNNNNNNNNNNNNNNNNNNNNNNNNNNNNNNNNNNNNNNNNNNNNNNNNNNNNNNNNNNNNNNNNNNNNNNNNNNNNNNNNNNNNNNNNNNNNNNNNNNNNNNNNNNNNNNNNNNNNNNNNNNNNNNNNNNNNNNNNNNNNNNNNNNNNNNNNNNNNNNNNNNNNNNNNNNNNNNNNNNNNNNNNNNNNNNNNNNNNNNNNNNNNNNNNNNNNNNNNNNNNNNNNNNNNNNNNNNNNNNNNNNNNNNNNNNNNNNNNNNNNNNNNNNNNNNNNNNNNNNNNNNNNNNNNNNNNNNNNNNNNNNNNNNNNNNNNNNNNNNNNNNNNNNNNNNNNNNNNNNNNNNNNNNNNNNNNNNNNNNNNNNNNNNNNNNNNNNNNNNNNNNNNNNNNNNNNNNNNNNNNNNNNNNNNNNNNNNNNNNNNNNNNNNNNNNNNNNNNNNNNNNNNNNNNNNNNNNNNNNNNNNNNNNNNNNNNNNNNNNNNNNNNNNNNNNNNNNNNNNNNNNNNNNNNNNNNNNNNNNNNNNNNNNNNNNNNNNNNNNNNNNNNNNNNNNNNNNNNNNNNNNNNNNNNNNNNNNNNNNNNNNNNNNNNNNNNNNNNNNNNNNNNNNNNNNNNNNNNNNNNNNNNNNNNNNNNNNNNNNNNNNNNNNNNNNNNNNNNNNNNNNNNNNNNNNNNNNNNNNNNNNNNNNNNNNNNNNNNNNNNNNNNNNNNNNNNNNNNNNNNNNNNNNNNNNNNNNNNNNNNNNNNNNNNNNNNNNNNNNNNNNNNNNNNNNNNNNNNNNNNNNNNNNNNNNNNNNNNNNNNNNNNNNNNNNNNNNNNNNNNNNNNNNNNNNNNNNNNNNNNNNNNNNNNNNNNNNNNNNNNNNNNNNNNNNNNNNNNNNNNNNNNNNNNNNNNNNNNNNNNNNNNNNNNNNNNNNNNNNNNNNNNNNNNNNNNNNNNNNNNNNNNNNNNNNNNNNNNNNNNNNNNNNNNNNNNNNNNNNNNNNNNNNNNNNNNNNNNNNNNNNNNNNNNNNNNNNNNNNNNNNNNNNNNNNNNNNNNNNNNNNNNNNNNNNNNNNNNNNNNNNNNNNNNNNNNNNNNNNNNNNNNNNNNNNNNNNNNNNNNNNNNNNNNNNNNNNNNNNNNNNNNNNNNNNNNNNNNNNNNNNNNNNNNNNNNNNNNNNNNNNNNNNNNNNNNNNNNNNNNNNNNNNNNNNNNNNNNNNNNNNNNNNNNNNNNNNNNNNNNNNNNNNNNNNNNNNNNNNNNNNNNNNNNNNNNNNNNNNNNNNNNNNNNNNNNNNNNNNNNNNNNNNNNNNNNNNNNNNNNNNNNNNNNNNNNNNNNNNUGUAAUCAAAAUUUAUACCAAAAAGUUUGUAAAAGGGAGUCUUCAUAUUUAAAGUGGACGAAGGUAGCUUAUUAAUAACAUAAACAGCAGUAGAAAAAGCAUCAACCCAAUAUUGUAAUGGCAUAUUUGCAUGAAAGAGCAUUGUCAAACCUGUUUCUAUAAUAUGUCGGUGUUUCCUUUCGGCAACACUAUUUUGUUCAGGAGUUGCAGGACAUGACAAUUGAUGUUGUAUUCCACAUUGACUGAGAUGACUUUGAAAUUCAUUUGAUAUGAAUUCACCUCCUCCAUCACUUUGAAAUAAUUUUAUCCUCUUGUCGAAUCGAUUUUCAACCUGUUUCUGAAACUUGAUAAAAACAUCAAAUAAAUCUGAUUUAUUUUUCAAAGGGUAUAGCCAUGUAUAACGUGUGCAGUCAUCAACAAAGAUAGCAUAAUAUCUAAAACUUUGAACAGAAGAAAUAGGAGCAGGACCCCACAAGUCGCAGUGAAUUUUAUGUAAAGGAACGCUGGAAAUUUUAUUGGAAAAAUUAAAAGGAAGUUUGCAGUUCUUUCCCAUUUGACAACUGGAACAUACAUAAUCUUUCGUAAUCCAAUUUGAAACAUCAAUAAGUUUGUUUUUAUUCAAAAACUUAAUGGACUUGAUUUGGGGGUGUCCCAUUCUUUGAUGCCAUAUGUUGUAAGGUGCUUUCCUGCCUUCAGAUAAGUAUAGGGCUGCAUGAUGUCCUUCAUCUAAAGCAUAAAGCCCUUUUGUCUUAGUUCCCUUUGCCAAGAUGUUUCCCUGAUAAUCCUUAACAACAAACUUGUUAGAUGAAAACUCAAUAAUGCAUGAAUUAUCAUGUGUGAGCUGCUCUACCGAAAGUAAAUUAUUUUUCAAGCCUGGAACCACAAGCACAUUUUUUAAAUAUAGUUUACUAAUGCCAGUGUCUAUGGAGGUGUUUCCUAUAUGUGAAAUAUUAAGACAAUCGCCAUUUCCAACAACAAUGGCAUCAUUCCCUUCAUAAGGUUUAAGUUCAGAAAUUUUACCUGGAUCAUUGACCAUAUGGGUAGUUGCUCCUGAGUCAGCAUAUCCGUCAACAUUCAAUGGCUGUAUGUUUCGGUAAAUGACAAAUUUGACAUAUGACAGUUUCUUCAUUGACUUCCUCAGCUUGUUGUUUGGAUUGAUUCUGAAUUUUCUGCCAAGGCUGUCCAGAAUUAUUUUGCCGAGGUUGCUGCCACUGUUGUCCCGAAUUUCCUUGCCAUGAUUGUUGCCCUUGUUGACUUGGAUUAUUGUUUGAUUUUUGCCAUGACUGACUUGCAUUAUUAUUCCAACUUUUUCCACCAUUGUAGUUGAUUUUUUGACCACUUGAAUCAGCCAAAUUUUGUCCUCCUGCUGCUGUAAAACCACGACCUUUUGAGUUAAAGAAACCUCCAUUUCCACGACCUUUUCCCUUGCCUCGUUGGCUAAAAAAGGCUUGAGCCAGAUUGAUUGUAUUCUUCUUUUCUUCUUCAAAAUUAAUAAGAGUUUGUUCAUGAUUUUCGAGGGCCAUGACAAACUGCUUAAAUGAGGGAUAAGGUGGUUUUGAAAGUUGAGCAAGUUUGAAGUCUUGAUACCUGUAGCCAAGACCUCUUGCAAGACCAAAGACUUUAUCUAAGUCAUUCACUGGUUUAUUUAUUGCAGCCAAACAAUCACAAAUAUGCUUGUAUUUGCGCACAUACUCUUCAACUGAUAGAGAUCCCUUUUUAAACCGAGAGAAUUACUAUAUUUACACAAUUAACCUUGGCUAGAAUUAAUUGUGCAGAUUGGAUGAUAACUAGAGAAUAGAAAUGAAGAAAAGGAAGCACACAACACCGAGAAGAGUAAUAAUUAAUGCUGCCAUUGACGAAAUGUUUUAUAUUACUCUUCUUUCUUGGUAUUUAUUUAUUUACAAUUUUUAAUGUAAAUGUACAGUUGUUGGGCUAAUAUCUUAUUUACUUUUGAACGUAUUAGAUGCCUUUUUUUUUUCUUGGUUCAUAAUAAUUUUGUAGAAAUUCCUCAAGUUUGCCUAAAUGUUUACAGAGUUAUUUAUACAAAAUAAAGACAAAGUAGCCGUUGAAAGGCUUAAUAAUAUUAAAGGAAAAUAAGUAACUUCCUAAACUAUUGCACAAUAUCUUUAUAAAAUAGGAAUGAAAUAUUCCUACAUGAUAUUGGCAUUCAAGUGUAAAAAUCGUGCUGGAGAUAUUCCUUGACAAAUAGCUUUGACGUGAGCAAGCUGUGUGGAGUGAUAAACCCUUUGUUGACUUGACCGUUGAUGACUUUCCUUUUGGUAAUCUUGGUCAGCUUGCUUAACAGUUGGUGAGUAUAAUGGUGGUCAUAUAAAUCCUUUUUCAUUUUUUUUUAAUUGUUGUAUGGAGAAAAAGAGAGAAAAGCAAAAAUUGGGCUGUCGACUACAUAACUCGCUGGGAUAUAUGUACGUUAAGGAAAAUUCUAUGAUACCGUGAUCAAAAUUACAUAUCAAUACUGUGAUAAAUAUAAAUUUUGUAAAUUACAAAUAACACUAUUAAAUGAAAUAUAGAAUAAGUAAAUUAAUAUAAGAGUUGGUGUUUUAAAACUACAAACAAAAAAACUUAUAAAAAUAAUAUAAAACUUAUAAAUCAACAUUAAACUUUGACCUAUAAAAUAGCUAAUCUAAUUUAUUUAAGUAAAAAAAAAAUCACUCAUCAAUUGAAAACAAAAAUUUACAUUGGAAACAAUUAGAAUAAGUUUUAUUAAAUUGGUUUAACUAUAAAUUCUAUAUCUCAUGUUAGGAAAUUUAUAAUUUUUUUUUCAUUUUCUAUCACAAUAUAUGUUUAUUAUAUAACUUAAUUAGUAAAAUUAUUUUUUUUAUGAGGAUCAAGCCAAAAAAAAAUAAAAUAAUUUUUUUAAAAAUUUAAAUUUGAGAAUAAGUUUUAUCUUAAUAAAAUUUCACAUGCAUCAUCACAUGUAUUAGAUAAAUCCAAAAUUAUCAUUAUUUAAUUUAGAAAUAAAGACAAUAAAUAUAUAAGGUAAUCGUUUUUAUAUUGAGUUUUUAUUUUACAUUUGCAAGUUUUUAUUUUUUAUUAACUUUUAUAUUAUUUGUUUGUUUUAUAUUUCAUUUACAAGUCUUCUAUUUCAUUUACAUAAUUUAUAUAUUAUUUGGCACUUAAUUUUGGUUUAUAGGAUUUACGUUAUAUCUAUAAGUUUAUAUUCAUUUGUUUACCAAUAAUACAUCAUUCUACCAUUCAUAUAUUAAUUAACUUAUUUUACCUUCUAUUUACAAGUCCCUUUUUUUUUACUUAAUUCAUGUUUUAUUUUACACUUAAUAUUAAUUUAUAAGUUUUAUGUUAUAUUAAUAAGUUUUGUUUUAUUUAUCAAUAAUAUAUCAAUUUACAACUCCUUUAUUAAUUUAUUUAUUUUACCUUUCAUUUACUAGUUUUAUGUUCCAUUUGCACGAUUUAUAUUUUAUUUUGCACUUAAUAUUGAUUUAUAAGUUUUAUGUUACAUGUAAAAAAAAAAAUAUUUAUCAGCAAUACACAAAUUUACCACUCCUAGUUAAUUUAUUUGUUAUACCUUCUGUUUACAAGAGUUAUGUUCUAUUUACAUAAUUUAUGUUUUGUCUUGUACUUAAUGUUGAUUUACAAGCUCUAUGUUAAAUUUGCAUAUCUAUGUUUCAUUUAAACAAUUUAUGUUUAACUACAAUAUUGAUGUUUUGAUUUUAAUCACAACAUUAUAGAAAGACCCAUAAGCUAAGUUAACUCUAUUGAUCUCCUAUCAAAUAUCGUAAAUGACAUCAGAAGUCAAGUUUAGCUCCUAUGGUAACGAGUGUGAGUAGUGAGUCUAAGGAUGGAAAAUAUCCUGCCAUAUCUAAGAUAUUAUUUAUCCAAGUGUAAAUUCAUAAUUAUCCAUGAUGGAUUCAUCCAUAUCCAUGUCUAGUUCAGAUACUCUAUAUGGAUAUAGAUUUUAUCCAUAUAGAUAUGGAUAUCCAUGGAUGUCCAUGGACAUUAAAUUUAAAUUUUUAAAUUUGAGAAUUGUGUAACAUAUUAAUAUGGUAAAAACUAAUUAACAAUGUAUUACAUCAAGAAAUACUUCUCAUUUUUUUUAUAUUUCCUAAAAUCAUUAAUUUUAAAAUUUAAUCAAAAUUAUUUUGUUUAAAAACACAAUUCUAAAAUAAAAUUACAAGCAUUAAUGUUUUGGCCGGUUGCGCUAUGGUGGGCAAUAAUAAUGGUGGUCAACUAGUGACAAAUCUCAUACCAUUUGUUGAAAAUGUACUGAGGAUCUGGUUGGUUAAUAAGAAAAUAGAGGAAAAUGAGGAAGGAUGAAGAAAAGCUUGAGCUAAAAACUAAUUCAUUACUUCAGAACUUGAUUUCUAUAUUCUUUCUAAUGACUAAUAUAUAUACUCGAUUACAUGCUAGAAUCUAUUAUAAGAUUCAUCUAGAAACUUCACACACCACACACGGCUAGCAAACAUAGAUAACUAAUUGACCACGUCAGCAUAACUAAAGUUUACUAAGCUAUUGAUUGACUACAAUGCUUAUAGUGCUCUGCAAUAUAUCAAGACUCUAUAUCACCAUCAUCAUUACUAAACUCUCUAACAUCCCCCUUCAAGCUAAAUAAGUCUAGAAGAAUAUUUAGCUUGCACCUCAGAUAAUGAAAUUGGCCAUAAUUAAGAGCUUUGGUAAGAAUUUUAGCCGUUUGAUCAUUACUGGGAACAAAGUGAAUGCUAAACUGCUUGGCUGCAACUUUUUCCUGUACAAAAUGAAUAUCAAGUUCAACAUGCCUUUUUUUUUUUUAUGAUACACUGGAUUGUUGGCCAAGGCAAUGGCACCUUAGUUGUCACACCAAAAUAAUAGGCAUAUUGGACAGCUUAAAAUGCAACUCUAAUAACAAAGCUUGUAUCCACAUGAUUUCUGUAGUGGCGAAGGCUAAAGCUCGAUAUUUUGAUUCAGUACUUGAUCUAGAAACAACAUGUUAUUUUUUGGAUAUCCAUGUCACUAGAUUGUAACCAAGAAACAAAGCAUAGACAACAACUGAUUUUCUGCCAUAUCACAGGUCCAGUCAACAUCUGUAAAACACUAAAGAUCCAUAGUACCAUGCUGAUAAAAUUCCAAUCCAAAAUGAAUGGUGCCUUUGAGAUACCUUAGCAAUCUCUUGCAAGCUUGCCAAUGUUCUUCAGAUGUAUUAGAAAGGAAUUGACUCAAUUUAUUCACAGGAAAUGCAAUCUCAGGUCGAUGAAGAGUAAUAUACUGUAAUGCCCCAACAAUGCUUUUAUAUUGUGAAGCAUUAUUAAUAGCAGACCCUGAAUUCUUUGUAAGAUGAUGAGAAAGAGUCAUAGAAGUGAAGCAAGGACUACAGUUAGCCAUCUUAUGCUUCGCUAACAAGUAUGCAAUGUACUUGGCUUGUGACAAAUGUAGACUUUGAGUUGUUUUAGAAACCUGAAUCCCCAGAAAGUAAUUUAAAUCCCCUAAGCCUGUAAGAGCAAAUGUAUGUUGCAUGUUGGAGAUAACUUGAAGUACUAAGGAAGAAUUUGAGCCAGUGAUUAGUAUAUCAUCAACAUAUACCAGAACUAACAAAAUAUCAAAACCAUGUCGUUUAUAAAACAAUGAAAAAUAUGAUCUGCAAUUAAGAAAAUGCCACUGGUUUACCAUAGAAUAUUUAAGUCUCUCAAAUCAAGCUCUUGGAGCUUAUUUGAUACCAUAAAGAGCUUUAGUAAGCUUACAAACAUGAUGUGGCUUGGCUGGAUCAAUAAAACCUUCUGGCUGAGUCAUAUACACUUCUUUUUUAAGAAAACCAUUUAAAAAAGCAUUAUGUAGAUCAAUUUGUCUAAUCAUCCAUUUUUGUAUGCCAGCUAUGCUAAGAACAAUUCUAAUUGUUGAAGCUUUCACAACAGGACUGAAUGUCUCAUUAUAAUCUACCCCUUGAGUUUAAGAAAAAUCCUUUGGCUACAAGUCUAGCCUUUAUAUCUAGAGACACUGCCAUCUGAAUUAUAUUUAAUCUUGAAUACUCAUUUGAUGCCUAUAAUCUUGAUAGGGGAAGAGGGUUGAACUAAUAUCUAGGUCUGAUUUGCUUGUAAGGAGUUAAAAAAACUAAUGUCUAGGUCUGAUUUGCUUGUGAGAAGUUAAAUUCUUCUUGCAUAGUCUUAUACCACUUUGGAUCUGCUAACACUGAACUACAGAAGUGGGUUAUGAUAGAGUAGUAAGUAGAGCUGCUAUAUAGGAUUUUUGUUUAAAAAUCCCAGCCUUAGACCUGGUAAUCAUGUGAUAACUAGAAGGUUGAGUUCAAGGAAAAAUAUGUGGUGGUGAGGGAAUAAGUAAGGACUCAUUAAAGUCAGUUUGAGAAAGUGGUAAAGGUAAAGACUCAGUCUGAUCAUUUAAUGGAGAUUAAUGAAAAGAAUGAGAAAAUUGUGAAUCAAGCAAAAUAGUAUAAGAAAUAGAAGGAGUUACCUGAGAAGUGGAAGGAACUUGUGAACUAUUUGUUGAGGAGGGCGUUAAGAAGACUCGUAUUAGUGGAGUUAAAACAGCAGUUGUGGAUUGCGAAACUAAGCUGGUUGAAUCAAAAGAACUAUGAUAAACUAAAGAAAAAUCAACCCCUUGCUAGUAACGAAAAGAAGUCUCUUCAAAGACAACAUGAUUAGACACAUAAAUUCUUCCUGAAGAGUGUAAGAAUUGGUAUCCUUUAUGAUGAGGACUCUAUCCAAUGAAAAUACAUCUUCUUAUUCUAAAUUCCAGCUUAUGUCUGUUAUAUGGUCUCAAAUAAAGAAAACAAAAGCAACCAAACACUCUUAACAAACUAUAAUAAGGUUUUUAAUGAAAGAGCUUGAAAUAAGGUGAUUCGUUUUGAAGAACAUGUGUUAGCAGCCUAUUAAUAAGAUACAUUGUUGUGUGGAAUGCAUUCCACCAAAAAGUGAGAGGAAGUUUAACUUGAGCUAGUAAAGUGAGUCCAAUAUCAACUAUAUGUCUAUGUUUCUUUUCAACUCUACCAUUUUGGUGAUAAAUGUGAGGGUAUGGAUGUCUGAAAUGUAUCCCAGAAGAUAAGAGCAGAGAAGAAAAAGAUAUGAACUCUCAUGAAAGUCUUAAAGGUUGUAAAUACCCUCAAGGCAUCUGAUUUAGCUGUUAAGGGAAAAAUCCAAGUAAACCUGUUGUAAUCAUCUAAAGUAGACAAAUAAUAGAAAUAACCUUGAGUGGAUGCAGUAGAAGAUGGCCCCCAAACAUCAGCAUACAAAAGCUAUAAAAGUUUAGUUGUUUUUAUGUUGAAAGAGUUAAAAUAUUGAAGAUGACUUUUUCCAUACUGACAUGUAUCACAAAAGCUAAGUAUUGAGAUUUUAUUUAUAUCAGCAAAUUGAUUACAAGAUUUCAAAACACAUUUAAGUGUAUGAACAGCUGGAUGUCCUAGCCUUUUGUGAAGCAAAUCUACAUUAUUGGAACUAGAAGACACUGUGAAAGCAGCAGGAGUACAACACUAAUUGUUUAUUUUGAAAUGAUCAUAAGAAAAACAAACAGACAUAGCAGGACCAAACAGACAAGCAAAACGAGACAUUGGUUUGUUUUGAGCUAAGUAAGAAAAGAAGGCUGAAUUUAAACUUUGAGAUGAGGAAGAUAGGCUGACUUUAUUAGAUGCUGCUUAAACUUAAUACAAGCCUUUGUGAGCCACCCCUUUAACUAGAGUAAUCCAUGUGUUCCUGGCCUUGAUAUACUAAACAUUAUCAACAAAUUCAACAAGAACAUUGUUAUCAAUUAAUAAUUUAGACACACUAAGCAAAUUUUUAGUUAUGUGAGGAACAUGAAGAACAUGAUGCAGUACUAGAUGUUCAUGAGUAUAAGUAUCAAACAAAACAGAUCUAGUGUGUGUGAUUUGUAGGCCUUUGUCAUCACCAAAAAGCAAUCUCCUAAACCAAUAUAACCAUGAGAGUUAAGUAAUAUACCUGAGUUGUUGGUGCCAUAAGCUGAGGCACCACUGUCUAUAUACCAGAAAUGAUCUUCUAUAACUUCAGGUGAAGGAAGAUUAAGAGCAGAAGGGUUAGCAAACCUUGCUGAAAUGUCAGAAACACCAUUCUGGCAAUUAAAAGCUGCUAGUGGAGAGAUUGAAGAACUAGCUCCAGGAUGAGAAAACAUAGAAGUAGAUCCAUAAAGGAUUUAAAUCUGGAUAUACCAAAUUUCCUUGAAAAUCAUAACCUCUUGUGCCAAACUGUCCAUUAAAACCUCUACCAAAUCCAAUAAAGGAUCUAAGCACAAAACCUCUGCUAUAGCCAUAAGUUGGCCUAUAAUUUCCUCUACCUCCUCUACCAUAGAAUGUUUUAGGCACAAAAGCUGGAUUAAACAUGCUUUUGCAUUUAUGUGCUCUAUGUCCUGGCAUAAAACAAAUCUGACAGACUAUUGAUUCAAAAUUACUUUCACUGUUAUUAGGUUGUCCUGGAUUUGUCACAUCUCUAUUAAAACCUUUUUGAUUACCAAAAUUAUUCUUAUAUUAACCUUGAUUUUCUUGAGCAAAAUUUACAGUCAGAUUAUGUACAACAUCAGAAUUAAGCUUGCUUCUUUUUUUUUUCUGUUCAAUCCUCAUCUCAUGACUCAAUAAUAAAUCAUACAAGUCAUCUAAAUUCAUACUUUCACCUCUAGCUAACAAGCUCGUAACAAGUGAAUCAUACUCCUAAGAUUCUAAUCCUAUCAUUAUGUAUAUAACUAGAUCCAUAAGCUCAACAAGUUUCCCAUCGAGAGUAUCAGCUAACCUUUUCAUUUUAGCAAAAUAUGCACUCAAAGUCAUUGAACCUUUUUUAGCAAUUUAUAAUUGCAUUUUAAUUGGCAUAAUUCGAGCUUGAGUUUGAGAAACGAACAUAUAAGUUAAUGAAUCGCACAACUCUUGUGAUAAAGCACAGCGAAUGACUGAAGAUAAAAGACUCUCUUGAAUUGAGGACAUCAUCCAACUGAGUAAUAUCUGAUAUGUUCUGAUCCAUGUUGAGAAUGCAAGAUUAUCAAUUCUUGAUCCAGAUCCAUCAUUUGAUCAGCCAGUUGCACCUGUAUUUUGAUAGAGAUAUUGAUCUGGACAUUUGUUUUCUCUAGGAUAAAACCUUAUGUUAAGACUUUUAAGCCUAAAUCACAACAAGACUCACGAAUCUUGAUGAGUAGAAACACCAAGAACACAAACGAAUCAAGAAAGCCAGAACAAAGAAGCUAUACCAGAAACAAAACAAAGACACAGACCAACAAAUUUAGAAGGAAAAUUUACUCAUUAUUAUUGAUCAAGAACUAACCCAAUCACAAGUGAUUUACAGAAGAUUAUGCACAGAUCACAAUGGAACAGAUUCUAUGCAAAAUGAUGAACAAAUGAAGACGAUAUUAGCACUAUAUCAGGCACCACUCGUUAGCCUCUGUUUUAUAUCAGUGUGUUGGGUUCGUUAUAACAGAUUAUAACGAAUCCAUGCCACGUCAGCAGAAAGUAUCAAAUAGACCCCAUCAACUGAAGUCAAUCUGCACAACAGCUCUCUACCUUUCCAGUUUCUUCAUUUAGGUCCACAUACACAUAUCUUCACACCUUCUAGUCCAUUGCCUUUGAUUGAUGUGAGAACUUGAGUUCUCCAGACAAUGAAAUUAUUUGAUCAAAUUUUAUUGGUGUGACGAAGUUAUAGGAGUUCAUAUUUUGAUUUUGAUUAUUAGAAAGCUCUGAUACCAUGUUGAAAAUGUAUUGAGGAUAUGUUUGGUUAAUAAGAAAAUAUAGGAAAAUGAAUAAGGAUGAAGAAAAGCUUGAGCUAAAAACUAAUUCAUUACUUCAGAACUUGAUUUCUAUAUUUUUUCUAAUGACUAAUAUAUAUACUCGAUUACAUGCUAGAAUCUAUUAUAAGAUUCAUCUAGAAACUUAUCACACUACACACGGCUAACAAAGAUAGAAUCUUAUAACUAACUGACUACGUCAACAUAACUAAAGUUUACAAAGAUACUGACUGACUACAAUGAUUAUCAUGCUCUGCAAUACAUCAAGACUCUAUAUCACCAUCAUCAUUACUAAACUCUCUAACAUUGAACUCAAAAUUUUUUAUCCAUGCAAUGAUAUAGAUUUCAUCAUCAAAUACUAAAUGUGGCGGCUCGAAUGCCACCGAAAAUGGUGGCGGCAACUUGACUCCACCUUCUAAGCAAUUCAAUGAAGUGCAGCACCGCCUAAAUCAACAUCAUUGACGUUCGAAGUGUUUGAUCGACAUUACGGUAUCCAGCACCAUAUGGUCGUUUGAUGCCGGUGUUAUGUAUCCACCACAAUUUUUUGUGGCACUUGUGCCAUCAGUAUUUUGUUUUGACUAACAAGUUUAUGAGUUUAGAAGUAAUAACUGAUUUUGAUAUCUUUUCGAUCAUCCGCCAAACUUCUUCUUCUCUCAGGGGUAAAAAAUUUUGCACAUUGCUAACUAGAUGAAUGGCCAUAUUUUUCUUGUCUUUCUUCAAUACUCAUUGUAGGGUGAAAGUGCCAUUUUGCCAAAUCUUUAAGCAAUUGUAAGAUAGCUUCUAUUGUGCUAGUAGGGUGUGGCCUAGUACAAAAUUGAAGGUCAUGGGUUCUUAAUAUCUCUUUAUCCAUUGUUGCUAAGGUAACUGUUAAAGUCAUGGCUGGCACCGCCCAUUUAAAUGAGCGGUGCCAUGCCAUUCAACAUGGCCCGCCAUUCUUGGUGGUGCCGUGUUGACUUAUUAAAAAAAAACCAAAAUUUUAGCUAUAUAAAGAGGGCUUCCCACCCUCAUUUUGGCAUCCCAUUGAGAGAGAAGCAAUUCAACAUUUUAGAGAGAGAGUUUAGAGAGCUUGAAACUAUAAGCUCUUGUUAUAGUGAUUUGAGAGAUUAGGUGUAUUGGGUAAUGAGAUAAAAUACCACAAUACUUGUAACUCCUUUUCACUAAUAAAAUAUUUUCCUUCUGUCUUCGCCCGUGGACGUAGGCUAAAAGCCUAAUCAUGUAAUUUCUAGUGUUAUUUGUAUGAUUUUGUGUCUCAUUAUUUCUAAAUUUCACUUUAGUUGUGUGUCUGUUUCACCCAUCAAUUUCCCAACAAUAACCACUAGGGUUGGACAAAACCAAGAUGAAUAAGAGGGCCAUAUUUUUUAGAUAGUUACCAAAAUGACACGAGACUUUGAGAAAUAAAACUGGUGUAAGUUGAUGAUAAAGGGGAGCCCUAACGAAAUUGAAAACAACUUUUAGUUUUUUUUUAAAAACGAAUUGUUAACAAUCUACAGAUAUAUAUACUCUCUGAAACCUAAUGGGAUUCUAGAUACAUGUAGUAAAACACUAAAACUCUAGAUACAGGUACGUAAAAUCUACUUUUUUCUUUUGAUGUUUUUACCCUAGAUACAUGAGUUCGAAAAAUAGUUGACGUAGCGAUCGUACUAGUGAACGUUGAAAAAAUGAGCAGAAAAUGAUAAAAUUAGACAUAAAGGAGUUUUAUCGUUUUUCGUUUAUAUAAUUACAUUUAUUCGUUUAUAGGUUGGGAGAACGACUUUCGAGUUACUAAUAAAGGUCUUUGUCAUGUGACUUACCAAGCAAAUAACUUAUUAAAAUGGCAAUUAUUGAUCACUUAAUUUAACUAGUCGAGCUUCGUGGUGAUGCAGGAAGCUGGUCGUCAAGCUGAUCUCAUAGGCUGAGUACAAUCGAAGAAAAUGAAUAAUAUUAUUAGAGGUUAUUUCUGUACGUGUAUAUAUAUUUUUGUCAUUAGAGAGAACAAUAGAUGAAAUAUAUAUAUAUAUAUAUAAGCUUAGAAUAUUAUUCACAUAGACAUCAUUAUUCGUUACACAUAACUAAGAAAACAAAGCCUUGUCCAUCCAAGGAGGUGCCUUAACUAAUUUACAUACUCAUGGUCCUUAGCCAGAAGGAAAAGAUAAUUCUUCUUAUGCACCGCAAUUCCGGGCAGAACGUCAAAGUCCAAGUCUUGGUUCUUCAUUCCAGGCGGCAUUUCCCAAUCAAAUUUGUAAAGAAGAUUGGCAAGUGCAAGUUCCACAUUUGCAGUUCCCAAAUGCAUUCCAGGACAGAUUCUUCUGCCGGCACCAAAUGGUAUAAGCUCAAAGUUUUGCCCUUUAAAGUCAAUAGAACGAUCAAUAAAUCUCUCAGGAUUAAAUUCCUCAGGAUUUUCCCAAGCUUCGGGAUCUCUUCCUAUCGCCCAUGCAUUUACGUAAACGAGUGUUUUAGCUGGAAUUUCAUACCCGUCUAUUGUGCACUUUUCGAUUGUUUCUUUGGGGACUAGUAAGGGAACUGGCGGUUGCAAUCUCAUAGUCUCUUUCACUACAGCUUUUUGAUAAUGUAGUUCUUGAACAUCAUCUUCAUCUACAAAGCUUUUUUUGCCGCCAACCAAAGAUCUAAUUUCUUCUUGAACCUUUUUCAUUACUCUAGGAUGCUUCAUUAGGUAGGUCAUGACCCAAACCAGAGUCGCAGCGCUCGUAUCUGUUCCAGCAACGAAUAUGUUCUGCAAAGCAAACAACAUAUAUAUUUGUGUGUGUGUAUAAAUAUGUAUAUGUAUAUAUAUAAAUUAUUUAAAGCAACAAAAUUAUAUUAGAUUAGUUAUACAGGUAACUAUUUAUAAUAGACUUUUUGUUAAUUACGUACCAUGAGCACUGCUUUGAUGUGAUCCAAAGUUAGGUCAACUUUGAAUCCAUGAUCUUUUCGAAUUUGAAGUAAAACAUCAACUAAAUCCUCCUGCCGCACCUUUGCUUUUGUUCUUUUUGGAUCUAAAUGCUCGUCGAUGAGUUCUUGAUAGAAUCUAUCAGAUUCUUGGAAGUUAUUUUCCAGGCGACGAAUCAUUCCUGUGAGUUUAUCAAUCCAGCCCAUAAAAGGAAAAUAAUCCGUAACGAAAAAGCCUAUAGACAAGGCUUGAAUUUCAUUAAGCAGUGUAUGGAAUCUGCUUCUUUCAGUUAUUGUUUCACUUUCAUCACCAGACCUCUUGCCAAAACCAAGUCUACAAAUGAUAUUGCAAGAAAGAGACAUCAUUAUCUCACUUAAGUUGACUUGUUUAGAAGCAGCAGCUGAUUUUGAUAUGGAUUCAAUCAUUCUUGAAACUUCAUCUUCUCUAAUAGGUCGAAAAUUUUGUGCUCUAUUAGAGUUAAAGAGAUGAAUGACACAUAUUUUUCUAAUCUCUCUCCAAUACUCACCAUAGGGUGAAAAUACCACGUCCAAGCCAUUAUAAGAUAGCUUUUGUGUCGCUACCAGAGCUGGCCUACUAGAGAAUUGAAGAUCAUGGCUUUUUAAAGUCUCUUUAGCCAUUUUUGCUGAGGAAACAACUAGGGUUGGCACAAAACCCAGACGCAAUGACAUGAGAGGGCCAUAUUUUUUAGAUAGUUCCCAAAAUGACACAUGAGGCUUCGAGACGUCAAACUGGUGUAAGUUACCUAUAAAGGGAAGACCCUGGGGGCCUGGUGGUAAUUUAAUCUUUUUCUGAUGAUAAGUGUUUACGGAAAACAAGAAGAGGCAGAUUGGGAGAGAAAGAAGGAUGAUGAUGACAAGUAAAUCCAUUAUUGCUUAUGCUCCCUACUGCAAUGACUGAACCUCGAUCUAUAAAUAAGGAAACAAAAUGCAGUUUAGUAACAUCAUUAGAGGACUCUCUUUGUAUUUUGUGCUCUUGUCAAGUCCUUAUCUUGUGAUUUUGCUUAAGGAAACAGAUUUGACAACUUUCAUAAAAGUCAACAAUGAUAAAAAUUUCCAUAAUGAAAUUUCGUUUUCAGCAGAUCAUGUAUACCAAUUCUUGCGAGUUUUGUAGAACGAAACUUAUCAGAAUCCUAGGUGUGAUAACGUUGGUAAAAAGUCAGCAACAAUCAAAAUUUCAAUAAUAAAAUUUCUUUUUUAGCUAUUUACCAAUUCUUGUGAGUUCUACAAAACGAAAAAGAUUCGAUAACUUUGAUUAUAAGUCAACAAGAAUUGAUUAAAUGGCUCUACAAAAGAGGUUUAGAUACAUAUCCCGAGAAAAAAAUCUAUGAAAUAGAUAAUUUUAUUGAAAAAACGUUGAUUAGAUUAUUGAGAUUACAACCCUACUUAUGUUAGACUAUAAUCAAUCCUAACCACCUCCCCCUCUCCCCCCCCAACACCACAAACAAAAAAAUCCAAUUAAUUAAAAAAAUAGGUAAUUUAAUUCUUUUUACAAUUUUUUUUUGGACAUACAUGAGUUUCCACGAAAAUUAAUAUAUUCUCUUUUUAUUUCCAUUUUAUUUUUAGGGUUAAAUUGGUAAUUUAUUUUUUUAAUUAAUUUCAAAAAAAGAAAUAUUACUAUAAGAGGGUAAUAUUGUAAAAGCCAAUAAAAAGAAACAAAAAGUAAUGAUGGUGGAAAUGUCCCGAUGUAUUUUUAAAAAUACAUAGACUAAACAAGCACUAACGUCAAAAUAUAAGGAUUAAAGCAGUUUUUACCCUAUAAAAUUAUAUAUAUUUUUAUAAUACUAGAUAGAGAACAAAAAUAAUUGUUUCCCAAUCUCAUCUUGAUCUCAAAUGAAAACUAGUGGUAAAAAGUCACUAUCUUCUACAAUAGUGUCUUUUUUUAAAUUAAAAAAAAAAAGGUAAACCUGGUGAGUACAAGGGAAGCUUUAUUUAUUAAAAAGGUUAGGGGGAUAUAAUAAGCCUUAAUCAUUAUGCAGUGCAUAAUGCUAAUAAAAAAAAUGCGCUAGAGCAUUACAAUAAAAUCAAAGAAAUGCGUGAUAAAGCCAACACACAAAGCUUACAAGAAUUAAUGAAACCUAUAAACAGGGAGACUAUUAUUUUAUAAUACUGCCAUGUCAUAUGGCACAUUAUCCUUUUAUUAGAUCACUAAGGUCAUCCUAUAAAAAUAAUGAUUAAUUUAUUGAGGAAACAGAAACUUCAAGAUUGAUAAAAGAUAGAAAAAUACAAGUUUUUGAAUGUUUGAAAUUUUAUAGACAAAAGUCUCAAUAAAAAAACUAAGAUUUUAUGGUCCUUCUAUACUAAUUCUAAAUAACUUGAAUUUUACAAAAAUUAUUAAAUAAACUUGGAUAUUAUUAUAUAAUAAAAUUCUACUAACAGAAAUAAGGAAACAAAAUAAAUAGUACUCAAAUCCAACUCUUGAGAUAGCAAGCUUCUUCCUUGAGAUCUUAUCAAUUUUUUGACUAAAUUCAUAACUAAGCUAGCUUUCGGAUAUGAAUAGAAGAGUUAGGCUCAUCAAAAGCAAGAUAAUGACAAAGAUUUUUACAAUUUUUCUUUCAUCAAUUUCUUUAAAUUUCAUGAAUGUUUCGUGGUACUAAUGAUGUAAAAGUUCUUCUUAUCCUACUACCACAAUGAAAGCUGUGUUCCAAGUUUUUCAAACUACACCUAUAAUAAAUAAAAUUAAAGAGUCAAGUCAAGGCUUGGGUCACGUAAUCAAGUAAUUUUUAAAUGGUUACGUAAAUUGGUAAUAACUGAUAAACAAUUUUUUUUUUAACUGCCGAUAUUUGUUAUUUACGCAAAUAUAUAUGUUUUGCGCGGCUGAUUUAGGAACCCCUGCAAAGUGGUGGCAAGGAAUCAAUAAUCUAAGUUUCAAAUUUCCGCAGCAAAACACAUUUUCUUUUUUUUUUAAUUGAUUAUAAAUAUAAUCAAUAAUCUACAGAAUACAAGAACGAAACUUCUUCUCUCUCUCUACAACUCUCUUUCUCUACUCGAUGACCUCUGUUAAUUAGUCAUGAUGAUAUUUACAAACACAAGCAUAGAAAAACAACACAAAAAUCAAAGUAAAUGUAGGCACACAAUAAUUGGAGUAUUUGUUUUAAACUUAUUGUCAUGUUUUUCCCUAAAAGAUACAAUAAAGUAACAUUUUUUUAAUAUAAAAUUUAUUUAUUUAUCGUUUAUUUUAAGCAUCCAUUAAAUGACCUAAUAUAUAAAGUAUAUAAUUUAUAUAUUGAGCAUAUAAUGUCAAUAUUAGAAUAUAUAAAUGAUAAUUUUUUUAUGAAUUAAAGAUUGUUCACAGUAAUUAUUAAAAUAGAUAUUUCGUUGUGUAAUUCUAUAUCUUUUCUAUUUUUUUUUAUGAUGAUUUUAUCUUGAUCGCGGAAGUAGAGAUUCCAAGUUAAUUCAAUGCCAAUAUAAUGGUUAUAUAAAUGAUUCCAACAAUGAGACCUAACGAUCAUUUCCUUUGACAUCCUUAUGAAAAAAACCUCUAUUCCAAUCUGAAAUAUUUAAAAGCUAAAGUUUUCAUAAAAUGUACAGUGAGGACCAUUAUCUAAUAAAUCAUGUUCAUACAUACAAAUACAAGCAGAGAAAAACAAAAUAAAUAAAUAAAUGUGAGCACACAAUAGUUGAAGUAUUUAUUUUAAACUUAUUGUUAUGUUAGUCCCUAAAGGCAUGCAAUAAAGUAACAUUUUUUCAAUAUAAUAAAAUUUAUUUAUUCAUUGUUUAUUUUAAACAUACAUUAUAAAUGUGGACCAUUAACGAAUAAGUCAUGUUCAUGCUUACACAAGCAUGGAAAUAAAUAAAUGUGAGCACACAAUAAUUGGAGUAUUUAUUUUAAAUUUAUUGUUGUGUUGUCCCUAAAAGCAUGCAAUAAAAUAAUAUUUUUUAUUAUAAUAAUAUUUAUUUAUUCAUUAUUUAUUUUGAACAAACAUUAUUAGACCUAAUUUAUAAAGUAUGUAAUUUAUUUAUUGAGCAUAUAUUGUCAAUCUUGUAAGAUAUAAAUCACAAGUUCUUUAUGAAUAAAACAUUGUUCACAUGUCAUUAAUGAAAUGGACAUUUCAUCAUUUACGUAAUUUUGUAUCUUUUCUAUUUCUCUAGUGCCUAAUUUAUCUUGCUCACUGAAGUGAAGAUUUAAAGUAGAAAAGUUAGUUUGUUGUCAAUAUAAUGGUCAUAUAUAUGAUGCCAACAAUGAAACUUAACAAUCAUUCCCUUUAGCAUCCUUAUAGAAAACCUCAAUAAUAAACUGAAAGAUCUAGAAACUCAAGUGUUCAUAAAAUAUGGAGUGAGGACCAUUAACGAAUAAGUCGUGUUCACACUUACCAACUCAAGCAUAGAAGCACAAGCACAAAUAUUGAAAUAAAUGUGAGCACAGAUUAGAGAUCUAUGAGGACUUCUCUUUAAUAUCUGUAACCGCUGCUUGAAAUCGCUUUAGCGCUGCAACUAUUUGCUACUUUCUUGAAAUCCCAUCUUCAGUGGCACAUCAAUCUUCAAACCCGACUAAUCAUUGCAUCAUUUCAAACCAACUUAUGUAACCAAGAAGAGGAAGAUCAAUUCAAACCCGCUAACUAAUAUUAUGUUUGUGUCGAAUUGACAGGUCUUGUCACAAAUUUUCACCCGACAAGCUAGGGGCCUAUUUGAUAUAAGUAAAUAAAAUCUUUCUUUCCACAAGAAAUUGGGGUAAAAUCGAUUAUCCCGAUGUUAUUACCCCAAUUUAUAAAUCUUGAUUUUCAUAUUAAACCAUUCAAAGUACAUUUAAAAAAUAAAAUAAAGUAAAAUAAAACCAUACAUAGUACAAAAAGGAGGGAGAGUUUAUUGUUUAUUAUUAUUUUUGAAAUAAUUUAUUGAAGCCCACCUGCUUCUUUCUUUGUCAAGGAUUAGUUUAUUAUUUUGGGAUAAAUACUCAUGUAAUCCAUAUAUUUUGAGCUAAGUAUAUACAAAAAAUGUUUUAAGACAUCUUUACUGUUAAAUAUAUUUCACUUAUAUCUUUACUCUCUUUUAUUUUACAAUAAUAUCCUUAGAACAGUGUUAUUGGGGAUAUUAAUGAAAAUAAAAAAGUAAUUUAUCAAAUUAACCUUAAAUGUAAAAUAAGAAUUUGCAUAAAUUUUAUAAUUAUUAUUUUACUUUUAGAAUUAAUUUGGUAAAGUAAUUUUUUAUAAAAUAAUUAUGAAUAAGAUUGUUAUAAGGAUAUCAUACAUUACUUUUAAGUUGGCUAAUAUUAAGUUAUUUUUAAAUAAUUAUUAGUAAGUUUAUUGCACAAGUAUAAAAAAUACUAUUUCUUUGAUCACUACAAGGAAAAUGAAAUUUUAUAAUAAAACUUUUAGUUACUAAAGAUAAAAAAUUAUUCUCCUUAUAUUCUUUACGAUGCAAAAAUAAAUAUCAUAUGUCAAUCCCAAAAGUACGUCAAUUAGGUUCUAGCGACCAAAAUUAUUUUCAUCAUGUAAAUUGUAUAUUUUUGUGAUUUAACUGUUACCCCAAAUUUAAGUUAAAUGCAUCAUAAAUUGUAUUGAAAUUUGUCAAUUUAGAGGUUUAAAAAUGUCAUCAGUGACUCUAUAUCUUUGUCGUUGAAGUUUACGUAUUGCAACAAUAUAUUAUUGUCUCUAGUUAUUGUAAUUUGUGACAAUCUUUAUAGAUACAUUUCGUAAUUAAUUUAGUCUCAAGUUUGUUUUAAAACCAACGUAUUUUUUUAUUUCGCAACUAAUUACAUUGUAUUGAAAAAGUUUAGGUGACUAAUCUCUCUCAUCAUUAAAAGAAAGCAUUUACGAUUACAAUAUUUAGUCAUAUAAAUUAAAAUCUUAUGACAAAAAAAAUUGUAUCAAAAAAAUGUUAUUCUAUGACUAUUUAUUUGCUGCAAAGUAUUAGAGUAAUAUAAUCUCAUAUGAAUUUAUUUAUUAUUUCACGAUUUUUUAUAUCGUACUAAAAAAGUUCAAGUAAAUAGUUUUGCUCCUUGUGACAAGCCGUUAUUCGCAGCUGGAGCAUGUAGUCAUAAAUCCAACAAUUAAUGACAAAAGAACUUCAAGUGAAAAAUGUUAUUAACAUAAGUAUAAUUCAUCACAAAGAAAUCAAAAAUAUAAAAAGUAUAAAAAUCAAUAAUCUAAAAAUAACAUUCCAUUAUAAAAGAAAAACAAAACUAACAUUACACGGAGGAAAAUCGUUGCUGGUGUCAUGAACGCUUCAACUUCGUUAAGUUUGUUCUUGUUCCUUAGUUUGCUGAGACAUACUGCAGUAAAUGAUGACUUCGAACACUUGUCAUUUGCUUCACAAAAUUAAAGAAUUUUCCCAGAAUUGAAAAGUAAAAUCAUCUCUAACAAAGUUUGAAAAAUUUCUCCAAACUCACUAACUUGGCUUCAAUUUCCUUCACCGAUUAUAUUCUUUGUUUUUCUUCUAUUAGUUUCUCUUAGGUAUUUUAUCAACCAAUUGAUCUGCAUAAAAAUAUUAAAAGAAUGGAACAUAGAAUUUCGAUUCCUAAUUUCGCCAAACACCCAAAAAAAAAAAAAUCUGAAUUUCACUUAAUCUAAUCACAACUCUUAAUCUAAUCACAACUAAAGUAAUCAAAAUUAAAUUAACUGAGUUGAAAAUGCAUACCAUCUUCUCAUUGUUAUCAACCUGCACUUGGUGCAGGUCUGUUAAUCUCUAUAUACACAUAAGCCACUCACAGUCACUUGGUGAAUUUCUCAAAAAGCAAAUAUGGCAGUGAUACUCAAAGACAUUUUCCGAAUAACUGCUUCCAAAUUGGUGACCAAUAAGAUCCAAAUCUUCACAAAAAGAAGUAUCAAAACUGCUACUUCUGAUGUUCAAAUCAUUUCCAUCGAAGCAAUCAAAGCUUCAUCUCCUACACCGAAACAACUCAGAGCCUAUAAACUUUCAUUGCCUGCUCAAUUGUGUUCUAAACUUUACAUGCCCAUUGUUUCCUUCUACUCAGCCAAUUGCAAACACCAAGAUUUCCGGAAAAAUUCCGAUUUGUUGAAGCAAUCUCUCGCAAAAACGUUAACCCAUUGAUAGCUUUUUAGUCGACUGUAAUGAUCAUGGGGCUGCAUUUAUUGAAGCUAAUGUUGGCUGUCAUAUAUCAAAGUUUCUUCAACCGCCAGAUAGGGAGCUGCUACAACAAUUAAUCCCACCUUGUCCCCAAUUAUCGAAUUUAGAGAUUUCUGAAAGAGCACUUUUGGCUGUCCAAGUAAACUUGCUCAGCAGUGGUGAAAUGGCAAUUGGUGUUUUUUUCCGAGUGGAGUGGCCGAUGGUUCAGCAAUCUUCGACUUGAUGAAAACGUGGGGUGCUCGUGGGGUGAUUAAUGAUAAUGAUAAUAUUUGCAAUAACAAUUUAGUUUUAGAUUGCACCUUUGUUUCCACCGGUAAAGUUUUCGCAGCAGUAUCAAAUCCCAAGCCCACAAUCUUCCCGCAAUAUUGUGUUCGAAAGAUUAUUGUUUGAUGGCAAGAAGAUAGCACAUCUAAAGGAGAAGGUGAAUAAAGAAUUAGUGGGUAAUAAUUUUGAUGACGGGUUACAAGCAACGGGUUUCGGGGUUGUUUCAGCACUUACUUGGGGUGCCUUCAUUGCUGUAGCUCGUGAAAGAAAGAGGGAAAUUGAUAAGAAGUUGUAUUAUUAUGCAGUGUAUUAUACUAUGAAUUUGCGUAACAAGAUGAAUCCACCAAUAUUUAGUACAAGAAGUGGUAAAACCAAAGAGAAGGGGAAGAGAUGUGAUGAAUAGUAUUGAGUAUUUAGGUUUCAUUAAGGAUUUGUAUGAAGCAUGGGAAGAUUCAAGGUCAUUUCCUUUAAUAGUGUGGUUGGAUUGCCUUAUUAUGAAGUUGAUUUUGGUUGGGGGAAGCCUGUUUGGUUUAGUCUCGGGCCCUUAUCGUUUCCUGAUCUUGCUAUUUUGACAAACUCAAGUGACGGUGAAGGAAUAGAAUCAUAGGCGGUAAUGUCUAAGGAGGACACGGACAAAUUUGAACCAGAAACUAGCAUCAUGGCUUAUGCUUCCCCUAACCCCAGCAUAUUUAUAAGGAAAUAGGCAGCUAAUUGUCUUUCUCUUGCUUUGAAUAAAAAGAAUUGUCUUCUAAUUAGAAUAAUAAUAUGCUUACAAAAUUGAGAUUAUUGUACAAUGACUGUAUCUUAUUAUUAUCAUACUUCUUUUUAAAUAAAAUCAUGUUAUGUAUGCACACUUUUGAUCAAUGAAAAACCAACAGUCAUAUGAUAUACGGGGAAGACUGGAGGAGGAGAAGAAAAGGUGAAAAAAAAAAUGUACAUAAUGCCUUUUGUUUUUAAUCAUAUGUUUUGGUACCAAGGCACAACUAUUGUAUCAUAUUUUGCCAUCAAAUUUUAUUAAAAAAUCCACGUAAAUAGUUGUGUUGGACAAGUAUAUAUAUAUAUAAAAUGUAAGUUAAUUCUGAAUAUGCGAUAUAAAAUGUAUGUGAUGUCGUGUUGUCCGUGUUGCCAAUUAGAGGAAGUUUCAGCGGCCCAGGGAGGGACUUAUUAGGGUUUGGAGAUUUGAAUACAAUUUUGAAGAAGAAGAUCAGACGGAGACAAAAGGAUAGGAUGAAAAGAAAUUGGAGCUCCAUCUUGAAGAGGAGAAAUUGGGCCAUCGACUUCAAAACUUACUGUGAUAUAUGUAAGCUAAAUUGAUUUUAUUGAUCUCUUAUCACGUCUAUGGUAUUGACACACAUAAUAGAAUUUUACGCAUACAGAAUAUCUAAAGUUCUAAACUUUUCAAAAGGCAUUCAAAUGUACAAAUAAGAGAGUGAACUAACUAUAAUUUAAUAAAUAGCCUUUUCUUACUAUUAUAGGCUUUGACUAUACUAAACCCCCGAAAUUUAGUUUAAAAUCUUAUAAUGAUUUAAUAAUAAAAAGAAAAAUGAGUAUACAUUGUUGGGACCAUCUAAGGUCAUGCACGAGACCUUAUUACCAGACAUGAUCUAUUUAUCCAUCAUUUUCCAUUCUGAUUGGCUUUUGAAAAGUCCAAGAGUUUCAUAAUAUUAUCUUUCAAUUUUAGUUUAAAAGGUCCAAGAGUUUCAUAUCAUAAUCUUUCAAGUUUUAAUUUGAAAUCUACCGAUUAUGCUAUCAAAAUAAGUCAACUAAAAAAGUGCCAACAUUUUGAUGGCAUGUUCAAAUCGAACUAUUCUGGUUGAAAGUUUGAUGGUUCAAGCAGCACUCUCAUUGCGUUGUGCAUAUUAAAAAAUUUCUAAGGGAGAAAGAUAAUUAGAUAUGUUUCUCACAUGUACUACUUGGAUCCUAUUAUUUAAUUAUUCAUUACCGUCCUAAUGUUAUAACUGAGGAAAGAGGAUAGCAACACCCUCUUAGAUUGAAGAAAUGGUCACCGAGACCCUCUUCUUUUCAUAAAUGAUUAUGCAGAUCCAUUUUUAAGAUAUAUGCACUAUUUAGAAAUUGUCAUUCAAACCUUUUUUAGACACACAAACUCUUUUCUUUUUUUAUUUUCCUUUUUGGGUCUCUUUUUUUUUUUUUUUUCCUUUUUGGGUUUAAAAUAACCACGGAUUCGCAUAGAAUCUUAAGGUUUGUCAAGAAAGAAAAUUUGUGUGUCCCAAAAGUUAUCUAUGUAACCAUUUCUAAAAAUAUAAGAGUUUAUGUGACUAUUAGACCAAACUAUGAGAGUGUUGAUAUCCUUCUUCCAAAAUUUAAUAAACAAGAAAAAUAAGAUUUUUUAUUCUUUUUGUAUUAUAACCUUAUUGUCACUCAAAUAUAUAAUAUUCAUGGUAUUGAAUUUUAUGUCAUUUUUAUACUGACCUUAGUGUCACUAAAAUAUAAUAUGUAAGUCGAUGAUAUUGCUAUUGAUAUACAGAAGUUAACUAGCAUUGACUUUAAUUUAGUCGUCCCUAGUUUCAAGAGGAUGGCUUUGUCCAUGUUAACAACUCAUAUAUUUUAAGUGAGAGUUUUCAAAUUAAAAAGUUCAAAAGUUGCAUAUGUAAUUAAAAAACACUAGAGUUAUUUAAAAAAUAAUAUAAUAAAGGGUUCCAAACUUAAAAUCAUACAUGAUGAUAAGUUAUUCGCAAUUAAAUCUGCAUAUACAAUCUUUGUCUUUAGACCAACAAGAGUUUAGUCUAUUAGUACAUAGCGUUGUUAGAUAGAAUAAGGCUAUUGCUUGAGAGACUGAAGUGACAAGCAUUGACUUAAAUUCUAGUAAUAAAUCCUAACUAUGUACGUAGCAUUACUCAUAAUUAUGAAUUUCUUUAGUUUAUGUAUUUCAUCAAUUGAUUAUUCCGGGCAAACAAAUUAGUUUAAAAUACUUUAAUUCCUCUUACAAUAGUGAACAUAGUGUGCUUGAUUUUAUCUUUUUACAGCCAAUGCCAUAAAUGGAAUUCUCACUAAAAAAGGUUAGGUACAGAAAGAAGAUAAGCAUUUAAAAUUUAGAUUUUGAAAUAUCUGAAUAUUAGAUAUCAAAAUUAAUUAUCAUUAAUGGCAAUAUAUUAUUAAGCUGUAAUCCGAUGCAAACAACACCAUCUUAUUUUCUAUGAGCCAUGGGACAGAGCAAUGAACUUUGGCCAAAUGAACCAAUCACAUUAUUCCCAAUGAACAAUGUAAAUUAAUUAAAUAAUGUUAUAAAAUGCUAUUUACUUAUAGGUUUUGAAGGAAUGAGAAACCUCACCCUCUAAAUACCGAUCCUUCUUUUGUUAUUACUUGAACUUUUGUGACUGUCAAUGCAAAAUGUAUUAAAAACCGAUCCAGCUAUGCGUAAGAGGCUAAUUAGUCGUAUUCUUAAACUUACCUUGCGAAAUUUAUUUACUCAUUUUUAUUUUACUUGAAUCAAUUUGUAUGGUGUUCUACCAUACCUUCCGACGGAGCAUCGCCGCCAUAUCUUUUUCUCAAAUUUAAUUUAAUGGAGAAAAUCUGAGAAAUGGAAUCUUCAAAUCACAUAUUUAUGAUAUUACACUUUGAAAUUCAAUAUAAAAUCAAAUUCGUUGUCACCUAUUCUCUUCAGAAAGCAAAGAAAAAAUGCUCUUUACUUGCUCCAACUUUUCUCUAGAGUACUCGAAAUUCUAGCAAAAGAUUUACAAAAUAGAUAUGGUAUUACAACUGCUGUCGUUUGCUCUGCCAAAUUUUACAUUUAUCAGUAAGGAUAAGUGUGCAUUACUUAGAGCAAAAAAUACAUUGAUGUUUAAAAAACAUUCCAACGUUGAGAGAAGCAAUCAUUUAUUUGAGUACUCAUAAUACCAUCAACGGAUCAGCGAUUUACCAGACUUACAAGCUACAACCCAUGCUGUGGAAUCCCUCUAUGGGGUUGAUGCUUGGUUUCUUCUACCACGUUUCCUUUCAUGUAGUGACUUUUGUUUAAGCCUAUAGCUCACUACUGAAGUUUUGUAGGGCAAUGGUGCUCGAAUGCUGAAUGAUUCUCUUCAAUGAUGACCAUGCCCUUGGAAACGAUGGGUGGUUGAUGAGACUCCAAUGUUUUGAUUACAAAAGCUGCUCUAAUGGAAGCUUGCAUUGUCAUUUUACUUUUAAGUUGUGAGUUGAGUACUUGGCAGUAGUAUCAACAAGUACUUGUUUUGAAUAAAAGAGUUGUUAAUUGGUUAAUUAUAAUUCUUUUCUCUUGUUUAUCUGUGAUUUUUUUCUUUUAUAAAUUUUGCUCACCUUCUAACUUUUAAAUAAAAUAAAUUAAUUAAUUAACAUUUCACAAACAAAUUAUUCAAGAAUUCCCACUUUCGCAUAAUAUCAAGGGAACUUUAUUUUUUUUCCAAAAAAGGGAACUUUAUUUUUAAUUAACAUAGUAAGAAAUUGAUUUUUUAAAUCCUCUAUCUCACUAGAAUUUAUUCAUGACUGGUCAUUCAAAGAAAAUACUAAAAGAAAAAUAUAAUGACAAAAACAAAAAGAGUUAAUUGGUUAUUUAUUAAAUUGAGACCAAGCCCUUUCUGAAUAGUUAAUUUUGGAUCACUCCCCUCAUAAAUUGAUUAUCUUCAAAUCACCUCAUUUCUUUUGAAAAUCUCAAUUUAUUCUCCUUUUUAUGGUUAAAAAAAAAGGAUCAUCAAUUUAACCCCCUAUUUUUCUUUAUCUUUUGAACAAAAAUAGGAGUAACUUGAGGUUUUGAAAGUAAAUGAGUGAUUUGAAAUAAUUAAUUCACGAGGGGAAUAAUACAAAAUUUAUCCCCUGUGCGAAUGGAUUUAUGUUCGGGGUGGUGAUAUUUCCACCCCACAAAUUUUAUAAACUCAUCCCAUUUUCAAAAAAUUAUUACAGUAAGUUUACAUUAUUUUUAAAAAAAUCAAAUUAAGAAUAAAUUUAAAAAAAUUAAUUAAUUAAAUCCAUACUCAUUUUUUUAGACUAUUUUUCUAUUAUAUUUUAUCAAUAAAGUUAGUUGAUCAUAAAUUAAUAUAGCUAUUUUACCUCAUUGUGAAGGUACCAAAAUAUCUAAAAGUUUACUUCCAAUAAUUUCUUAUACAAUUUUUUUUUUAUAUUUUAAUGAUGUAAUAGUAAUUUAUCUAAUAUUUAUUUAUUUUUUAAAGAUUGUGGUUUUUUAUUAUAUUUGAUAAUAAGGCUGCUUUAACACAAAUUAAUAUGAUUAUUUUUAAAAAUGACAAAUGAAGGCAUAGGCCAGGCUUUUCCUAGCCCAGGCCCAGUCUUGCGUCCAUGUUAUUAAUAAGGGAGCCCCUAUAUUACAAUUAAUGUAACAUACACACUCAAUAACAACCACACAAAUAAUGGACCCACACAAUUUGUGUGGUUGUUGUUGAGUGUGUAUGUUACAUUAAUUGUAACAUAACAUUUGCCUAUUAAUAAUAAGUCCAAACCCUUUAAAAACUAUGAGUAGUUUGGUGGACCGGACUUGAGCCGGGCCUGGCUUCCACAAAUUUUUUAAAAAUAAAUUUUUAAUACAAAAAUGCAAAAACGUCUCAACUAAACAAAAGAUGAAUACACUUCAGCCCUUUUCGAGGUUGAUUUCAUUAGAUUCUUUAAUAACCGUCAUAAAAUGCAAAAGUUUGAUAUCUAUGGACCAAUGUUCGCCGUUCUUUGCCAAAAGAGCAGCCUGAAAAACUCGAUAAUCUACACUGAGUGGGUUCGAGCGGUUGGAGCUGAUUCGCACGGCUUCAAGUGGCUGGGUUCACGUCGAACUGGUGCUGGGUUCAAUGUUGGCUGCUGCUGCUGCUGCAGUGGCUUCGUGAAUCGUGGCGUUGUGCUGGCCGGGUUCGUUGGUGGCUGCUGCUAUGGUGACUUCGCGAGGCUGCUCGGUUCGCGAAUCGCUACUUCGCUGCUGCUGGUGUUGUUCGUGGCUGCUGGAUCCGGUGAUGAUUGGUCGUGUGGGUGCUGCUGCCGUGCUAGUUUUGAUCGGUUGGGUGAUGGCUGCUUGAGAGAUGUGUAGGAAGUGCACACUGCACAACAUUUAAUUUUCGAGAUGUUUCUUUUUUCUUUUUCUUUUUUUCUUUCUUUUGAGAAGAAAUGCAAAUUAUGAAGAAAUUUGUGCUUUUGGCGGCGAGUAUAGAGUUGCAAAUUCAGUAUUCCGAUUAGACAAAUCUCCAUCAAUCUAAAACUCAGACGAUGAUGGCUGCAAUUGUUGCGCGGCUCGUGGGCGUCAGGGAGUGAGGAUGCUUUUGAUUUUGUUAUUUUGUGUUUUCUUUUAUUUUUUUUUUCCAUUUAAAUUUAUAUAUUUUCUGCAAAGGCCCUAAACCAGGCCCAACAUUUAUGGGCUACAUUUUUUGGAGCCCAUAUCUGUGACUUUGUCAUGCGGGCUGAGCUUAAAGUCUGCGGGCUUGGGCUGGGUCAGUCCGGAUUUUUUUGUUAACCUUAAUUAUUUCACCCUUGUAAGAUAAAAGUAUCAAAACAUUUAAACAUUUACUUUAAUUAUUUUGAUAUAGUUUUUUUUAUAUGGAAUGAUGUAUAAUAAUAAUUUAUUAGUAUGAUUAUUAAUAUUUCACUAAAUUAACAAGAUACAAUAAGGACACGUGGAUUAUUGAAAAUGAUUAAAUUAUAUAUUAAAUAUGUUAAAUUAUAAAAUAUAAAACUAAAGUAAUUUGGUUAUUUUAUAUUAUAAGGGCACAAUAGUCAAAUUAUACUUAUUUUAAAGCAACCGUGAAUAGUUAAUGAUUGUUAAAAGACUAGGUCUGGAAAAAAAAAGUAUUAUAAGACUGAUUUAAUUGAUUAAUUUUUCAAACUUAUUAUCAAUUUGUAAUUCUAUAAAAUAAUGUGAAUUUAUUUUAGUUAUUUUAUGGAGGUGAGGUGGAUUUAUAAAAAUGGUGGGGUGGAAAUAUCCACAUCCUUAUAUUUGCAUAUUUUUACUCUUUUUUCCCUUAUUUCACAUCCCACUCGAUGCAUAAACACCAAUUAAAUCCUCUACGGGAUUGAUUUGACCUCUUGUUUUCAGUGCAAUAGCCAAACCAACUCUGCUUAUUCCCUAAAAGAUACAAAAGUUACUUUCUCACUAAUUGUUAUUGUUAUGAUAUUAAAAUAAAAAUAAUUAAUAAUAUAUAAGGCAAGACAAAUGAUGAUUUGCUUUUUGAAAGAAUUCACUUUGUGGGGUGGAAAAUUUUUUUUUUAAUUGUGUUUAUAUUUCAUCCCAAGUUCUGAUGGGUUUUGUCGCUAUGUUUUAGUUUUUCCUUUAGUGAAAUAAAGGAAAAACUAAAGUCUGAUUAUGUUCAUGCCAUAAAUUUGAUUAGUACAAAUGUUACAAACUUCCUCAAAUUCUCUCAAAAUGCAGACAUGGAUUUUUAGACUCAAAAUUGUGAAAAGUAUGUAGAAGUUGAAUGACACUAGGUUUGAAAUUAAAACAUGAUGGAUUAGGAGAAAAAAAUUAUGCAUGAUGUUGCUUCUAUUCUAGUAAGAUUCAUGAAAUCUCUAAGUGUCCUAGGUUGAUCAUGAAUAUUUUGUAGUGCUUGGUUAUCCCCUUGCACUGAAAAGUUAUCAACUUCGUUGUCUAUCAUGUCUAAGGGUAGUGAAGGUGAUCUUCUAAUUAAUCUGUCACCAUUAGUACGAGACCAACAUCUCAUACAAUGCUAAUGAUGUGUGAGUGUGUGUCAAAUUAAGUGAAGACAAUGAUGUACAAUCAAAUGAGUAAUGCAUGAAAUAUGAAAUAAAAAUUGCACAAAAUUAAAAAAUGUAAACAAACUAAAAAUUAAAUAAGCAACAAUAAGAAUCUACAAAAAUAAAAAUAAAAAAUAAAAUGAAAAUUAUUAAAAUAACUCAACAAGCGAUAUUGCAAAACUAAGAAUUUAAAUUAAUUAACUAAACAUAAAAUAAUAACACAUCCACAAAAUAACAAUGUAGGCGGUAUUAUAAAAUCAGUCAUUAAAAAAAUAAAAUUUUUUAAAAAAAGAAAUUAUAACGAGAAAUAGAAGGAUACACUUACCUCAAGAUGUAAAAUUGACUUUUAAAAAUUAUCAACCAAUUAAGCAAUCAAUUUAAAUUUAAUCCUUAAUUAUAUGUUUCAAAGUGGAAAAUCCAAGUCCAUUUAGUCCACAAUCUCUAAAAAGUUCAAGUUCAUUUAGCCCACAAUGUAAUAUACGCACUUGGACUUUCUUAAUAAAGUGCCGAUUUUUAUUUUCCUCUUCUCUAUUAAUUUUUAAUUUCGUCACUAUAGUUUAAUUGGGAUAAAUUGAGCUCGAUUACACGCGUCGAUGGCCGGAUUUUAUUUUUAUCACGGGUCCGAAUUGAGCUUAAUUUGUAUUAAGCUUAAAAAAAAAAAAGGGGGCAGAAAACCCAGUAACCCGCGGAUUAACCCGACGAUUUCUCCCAACUCCAGCCACUUUACCGGCCGUGCUUGGUACCGAUCUGAAGCUUGGAAGCAGACCGUCGUAUCCCUGCUGUUAUCGUCGCCGGAAACUGGCCAGAACGCCGGUGAUCGAGCUCGAAAAGUCGCGGCUUCGACCCGUUUUCGUUGCCGUUGAUCCCGCCGGAGUUGUGACGCGCCACCACUUGGAACUGGUUCCUCACAUCCCCAGCAACAUUUCCCGACCAGCAACGACCGCCGGGGACGCCCGGAACUCGCCGAAUGAUCUCCGAAAAUUUGCGGAACUUUGGAACUUCGAUCCGCCGCCGGUAGCGCGGCCACCACCGUUGGAUUCACCGAGGUCGGAACUAGCAGACCUAAGUUCCCCAUCGUCGUUGACUGAAGUCCGGUCACCGUUGACCGGCGAGGGGCAAUUCGGUAAAUUCAUGGACUUUUGGGGGUGAUUGUGUAAUUUUAUGUAAAUAAUGGACAUUUUGGUAAUGUUGGUUGAGGGCAGUGAAGUAAUUUGUGAUUUUAAGGGUAAUUCGGUGAUUUAACUCGUUAAGGACAUUUCGGUAAUUUUACGAACCGAGGGUAAUUUCGUAAUUUCGGACAAUGUGAUUAAUUUAUGUAAUCUGAAUUGAGGACAAUAUGGGUAUUAACGAAUAUGAGGAUAAUUUGGUAAAAUCAUGAAGUUUGAGGAUAAGUUGGUAAAAUAUUGAUGUUGGGGGUAUUUUGGCAAUUUUGGCCUAUAGGGGCAUUUUGGUAAUUUUAUACAUGCGGGACUAGUUUAUCGUUAAUAGAUAUUUGUUUCGAGAUUUAUUAUAUUAAUUGGUUUUUACGGAGAAUAAUUAUGGUGUUUUCCGUGAUUAGGAGGAUCCGCAUCCGCGAACGAGAAUCUACCCGCGGACGUUGUUGAUACUGAGUCUAGACAUCAUCACUGUGAGUGGAAUAUACAAAACCUAUUUUCAUAGUAUAUGCUGAUUUUCUUAUAUAGUACAGUAUGUUUGAGAAAUAAAUGUUUAAUGCGUUGAUUUAAUGAUUUUCCAGCGAAUUGACUUUUAUUUAUGUGUUGAUAUUUAUUAUGAUUGAGAAUGAGUUCGAUUUAUGAUUUUAUUAGCGUUUUUGAGUAAAAGCAUGAUAUUAGAAUUGAGCAGACUUGAGAUAUGUUGAAUAGAAAGAAAAUGAGAUUUCAGAUGGGAUCAUAUGUUUACUAUUAGUUUUGAAAUCAUUAGACAGUACCUUUCCCUCCAGAUACAGAGAUACAGAUAAAAAGAGAUACAGAUAAGAGAUACAGAUAAGAUGAGAUAGAGGCCUUUGGGGCCCGUCGGGACACACAUAGAGGCUUUGGGCCGUGUUUUCGGGCGCUUUUGCCUUUUGGGGGCUUAUGCAUGCACAGUACAGAUAUAUGAGAUAAGAGAUAUGAGAUAUGAGAUGAGAACGUCCCCAUCUAUCCGUUGUGGCUCCGGGGCAUGACGUUACCCAGAUAGUGCGUCAUUGCCUGGCCGUUGAAGCCUGGAUAUGAUCAGAUUAUUCCCUGGGUACUUGUUUGAUGACAGUUUUUAGUAUUCAGUAUUUAAUAUGAGUAUGGUGAUUUCAUCGAUUUUAUGCAGAUUUAUUAUUGCAGUUAUUCAAUUUGAAUUAAAUGAGUUUAUGAUAUUUUGAGAAAUUGAUUUGAGAAUUGAUUUACGAAAUUGAAAUUGAUUUAAGAAAAGAUUUGAGAAAGAUUAAAUGAUUUUGAAUAAUUUAUUAAAGUAUCAGCACCUACUAUCCACUCACUGAGCUCACAGAGUUUUAUACUCACCCCUCUUUUAUUAUAUUUUUUCCCCCCACAGGAGAUUUACAGGUACAUCAGUCAACCCAGUAGUGAACGUUAGUUUGAUAUUGUGGUCACGUGAUGGUGCUAGAAGUCGUGGAUUUUAUUAUUAUAUUCGAAAUUUGUGUUAUUAUUUUAUGUUAUUAAGGAUAAUCGUUGUAUUUUAAUAUUCGGAUGAUUUUGGUGAUAUUUGAUAAGUUGAUUUGAGAAGUUGGUUAUGGAGGAUGUUUGGUUAUUAAAUUAUUUCGGGAGUGUUAUUUUGUCAUUUGCAGGGUUGGAUAUGUUUUAUUUAUAAGGGAGACUCUGCCGAAAUUUUUUUAUAGAUUUGUUAUUAAUUCGAUUUUACGAGUUUAGAUAGACUCGCCCUGGGGGAGGUUGCGGGGCGGGUCGUUUCACACAAUGUUCAAAAGUCCAAAGAGUAAGUCACAAUUCAUACAUCCAAAUUCCAAUUUCAUAUAGGGACUGAUUUGUAAGAAAUUUUAGGCCAAAAUAAAAUUUUCAUAAGCUUUAUGGUAGUAUACUAAUUUCAAGAGAAAGAAGGGAGCUAAUUGAAAUUUUUUAAAAAGGGAAAAACACUAGAAUUAAGCAAAGGAAUGAUAAAAAGAUAAAUAAAGAGCAAAACUAAUAAAUGAGAAUAGAAAAUAAAAAAUAAUAAAAAUGAAAUUGAUACCAAAUUUAGAAAAUUCUAUAAUAACGAAGUAAAAAACUUAACAUGAUUCAAAAGUGUUGAUUACUCCAAAGUAUAAGGGUGUCCAAUUAUAAUAUAACCCGUUGAGUCGGAAGUCGAACCGCAGGAAAUUUAUAAAUCUAGUAAUCAAUUAUUAAAUAAAAAUUAAUUGCAUAAAAAGAAAUUAAUAGAGACUAAUCUAGAAAAUACAAAGGUUACAAGAUCCACUCUCGGUUUUUAAAUUAUGGUCAAAAUACUCUCUCAUAUUUAUAUUUUGCAUUUUUUUAGCUAGUUAAUUACUAUGCUGUUUAAUUCUUAAUUGGUCAUCUGUAUGGAUAAAUAUGAGAUUAAGUACCUAAUGUGUCAAAAAUAUAUCGGAGUGUCAAUAUUAUGUCUUAAUUCAAUAUAGAUCCAAGAGAAUUUAGAUUUAUAAAUUAACAUGAUAUAAAAAUAACUAAUGAAGAAAACAAAUACGAAUUAUAAUCAUAUAACAAAAUAAAAUAAACUUUAACUAGUGUGGUUGGAGCCUGUUUGGUUUAGUGUUGGACCCAUGUCAUCACGUAAAUUCGCUAUUUUAUCAAGCACAAGUGAUGGUAAAGGAAUAGAAGCAUUGGUGGUAAUCUUUAGGGAGGAUAUGGACAAAUUUGAACAAGACCGUAGCAUCAUGGCUCAUGCUUCAUCUAACCCUAGCAUACUUGUAAAAUAGUGGUAAGGAGUCAGCUUCCGGCCUAGCAUAAAAAUUCGAGAUUAUAGUCCAAGAGAAGUUCACAAUGCUGUAAACCGUCUUUUUCAUUAUUUUACAACAUUGUAAUUAAACUCGUCACGUAAAAUUUUCAUAAUAGCAAGAGACUUUAUUUAUUUUAAUUAUCUUUAUAAACUUGAUGUCGAAUGCUACUGCAUGUAGCUAAUUGAAUGGUUGUAUAAUAAAUAUCAUUUAUCUCUAUUAUAAUCUCUAACAAUUAUUGGUCUUUCGAGGUUAAUUAGCUAGGGUUAGAACAAGUGAAAAGAAAUGCUAAAUGAAAUAAAUUUGAGUUGGACAAACAUAUAUACGAGUCAUUCGUGUGACAUAUGGAUCCCAAUUUUCUUCUUACUUAUUCUUUCCCUGUCUCCUGAUUUUUUUUUUUAACAAGCUCUAUUUGUACAAAUAUCUGAACGGUCUAAGAUCAAUAACAGUUACACACAAAUAUCUAAAACUAAACUUAUUGGCCUCCACACACUUCUAGCUUUACUCUUUCAAAAACAGUAGACACUACGCAACCAUGUACGUGCUAUAUAUAUCUUCAAUGGGCUCUGAGAAAUCAGCCGUUUCAUUCACUUCUUAGAGAAAUCUGCCAAAGGGGAUAAAGAAUCAAGAUUAACAACGCAUAAAAUAAAUCACACACCAUGCAACAGAGAUACAAUAAUUUAUAUCCGCUACAAGAAAUCUGCAUUAUGACAGCAUGUGAAAAGUGCUGCAAACGUUGUUAUGAAGAAUGCUGUAAAAAGACGCAAUACUUCUGAAGCAUUUCUUUUACUGCAGAAUCCAUAAUAUUGCACCAGCUAUGGAAGACGGCAACUACCUGAACAAUGCGAAAAUAAUGAUAUUGAAUCCAAGCACGGAUAUUAUCAGAUUAAUCAAACUUAAAAUUCAUCUGUAGAAUGUCAACAUUGAAACACUAUUUCCCUUCUUUUUAUGGAUCAUUCAGCAGUCUCACUGCAAAAUCAACAAACAUUAUCAGAACAUAAACAAUUUCAUGCCCGUUCAAAUACUAGGAACAAUAUUAAUAUUCAAUACUAGCCGAAUGUUGCCUUUAAUAUUAUGAAUUAACAAAAUUAUUGAUCAUUACAUUCGUCAUCAAAUCCAGGCUUUAGGAUGGCUUACAGACCAUCGGUAAUUGCAUCUAUCUUUUUCCUAUGAGAUGGAAAAUAGUACAAUAAUUAAAAUUACUGUGCAAAAUUAACGUUAAUAGUGAAUAAAGCUGCUCACAGAUAUGGGGAAAGCUGUAAAUAACUACAGAACCAUGUUGUGUAACACAUCCACAUUCUAUCAAAACAAAACUGCUCUCAAUUGACAAAUUGAUAAAAUCAAAAGGUAAAGAGCUUGGGUGAUUUAAGCUAUUGACUAACAGGCGUUCUUAAUCGGAGAUGAGUUACAACUCAUCUUUCUGUAAUUAGAAAUUUAGGAGAUUAGAGAAAAGUAAUGAGGAAAAACAAUAUUGUGAAAUGGGUGGAACAUGUUGAGAUAAUUUUGGGUAAUAAUUAAUAAAGCUCAAAAUAGAAAAUAAGCAACAAAAUGUUUUUUAUUAUUAUUUUAAUAUUUUAUUGUUUUGGCUCCUCUAAAGUUUUUUCAUUACGACAAAAUUUUCUUUUAAGAAGAAAGAAUGGAAGAAUUUCUAAAAAGACGGUAUAUAGGUUCAAUGAUACUUUUGAAAGUCAAAAUUGAAGUCAGGCACUUAAAAUUGUAGAUUUUGAAAUAUCUGAAGAUUAGAUAUCAAAAUUCAUUAUAGUUAAAUUUGAUUGAUAUACAUCUUCCAUUAACAUAUAGCAUGGCACGCUGGGAUCCGGAGAAAUAUGCACAAACUAGUCUAAUAUCUUUCACUUGCUAAGCAAAAUUACAAAACCAUUUUCAAUGGCCAUAAAAUACAGCUAAUAUUAUUUGGCUCACACAUUCAUCUUAUACAUUUCACAUAAUAAAUUAAAAUGCAAGUAAAAUAUCAUCAGAGUUGAUGAUCGUUAUCAGGCGAGACAGGAGUGGCAAGUAAGCACAAAUCAUUUUUCCUUGAGACAAUGGCUCCAAAAGCCUCACUCAUGUCAAGAUCCUGCGAUGCAAUUCCACCAGGGAGUUCCCAUUCAAAAUUAUAGAGAAGCUGAGCGAGAGGCAGCUCAAUGUUAGCUAGACCAAAUGCUAUGCCUGGACACAUCCUCCGUCCUGCCCCGAAUGGAAUAAAUUCAAAGUCAUUUCCCUUGAAAUCGAUCGAAUUGUUGCCUCCGUUACCAUUAAAUCUCUCAGGUACAAAAUUCUCAGCUUCAUUCCAGUACUUAAAAUCUCUUCCAAUAGCCCAUGCAUUUACUACAACUCUGGUCUUUACAGGAAUUUCAUAGCCUUUUAUCUCGCAUGCCUCCCUGGUCUGUCGUGGAACUAAGAGUGGAUUUGGUGGGUGCAAUCUUAGAGUUUCUUUGAUGAUCAUUUUCAAGUAAUUUAGUUCCUGAAUAUCUGCCUCCGAAAUAUUUUUAUUUCCCUUGAGUGCUUCUCUUACUUCAGCCUGUGCCUUCUUCAUCACUCCAGGGUUUCUCAUCAACUCUGACAUUACCCAUACUGUCGUUGUGGCAGCAGAUUCUGUUCCCCCAGAAAAUAUGUUCUAGAAAUUAAAAAUAUUGGAUGUUAAAUAAUUUUGUUUAAUAAAUUAAAACCUAAAAUGAAAAGUUAUAGGAAAAAUGACAGAUGAUUUGACAAAACGGUAAUAGAAACCCUUAAUUUUUUAACGGCAAUCACAUGUGAACUCCUUCUUUAGCAAUUAUGCAUAAAUGGAAUACAAUUACGUAACUAGUGCGUAGUCAAAUGGUAUAUUGUUAUUAAAGGGGUUUAUGUUACCAUUUUAAAAAUAAAGGACAUCUCUAACUAUUUUUUUUUUGUUUUUUAUAAAAUGGUAGAAUAGUAGGAAAAAUCUAAAUUGAACUUUUAAACCCUACUCUCAGGAUUUGAACUCGGCAAUUAGUUAAAGAAAACUACUUGAACACCACUUAGUUAAAGCCCUGGAGGCAUAAAUAGUGAUUCAAUUAAGAAAAAAUGAAGUCAUUUAUUUAUAUGCUGAUUUUUAUUUAAGAAAACAAACUUAUAUAUACUAACCCAAAUAAUAGAUUUGAUGUUUUUGGUAGUAAUAGGAAACCCCAAACUGCUGGUCUCUUGAAGCCUUAAGAGCACAUCAACUAAAUUUUCUUCUCCAGAAGCAGAAGCAGUAGCAGUAAUUUUCUCCAAUUUCAUGCUCUCCCUACGCUGGUUGAUUAGAUUAUCUAGGAUCUUGUCUGCUUUACCAUGAAGCUUCAAUAUCUUAGCUUCCAUCCCGCUAAAAAAAUGAAUAAAUUUUAGCGAAGGAAACACUUCUACCAAAGAAAAACCUCCAGCCAGUUUGCAUAUUUCUUUGUCUAGUGAUACAAACUCAUCUUGUUGCUCAAAUCUGCUCCCGAAUGCAGCCCUGAAAGUCACUGUGCUUGUGAACGAAACCAUCAUUUUAGAGAGAUUAAUUGGUUGAGAAUUUGAAGUUGCAGACGCGGAGCGAAUGGAUUCAAUUAGAUUCAAUGUCUCAUCUUCACGAAUAUGAGCAAAUGACUUGACUCUUUUGUUACUUAGCAGCUCCAAAGCGCACAGUUUUCUCAUCUGCCUCCAAUAAUCACCAAUAGGUGCUGACACAAUAGGCAUGCCAGUUUUCUCGUACAAAACCUUGAAGGCUAGAAAUUCUGGCCUAUCCGCGAAGGCCAGAUCAUGUGUCUUCAUAACCUCUUUGGCUAACUCCGCAGAAGAGAUUACAACCAUCGAUAUUUCUCCCAAUUGAAGUUUAAUUAUAGGCCCAUGUUUUCUAGCUAUUUCUUUGAGAACAUGGUGUGGCUGCGAGCCUAUCAUGUUGUGCAAGUUGCCGAUAAGAGGAAGUUUCAGUGGCCCAGGGAGGGAUUUCGUAUUAGGGUUUUGGGAUUGGAAUACUAGUUUGAAGAAGAAGAUUAGACAGAUGACAGAAAAGGAUAGACUGAAAAGAAACUGGAGCUCCAUCGCGUGGAGAAAAAGAGAAAAAGAGAAAAAGAGAGGAGAAAUUAUCUUUCUAGGAUGUAUGUAAGCUAAAUUUUCUUGAUCUCUUCUUAUCAAAUAUCGUAUUCAAACUCAAAAAUUGAAGUUUAUGUAUUGGAAAAUGACAUCUAAACUCCCAAAAUUUGCCCAAAUAUAGAAACAAGAGACGGUUAAUUGCUAUGAUUUCAAAAAUAAACAUAUAGAUCCCUGUUCAUCUUUUCACUAUAACUCCUUUUCUUAUAGCUACAUGUCGAAAAUGAUAGAAGAGUUGAAAUUGGGCCAUGGACUAUAAAACUUGCCGGAAUAUAUAUAAGCUAAAUUAAUUUUAUUGAUCUCGUAUUGUAUUUGACAUUAGACGGCGACGUCAAGUUUCAAUGGUAAAAAGUGGUCACUCAAAGACUCAUGUUUUAGGUUCGAGCCUCACUAAUGUGUGUGAGUUAAUUAAAUAAAAAAAUAUAAAUUGUAAAAAUGAAAGUUGAUGCACCGCGAAAAAGACAUCUAAACUCCCUAUAAGAUUUACUCAAAUAUACAAAUAAAAUAUACAAAUUGUACUUGACACAUAAAAUGAAAGUUGAUGCACCGCGAAAAAAAAAUCUAAACUCUCUAUAAAAUUUACUCAAUUAUACAAAUAAGAAAUACUAUUUUAAAGACAACUAUUUUUUUUUACUAUUAUACGCUUUUAUUAUACAAACCCCUGAAAUUGAUUUUAAAAUUUCAUAAAAAUUUAACGUACAUAUAAUUAAAUUUUAUAGUAAUUUUAUUUACUAUAAAAAUCUAAAGUCAGUCUUUGGCGAACAAAUCCUAAUAUUGAAUAAAAUUAUUUAUUUAGGGAUACUUUUGGAUUGUUGCUGCUUAUGAAAUAAUCCACUUCUGCAGUGCUGAUGAGAUAACAAAUAAGAUAAAAAGAAGUUAAAUAUUUGUUCAACUAAAUUACUGAGAGUGUUAUGAAUUUCAAAAAUAGAUUAUCUGUCCCACUCCCACAAGUUUAAUAGAGUUUUUCAGUCCCACCUUGACUCAUUGAAAAUUGAUACACUUUGUUAAUUACAAUGGUUCAAUGCAUACGCAUGUGAAAACAACAUGAUCAUUUGACUUCCACAGAAACAUACAAAGGAAGCUUCCGUUUGAUUGAAAUGAAUCAACGAUUAUUUUAUCCGAAUUUUAUGAUAACAAAUAUACAGUAAUAAUUGAUGGUUAAUGAUAAAGGAAAAUGAGUAUACACUGUUGGGAUCAUCUAAAGACACGCACAAGACUUUUUUACCAGAAAUGAUCGAUCUGUCCUUCAUUUUCCCUUCUGAUUAAUUUUUCAAAAGUCCAAGAGUUUCAUAUUAUAAUCUUCCAAUUUUAAUUUGAAAUUUAUCAAUUAAGCUAUUAAAAUAAGUCAAUUAAAAAAGUCCCAACCUUUUGAAGGGACGUUCAAAUCAAACAUUUAUGGUUGAAUUAAGUUUAAUGGUUCAAGUAACAUUUUUUUUUUCUCUCUUAGAGGCUUGGUUGAAUGGUUUUCAAAUAACUUUAUUUAGAGAACUUCUAUAAAACAUUAGAAAUAAUACAAAUAAUUAAUGUAUGUAUGAAACGUGUAGUUGAAUUUUAUAUAACCACCAAUUGCGUUCUGGUUCUUCAAACUAAAUACACAUAUGUCAUAAUAUUAUUUAUUUGUUGUUUGGCUAAUAUGAUACCUCGGAAUAUUCUAGAAUUUCUCAUUUAUUUGACUGGUCACCUGAAAGAGACAAGGGGAUAAAAAUUCAUUUGGACUUUACUCAUCCCUAAACUUUAUUUAAAAAAUAAAAGUCCAGUUGUUCAAGCAGCAAUUUCACUGUGUUGUAUAUUAGAAAAUUUCAAAGGGAGAAAGAUAAAUAUUUAUGUUUCUCACGUUUGCACUUAGGUCCCUAAUUUUUUUAAUUCUCGGUACAACCCCAAUGUUAGAAAAUGUAAUAAUUAAAAAAAAAGUUUUUUUUUAAUUCUUUUUCUAUUAUAACAUUGUUGUCAAUCAAAUAUAUAAUUUGCAUGCUAUUGAGUUAUUGGUCUUUUUCUAUUAUAACCUUAGUGGCACUGAAGACGAUGAUGUUGCUUGAAAUAUAUAGAAGUUAACGAGUAUUGACUUUAAUUGAUUUAUUUCUAGUUGUAAGUUGAUGGUUUUGUCCAUGUUAACAACUCAUAUAUUUUAAAUGAGAAUUUUCAAAUUAAAAAAGUACAUAAGUUUCGUAUAUAUAAUUAAAAAAUAAUAGGGUUAUAUUCAUAGUAUGAUGAUAAAUUAUUUGAAUUAUAAAUAUAUGUUGUCUUUUUUUUUUCUUUUUUGACAAGUAAAUGGAUUUUCUUAAGACUUAAAGACCAAGAGUUUACUAUUGUAGUAUGGUAGGCAUUAUGGUAGUAAUAAUUUGAGGGGGAAAUUUUAUUAGAUAGAGUAAGCCUAUUGCUUGAUAGACUAAAGUAACAAGCAUUGGCCUUAAUUCUGGUCAUUGUUCAUAUUUCCUAACUACAUUUGUAGCAUUACUUAUAAUUAGUUUAAGCUUAUUUAUUAUUAUUGAAUAAAAUUAACUAGUAUAUUUAGUGCAAGCACCAAUAAUUUGUUGUUAUUUUCUUUUUUGAAUGACAUUAUACUCUACUGCUAUUUACAAUUAGAAUCCUAUUAAAAUCUUGUCAACCAACUCUAUGAUGGUAGAGCUUAGCUAUAUGGUCCCAAACUCAUUGGAUCUACUUUUAAAUUUUUUGAAGAAAAUCAACCUACUACGUAAAUGAGAGGACUCCAACCCUCAACCUCAAGAGUGAAGUAAGGUGAUUCCCACUUGUCAACCAUAAGAUAAUUUACAAAUUUAUCAGUGCGUAGUACUUCUCAUACAAGAUUUCUUGCUUUAUUAGUUUACGGAAGAUACAUUAAAAAUGCUUUUCUUCUGAAUAAGUUUUGGUGCCGUUUGCAUAUUUUGUUGGCAGUUAUCGUAAAAGCUCUAAUCUCGACCGUCGAGUUCCAUAUUUCGUAUACUCACUUCAAAACUAAUAAAUUCUGUAAACAAGUCACCAUAGAGUAAUUGUCAUGCCGCUAGCAUUGUCCUGCAAAUUUCCAAUAAUAGCAUCAUAACCCGUAAGCGUGAUUUCAAAGAAUAUUUACAACGUCUUAAAGACUUAAACUAGCAAAACAAAAAGCGCUUGAUGAUUCCUGCAAACAUCAAUCGAACGAGAAUUUGUUUUUAAAUAAAGAGAAUCAAAUAAGACUUAGGAAGAGAGAAAUAGGUGGCAUUAGAUGUUUUGUUUGAAUUCUAAAUAGAACUAAAUGUCUGAAUUCUGAAUUGAACUAAAUGUCUAAAUUUGAAUGAUAUGUUUGUUUUCUUAUCUGAAUUGCUAAAAAUAAAUAUUAAACUGUUUAUUUUUUCAACUUAAAAAAUUUAAAAACUAGUAUUUUUACAUUUAUGUCCUUACAAAUUAUAAUGUAAAGAUAAUACAUUAUCAAUAUAUAAAUUAUGCUUAAUUUAUAGAACCUUUUAUAUUCUAAAAUAGUAUAUGUUAAUUAAUUUUAUCACGGUUUAUGAUCUUUUCAUAUGAAAAAUAUUUAUAAAAAAUUAUGAAGAUAAAUAAAGCUAAUUUGAAGAAAAUAAAAGGAUAAAUAAUAAUAGUCAACUACUAUAUUAUCACAAGUUAAAUUUUAUUUAGAUAAUGAUAAAAAUUAAUUAAUUAGAUAGGUAUUUUUUGAGAAUAUCUUUCAGUGAGAUCAUUUAGAGUUUUAAGAUUAAGAAAACAACUAAAAAAAAUAUUUUAAUAAUUUAAUGACUUAACGACUGAAAAUUUUCAUUAAGUUAAAAUACAAAUAGACUUAAUGGAUUAACUGACUGUACGUCAAUUAUAUCAUUAAGUCAAAAAGCAACCCCCAUAAUUAGCAUUGCUUCUUGAAGAAUUAUACAACGAAGAAUAUAAGACAAAAUGGACAUGAAAAGGGGACCAAAUUAGUAGAUUUUGGACACAUCACGCAUGGAAGCUAUUGAUGAAAAUAAUCAGACAAUGAUAGCAACAAAAUUAUAAAUCAAAAUAAUUGAUUAUUAUCUCUAUCUUUUUAAAUCAUUAUAAAUAUUGAUUAAUUAUCAUCAACAUUGAUUGACUCAAUCUUAAAAUAUGAAUCAAAUUACCAAGUAUCAUAUCAACUGUAUAAUUUUUAGUUUUAUUUUUUAAAAAUUAUAUAAAUUCAUAUUAUAAUCCAGUACUUAAUAGAACUUUUACUCAGUUUUUAAGGAUAUAUUUACAUCUGUCAUAUUUUGCAAUUAAUGGUUAUUGUUUGGGGUCUAGCUACUAUCCAACCGUGAUUUGGUACUCCAUUUUUUGUCUUUUUGUGAUCCAACCAUUAGAUUCAACCCAAGAGUUGCAAAAGCUAUUGUAAGGAUUUAAUUACUUGGUCAUUAAUGUUGCGGCCCCUCAUUUUUCUAAAAAUUAUAAGGAAAGGUUAGUUUUCAAAAUUUUUUCACAUAAGUCCAUUAAAAGGUUUUAUUAUCUUUAAAAGGAUCAAUGGCAACUUAGUAAAUAAACAUAAUUAAUUAUUAAAAAUAUAGAUGGAUUAUUUUAAGUUGCUAUAAUACUCUCCACAUCCAUUUACUUAAAAUACAAAUUGGAUUACAAUAUUGUUCUCUUGUGUUUAGUUUAAUGCAUGAUUGGACAAAGUUUUAUAUAAGUUUUGACAAUAUUAAAAUUAAAAAUAAAUAAAUAUUAAAUAAGUACUUGAACGGUAAUUUAAGUUUUAUUAUAGAGUUUAUAAAUGCUAUUUUCAAAAUAAUAGAUUUCUAUAUGCAACUUUGAAAUUAUGUAAAAUUACUCAUACCUCAUCACAUAUAUGGAGCUGAGAUAAUAUUUAGAAAAAUAUAAUCUCAAUUAUUUACUUAACAUGAAAAUGAAUAAAUUGUAUAAUAUUUAUUCUAUUACAUAAAAUUAAAGUUGUGAAGAAUGAAACUUAAAUUUAAAAUUGUAAAAUGAAUAAUAACUUAAAUUAAUGGAUUAUGAGAGAAUUAUCUUUCAAAAAUAAUUUUAAGAUUAAUUAGCUUUUAAGGCUUCUAACGUAAUCUUUUUUAUCUCGUGUUGUUAACAUAAAAUAAAAAUUUUGCUGUAAAAAAUUAUCCUAAACAUCUCUUUAAGGUGAAAAUAUCAUUAUCACAUGAUAAUUUAGUAGGUCCAAGCUGUGUUAUUCUUAGUUUACUUAUUUAUGCUAAACACCAUAUUAUGAUUAAAUUUUAGUAAAAUAAAUCCAUCCCACCAUCUUUAACUUCAUUGAGCAGGUUUUAAUUGUCUAUAUCUUAUUAUAGAAAGUAAGACAGCUCCUUUCUUAUUAUAUUGGUAAAGAAGAAAAGAUAAACACAAUAGAUGUUUUUUAAGAGAAUGCAAGCAUUAUUUUUAUGAGGUUUUGUUGUUUAAGAAAUUAAUCUAAUUUAUGUGAUUAAAAAAUCUCUUUAUUCUUUUAUAUUUUAGAAGAAUUAUAUGUUUGAAAAUGAAUAAAUUAAGAUCUAAAGGAGGAUGAAUUGAUUGAGAAGGAGAUAGAGAUAAUAAUUUUUUUAAAGAAUUUUAAAAUUAUUAUAUUUUAAUUAGGGCUUAUUAUAUAAAAUUAUUGAAACUUAUAAUUUUUAUUAUUUAUAAAAAAUAGCAGCUACUGAUGAAGAAAAUGUCGAAUUAAUUUUUUUGAAUUUUAAAAUUAUUAUAUUUUAAUUGGAGUUUACUGUGUAAGAUUUUUAAACUUAUAAUUUUUACUAUUUAUAAAAACAAUAAGACUGUUAAAGAAAAUGUCAAAAUUGAGUGUAUGGUACAAUUGAGGCAACAUAGGUUUGUCCGUUUGGUUUGUUUCGUUUUUUAACUUUUUAGUUUGUUACCUUUGCCAAAAACGCCUCGUUUUGGAAUGAAUCUUUGACUCCAAAAAGGCAAAAGAUCCUGCUUUUCUUUCAGAAGAGACCGCGUGUUUGCUUUCUGCCUCGGCUCUUCCUUCUUCAUCUUACGCACUUGACUUCCAUCAUCAUCAUCAUAUCAAUUGAAGAAAUUUCAACAAUCGAAAAAUUCAGUUUGAUUUUUUUUUCAGGUUUUGUUAUUAAUUAAUAUUCUGUUUAUUAAUACUGUAAAUUCUGUCUCUAUGUUUAUGGAAAUCAAUCGGAGUGAAUUUCAUUAGUUUAUGCAUUUCAUCAACGGAUUACUCCAGACAAAUAAUUUGAUUUUGUAGUAAUGGACAUGGUGUGUUGUUUUUAUCUCUUUAGAGCUAAUGCCAUGUCAUAAAUAGAAUUCUCACAAAAAAAAUCAGGUGUAGAUUGAAGAUAGGCAUUUAAAAUUUAGAUUUUGAAAUAUCUGAAUAUUAGAUAUCAAAAAUUAAUUAUCAUUAAUGGCAUAUAUUAUUAAGCAGUAACCUAUGCAAAACAACAUCAUCUUAUUUGUUAUGAGCCAUGGGAUAGAGUAAUGAAUUUGGCCGAAUGGACCAAUCACAUUACUCCGAGAUGAGCAAUAUAGUAAUUAAAUUAAUAUUAUAAAAUACUAUUUGCUUAAAGGAAUUUAGAUGGGGGUGAGAAAUCUCACCUCUAAAUACCAACCUUUCUUCCUAUUAUUAUUUUAAUCAAACGAUGGAUGGUAGCUGAGAUUUUGAUACAACUUUGCAUGUGACACGUCGUUCGCAACGUGCUGUCAAGAGGAACCCAUGCAAGAGGUCACGUUUGCAUACAAGCAUGCAACGGCCACUUAGCCAAAGAUGAAGCCGCGUUUGCAUGCAUGCAUGGAGUCACGUUUGCAUGCAAGCAUGCAAUGCCGACUUAGCUAAGUUCUUGUUCCAUUAUGGCCAAGCAAUCGGGAGUGAUAAUAACCACGUGCAGGAACGUCUCAUGGUUUAUGUUGUUUUUUUCUUUCCUUCAUGGACCAUUAAUUUCGGCAAUAGUUACUAAGUUGGGUGAAUGAUUUGUAUUUAUAUUCUUUGAAAUAAAUUAAAGAAAUAUAUCAAAUAUUUUCAAUGAAUUUUCAGUAUGGUUUUUUUUCAUCCUAAGAGAAUAUUUUUGCUAUCCUUUGCUAUCGUUAACGAACCUUUAACUGGGACCUAUCAGAUUCCAAUGUUUCGACUGCAAAAACUGCUCUAAUUGAAGCUUGCAUUGUCAAAUUUUUUAAUUAUAGAAGAUAUAUCUUUGACUUUUAAGUUUUAUUCUUAGCCAGUGUCAACAUAUACUUGCUUUGAAUAAAAGAGCUGUUAAUUUUUUUAAUUAUAUUUCUUCUCUCUUGUUUUUUUGGGAUUUUUCCGAUUAAUUUCUUACUAUGUUAAAAGAAAUAACGUUUCUAAGAUAUUAAUAUGGAACAGGAAUUCCUGAAUAAUUUCUCUGUGAAACGCUAAUUUUUCUAUUUAUUUUAUUACUUAUAAAGUGAGGAGAUGAGUAAAGCAUAAAUUGAUUUUUUUGGUCCUCUACCUAAUCAAAAUUGAAUAUAAAAAAUCUUUGAAGCCUCUACGUAUAUAUUUAUGUCCUUGUAUGCAUAUAUAAUUCAAAUUUCAACAAAAGUAUCAAAAGUUAUUUUUACGGUUUUUUUGUUUAAUUUCACAUCCCAUCCUAUACAUAAAUAAUAAUUAAAUAAUUUGCUUUUCCAAGGUUGGUGCGAGGGGAAAAUGAUCCUCUUCCUGUGACCUUUGUUCUCACUAUAAGGGGGCAAACCAACCCGACUUAUCCCCUGAAAGAUACAAAGUUAUUUUUUGCUAAUUAAUAUUCUUGUGACAUUAAAAUAAAAAAUAACUAAUACAUUUAUGGACUAAUCUUAAAUAUUAUGUUACUUUCAUAGAAUAUAUAAGUGUUGUGCAAAUUUUAAUAAACUAAAUAUAUAUGCGCAGCUUUGGGGUUCAUUGAAUUCGCCAAUGGAUUUUAUUUUAUUUUAUUCAUUAAUUUCCCUUCUUUCCAUAUACUAAAUAUAUGCUCUUAUAUAAUAAGUAACAAGAAUUAUUAAAAUUUGAUAUAUCUCAAUCUGAUCUUUUUGUUACCGCCAUAUUCAGACUUCAACGCAAGGGGGAGAAUUUUUUUAUUAUUGUCUAUUAUUGAAAUUAUUUAUUUUGGAGCCCCGUCAUUCCCGAUAAUAUUAUGUAUUAUCCAUAUUUCUAAUCACCUUCUUUUGUUGAUUUCUAUCUUUUUAGCCAAUUUGUUUUUAUUUUCUUUACUAUCUUGGAGUUUCAAUCUUAUCGCGAGUAAUUAUGCAAGAAACUUCGCUUGUUUGUUAAACAUUUGGAAUCUGAAAUUUUAUUAAUUUCGGGCCUUUUUCAAGUUUUGCUUUUUUUUUUUUGUAAAUUAUGUUUGAUUUUUAGAAAUUUACAUCAGAAUAGAAAAAAUAUAACUUUGUUGACUUUUAUCUAAAUGAAAAAAGGCGUGAAUAAGAAAUAAAUAUUAUAUUCCAAAAAUAUUUCUAAAAAUAUACUUAUUUGCUGAAUUAUAAGAUUUUUUCUAAUUUACAAGGAAAGAAAUGUCAAAUAAUCAUGUUUAAUAUGUUUUUUAUUUAUAAAAACAAGCAAAAUGUCACUUAUAUUCAAAUAUUAAAAAUAAAAAAUAAAUACGUCAUUUAGAUAUUUGUAUUCAUGCUCAUUCAAAUUUCAAAAAAAAAAUUAAAUUCAUUUAAAUCUAAUAAAAAAACCUAUCUUAUAAUAAAUAUGAUGGAUUAGGCAGCACACACAGUAUGCCACUCAACACUCACUUUGGUGAAUAAUUUCUCAAAGCCAGCAAAAGAUGGUAGUGAUUCUCAAAAACAUUUUGCGACCAACUGCUUCCAAAUUAGUCACUAAUAAUGUCCAAAUCAUCACAAAAAGAAGUAUCAAAAGUGUCGCUUUUGAUGUUCAAAUCAUUUCCGCCGAAAGAGUCAAAUCUUCAUUUCCAACGGAAAAACAUCUUCGAACCUAUAAACUUUCAUUGAUUGAUCAAAUUUAUUCUGAUGUUUACAUUUCCCUAGUUUUCUUCUACUCGGCCAAUUGUAACCACCAAGAUUUCAGGAAAAAAAACCUGAUUUGUUGAAGCAAUCUCUCCCAAAAAUCAUUAACCCACUAUUACCGUUUUGCUGGAAGAUUGAUUGAUAGUUUUUCAGUCGAUUGUAAUGACCAAAGGGCUGCAUUUAUUGAAGCUAAUGUUGGCUGUGUGUUGAAAAGUAAGCUUGUUGGGCACCGAAUUCGGUGCCUACCAAAGCUAAAUUUUCAAGUACAUAAUUUAUCCAAUUCAUCAAUUGGACAAGUUUUUUCAAUGCCUCAAUUUGGCUGGCUGGUGCAAAAUGAUCUCUAUAAAUAGAGAAGCAUUUUGCACUUGUUAGCGUCCCACAUUUUUUAAAACAAUUUUAAGUGAAGUAAUUUGAGAGAUUUGAGAGAGCUUUUACUUGAGUAUUUUAGUAAAAAUACAAUUGGUUGUUUUGUCGUUUUGGUUUUUUGAGUUUUUGGGUUUUGAGAGUUUUUCUUACUUUUGUAAAUUCUCAUUUAUUAGUGAAAUUAUCUUCAAGUCUUUGUCUAUAGACAUAGACGUUUAUGCCAAACCAUGUAAAUUAUUGUGUCUUAUUUUCUUUGCAUUUAUUUAUCACUACAAUUAUAUUUAUCCACAAUUCGCGACCACCAUAAUAUUAGUAACUACUCAACCCGCGCUUCUGUAACAAUUGAUAUCAGAGCAGAUGGUCCCUACUUGGGGUAAAUGACAUUGUUCACAUCUACAAUAUUGUUCAUGUAUAUGGUAUUGCUCAUGAAUACGGUGGACCUAACAGUCCGUACUUGGGAGUAUCAGAAGCCUACAAUGUAGUUGUGUGGAUAAAUGCAUGUCUGAGAAAGUUUUGUCAACAAGACAAUAAGAGUCUAAAGAGUAUGGAUUUCAAGUGGGACCGUUGAGACCCUCCAUUCUCCUGAGAACUUUCUUGGUGCAUUAUCUAUAUAAAUAGACACGUAGACAUUGUUCGUUCAAGUUAGGUAAUUAAAAAAAAGGGAUGGUAGAGGCAUCAUCUUCAUCUUUCUCAACAAAGACUACUGUGACUUCAAAUUUCGACCGUACUAAUAAUUUUGGUAUGUGGUAAUGUGAGGUGUUGGAUGUCUUAUAUCAAUAAGAGUUGUGUUAACAUGAAUAUGUUAAUAAUAUUGAUUUUGAUGAUAACAAACUUUAAAUGGUUUUUUAUAAAAUGUUGGAGCUAUUUCUUAAAUAAACGAAAGCCUUAUAAUCAUUCCAAUUAUAUUCAUAAAAGAUGGACUUUCAAAUUAGAAAAUGAUUCUCUGCAAAAUUUGGUUUAAAAUGUGAUUCUGAAAAUAAACGGUGAACCGUUUUAUUUUAAACGGUUAACCGAUUAAAACCAGAGAGCAACAUAUUGCCUAAGCUCUAACCGAUUAAGCAAAACGGAAAACGCAAAAAGUUGGGAAGGCUACUAGAAUUUAACGGUGAACCGUUUAUUUAAACGGUUAAUCGAUAAAAUCCAAAAUUGAAGAUUGUACUCAUCUGGCACCGAUUAACAAAACCGGAUAAGGCUAAUUUAUUUUGCAGGUUACUGGAAACAAACGGCGAACCGUUUAUUAAAAACGGUUAACCGAUAAUUUCCAGAGAGGUCAUUUCAUGAAAAUCCUUAACCAUUUAAUGUAAACGGAUAACUGAUGUUCAUCUUGCAGGUCUCUGGAAUUUAACGGCGAAAGGUUAACCCUAAACGGCAAACCGUUUAUUUAAAAAUUAGACCAACGGUAACAUUGACCAGAUGAAACGGUUAACCGUUAAUGCCUAACAGCGAACCGUUUUCGAGCAGACAGUCUAUAAUGGCUAGUUUUUUAGCUCCAGUUAUAAAUAAGCUCAUUCAAAAUCAAACAAGAUUGAUCACAACAUAACCAUUGAGCUUAUAUUCGAGAAUACAAUCUUCAUAGAGCUUUAAAACACAUUCUUGCUUCAUCUAUUCACACAUUGAGCAUUGAUUUGUAAUCUUAAAUAUUGUGUGAGAGAAAUUUUUUUUUUAAUCUUUUACUUUGAGUGAUUGUAAGUGUUGGGAUACACUUGGGUUAAGAGAUUGGGGAUAAUCUCUUGUUGUAAAGGUUCAUUGAUACCUUCGAAGUCAAGUGUAAGCAUUUGUAGCCUUGGAGGCUUGCUUAGUGAAAUCCUCAAGCCCAGAAAGCUUGGAGGCGUGGACGUAGGCGAGGUAGGCCGAACCACGUAAAAAUCUCCAUGUUUGAAUCUCUCUUCCCUUAUCUUUUUAUAUUGUAAUUGAUUUAAUUGUUAUUCCAUUAAAUUCAUUUUAGAUUUGCUUGAUAAUUUGUUUUAGAAUCAAAUAAUUUUUAGAAUCCAAAUUCACCCCCCUCUUGAGUUGCACACUUGUAUUUCAAGUUGGACCUCACUUUUGAAGAAAAACUUGACAAGAUAGAUGACAAGAAGUGGAUAAAGAUCAAUAGACAGGCAUAUGGCACUUCUCGCCUAUAUCUGGCUAAAGAUUAGAAAUACUCUAUUAUGAGGGGGAUAUCAGCAAAGAAAUUAUGGCAUAUGCUGGAAGAAAGGAACAUGAAGAAAAGCCUUGAAAAUAGGCUUUAAAUGAAGAAAAAACUCUAUUAAUUCACGUAUGCACCUGACAUGUUGAUAAAUGACCAUGUAAACUCAUUCAACAAGAUAUUGAUGGAUUUGCUAAAUUUGGAUGAGAAAUUUAAAGACAAAGAAAAGUCAUUGCUGCUGUUAAAUUCCAUUUCUAAUGAAUAUGAUCAUCUCACCACCAUCACUUUGCUUCAUGGGAAGAACAGUGUCACAAUAGAUAUUGUAUACAGUGCGUUGUAUAACUAUGAGACCAAAAAAAAGACAAAAAAGAUCACAACGAUACAGUUGUAGAGGCAUUGACAGCAAGAGAUCGUUCACAAAGUCGCAAACCUUCUAAAAGAAUAUAUGGCACGAAUUGGCAAAUGAUUCAACAAUUUCUAACUUCCUGAAAUUGUGAACUGAGAUCAAUCUGGGAUAAAUGAAAAUAUUGGCAAUAACGUCGUUUUACAUUGCACCUUUUUGUUUCCAUCGCACAGUUCAUUAAAGGAUCAGCAUAUAAAGCUACAAUUAACAUCUAACGUAGUGUUCAAAAGGUUGUUUUUCUGAUGGCAAGAAAAUAGCAGUUCUAAAAGAGAAGGUGAAAAAACAAAUAAUGACAGGCCGUUUUGAUCAUGAGUUACAAGCGUCACAAUUCAUGGUAUUUUCAUCACUCAUUUAGGGUGCUUUCAUCACUAUUGCUCGAGAAAAAAAAACAGCAAUUAAUAGCAAGUUGUACUCUCAUGCAGUGUAUUAAACUAUGAAUUUGCGAAGCAAACUGAAUCUACCAAUGAUUCCAUAAUGCAUAGGUAACAUUUUUCGGUUUGUAAAGGCAAAAUGGUCAAUAGCCGAGGAUGAUGACACAAAGUUAACAAGCUUAGUGAAAAAGUGAUCAAAGCAAAGAGAAAGGUAAGCAAUAUGAUGAAUAAUAUUGAAUACUUAGGUUUCAUGAAGGAUACAAAUAAAGCAUUGGAAGAUUCAAGGUCAUUUACUUUGACUAGUGUGGUUGCAUUGCUUUAUUAAGAAGCUGAUGUUGGUUGUGGGAAGCCUGUUUGGUUUAGUCUGUGGUUGAUGUCAUUACCUAACGCUGCCUUUUAUCAUACACAAUUGAUGGUGGAGUAGAAGCACGAAUGGUAUUAUAUGAGGAAGACAUGGACAAAUUUGGAAAAAAAAAAAACCUAGUAUCAUGGCUCAUGCUUUCUCUAAUCUAGCAUACUUAAAGGCUAAUUAAUCUUAUCCUUGAGUUCAUCUUGUGAAAUUAGGUUACUAAUUUCUAUUUUACUUGAAUUGUUUUAUAUGGUAUUCUAUUAUACAUUGUGAUAACGCAUCACCGUCAUAUCUUUCCUAAAGUUUAAUUUUACUGAAGGAAAAUCGAGAAAUGGAUUGUUCAAAUCAAAUAUUCAUUACUAGAGAUGGCCAAUGGGUCGAGCCAGUCAUCAAAGGAAGGCCCAUGUAUGCUCGUGCUCAUGUCAUGUUAUGUCGACUAUGUGUUUCGUACCAUCCCGUGUCGUACCUAAUUCAUUUUGCUUAGGCCUAGCCUGGCACACGUGUUGUGCCAUAGGCCAUAUCAUGUUGUGCCUAAGAAAAAAAAAACCUAAUGGAUUUUUUCCUUUUUUUAAUUUUUUAAGUAAAACUGGGCGAAAGAAUUGAGGCUUAGGAAAAACCAAACCGAACCAAUGGUUAUGUUUGGGUUCGGACCGAUUUUAAUUUUUAUAAAUAUCUGAAUAUCCAAUUUAUAAGAAAAAAACUGAAAUAUUGGUUCAAAUUUUGGUUCAUUCAGCUGAACUGGAUAACUGUAAUGUUUUUGUAAUUUUUCCAAAUCGUGAAAUGUGUGAAAUGUUAAUUGGCUAUGUAAAAUGAUUACAAUAGACAUGCCCACACAUGACUAUUAUUUUUAUUUGUAUUUACAACUUUAAGUUUAUUUAAAUGGAUCAUUGGAGUCUAGAUUUGUAUUCUUAAAUCUUAAUAUUUCAUAUUUUGUUAGUAGUAGUUAGUUAGACUGUAAUGAUAAGUGUGUUUUGAAUAUUUUGUAUUUAUUGUUAGUAUUCGUAAUGAAACUAUGAAGAACUGAUUACUGAGAAAAUUACUCCAUUAAUGAGGCCCAACGGACUAAGAAUUUAGAAAUUCAAAAUAGGCCCAAUAGGCCUAGGAUAAAAAAAACCAAACCCUGACCAAAUGAAUCGAUUCAUAUUCGAUUCUUUAUUGUAUUCGAUUUUUAAUCCGUUCUUUUUAUAAAAUAACCAAUUUUAAUAAGUUAUGCUCAAUCUCAAUCUGAGUCGAACUGUGCCCACCCCUAUUUUUAAGUGCGCAUGCCAAGUUGUCGAUGUACUUUUUUCAAGCCUAUAUACUUUUUUUGGGUCCAUGUACCUUUAUUCAAAUUUAAUAUAAUCGAAAAUUCAAAACUCAACUCCAUUUUCAAUAAUAAUAAACUAAUAAUAAUAAGAUAAUAUAAUAUUAAUUACUAAAUUUGACCUUAUGGUAUUAUAAUUCUUUUUUAAUACUUAACAACAACUAUAAUAAUAAAAUUUUCUUGAGUUAACUUAAAUGUUAACUUAGACUUAUAUAGAGUCAUACAUCAUAUUUCACAAUAAUAUUAAUACAUAUUUAUAAAAUCAUGAUAUUUAUAAUUUUAUUUAUUAAAAUCAUGAUAUCAAUUAUUUAUUUAAUAAAUUAUAAACACAAAUCAAUUAUAGUAUUUUUUUAAACUAAGAAUUAAAUGAAUUUAAAUGAUUCAAUUUUAAUUUAUUAGUAAAAUCAUAAAAUUUUAAAUUUACUUUCACUAAAAAGUGAAACGUGCUUAUUGUGGGCUUUUCACUUUAUUUAGAAUUAAGCCGACUUUCCUUCUAUGUACAAUUUUCUUUAUUAAUUAAAUUAAAUUAGUUGGAUUAAUAAUUAAAAAAUAAUCAUGUGAACCUAUUAAUUAAAAAAUCAUACAAUCGCUAUAUCGAUAGCGAUACAGAUACUUGUACAAACUUUUUAUUAGAGCUGACAAAAUUUGUCACGACUCGAUUAUCCGACACGAACACAACACAAAUAAAUGGGUAUGGGUCAUCAAAUUUAACACGAUUAUUAAAUGGGUUGGGUCCGGGUCAACGCAAUUUUUUUCUAUGUCGGGUUAGGGUUAAAGUUCUUGAUCUAUUUACCCAAUCAAUGACCCGACUAUAUUUUUUAUUUUAAAAUAAUUUGUAAGUUCUUGUUAUCAAAACUCAAAUAUUAGAGAUGAUUCUCUCUUUUAUUUUUAUUUUUAUUUUUUGAAAAGAUGAAUAUAAACACAAUAUUUUAUUUAUAAAAUUUUAUAUACAUUUAGAGCUUCAAUCAUGUAAUUAUGUAAAUGUGUAAAAUAUUGUUAGACAUGUAUGUAUGUGAGUAGUUUUCUAGUCCAAGAUCAUUAAGUGUGGGAAACAUUCGGGAAAAUUUUAAAACCGCGGGGUUUUAAAGGUUUAAAACUUAAAGCGCUUAAACCGCACGAUUUAUACAUUUUCCUGGACGUUCCCGCACUUUAAUAUUCCGGACUGGAACAUAUAUAUAUAUAUAUAUAUAUAGUAGUUUUCCAAUUAGGGAUCCCAAAUUUUAAUAAAGUCAGAGAUUAGCUAAAAGAUAAAAAAAUUUAGAUUUUAAUACACUACAUGACAAAAUACAAUGUAUUAGACUCUAUAUAUAUUUUUUCUUUUAGUUAAUCCCUGGCUUUAUUAAAGUCAGUGAUCCUUGAUUGGAAAACUAUUAUACAUAUAUAUAACUUUAAUAGUGUAAAUGUGUAAUAUUUUGGUAGAUAUUUAUAUUUUAUAAUAUCGAUAAAUUAUGUAUGUACGACAGUGUGUAAAUAUUUGAUAUAAAUUUUGUUUAAUAUAUAGAUAUUAAGCGGGUUAUUGGGUAAUCCGAUUAUUUUCCCGUGUUGGGUUUAGGUCUCAAUAUUUUGACAAGAUUAUUAAAUGGGUCGGAUUUAGAUCGAUCUAAAUUUGACACGACACGAAGUUGAUACGACACGAACACAACCCGAUAACCCGUUUUACCAGCUCUACUUUUUAUGUACGAAUAAACUAAUAUGGUAAUAAACAAUUAAGUGGAUAAUAAUAUAAAAUUGAUUUAUUAAAUGAAGUCGAUCCGUAUGAAUAUUAUCCAACAAUAAUAUAUCCCAUAUCUUUACCCACAAAUGUACAGAAUAGUCAGACUAGGAGCAGCGACCACACGCUGGUAGAUCGUGCCAGGCUAUAAAAUCUCAUCAGCUUCUCUACAUUAUAUGUAAAAAAUAAAAAUAAAAAUAAAAAAAAGAAGAGAGGGGGGAGAGAGAGAGAGAGAGAGAGAGAGAGAAUUGAUCCUUUGGUUGCAUAUAAUAUAUUUAGCAUUAAUCUGACACAACGGUACACAGUCGGCCUUCCUUAUAAUGUUAAUUUACAUUGUUUUUUGUUGACGUUAUUUCACCCGCAAGCUAUUUACGUUUGUCGUAUGUAUAUAUGACACGGAUUUCACAGACAAGAAGCCACUCACUUUUUGAUUUUCUGAAAGCACAAAGAUGUCAAUGAUUAUGAGAAGCAUUUUCCAAAAUAAACCAAUUUCCAAAACUGUCAUCAAUUUCCAAAUCAUCACCUCAAGAAGAAGACUCAAAACCGUCAGCUGCGCCAUGGACGAUGUUCAAAUCAUUUCCACCGAAGCUAUCAAGCCUUCGUCUCCAACUCCAAAACAUCUUAGAACCUAUGAACUUUCUAUGCUUGAUCAAAUGUUUUCUAAUUUAUACAUGCCCUUUGUUUUCUUCUACUCAGCCAAUAAGCACCAAGAUUUCAGGAAAAAUUCUGAUUUUCUGAAGCAAUCUCUGGCAAAAACAUUAACGCACUACUACCCGUUAGCUGGAAGAUUCGUUGAUAGCUUUUCAGUUGAAUGUAAUGAUCAUGGAGUUACGUUUAUUGAAGCUCAAGUUGGCUGUGAUAUGUCAAAGUUUCUUCAACCACCGAAUAUGGGUGUGAUGCAACAAUUAAUCCCACCAAGCCCACAAUCAUUGAGAUUAGAGGCUUCUGAAAGAGCGCUUUUGGCUGUUCAAGUAAAUUAUUUCAGUACCGGUGACGUGGCAAUUGGUAUCUGUAUAUGGCAUGGAUUGGCAGAUGGUUCAGCAAUCUCCAACUUCAUGAAAUUGUGGGCUGAGAUCAAUCGUGGAGUAAAUGAAAAUAUUUGCAAUAACGUCGUUUUAGAUUGCACCUCUUUGUUUCCUCCGCACAGUUCACUGAAGGAUCAGCACAUAAAGCCACAGUUAACAUCUAAAGUUGUGUUCAAAAGAUUGUUUUUUGAUGGCAAGAAGAUAGUGGCUCUAAAAGAGAAGGUGAACAAAGAAAUAAUGGUGGGCAGUUUUGAUCAUGAGUUACAAGCAUCGCGUUUCAUGGUUGUUUCAUCACUCAUUUGGGGUGCUUUCAUCGCUGUGGCUCAAGAAAGAAAGAGGGCAAUUAAUAACAAGUUGUACUCUCAUGCAAUGUAUUAUACUAUGAAUUUGCGGAGCAAGAUGAAUCCACCAAUGAUUCCACAGUGCAUGGGUAACAUUUUUCGGUUUGUAAGGGCAGAAUGGCCACUAGUCGGGGAUGAUGACAUAGAGGCAACAAGCUUAGUGAAAAAAGUGAUCAAAGCAAAGAGAAAUGUAAGCAAUGUGAUGAAUAAUAUUGAGUAUUUAGGUUUCAUGAAGGAUAUGAAUGAAGCAUGGGAAGACUCAAGAUCAUUAACUUUAACUAGUGUGGUUGGAUUGCGUUAUUAUGAAGCUGAUUUUGGUUGGGGGAAGCCUGUUUGGCUUAGUAUCGGGUCGGUGUCAUUACCUAAUGCUGCUCUUUUAUCAGAUACAAGUGAUGGUAAAGGAGUAGAAGCAUGGGUGGUAUUAUACGAGGAAGACAUGGACAAAUUUGAAAAAAAUCCUAGCAUCAUGGCUCAUGCUUCCUCUAAUCCUAGCAUACUUAUAGCAAAGUAGCAAAGUGACGAUAUUUAUCUUGUUUUGAAUUUAAAAGAGUGGUUAGUUAAUUGUAUUAUUUUCUCUUUGUUUCUUUAUGAUUUUAAUCUAUCUAUAUAUCUAUAUAAAGCUGGAAUUUGAGGAGGUGAUGUGGCAUCACCAUUUCUUAUCUUUGUAUAUUCUCUAUUAUCUAAUAAAUAGAGAAAUUUUCUUUUAGAUUUGACUUUUCAUCUUCUCAUAAUUAAUUUUAUUGUUAUUACACAAUAACAAUUAUGUAAAGAUUUUAAUGAGGCACAUUCUUUGUAAUGAACAUCCAAGGAGGAGUGUUAUGAAUUUAUUAAAAUAAAUGUAGAUAUUCAUAACAUAUAUCUCUUAGUCUCCCCACUAUUUCCCAUUAGCAACAUUUAGCUUUCCUAUAACUCACACUAUCUCACAAGGAAUUAUGAUCCAUAAUUUUUCAUUAAUUUCAUGGAGUGAUUAUGUAACUAUAAAAUAAGAGCUCAUCUUUUUGUUUUGCACACACACAAUUGGAAUGAAUAAAAUCACUCUAUAAUAUAUUCUCUCAUUUUAUUCUUUAUCUUGCGUUGCUUCUUUAUUUGUAUUGCUGGCUAAUAGCUUUUUUUUAUUUUUUAUAAGGCUGCCUCAUCUUUAAAAAAAAUCAAUUCAUAUUUUUUAUUAGUUUCAUCAAGUGUAAAGUAAAAAAAAAGAAUAAUACUAAAUUAUUUUUUCAAAGCCGCAUGAAACGCGGUUCUAUUUUUUAGUUAUGUUAUAAUGUUCACUCAAAUGCUACUGCAUGUAACUAGCUAAAUGGUUAUAUAAGCCUCCAAGUGAUGAUGAAUAAGGGACAUCAUUUAUCUUCAAUAUGAAUUUAGAUCUAUUGCUAAAUUUUUAAUAAAAUUAAGAUUUAAUUACAUAUUAUUUCUUAUUCAAUUUCUUAUUCAAUGAUUACCAAUCAUUGAAUCCAAAUCCUUUGUAUAUAAUCUCUAACAAUUGUGCUGUUUCAAGGUUAAUUAAAGUUUACAAUUUAUUAAGUGAUCAUGAAUACUGAUAUUUACGUACGAGAAUUUUUCAGUAUGGCGAUAAAAUCAAGGUUGACAGCGGUUACCAUCAUGAAAAAAUAUAUUAAAAUCAUAUGAAAUUUCGAUAGUUAAAAAUAAUUAAAAAAAAACGCUAAGAUCAUAUAAUUUUAUCACUGUUUUUGACACUCUUCUGAUACACUCUGGAUAAAUAUUUUUUCAUUGAUCAAUAAGAUCACCUAGCUACUAAUAUCUAUAAAAACAAUCAAACCGUUAUUUGCGUCCUCACACUUCUUAUUGUACUCUUCUUACACAAAAAGUCUGAAUGCAUGGGUUUUCAGCCUAUUUAUGAACAACAAUCAACCCAUUUCCCUCUCCCCUGUGCCUUUAAAAAGACAAUUGCUAUUUAUCCCCUCCUUCUGUCUCAUGAAUCCCCACUUUCAUUCACUUGUUAGAGAAAUUUGUAAAUGGGUAUAGAAAAAUAUCAAGAGGACGCAUAAAAUAAGUCACAUACCAUACAACAGAGAGAUACAACAAUUUAAAUGAUUUAUCUUGAAUUGGGCUGCAUAUUGAUAAUUAAUAAAUUAAUUUGAAAUUCUCUUAAAUAAAUAACAAAUAAAUAUAAUAAAUUACAAAUUGUUCUUUGUUAUUUUAAUUGACUUCACUAUAAUUUUUUUAAAAAGAAAUUACGAAGAAUUACAUAUUGAAGACCACAGGUCCAACUAUAUUAUUUGGAAGUUAAAAUUGAAGUUAAGAAGCAUUGCUCUUGCUAGCAAUGGCACAAUUCAUCAAGGGACUUUCUGUUCCAAUGAUUUUAUUUGAAAGUUGAAAUUGAAGCAAGCAUCUAAAAUUUUGAUUUUGAAAGCUCUAAAGAUUAGAAAUUAAGUUUCAUAAUCAUUAAUCUUUAAUAAUAUUGUCCUUUUCAAAAGAGCUCAAAAUUUUAUUUCAAAUUUCAUCUCAAAUAAUGUGGUAUAUAAUGUGUCAUUCAUUAAGUGAUUGAUGAUUUUUUUCUAAAAUCUAAGUGGACGAAUAGAUUAGUCACAUUAUCCUUAAAUGAUCAAUAUAGAUUAAUGAAAUAAUAUUAUAAAAAACUAUUUGCUUAAAGGUUGGGACGGGGAUAAGAAAUCACGCCUCACCCUCUAAAUACCAACCUUUGAAAGCUCUAAAGAUUAGAUAUUAAGUUUCAUAAUCAUUAAUCUUUAAUGAUAUUGUCCUUUUCAAAAGAGCUCAAAAUUUUAUUUCAAAUUUCAUCUCAAAUAAUGUGGUAUAUAAUGUGUCAUUCAUUAAGUGGUUGAUGAUUUUUUUUCUAAAAUCUAAGUGGACGAAUAGAUCAGUCACAUUAUCCUUAAAUGAUUAAUAUAGAUUAAUUAAAUAAUAUUAUAAAAAACUAUUUGCUUAAAGGUUGGGACGGGGAUAAGAAAUCACGUCUCACCCUCUAAAUACCAACCUUUCUCCCUAUUAUUAUUCGAAUUCUGGUGAUCACAUAUGCAAACCGUACUCACAACCAACCUAGCUAUGUCCGAUAGACUAAUUAAUCUUAUCCUUAAGCUCACCAUAUGAAAUUAGUUACGAAUUUCUAUUUAACUUGAAUUGUUUUAUAUGGUAUUCUAGCAUUCCUUACGACGGAGCAUCCCUACCAUAUCUUUUACUAAAAUUUAAAUUUAAUGGAGAAAAUUUGAGAAAUGAAUUCUUCAAAUAAAAAAUUUAUAACAUUAAACUUUUAAAUCCAAUAUAAAAACAAAUUCGUAGUCACAUAUUCUCCUCACAAAGCAAUGAAAAAAUUCUUGAGCUCUUUACUUGCUCCAUCUUUUCUCUAGAGUACACAAAAUUCUAGCAAAAAUUUACAAAAUAGUCAUGGUAUUAGAACUAUUAUCAUUUGCUCUACCAAAUUUCACUACAGAUAAGUGUGCCUUACUUGGAGCAAAAAUUGCAUUGAUCUCAAAAAAAAAAAAAACAAAAAAAAACAUUUCAAUGUUGCGAGAAGCAAUAAAUUUAUUAGAGAAAUCGUGCCAUUAUCGAAUUAGCGAUAUACCAGAUUUCACUUCCAUGGAAAGUCUAGAAAAUUUUUUAGUUGCCUGGUGCUCAUAUGCUAAUUGAUUCUCUUCACUGUCGUCCAGGCCAUUGGAAACGAAUCAAACGAUGGAUGGUGGGUGAAAUUCCAAUGUUUUGACUAAAAAAGCUGCUCUAAUGGAAGCUUGAAUUGUCGAACUUUUUUAAUAUAUUUGACUUCUAAGUUGUUUGCUGAGUACUUAGGAGUAUAAAUAACAAUCCAUUGGUUUUGAGUGAGAUGAAUAUAUUUUUUUGCUAGCAUCAACAUGUGCUUGUUUUGAAUGAAAGAGUUGUUAAUUCGUUAAUUAUAUUUCUUCUCUCUUGUUUCUUUUCCUGAUUUUUCCGAUUGAUUUCUUACAAUGUUAAACAAAAAUAACGUUUCUAUUAUAUUAAUAUGGACGUAGGACUUCUUAAAUAAUUUCUUUGUGAAACGUUAAUUUUUUUAAUUUAGUUUAUUACUUAUAAAGUUAGGAGUGAAUAAAGUAUAAAUUAAUUUUUUUCUCUCUACCUAACUCUGAAUUUGAAUAUAAAAAAUUUAUCCUCUCAUAUUUCAGCAAAAGUAUCAAAAGUUAAUUUUAUGACUUUUUUUGUUUAAUUUCACAUCUUAUCAUAUAUAUAAACACUAACUAAAUAAUUUUCUUUUCCAGGGUCGGGUUUGAAGGGAAAUUGAUCAUGUGACCUACUUUUUUUACUACAAGUGGCAAAACAACUCGACUUAUCCCCUAAGAGAUACGAGAGUUAUUUUCGUUGGUUAAUAUUCUUAUGACAUUAAAAAAAAUAACUAGUAUAUUUAUGGACAAAUCUUAAAUAUUUGUGUUACUUUACUAGAAUUUUAAGUGUUGUGAAAAUUUUAGUAAACAAGAUAUAUAUAUAUAUAUAUAUAUAUAUAUAUAUAUAAGGGAAUGGUUUUUUUAAUUAAUGUAAUAAUUUUUUACUUUAAAAAGUGAUAUUUUUUUUGUCUAAUCUAAUUAAAUAUGAGUAAUGAUAUAGUUAUAAAUUCUUAUAUAAAUUUAUUUUAUACAAAUUGAUGUGGCGUUAAUUCAUUGGUUUAAUUAAAUAUCUAUUGACCCAUAUGAUUUAUUUAUAUUAUUUUAUAUUUUUAUUCAAUCAAUGAAUUAAUACCAUAUUAAUUUAUAUAAGAUAAAUUUAUACAAAAAUUUAUGAUUAUAUCAUUACUCAUUAAAUAUUAUAAUAUUAACGGUGAAUUAACAUAGUAGAAAAGUAUUUAUCUAUUAAAUAAGGCAUACCACACAAGUGAAAUGAAAAUACCAUAAGCCAUAGGGGAGGUGAGCGAUAAAUUUCCGUUUCUUCUAGAAAGAAUAAAAAGACAAUGCAAGAAAAUUUACCCGAGCAGGGAGAUACGGUGAUUAUUUCAAUGUUAACAAAAUAAGGGAAGUCAAAAUUUUUAGCAGUUGAAAGUUUUGUAUAUGGUUUUUUAUUUUUAUUUUUCUUUAUGUUUUAAAGAUUAUUUCAGAGUUUAAAAAAAAAAAAAAAAGUAAUUAAUACGAAUCUAAAAGUUGUCGUUUUAUAAAUUUUUUAAAGAAAGUGUGCAGCGCGUUUUUUCAUGUUUUAUUAGUAGCUUUUUCCGCGAGAAUGUCAACCGAACACGUUUUUCCCAUCAAUAUUCCCCUAAAAAAGAAACGGCCCUCCAUUUUCCUGGAAAAAAACCAACACAAUUUUCCAGCCGUCCAAAGGGUUAGCGAGACUUGAAACGCACGGUUUCCACUCUCCCCCAAUUUUAUUCAAUCAUGACCUGAACAUCAAUACGUUAUUGAAAAGUAAUUAUCAUAAACUCAUCCUUUUAUUAAUGGAGUUUGAAUCUUAAAGACUUUUGAUAGAUUAUGCAAAAUGGAAAGAAAACGAAGUGGCGGACGAAUCAAAAUACUGAAAAUUGAUGAGGUAUGUAAUUUGAAUGCAUAUUAUGGGGCAUAAUAAUAAGGGUCAAACAAAGAACCAAAUCACCUUUAGUUUAUGGUAGUCAUGGUACGUCAAGAUCGAAAGCAACAUGAUAUAGGCAUCUUUAAUUAACAAAUAAAAUAUGACUAAAGUCGUCGUGGAGGUCUCUUGUUGGGUUAUUGCUAAGCAAAUCCGCAUGCAGAAGGUGCUGGGCCUGCUUAUUAAUUAAAUGAAAGGCGGAUUUAUCUCCCUGUUCAACAUGUUCUCGAGCUCUCAUUUGUCCUUGACUUCAUAAUCGCUUUAAACAAAGUAGAUGAUAAAAAGCUUAUUUCAUUUAUUCCGCAUUAAUACGCACCGUUUGAUCGGUCUAAAGCAUAGAAAGGUUGAUAAAAAAGAUGCCGAUUGGGUUACAUUAAACACGGUCAUUCCUAAACCAAUCCAAUGGAAGGAUGUCAAUCUUCCAGAGGAAUGGAUCCUUGAAGGAGCCGCUCCACCAGCGAUUCCGAAACAACUUGAGCCCAAUACAGAGUUGCAAAAUGUGACUCAGUAUACUCAGUAUUCCGAUGGUAAAGUGAAACUAUCAUUCAGGAGAUCUACCUCAUCUAGAUUUUUUGAUAAAGCGUCGUGCUCAAGCAUUCCUUCAUUAGAAAGGAAAUUUACAAAAAUACCCUCUGUUAUAAAUCUCCAUUUUCAGUCCAUAAAAAGUCAACCUAGGUUUUCUACUUCAGAUAUACCUAGUACCUCCAUUCGAUCAGUUGAUUACACCACUAGUGUUCCUCAUCCGAUUUACACUAGUAAUCAACAUGUACAAAGUCAGGAAGAGAAGGAACAUUCUCCUCCAACUUCCCCUACGUUUUCUGCUGUUACAGAAAAUGUCAUUAAUGUCAUUGAAAAAGAAUUUGAAUUAGAUAAAACUUUUCUGCAUAAUGAUUUUUAUUCUGAUUUAAACAAAGAAAAAAGACUUUGGUUUUUCAAACACUUUUUAAACCAAAGAAAAGAAAUCCAACAAACUUACUAUGAAUUUGUGAAUUUUCAUAAAAUUCAUAUAUUGUUUUUUGAUUGGUUUGAGAUAUAUUCUUCUGAUAACAACAUCUCUUAUCCUUUUAAAGAGUCAAACCCUAUUACUAUUAGGAAGAAAAUCCCUAAAUGGAAACUUCUUGAUAGUGAUAGAACUAUAGAGUCUGAACACCCACCUCUUCGGAGUGUAACCGUUGAUCACGGUGAACCUCCUGUCCAAAUUCGAGCUUCGCAUUACAAAAUUCCAAAAACAAAUGAUUCUGAGGCAAAUUUAAGUAGUAUUAUCCAACAGAAUAAUUUCUGUAAUACUAACUUAAAUACAAUCGGAAAGCAGUUGACUAGGAUAGAAAACCAAAUCCAGAAGUCAACUAUUACUGUUCCAUCAAUUUCUCCUAUUCCAACAAAAUCGGAUUCUGACAAAAAGCUUAAGGAACCUAUUUUCAAACCCCUUCAGGUUUCGAAAACUAGCCAAAAGCUUGUUCAAGAGUCAAAAUCAGAUUUUGCUAAAGCCAUUAGAGAACAAUUAGAUAGGAUAGAAGCUGCUUCUUCCUCAUCUAGCAAAGUUCAGAUAGCCCCUGAUACUCCUCAAUCUAGCAAGAUUGGAGUAUUAGAACAAGACCAAAUGUCUAUAGCCUCUUCUGAUAUAGAAGCCUUCAAAGAAGAACCUUCUACUCCUAAAGCCAACAAAAUUCAUUGGGAAUUAGCCCUUCCCACUGUCAAGACUCCACCGGAUCUAGCAAUAGAUAAUAGACCAAGUGCAUUAAAUCAAUCCCGAUAUAAUGCAUCUUCAGUCUAUGAGUGGAAUAUUGACAGUAUGUCUGAAUACAAUAUCCUAGGAUAUUGUAAUGGCGAAUGUUCUAAACCUCGCAAGAAACAUUACAAAUCUAAACAUUUUAGAAAACCCAUUCGUAAUUUUAGAGAACUUCCUUAUAAGAAACCUUCGAGGCCUUAUAAGAAACCCAAAUUCUCUAAAAGAAAAGAGUUUAGAGCCAAACCAAAGACCCCUUUCAAUUACAAAGAAGCUAUAUGCCAUAAAUGUGGNNNNNNNNNNNNNNNNNNNNNNNNNNNNNNNNNNNNNNNNNNNNNNNNNNNNNNNNNNNNNNNNNNNNNNNNNNNNNNNNNNNNNNNNNNNNNNNNNNNNNNNNNNNNNNNNNNNNNNNNNNNNNNNNNNNNNNNNNNNNNNNNNNNNNNNNNNNNNNNNNNNNNNNNNNNNNNNNNNNNNNNNNNNNNNNNNNNNNNNNNNNNNNNNNNNNNNNNNNNNNNNNNNNNNNNNNNNNNNNNNNNNNNNNNNNNNNNNNNNNNNNNNNNNNNNNNNNNNNNNNNNNNNNNNNNNNNNNNNNNNNNNNNNNNNNNNNNNNNNNNNNNNNNNNNNNNNNNNNNNNNNNNNNNNNNNNNNNNNNNNNNNNNNNNNNNNNNNNNNNNNNNNNNNNNNNNNNNNNNNNNNNNNNNNNNNNNNNNNNNNNNNNNNNNNNNNNNNNNNNNNNNNNNNNNNNNNNNNNNNNNNNNNNNNNNNNNNNNNNNNNNNNNNNNNNNNNNNNNNNNNNNNNNNNNNNNNNNNNNNNNNNNNNNNNNNNNNNNNNNNNNNNNNNNNNNNNNNNNNNNNNNNNNNNNNNNNNNNNNNNNNNNNNNNNNNNNNNNNNNNNNNNNNNNNNNNNNNNNNNNNNNNNNNNNNNNNNNNNNNNNNNNNNNNNNNNNNNNNNNNNNNNNNNNNNNNNNNNNNNNNNNNNNNNNNNNNNNNNNNNNNNNNNNNNNNNNNNNNNNNNNNNNNNNNNNNNNNNNNNNNNNNNNNNNNNNNNNNNNNNNNNNNNNNNNNNNNNNNNNNNNNNNNNNNNNNNNNNNNNNNNNNNNNNNNNNNNNNNNNNNNNNNNNNNNNNNNNNNNNNNNNNNNNNNNNNNNNNNNNNNNNNNNNNNNNNNNNNNNNNNNNNNNNNNNNNNNNNNNNNNNNNNNNNNNNNNNNNNNNNNNNNNNNNNNNNNNNNNNNNNNNNNNNNNNNNNNNNNNNNNUGUUUCUUCGAUUUCUCCUAUUCCACCAAAAUUGGAUUCUGACAAAAAGCUUAAGGAACCUAUUUUCAAACCCUUUCAGGUUUCGAAAACUAGCCAAAAGCUUGUUCAAGAGUCAAAAUCAGAUUUUGCUAAAGCCAUUAGAGAACAAUUAGAUAGGAUAGAAGCUGCUUCUUCCUCAUCUAGCAAAGUUCAGAUAGCCCCUGAUACUCCUCAAUCUAGCAAGAUUGGAGUAUUAGAACAAGACCAAAUGUCUAUAGCCUCUUCUGAUAUAGAAGCCUUCAAAGAAGAACCUUCUACUCCUAAAGCCAACAAAAUUUAUUGGGAAUUAGCCCUUCCCACUGUCAAGACUCCACCGGAUCUAGCAAUAGAUAAUAGACCAAGUGCAUUAAAUCAAUCCCGAUAUAAUGCAUCUUCAGUCUAUGAGUGAAAUAUUGACGGCAUGUCCGAAUACAAUAUCCUAGGAUUGUUGCAACAAAUAACAAUGGCAGCCAAUGCCUAUAAAACCCAAGCAGAAACUUCUGAUCGUGCUAUAUCAGAAAUCCUCAUUGCCGGUUUUACUGGUCAAUUAAAAGGUUGGUGGGAUCAUCUUCUCACUAAUCAGCAACAAUUAGACAUUCUAAAUUCAAUUCAAGUCGAUGAAAAUGGAGUCCCUAUUCUUGAUGAGUUCAACAAUCCAAUUCAGGAUGCUGUUGCUACUCUAAUUUUAACCAUUUCCCUCCAUUUCAUUGGUGACCCUUCACACCUUCGUGAUAAAAACGCUGAGUUACUACAUAACUUAAGAUGUAGGAAACUUAGUGAAUUUCAAAGUUACAAAACCUCAUUCUUUACCAGACUAUUUCUAAGGGAUGAUGCAAAUCAUAUAACUUGGAAAGAAAAAUUUCUUGCUGGAUUACCUACCCUUCUAGGUGAAAAGGUAAGAAAUUCCAUUAAAGCCCUUUAUGAUAACCGUAUUCCUUAUGAUGAGCUCACCUAUGGUGAACUCGUCAGUUUUGUCAAUAAAGAAGGAUUAAAGAUUUGUCAAGAUUUGAAAUUACAGAAACGACUUAAGUGGGAGCUUAAGAAGUCUAAACAAGAAUUAGGCGGUUUCUGUAAACAAUUCAAUUAUGACCCCUUUAAAACUUCUUAUCCCAAAGAUUGUAAUGGAGAGUGUUCUACUAAACCUCGCAGGAAACAUUACAAAUCAAAAACUUUUAGGAAACCCUUUCGUAAUUUUAGAGAACCUCCUUAUAAGAAACCUUCGAGGCCUUAUAAGAAACCCAAAUUCUCUAAAAGAAAAGAGUUUAGAGCCAAACCAAAGACCCCUUUCAAUUACAAAGAAGCUAUAUGUCAUAAAUGUGGCAUGAAAGGUCAUACUGCAAAUUAUUGCAGGAUGAACAAAAAGCUUCAUGAACUUGACCUCGCUGAAGAGAUCCUUUCCAAAUUAGCCCCCCUUCUUGUCGAAUCUUCUAAUUCCGAAUCUUCCAUGUCGGGAGACAGUGAUCCAUAUCAAGUUGAUGAGCUUUUUGACUCAGAUGACUCUGUAUCUAGCAGUAGUGAGUUUGAAUCUGAUUCAUAUUUAAAGAAAAUCAAUGUUUUGACUAAAGACCAAGAAACUUUUCUUGAACUUGUAAAGCAUAUUUCUGAUCCAAAUCUUCAAAAAGAAUAUCUUGAUAAACUUUUGAAAACUUUAGAUUUUAAUAAAGCCGAGACUUCUAAAGUCCCAAUUGUUAAAAAGAAUUCUUAUGAUCUUACUCAAAUUUUGGAUAAAAAGAAAACAAAGAAAACGGUUCCUAAUAUCCAAGAUCUUUAGAAAGAGAUAAAAGAAAUCAAAUGUGAAAUUAGAGAUUUAAAAGAAAAACAAAAAAGUGAUUCUGAUACUAUCCAACUUCUUUUACAAAAACAAUUGCAGGAUAAUUCAGACAAUGAAUCUAGUCCUGAUGAUGGUGAUGAUAUUAAAGUAGAAAAUAUUGAGUCUGUACCCAAUGAUUUUCUAUUUGUUUUAAAGCAAAUCACCACAAGAAAGUAUUUGAUUAAAGUCACUUUAAUCUUUUCUGAUGAUUUUGCAAUGGACGCCAUUGCCCUUUUUGAUACUGGCGCCGAUUUAAAUUGCAUUAGAGAAGACAUCGUCCCCAAAAGAUUUCAUGAAAAAACAAAAGAAAGACUUUCUGCCGCUAAUAAUUCAAAACUGAAUGUCAGUUCCAAGGUUGAAGCCUCAAUCCAUAAUAAUGGUUUUGAUUUUAAAACUUCUUUUGUCCUCACAAAUGAUAUUCAUCAUGCCAUCAUUUUGGGAACUCCUUUUAUAAAUCUUAUAACUCCAUAUACUAUCAAUUAUGAUAGUAUAUCCUUCAAAUAAAAAAAUAAGAAACUUGUUUUCCCUUUUAUUGAAAAACCUAAAACAAGGAAUUUGAAUAUUGUUAAAGCCUGUUCUGUUUAUCAAAACAGAAUAAAUAACCUACUUAAAUCAAAACAGUGUGAUAUAAUGUUUUUACAAAAAGAUUUAAACUUACAAAGAAUUGAAAGCCAAUUACAAAGUGAUUUCAUUAAAAGAAAGAUUUCUGAUUUCAAAACUCUCAUUGAAAAAGAAAUUUGUGCUGAUCUACCUUCUGGUUUUUGGGACAGAAAACAACACAUGGUAGAUCUACCUUAUGAAACUUCUUUUAAUGAAAGACAGAUCCCCACUAAAGCACGUCCAAUCCAGAUGAACAUGGAAUUGGAACAACAUUGCAAAAAUGAAAUCAAAGAUUUAGAGUCAAAAGGACUUAUUGUUAAGUCAAGGUCCCCAUGGUCUUGUGCCGCUUUUUAUGUUAAUAAAAAUUCUGAAAUUGAAAGAGGCACUCCUAAAUUAGUUAUAAACUACAAACCUCUUAAUAACGCUCUAAAAUGGAUUAGGUAUCCAAUACCUAAUAAAAAGGAUUUACUCCAAAAACUAUGUAAUGGGGUGACUGUUGAUUACCGAAUUAGCACUGGUUGUUAUGAUAAGUGCUGCAGCACUGGGCAGAACAAAUCUGCAUCCGCAACUAUCGCAUGUUGGAAAUCUCAUACCUUUAAAUCUACUAACAAUGACCAGUUGCUCAUAAAUUUAAUGUAUGGCUUUAUGAUCUUUAAUCUCUCUACCCUACAAGGUGAACACCUAUGUCUAGGAUAUCACAAAUCUUAAUUUCAAGCAUUGCCCUUAUGAGAUUUAAGAUAACCUAAUCCAGAAAACUUAAUUUAAGAACAAGUAAUACUCUAAUAAUGUCCGCUAAGACAUGCCCUUUUGCUGCUCUAUCUUAACUGAAACUAUUAAAUGGGUGGUCAACCGAAAUAAUAAUUAUAUCAUAAAAACUAUUAGAGUAUAAUGCUACAGAAUUAUCAUAACAUCAUAUAAGAACAGUCAAGAACCUAUUGGAUUAUUUGUCACUCAACUACAAGUAAAUUCAGUUUAUAUUCUGAAUGGGAAAAAUAAACAUAAUGAUCGCAGAAUACAUCCAAUCAAUUAAAGGAAGAAAGAUAAUAUGAGUUGAGCACGAUGAAAGUCUAAGGAUCCUCCUCGGUGCUUCAAUGAUGCCGAAUAGCCCUCCUUAAUCUGGAUCUUAUUCUUGCCUUUUUAAUUGUUUUUGAAUGUUAAUUCCACCGCCGCUUCUAUGUGGUGCAUGCCCCCUUUAUAUAUUUGCAAAUUAGGUUUUCCAAACCAGUGCCUAUGCGCGUGCCUGUGUUUUAAUUAGGAAACAUGCAGAUUGUAAUUUAAUUACUGACUCGCGCCUAUAUUUUCUCCUGCGUUUCUCCCAGAUUACUGCAGCAUUGGUUGCUCUAACAUCUGCAACAGCACUUGUGUCAUUUCCGAUUAUGCUUUCCUUCUUUUGUGAUCAUCUUCUUUCCAUAUUUAAUUAAUGCUUUAUCAAAUAUUUUAUUAGAUUCUUUAAACAAGCCUAGCAACAAACAUACAUCUAAAGGCUCAAAAAUAUCACUAGAUCUGGAUAUCAGAAAUAGCGAUCUGAUUGGAAGGAGGGAGAAAAAAAGAAUACAACUGAGGAUUGAGAUCUGGUCUCGUUGCCUCAGAGGAACGUAACAGUUGUAAGGCAGAUAUGAUACAGAUCAGUCUGCAAGUGAUGCUUUAAAAUAAAUUGCGAAAAUUUAAACAUACAUUGAAAGCUUUAAAUUACAAAUGCUUUAAAUAGAAUUGAAAAAUAAAUUGCUUACAUUAAUUGCUUUUUCGAAAUGCUUUACAAAGGUUGAUUUGUAUAGAGAAGAAAGGGAAAAUUACAAGACCAGGAAAAAUUUCCUUGAGCUAUCUUAAUCCAGAUUUCCCGAGAGAGAGAGAGAGAGAGAAAGAGAGAGAAGAAGAGAAUUGGAGAAUGGAAAAAUUCUGAGGAGUCUCAGUCUUCCUCUAGAAUAUAUACAAAAAUUUUUUAAACUGUAGACUGUAGCGGAGCUGUAGCAUAUAGUAAUCUUUGGAACUCUCCACUGUAGACUGUAGCGGAGCUGUAGCGAACAGUAAUCUUUAGAAUUCUUCACUGUAGACUGUAGCGGUGCUGUAGCAUACAGUAAUCUUUGUAACAAAGUUUAAAAUACAAGUAUAAUACGGGUGAAGAGACAUGUGCGCUCUCACUUGUGUCCAGGGGACCACCCGAAGAUACAUACAUAAACUCAAAAAUACAAUUAAUUACAAUGGAAAUGUGAGCCCCAGUGAUUACAGAAGAAGAAUAUUUCAAAGUUAUGGAGCAGCUCAUCACCUCUCGAUCAAAGUCUUCAGUCGCAGACUCCUCUGACGAUGAUGAUGAAGAGCCAUUUAUUUCACUUGGAGACGACAAUGAAUAUGAUUGUUUCGGAAUUUUCUCUCCAAUAAAGCAUUGUAAAUAAUUAUUGUUUCUAAAAAAAAAGAGUAAAUAUUCAUUUUGUAAUUUUCACAUUUCCAUUGUAAUUAAUUGUAUUUUUAAGUUUAUGUAUGUAUCUUCGGGUGGUCCCCUGGACACAAGUGAGAGCGCACAUGUCUCUUCACCCGUAUUAUACUUGUAUUUUAAACUUUGUUACAAAGAUUACUGUAUGCUACAGCACCGCUACAGUCUACAGUGAAGAAUUCUAAAGAUUACUGUUCGCUACAGCUCCGCUACAGUCUACAGUGGAGAGUUCCAAAGAUUACUAUAUGCUACAGCUCCGCUACAGUCUACAGUUUAAAAAAUUUUUGUAUAUAUUCUAGAGGAAGACUGAGACUCCUCAGAAUUUUUCCAUUCUCCAAUUCUCUUCUUCUCUCUCUUUCUCUCUCUCUCUCUCUCUCGGGAAAUCUGGAUUAAGAUAGCUCAAGGAAAUUUUUCCUGGUCUUGUAAUUUUCCCUUUCUUCUCUAUACAAAUCAACCUUUGUAAAGCAUUUCGAAAAAGCAAUUAAUGUAAGCAAUUUAUUUUUCAAUUCUAUUUAAAGCAUUUGUAAUUUAAAGCUUUCAAUGUAUGUUUAAAUUUUCGCAAUUUAUUUUAAAGCAUCACUUGCAGACUGAUCUGUAUCAUAUCUGCCUUACAACUGUUACGUUCCUCUGAGGCAACGAGACCAGAUCUCAAUCCUCAGUUGUAUUCUUUUUUUCUCCCUCCUUCCAAUCAGAUCGCUAUUUCUGAUAUCCAGAUCUAGUGAUAUUUUUGAGCCUUUAGAUGUAUGUUUGUUGCUAGGCUUGUUUAAAGAAUCUAAUAAAAUAUUUGAUAAAGCAUUAAUUAAAUAUGGAAAGAAGAUGAUCACAAAAGAAGGAAAGCAUAAUCGGAAAUGACACAAGUGCUGUUGCAGAUGUUAGAGCAACCAAUGCUGCAGUAAUCUGGGAGAAACGCAGGAGAAAAUAUAGGCGCGAGUCAGUAAUUAAAUUACAAUCUGCAUGUUUCCUAAUUAAAACACAGGCACGCGCAUAGGCACUGGUUUGGAAAACCUAAUUUGCAAAUAUAUAAAGGGGGCAUGCACCACAUAGAAGCGGCGGUGGAAUUAACAUUCAAAAACAAUUAAAAAGGCAAGAAUAAGAUCCAGAUUAAGGAGGGCUAUUCGGCAUCAUUGAAGCACCGAGGAGGAUCCUUAGACUUUCAUCGUGCUCAACUCAUAUUAUCUUUCUUCCUUUAAUUGAUUGGAUGUAUUCUGCGAUCAUUAUGUUUAUUUUUCCCAUUCAGAAUAUAAACUGAAUUUACUUGUAGUUGAGUGACAAAUAAUCCAAUAGGUUCUUGACUGUUCUUAUAUGAUGUUAUGAUAAUUCUGUAGCAUUAUACUCUAAUAGUUUUUAUGAUAUAAUUAUUAUUUCGGUUGACCACUGCUGUACGGCCAAGGCGGAUGUACGGUACAGCAGGCUGGAUUGACAAUUUCUAGUUCUAAAGUUUCUUUAUUUCAAACAAAAGUCAGAUUCCUUGGUCAUCAUAUUUCUAAAGGAACAAUCACUCCAAUCGAGAGAUCUCUUUUGUUUGCUGAUAAAAUUCUUAACAAAACUCAAUUACAAAGAUUUCUUGGGAGUUUAAAUUAUGUUCUUGAUUUCUGUCCUAACAUUAAUAGGAUGUCUAAACCCUUGCAUGAUAGAUUAAAGAAAAAACCUGUUCCUUGGACAGAUGAACAUACCAAGGUUGUAAAGCUUAUAAAGAAUUCUGUGAAAAGCAUCCCAUGUUUAUAUCUUGCUAAUCCUACAUUACCUAAAAUUGUUGAAACUGAUGAUUCUGAUUUAGGUUAUGGAGGCAUAUUAAAGCAAAAAGAAAAUGAUAAAGAACAGAUAGUACAAUAUGUUUCUGCACAUUAGAAUGAUUGCCAGAAAAAUUAUUCUACUAUAAAAAAAGAAAUUCUUUCCAUUGUUUUAUGUGUUACAAAAUUUCAAAGUGAUUUACUAAAUCAAAAAUUUCUACUUAGAAUUGAUUGCAAAGCUGCAAAACAUGUUUUGGAAAAAGAUGUUCAAAAUAUUGCAUCAAAACAGAUUUUUGCACGAUGGCAAGCCAUUUUAAGUGUUUUUGAUUUUGAUAUUGAAUAUAUUAAAGGUGAUACAAAUUAUAUUCUUGAUUUUCUAACUCGGGAAUUUCUUCAAAACAGAUAAUGCCGCCAAAGAAGAAAGACAAAGGUAAAGCUGUUCUUAAAGAUUCUGAAUCUAGAGCAACCUCUAAAGAACCCCAAGCUACCCCUUCUAAAGACAAAUUACUUUCCUCAGCCAUGCCUAUUAAAUCUUGGAUAGAAAUGGUUGAAGAACAUGGUGCCCAUUACAAAACCACUUCUUCUAAUGACCAAGUAAAACAAUGGAUGAGUUCCAUUACAAAGUCCCCUGAGCUUAUGCUCGCCUUACAAAACCUUUCCCAAAGCCAGAUUUUCUCAAAAGAAGAAAAAGAAAACCCUAUCUCCAAAGAAAUCUCAAAACCCUCUUCUCAAAAUGUGAGUGAACAGUUUAAAGAUCUUUGUAUAAAAACCGAGAGGAAGACUCAGACUCCUCAGGUUUUUCAUUUCUAAGUUUAGAACUUCUCUCUCUUCUUCUCUCCCUUCUCUCUAGAAUUCUCUCUCUCUCUCUCUCUGGGAAUAGGAAUCUGGAAUCCGAAGACAAAAAGAAAUUUCUCCUGUCUUCAGAUUAAUUUCCCAUUAUUUCUCUUUCUUCUCUACAAAGAAAACCAACUAAUGUAAGCAUUUCAUUCCAGUUUUAUUAAAGCAAUUUUUAGCAAUUUCAAAGUUUUUCCCUAAGGGUUGGUUUUUUAAACCAUGGGAUUUAACAAAACCUCAAUCCUACUAUCAAAGCAUUUUAGAAAUCACUGAUUCAGUUAAGUUCAAAUAUUUCUUUCUCAGUGAAUCACAUUCAGAACCAGCCUAUUCCACGGCUACUAUUUUAAAAGUUUUGAGCCCAAACCAAUGGGGUGACCUACUCCAUAAUUUUUAAACUUUUCCUUUAAAUUUCCAAACACGUUUACCUCAUUGUCGGACUUAUUCCUACUGGGAUUACCAACAAGCCUGGUAUAACACCUUUUUUUUAUCCAAAAUCCCAAAAAAUCCCAUUCUUGGUUAUUUUUCUUCAACCCAAAAAUAACCGUCCAAAGCCUUCCAAACUGGUUCCAUCAUUGGUGGAAUACUUUUGGCCCAAUACCACAAAUUUUAACCCCAAAUGCCACCCAUUGUUUAAACCUCUUCAAAGCCCAUUAUACUCCUUCUGAAUCCGAGAAAAGGUUUCCCCCAUUUCUCUGUUUCUGUACAAAUUUCUUCCUUCCAUGGGUAUGGAUGUGGAACCUUAGGCUUCAUACCCAAGAUUCCCAACUCAUCCUUCAAAGAACCUUUAAAGUAAAAUGGUGGUCCAAAUUUGACGAACAGUCAAAAUUGACUGAAAAUUUGGUCCGAGAUUGGCUCUCUGCCAAAGGCCUUCUUCAACCCACCAUAACACAUUCUAAAGCCCAACAAACCUUUUUGACCCAAAAGUCCAAAGCCCAAUCCCUAUUGGCAAGUGCCAAAACAGAAGAAGAAUACUUCAAAGCCAUGGAACAGCUCCUCGCCUCCCAGUCAAAGUCAUCAGUAGCUGACACCUCUGAAGACGAAGAAGAAGAUGAAGAUGAAGAGCCCUUUAUUUCUCUUGGAGAUGAUAAUGAAGAUGAAUGUUUCAGAAUUUUCUCUCCAGUAAAGCAUUGUAAAUAAUUAUUUGAUUAUUUACUUUAAAAAAAAUUAUUGUUCUGUUUCUUCGGGUGGUCCUCUGGACACAAGUGAGAGCGCACAUGUCUCUUUACCCGUAUCGUAUUUCAAUUUUUGUACAAAGAAUCUACUAUUCAGAGUUACGAUCCAGAUGUUACUGUGCACUUAAAGCUCCGCUACAGUGAACAGUACAGAUUUCCAGAGUUUACUGUGCACUUAAAAUCCCGCUACAGUGAAUAGUUUAAAGAUCUUUGUAUAAAAUCCGAGAGGAAGACUCAGACUCCUCAGGUUUUUCAUUUCUAAGUCUGGAACUUCUCUCUCUUCUUCUCUCCCUUCUCUCUAGAAUCCUCUCUCUCUCUCCCUCUCUCUCUCUCUCUCUGGGAAUAGGAAUCUGGAAUCCGAAGACAAAAAGAAAUUUCUCCUGUCUUCAGAUUAAUUUCCCAUUAUUUCCCUUUCUUCUCUACAAAGAAAACCAACCGAUGUAAGCAUUUCAUUCCAGUUUUAUUAAAGCAUUUGUAAUUUUAUUUAAAGGAAUUUAAUUUCCGCACUUUAAAUUUCAGCAAUUUAAAUUUCUGCAAUUUAAUUUUAUGUAACAUUUAAAUUUCCGCAAUUUACAUUUAAAGCAUUUAAAUUUCAGUCUUGUAUGUGUUGCUAGGCUUGCUAAAGAAUUUAAUAAAGAUUUGGUAAAUUGUUUAAAAUCUGACAACCGCGUUUAAAGAACUUAAUUAUUAUUUGGUAAAGCAAAAUUAAGUUGGUAUAUCGGCUGGAAACCCGAACGUGUGGGCUAUUGAUUUGUUCUAAGUUAGAUCUGGGUCCAAAGGCAGAUUCCCUUCUGCAUCGAUCUGGUUUAACAACGCCACGUACUAAUUUAAUAAAUAUAAAACCUGACCAACCGCGAUCCAAAGCAAAUCUACUUAAUCUAAAAUUGGUAACUGAAUUUAAAAUUUGAACAAACGCGAUCCAAUUUGUUCUAUCUAAAGCAAUCAAUAAAGAAUUAUUUCGAAAACACAUCCAUCCUUCGAUCCUAUUUCCUUCUAAGGACUUUGAUAAAUUAAUGCAACUGGGAUGUUUUUCCAGUUGCAUUAAUUCGGGUUUACAAUGCUUUACUGGAGAGAAAAUUCUGAAACAGUCAACGCCACGUACUAAUCAAAUAAUUAUUUACAACGCUUUACUGGAGAGAAACAAGAAACAUGAUAUUCAUCAUGUUCAUAUAUAUAUAUGAACAGCAAAAGUAUCAAAAGUAAAAAAAAUUUGCCUACGGAUUUUCUUAACUUUCUUUAUUAAUUUCCCUUCUUUCCAUAUAUGUUCUUAUGUAACAAAUAACAAGAAUUAUUAUAAUUUGAUAUAUGUUAAUCAAAUCUUUUGUAGCAACUCUCCCUAAAUUCCAGAGGGAAUUCGAGGGGGGUCUCUAGAUGCAAUUUACAACUAAAGCAUGGUAGAAGCGUUAAAACUAAUAAACUUAAAAAUAUUUCUAGAAUAUAUAAACCUUCGAUCCUUAAAUAGUGGAAAAUGUAAAAUUUGCCAAACUAUCUAUCAUCCUCAAUGUAGAUUUUCUCCUCACUUAACAUUAAUCAAUUUUGAUCAUGGAAAUUACAAUAAACUUUAAUGAGUACAAGAAUUAGUAAAGAAAGCAAUUUUUCAUCUACCAGAAUACACACACUUAUGUAUAAUACAAAUACACACUUAUAUAUAAUACAAAUACACGAUAUGCAAUGCUCUUUGAAAAACAUCAUAAAAGAAGUUCUUCAAAACCUAGGGUCACUUUCAAAACCUUUCCUUUCAAAUCACUUACUUAAACUAUCUUUAUUCAAUUACCAUUUAUUAUGACUCUCACUUAACAUUCAUACUUUCACAUAAUACUUAUUUUGGGCUUUACACAAGCAUCCUUCACCCACUUAUCUCUUAAAAUAAAAUAUGGAGUGCUUACUGAUAACUCUAGGAAAUGAGAGUUAUUACAUUUAUUUUAGACUUGAAGAAAGGCCAUUUAGAAAGCAAAUAAUGUAUUUUGAUUACAUUUUGGUGAACUUUUGCAUAAACAUUCAUUUUAAUUGAGUCUUAACAAGUUUUGCUUGAAUAAUAGUAAUUUGUGCUAAAAACAAGUUUUAAUUUGUAGGUUUUAAAUUCAUAAAAGGAUGCGGAGACAUUAGAUGAGAAAGAGAAGGAAAGAAGAUGAUCACAAAAGAAGGAAAGCACAAUUGGAAAUGACACAAGUGCUAUUGCGGAUGUUAGAGCAACCAAUGCUGUAACAAUCUAGGAGAAACGCGGGAGAAAAUAUAGGCGCGGGUCAGCAAUUAAAUUACAAUCUGCAUGUUUCCUAAUUAAAACACAGGCACGCGCAUGGGCGUUGGUUUGGAAAACCUAAUUUGCAAAUAUAUAAAGGAGGCAUGAACCACAUAAAAGCGGCGGUGGAAUUAACAUUCAAAAACAAUUAAAAAGGCAAGAAGAAGAUCGAGAUUAAGGAGGGCUAUUCGGCAUCAUUGAAGCACCGAGGAGGAUCCUUAGACUUUCAUCGUGCUCAACUCAUAUUAUCUUUCUUCCUUUGAUUGAUUGGAUGUAUUCUGCGAUCAGUAUAUUUAUGUUUAUUUUUCUCAUUCAGAAUAUAAACUGAAUUUACUUGUAGUUGAGUGACAAAUAAUCCAAUGGGUUCUUGACUAUUCUUAUAUGAUGUUAUGAUAAUGCUGUAGCAUUAUACUCUAAUAAUUUUUUAUGAUAUAAUUGUUAUUUCGGUUGACCACCCAUUUAAUAGUUUCAGUUAGUAUAGAGCAGCAAAAGGGCAUGUCUCAGCGGACAUUAUUAGAGUAUUACUUGUUCUUAAAUUGAGUUUGCUGGAUUAGGUUAUCUUAAAUCUCAUAAGGGCAGUGCUUGAAAUUAAGAUUUGUGAUAUCUUAGACAUAGGUGUUCACCUUGUAGGGUAGAGGGAUUAAAGAUCAUAAAGCCAUACAUUAAAUUUAUGAGCAACUGGUCAUUGUUAGUAGAUUUAAAGGUAUGAGAUUUCCAACAUGCGAUAGUUGCGGAUGCAGAUUUGUUCUACCCAGUGCUGCAGCACUUAUCAUAACAACCAGUGCUAAUUCGGUAAUCAACAGUCACCCCAUUAGGAGAAUUUGAUCAUUCAACUACUAUAUUAUUAAUUGAACCUUGGACACAUUUAAUUAAGUUUAUUUUAUUUCGAUAUUGCUUUAAUUCCCAUCUCUCACAAUUAUUAUUUACGAUAGAAUUAUUUGGCAAUUGUUUGUUUCGGUCUUUAGUUGACGUGCAUUAUUGUGAUUGCUUUAACAUUUUGAGUAACAUCAAUCCUUGUGGAGACGAUCUUGAAUACUCAUCACUUUAUUACUUAUUGUGUAUACUUGCACAUUGGCAUUGAUAAUAAUUGAUUAUACAAAUCAACCAACAAGUUUUUGGCGCCGUUGCCGGGGAUUGAUUGUUUAUUUUUGGAGUGUGAAGUAAAUUGCGAUAGCACCAAACUUAACUCAAUUCAUUCUAUUGAUUGGCAGAUCAGUACGUACAUGCACAAAAAUAAAUCUGAGGUAUUCCAAUUCGAUCCUGAGAUUGAAAGGACUAUCAAGAGAUUGCGAAGAGAACAAAGAAAUUCAAAGACUGCUUCAGGCAUGAAUAACUUGCAAGAUGAGGGAAAUUUGAACCCUCACGGACCUUUACAACCAGCAAACAUUCAAGAAGAGCGGAAUAAAUAUGCUAACGGGAGACAACCAGGAAAUAACAAUAUUAUUUACAUGGCAGAUGACAGGGACCGAGCUAUACGAGAUUAUGCUGUGCUAACUCCUCAAGUUGUCCAUCUUGGCAUCAUCAGACCUGAAGUAGAUGCUGUCAACUUUGAAUUAAAACCAGUGAUGUUUUAAAUGUUGCAAACAGUUGGGCAAUUCAAUGGACUGCCAAAUGAAGAUCCUCAUCUCCAUCUUAAAUUGUGCUUGCAAGUGAUUUUAGAGAGAAUUGCCAAUAAUAACUAUCAGUGGCCUUCAGCUAGGCAACCAGUAGCAAGAGGAUCAGCAGGGGUACAUAGCAUUGAUGCAAUUACAGCCUUAUCAGCUCAAGUAACUUCAUUGACUAACAUAGUAUCAACUUUGAAUUAAAACCAGUGAUGUUUUAAAUGUUGCAAACAGUUGGGCAAUUCAAUGGACUGCCAAAUGAGUAAAAGCCAUGACAGCUGCUCCAGUAACAGUAAAGCAAGUUACUGAACUUUCUUAUGUCUAUUGUGGUGAAGAUCAUGAUUUUGAUAAUUGCCCUGGAAAUCCAGCCUCAGUAAUUAUGUGGGUAACUUCAAUCGACAACCUCAGAACAACCCAUAUUCAAAUACUUACAACCCAGGCUGGAAACAACACCCAAAUUUCUCAUUGAGCAAUCAGAAUUGAAAUCCUCCAACAUUGAAUGGGCUAAGUAGAAACACACAACCACAACCACCUGGUUUUCAUCAACAAAGUCAAGGGCAAAAGCAUAUCAGUCAGGAUCCAAUCACUUCAUUGGAAGUAUUAAUCAAGGAGUACAUUGUAAAGAAUGAAGCAAUUGUGCAGAGUCAAGUUGUGUCCUUGAGAAACCUUGAGAACCAAAUGGGACAAUUAGCUACAGCAAUGAGCAGCAGAACUCAAGGAAGCUUACCUAGCAACACAGAAGAUCAUAGGAGAGAGAGAGCAAAGAACACUGUAAAGUGAUUAGUCUGAGAUCUAGAAAGCAUGUUGAUAUCCCAGUUGAGGUGACAAAAAAUGGGAUGGAAGGCAUUUCAGCUCAAAAACCAACUCAAAAGGGAAGCAUGUUACAGCAGACUCCCCAUCAAGACACUGAUGCAAGAGACCUAGCUAUAGCAACUGCAAAAGAAAAUCAACCAGAUCUUGCUGAAAAAGAAGUUACAACACCAGUAGCCACAACCUGCACCAACUUAAACAAACAGAGUUUGGUACCUCCUGAAUCUAACCAGCAGUUUAGAUAUCCACCAUUCUUCCCUCAAAGGUUCCAGAAACAAAAACAAGACAAGCAGUUCAGCAAAUUCCUGGAAGUGUUGAAGCAACUGCACAUAAACAUACCUUUUGUGGAAGCUUUGGAGCAAAUGCCAAAUUAUGUAAAAUUUUUAAAAGAUAUCUUGGCACGAAAAAGAAGGCUGGGAGCUGGGAGAGUUUGAAACUGUUGUUCUAACAUAGGAAAACAGCCAUAUGCUUCAGAGUAAAAUUUCCACAAAAUUGAAAGAUCCAGGGAGUUUUACAAUGCCCUGCUUUAUAGGGAAUAGGUAUGCUGGCAGAGCACUUUAUAAUUUGGGAGCUAGUAUCAACUUGAUGCCAUUAUCUGUAUUUAAGCAGCUUUGAGUAGGGGAGUGCAGACCAACAACUGUCACUCUGCAAUUAGCUGACAGAUCUCAUGCAUAUCCUGAAGGAAAAAUAGAGGAUGUACUGGUGAAGGUUGACAAAUUCAUUUUUCGAGUGGAUUUCAUUGUGCUGGACUUUAAAGCUGACAAAGAGGCACCCAUUAUACUUGGCAGACCUUUUCUGGCAACUGAAAAGACUUUGAUAGAUGUCCAGAAAGGAGAGCUGACCAUGAGAGUGAAUUAUCAGCAAGUCACAUUCAAUGUACUAGAGGCUAUGAGAAACCCUAAUGAAAUAGAAGAUUGUAAUUUCCUAAGUGUAGUGGAUCUUGUUGUAGCAAACAGAUUGGACAGAUGCUACAGUAAUAUACUUAACAAAGUAACCACCUUUGAGGAGGUUGAAGAGGAAGAUGUUGCAGCAAUUCAAACAUAUUGGAUGGACAAACAACAAUCUAAUGGGUACAAUAGGGUUAUUUAACACCUGAAUCUUUCAGACAGGGAAGUAAAAAUAACUUUAUCAUUUAUUGAAUCACCCCCUGGUUUUGAAUUAAAAUUGUUACCUUCACAUUUAAAGUAUGCUUAUCUUGGUCAAAACAACCCACUCCCUGUAAUCAUUUCUUCUACUUUGGAUGUAGGUCAAGAACAAAGCCUAGUAGAUUUGCUGGGAAAAUACAGAAGAGCAAUUGGAUGGACCAUGACAGAUAUAAAGGGUAUCAACCCAUCAAUAUAUAUGCAUAAGAUCCUUUUAGAAGACUGUUCCAGCAAUUCGGUGGAGCACCAGAGAAAGCUGAAUCCUAUUAUGAAAGAAGUGGUGAAGAAGGAAAUCAUCAAAUCGUUAGAUGCUAGAAUCAUAUACCCAAUAUCAGACAGUUCAUGGGUAAGCCCAGUUCAGUAUGUUCCAAAGAAAGGAGGGAUAAUAGUAAUGGCUAAUGAGAAGAAUGAUCUUAUUCCUACAAGGACAGUGACUGGAUGGAGAGUGUGUAUGGAUUACAGGAAGCUCAACAAAGCAACAAGGAAAGACCAUUUCCCACUUCCAUUCAUAGAUCAGAUGCUGGACAGACUUGCUAGAAAAUAAUACUACUGUUUCUUAGAUGGGUAUUCAGGCUACAACCAGAUUGCUAUAACACCAGAGGAUUAAGAGAAGACUACAUUUACUUAUCCUUACGGAACAUUUGCCUUCAUAAGAAUGUCAUUUGGGCUAUGCAAUGCUCCAGCAACUUUUCAAGGAUGCAUGAUGUCUAUAUUUUCUAACAUGGUAGAGCAGACCUUGAAAAUUUUCAUGAAUGAUUUUUCAGUUUUUGGAGAGACAUAUGGUAAUUGUUUACACAACUUGGAAGAAGUUCUUAAAAGAUGUGAGAUGACCAACUUAGUACUUAAUUGGGAGAAGUGCCAUUUCAUGGUACAAGAAGGAAUAAUGCUGGGUCACAAGAUAUCCAAGGAUGGUAUUGAGGUAGAUAAAGCCAAGAUAGAGGUAAUAGAUAAACUACCACCCCCAACCUCAGUAAAGGGUAUUAGGAGUUUUCUAGGUCAUGUUGGAUUCUACAGAAGAUUCAUCAAGGAUUUUUCUAGAGUAGCCAAGCCUCUAUGUUCAUUGCUGGAGCAUGAUAAACCAUUUCACUUUGACAAAGAAUGCCUUCAAGCAUUUAGAGAAUUAAAGAAAGCCUUGAUCACUGCUCCAGUAGUUAUAUCUCCAAAUUGGAAUUUACUAUUUGAAUUGAUGUGUGAUGCUAGUAAUCAUUCUGUGGGAGCAGUAUUAUGGCAAAGAAAGGAUAAGGUUUUUCAUUCCAUAUAUUAUGCAAGCAAAACUCUUACUCCAACUCAGAUUAAUUACACCACUACAAAGAAGGAGUUGCUGGUAGUAGUUUUUGCUUUUGACAAAUUCAUAGCUUACCUGGUAGGUACUAAAGUAACUGUUUACACAGACCAUGCAGCCAUCAAAUAUUUAAUUUCAAAGAAGGAUGCCAACCCAAGACUAAUCAGAUGGAUCUUAUUGCUUCAAGAAUUUGAUCUGAAAAUUACAGAUAGAAAGGGGACUGAGAAUCAAGUGGCAGACCACUUGUCACGGUUGGAAGCAGACACUAGUACAUUGACAAGGAAGGGCAUCACUGAAACGUUUCCUGAUGAAUAGCUGUUAGCAGUACAGCAAGCAUAGAUGUUGUAGUAGUCAGAAUCUCCAUGGUAUGCAGACUUUGCUAAUUAUCUGGUAAGUGGGUUACUACCACUUGAGCUGAAGUUUCAAGAGAAAAAGAAAUUUCUUCAUAAUGUUAGAAGCUACCAGUGGGAUGACCCAUAUUUAUAUAAGUUAUGCUCAGAUCAAGUAAUAAGACGAUGUGUUGCAGUAGAAGAAAUACCUCAUAUACUGCAAUCAAGUCAUGCUGCAGCAUAUGGAGGACAUUUUGGUGGUCACAGAACAGCUGCCAAAGUUAUGCAAUCAGGUUAUUAUUGGCCCACUAUUUUUAAAGAUGCUUAUGAAUUUGUUAAAUGUUGUGAUAGGUGUCAAAUGACAGGGGACAUAACCAGCAGACAUGAGAUACCAUUGACCAACAUACUGGAAGUAGAAGUUUUUGAUGUUUGGGGAAUAAAUUUCAUGGGACCUUUUCCCCCAUCCUUUGGAAACUUAUAUAUCCUUGUUGCUGUAGACUAUGUCUCCAAGUGGGUGGAAGCUACAGCAUUACCUACCAAUGAUGCUAAAACCGUGGUAACUUUUCUUCAAAAAAAUGUUUUUCUCCAGGUUUGGUACUCCUAGAGCAAUUAUUAGUGAUGAAAGCGCACAUUUUUGCAACAAAAUCUUUACUGUAGCAAUGAUGAAAUAUGGAGUCAGACACAAGAUAGCAACAACAUAUCACCCACAAUCUAAUGGUCAGGCUGAAGUGUCCAACAGAGAGAUUAAAAAGAUCUUAGAAAAAGUGGUGAACCCAACAAGGAAGGACUGGUCUUUACAUUUGCAUGACUCUUUAUGGGCCUACAGAACAGUAUACAAAACCCCAUUCAGCAUGUCUCCUUACCGAAUUGUUUAUGGCAAGGCUUGUCAUUUGCCCCUAGAGCUAGAGCAUAAAGCACACUGGGCACUGAAGAAAAUAAAUUGGGACAUGCAUGCUGCAGCAGAACAAAGGAAACUUCAACUUUGUGAGCUUGAUGAAUUAUGGCUGUUUUCAUAUGAAAAUGAAAAAAUUUAUAAAGAGAGAACAAAACAUUGGCAUGACAAGCAUAUUCAACACAGGAAGUUCAUCCCUAGUCAAUUAGUGUUGCUCCACAAUACAAGACUAAGGUUGUUUCCGGGAAAGCUCAAGUCACGAUGGUCUGGCCCGUUUAAGCUAUUGAAAUCUUACCCUCAUGGAGCUGUUGAUCUUUUAGAUCAACAAAUGGGUCACGAAUUCAAGGUUAAUGGGCACAGGGUUAAGCAUUACAUGCACCCAGCAGCAGAAGGGUCAAAGGAGGUGUUAUCCCUUCAAGAACCCCACUAUUGAGCAAAGACAGAAGGUCAGACUGAAGGACCUUAAAUCAAGCGCUUCAUGGGAGGCAGCCCAUUGAGGAAGCAGCCACAUCAAACCAAUUUCGAUAUCCUUUGGUUUUAUGGACAUCCAUUCCUCUUUACCAUUUUAUUUAAUCUUGUUUUGCCAUGUUAACCAUUUAUUUUUAUCCUUUUACAUUAUUGCAUUCCUUCUUUUCGAUUUACUUUAAUCUACCUUAUCUUAAUAAUUUUAGACUUAAUUUUAGUUUGAAAUAAAUGUGACAAUUGAAUUUCAUAUUGACAAGUGCAAGUAGCUGGUGGCAACCACGUGUCAGACGCUUUGGUAUGGAUUUUGUACCCGUUGUUGGAAUGAGCAAAUGGGGGCUGUAGCAACAAAUUUUCCCGUUACAGUAAAUUAAAGGCUGGAGCCUUCACUUACCGUUGGAGAUGAAAUCGUGACAGAUGGACGCUCGAAUAUGGAUAGAAAUUGCGGAAACAAAUCUUCGAAAUCACAGCUUUAAUUUCAAUGACCGAUAAUUUUGGGAUAUGCAUAUUUAAUUCAAAUAUUUUAUUCCCUCAAUUAUCUCUAAUUACUGUAGUUAUCUUCAAAUUACAGUCAACUAUAAAAAAGAGUCAUUUUGCUUAAUGUCCAAGCCAUUAUUCCCCAUCUCCUUCGCAAGUCCAACUCUCCUAAUUCUUUAACAUUUCUUCUAUUUUGGCUCUCAGGAAUAGUAGCCUAACUUUGUUACUGCUACAGCAAUGCCGCGAUAUAAGAAAACAGCGAGCCGCCUCAAAGAUCUAUCACAAUUCCAGAGUUACCAUGCCGAAGAAAAAUACAAAGAAUUCAUAGAGCCACGCAGGAUUCUGGAAGAAAAAGGGUUUCAAUUUCCAGACCAACUCACUGGAAUUGUGAAAACAACUCAUGAUGCUGCAGCAAAGCGAGGAUGGCUAGAGUUUUACAAACACCCUCGCAAUCCUGUACUGCCAGUGGUAAAAGAAUUUUAUGCCAAUUUUGUAAGCUCUGAUCAGUACAAUAUCUAGGUAAGAAAUACACUUGUUCUAUUGGACUCUCGUGUUAUCAAUGUUUUUUAUAACUUACCUGUUGAGAUUACUUGUGAGUAUGCUAAAUUGCGUGAUAAGUUAACCCCGAAAAAGUGGACCACCAUUUUCACAACUCUUACCAUCGAAGGGGCAUCAUGGGUUAACGAGGAAGGGCGUGUAGUUAACAGGAUAGAGUUGAAACCUAUUGCUAAGGUGUGGGUGAAAUUUUUGAAAUUUAGACUUAUGCCCACCACUCACACUACUACGGUUUCACAAGAAAGAUUGGUUUUGCUAUACGUCCUUGUUAGAGGGCUCCCUAUAGAUGUAGGUAGCAUCAUUACCAAAGAAAUCCGAGAAUGUGCAGCCAAAACUCAUCGAACUGCUGUUUUACUAUUUCCUUCACUUGUCACCAGUAUUUGUGUAGUUUCAGGUGUUCGUUUUGAAGCCAGCGCUGAUCAUGUCAAGAAUGAGGGUGCCUUUACGGCACGAAAAAUUGAAAGAGUUGCUGGCGAGAGUGCUGGAACAACCACUGAACCAGCUGCUGUAACAGGAGCACGACGAACUCUUAGUUUAGAACAGACCAUCCAAGCACUCAGCACCAGUAUCAAUCAAUGUAUGGAAGCUCAGCAGAGGGAAAAUGGUCGGUUUUGGAGCUAUCUACAGCACCUGGAUGGACAACUACACAAAUUUGCUGAGUACAUGAAACACAAUCAUUGGAACUUCCCUACUUCCCUGCUCCAGCAAUACAAUUUUGACACUAGCACCACAGGUGCUCCAGCAGAAACCAAUGAAGAAGCCAAUGCUUCAGAUGAACCAGCAGAGCAAGCUGCAACUGAACCACCAACAAACGUUGACUCAGAAGAUGCUGAACUAUCUGACCCACCUGAGGAUGAAGGUGAUAAAUUUGAGACAUAUAGCUCACCCUCAGAGGCAGAGGAUAAUUCAGAACAUGAACGUGAGGAAACACCCAUCCCCACCCAGUCCAAAACUAGGAAGCAGCACAUUAUUCAAGAAGAGGAGAAGGAAGACCUUGACGUGGAACCUCCUAUUCCAGUCUUUGUAAGCAAAGGAAAGGCCAAGGGUAAAGCAAAAAUGGCAACACCUCUAGCCUCUGACGAUGAAAUGGAACAAGUUGAUGUUGAGUUAGCUGCUGCAACAGCUAGAGCCAUGCCUACAUCUGAGCCAGCCAAGCAACUACUUGAGGUAAUAGUUGCCAUCACAGCCGAGGGCCAGGCAGCUGACGCAUUGACUCAAAAGACUCCACAGCCAAGUCCUAGCCAGCCUAUCCGCACCAGUCCAAGACAACCCAGCAAACGAAAAGGCAAUACAUCUGCGGGUACCACAACUCUUCUCACCAGCCCUGCAGCGAAAAAGACAAAGACAUUGCCAGCUACCUUCCCAGAGGCUUCACCAAAGGAUAAGUUGCUUAGUGCAUCCAAGAAGCGCUGAUAACAUCACAUCAUGGGCUGUAGUCCCCACCACAGGGGAGUACUUUUCUCUCACUAGUUUCCUUCUUGUUCAAAAAAAAAAAGAGUUGUUUGUCCAUUUGUGUGUUUGUAUUUUGUUUGUUUGUGAGGACACAUCAUCUCUCAAGUUUGGGGGGGUUGUUUCCGAAUGCAUGUGUUUUAUGUUUGUGUUUAUGUUUGUGUUGUGUGAAGCUCUAUCAUCUGUUAUUUGUGUAUGGAUUUGAAAACCUAAUGAAGAUAAAUUGAGUGCUAUUAAGUAUUUAUGAGAAUGCCAAGUAGAGAUAGUUUUAGAUAGAAGUGAAAUUAUGUCCCAACACUUAGCCCGUGAUUGAGUUGUAUGAGACUGCUAGAGCAAAACCAAAAGAAUAGAAAAUGUCUUAAGAUUUGAAGGAAGAAGCAUGUUGAUUGACUGUGAUAUUUAUGAAAUAAAACUCUGCUCCAAUGGCUUAAGUUGCUGAGUAACCAGAUCUGAGUAUGCACCCCAUAUGCAGAAAUGUGUAAAAAAGUAGCGACAUGUGCGCUCUCACUUGUGUCCAGGGGACCACCCGAAGAUACAUACAUAAACUCAAAAAUACAAUUAAUUACAAUGGAAAUGUGAGCCCCAGUGAUUACAGAAGAAGAAUAUUUCAAAGUUAUGGAGCAGCUCAUCACCUCUCGAUCAAAGUCUUCAGUCGCAGACUCCUCUGACGAUGAUGAUGAAGAGCCAUUUAUUUCACUUGGAGACGACAAUGAAUAUGAUUGUUUCGGAAUUUUCUCUCCAAUAAAGCAUUGUAAAUAAUUAUUGUUUCUAAAAAAAAAGAGUAAAUAUUCAUUUUGUAAUUUUCACAUUUCCAUUGUAAUUAAUUGUAUUUUUAAGUUUAUGUAUGUAUCUUCGGGUGGUCCCCUGGACACAAGUGAGAGCGCACAUGUCUCUUCACCCGUAUUAUACUUGUAUUUUAAACUUUGUUACAAAGAUUACUGUAUGCUACAGCACCGCUACAGUCUACAGUGAAGAAUUCUAAAGAUUACUGUUCGCUACAGCUCCGCUACAGUCUACAGUGGAGAGUUCCAAAGAUUACUAUAUGCUACAGCUCCGCUACAGUCUACAGUUUAAAAAAUUUUUGUAUAUAUUCUAGAGGAAGACUGAGACUCCUCAGAAUUUUUCCAUUCUCCAAUUCUCUUCUUCUCUCUCUUUCUCUCUCUCUCUCUCUCUCGGGAAAUCUGGAUUAAGAUAGCUCAAGGAAAUUUUUCCUGGUCUUGUAAUUUUCCCUUUCUUCUCUAUACAAAUCAACCUUUGUAAAGCAUUUCGAAAAAGCAAUUAAUGUAAGCAAUUUAUUUUUCAAUUCUAUUUAAAGCAUUUGUAAUUUAAAGCUUUCAAUGUAUGUUUAAAUUUUCGCAAUUUAUUUUAAAGCAUCACUUGCAGACUGAUCUGUAUCAUAUCUGCCUUACAACUGUUACGUUCCUCUGAGGCAACGAGACCAGAUCUCAAUCCUCAGUUGUAUUCUUUUUUUCUCCCUCCUUCCAAUCAGAUCGCUAUUUCUGAUAUCCAGAUCUAGUGAUAUUUUUGAGCCUUUAGAUGUAUGUUUGUUGCUAGGCUUGUUUAAAGAAUCUAAUAAAAUAUUUGAUAAAGCAUUAAUUAAAUAUGGAAAGAAGAUGAUCACAAAAGAAGGAAAGCAUAAUCGGAAAUGACACAAGUGCUGUUGCAGAUGUUAGAGCAACCAAUGCUGCAGUAAUCUGGGAGAAACGCAGGAGAAAAUAUAGGCGCGAGUCAGUAAUUAAAUUACAAUCUGCAUGUUUCCUAAUUAAAACACAGGCACGCGCAUAGGCACUGGUUUGGAAAACCUAAUUUGCAAAUAUAUAAAGGGGGCAUGCACCACAUAGAAGCGGCGGUGGAAUUAACAUUCAAAAACAAUUAAAAAGGCAAGAAUAAGAUCCAGAUUAAGGAGGGCUAUUCGGCAUCAUUGAAGCACCGAGGAGGAUCCUUAGACUUUCAUCGUGCUCAACUCAUAUUAUCUUUCUUCCUUUAAUUGAUUGGAUGUAUUCUGCGAUCAUUAUGUUUAUUUUUCCCAUUCAGAAUAUAAACUGAAUUUACUUGUAGUUGAGUGACAAAUAAUCCAAUAGGUUCUUGACUGUUCUUAUAUGAUGUUAUGAUAAUUCUGUAGCAUUAUACUCUAAUAGUUUUUAUGAUAUAAUUAUUAUUUCGGUUGACCACCCAUUUAAUAGUUUCAGUUAAGAUAGAGCAGCAAAAGUGCAUGUCUUAGCGGACAUUAUUAGAGUAUUACUUGUUCUUAAAUUAAGUUUUCUGGAUUAGGUUAUCUUAAAUCUCAUAAGGGCAAUGCUUGAAAUUAAAAUUUGUGAUAUCCUAGACAUAGGUGCUCACCUUGUAGGGUAGAGGGAUUAAAGAUCAUAAAGCCAUACAUUAAAUUUAUGAGCAACUGGUCAUUGUUAGUAGAUUUAAAGGUAUGAGAUUUCCAACAUGCGAUAGUUGCGGAUGCAGAUUUGUUCUGCCCAGUGCUGCAGCACUUAUCAUAACAACCAGUGCUAAUUCGGUAAUCAACAGUCACCCCAUUAGGAGAAUUUGAUCAUUCAACUACUAUAUUCUCAAUUGAAUCUUGGACACAUUUAAUUAAGUCUAUUUUAUUUCGAUAUUGCUUUAAUUCCCAUCUCUCACAAUUAUUAUUUACGAUAGAAUUAUUUGGCAAUUGUUUGUUUCGGUCUUUAGUUGACGUGCAUUAUUGUGAUUGCUUUAACAUUUUGAGUAACAUCAAUCCUUGUGGAGACGAUCUUGAACACUCAUCACUUUAUUACUUGUUGUGUAUACUUGCACAUUGGCAUUGAUAAUAAUUGAUUAUACAAAUCAACCAACACUUACUACAAGAAUAGUGAAUUCAAGCACCUAAGGAAAAAAGAAAAUUUACUUACUUUCUUUAAAAUCAGCUUGCUAAAACUCACUUUCUCAUUUCAAUAGAAAACGAAAUGUAUAUGCCAAUACACCUUCUCACACACACACGUAUGCAAGCAUGCACACAUAGGCACAUGCAUGCACGAACGCAUAGAUACGCACACAUGCACGUACAUUCGUGCACAUCCACACGCACGCACGUACGCACACUCAAACACAGACAUAUAUACACACAGAUAGACACACGCGUGCUCGUACAUGCACGCAAGUAUGCACACGCACACACACACGUUUGCAUGCACACACCCAUGCGCACCCAAACACUGGAAGACACACAAACAAACACACACGUUCGCGCGCACAUGCACUAUAACAUAUGUGAGAAAAAACAGUGAGGUGGUUAAAACGUAAAUAAAAAUAAAAGAAGAAGUUGGAAAUAGGGGAACACAUACACACCUAUCAAAGAGUGAGAAAAGCUAUAAACUGACCCAAAACCUGACAUGACCCGCGAACGUCACCUGGUCGAAUCUCAUGAUUUCAACCAGCUAAGCUUGGUACUAAUCUAAAGCUUGAAGAUCAGUCAUCGUAUUCCAGCCAUCACAGUCGCUGAUUAACGACCAGAACGCCGAUGUUUUAGCUCGAUAAGCAGCGGUAAAACCACCCCUUCUCGCCGUUGAUUUCGUCAGUUUGGGGUGACCUCACCGGCUAGGUUUUGUUCCCUGACUCCCUUUUUAUUUUCCAACCAUCCACAGCCACCAAAAGUCGUUGAUUUACGGUGUUCAGCCGUUGGAGUUACACGACUGUUGAGCUAGAUUCUGGGGCCGUCGCCAUGCAUGGGAGCUCACCGCCGGUUCUAUUGAACUCAGCUCAGCCAGAAAUGUUUAAACCAAGUUUCCCAGUCACCGUGUAGAGAUUUCAGAGUAUUUUAAUUUCUGACCCUGUAGAGAUUUUAGUAAUUUCUGAAAUUCAGGAUUGGUUGUAAUUACGGUAAUUCAAUAACUUUUUAUUUCGGUGUAUUUUAAUGAUGUAUGGAUUAAACGAUAUUUUAAUAAUUUUAUCGACGCGGGAGUGGUAUAUUAUGGACAAAUGUUCGUUUCGAGUUUAUUGCAUAAAUUUAGUCUUAAUUCCAAUUUACGAAAAUUAAUUAUGUCGUUUCCUUGAUUUAGGAGGAUCCGCGAGCGAGAACUAAUUCGUGAACGUGGGCGAUAACUGAGUAUGAACAUCGUCAUUAUGAGUGGAAUAUACAAAACCUUUUUUUUUUAUAGUGUAUUAUGAUUUUAAAAUAUGGUAAAGGACGUUUACGAGAUAAGUUUUAAAGGCUCCGAUUUAAUGAUUGUUCUAUAAAUGGAUUUUAUCUACGUAUUGGUAUUUAUUAUUAAAGAUAUGUAUGAUCAUUGAUUUUAUUACCGAUUUUGAAUACAUGCAUGAUAAUAUUUUAAAGAAAAGGAAUUGGAUUUAAAGUAUGUUAAAUGAAAAGGAAAUGAGAUUUUAUAUAGAGGCUUUGGGCCGUGUGUUUGGGCGCUUUUGCCUUUUAGGGCAUAUGCAUGUGAUAUGGUGAUAACAGUAAUACAGAUACAGAUGAUACAUAUGGGAUAUAAGCCUUUGGGGCCCAUCUGAGUACACACAGAGGCUUUGGGCCGUGUGCUUGGGCACUUUUGUCCUUUGGCGACUAGAUUAUGCAUGCGCAGAUAUGAUGAGAUAUAAGAUGACACUUCCCUGUCUAUCCAUGUAGUUUCGGGGCAUGACAGUACCUAGGUAGUACAUCAUUGCCCGUUCGUUGAGGUCCAAAUACGACGAGAUUAUUCCUCUGGGUACUUGUUUAGUGAUGAUUUCAGAAUUAUCUAUUUUGCAUGAUAUUGUGAUAUGAUUUUCCAUGGUUAUUACGUACGAUAUUAUAUAUGCUCUUCAAGGUUAGUAAUCUGAUUUAAACGUUAAACAAUUUAUUGGUUGGUUCUCGCAUACUGUAUGAUGAAAUCAUGUUUCGAAAUGAUGUGAUUAUUUCUUUUAAAGUAAAAAUGUUUUUUCAAAAAUUAUUAUCCACUCACUAAGCUCAUUGAUUUUUAUACUCAUCUUGUUUUAUUAUAUUCCCCCAUCUCAACGGGAAGUUGCAGGUACACUAAAUCGACCCAGCAAGUGUAGAUAUAUUUUGAAUCUCAGCCAUGUGAUGGAGUUAGAAGAUAUAUAUGAUUUUUGUUAGGAUAUCUUUAUCAUCUCUUGUUUUUUUUUUGGAUUGUAUAAUUUUGUUGUAUUAUUCUUUUGGGAUUAAAAAUAAACGAAUAUAUGUUAAUAUUAGUUAUAAUAUAAUCUUUUGAUACCUUAGAGAUAUCCUGGGUAAAAAUUUAGUAUUUUGGUUGAGAAUGAUAAUCGUUGGAGUUGGUUGUAUAUUGAAUUAUUUUGGAAGUGCUCUUUUUGCAUAAUUGCAUAUUGAGAGUGUUAUAUUUAUAAAGAAGACUUUGUCGAAUUUUCAGUAGAAUUCUUACUAAUUAGAUUAUUAUCUAUCCAGUUUUGAUGAGAUUAGAUAGACUCGCUCUGGGACUUCGGGGCGGGUUGUUUCAGCUAGUAUCAGAGCAUGAUUUUAGAUUCUGUAGACUUUACUGUGUUAGUAAGAAUAACUUUCAUUGUUAUUAAAGUAAGAAUUGAUAUUUUGUAGGCACCAUUAUGCUUCGUCAUAGCAGUAGACAUGGUCAUGGCCAUGGUCAUACUAGGUUAGCAACUGGGUUGACUUUUGGUAAUGUACCUAUAAGGGAAAGUGAACCCAUGAAUCAGGGGGUAGUUGAAUCAUUUGCACAUGAAAUGGUGCAACAGGCACUAGAGAAUGUUCUGAAUAUUGACCAAUCAUUUGAUUGGCUAGCUCAAAUCAUGACUACAGUCGUGUAGAAUCAGACUCAAGCACAUGCAGGUAACGCAAACACUAUUGAACGUGUGAGGAGUUUAGGGGCGAGGAGCUUUAAUGGUUCUGGAGAACCACCGGAGGCUAAGUUAUGGUUUGUUAAGUUAGAGCGUAUUUUUGACGUGAUAAAGUGUUCAGAGCAUGACAAGCAAUCCUUUGCCAUUUUCUUGCUUGAGGAUAGAGCUUACCAUUGGUGUCAGAUAAUAGAGAGACAAAAGUAGGGGGAUGCUGCGAUUACUUGAGCCAUAUUCCGUAAGGACUUCUACGAUCAUUAUUUCCCAACUGUGUAUCAGGAUAUUAAGCGGAGUGAAUUCCUUUGGUUGGUUUAAGGAUCCAUUAUAGUUGAGAAGUAUGAGAAGAAACUUUUGGACUUCUCCAGAUUUGCUGCAUCUGUAAUCGGUGAUGAGAGAGAGAUAUACAAACGGUUUGAGGAGUGUCUUCGAUUUAAAAUUUACACCACAGUGACUGAAUCACGAUACACUGCGUUUGAAGAGGUAGUUGAGGUAUUCAGGAGAGUAGAACAUAGUAUUUCAAAAGGAUGGAGAGUUUAAGCACUAAAGCAGAAGCAUGUCAAAGCUGGGUAGAGGGUGGCUCUAUUAGCAAGCUGCCUAAAAAAAGGGGUAUUCCUACGAUUUACUCUGAUAUCAUGCGAAGGAGUCAGGGUACAGGCUUCGGGGGAGACCCAAGACAGGUUGUCAGUUAUAGCUCAGUGCAGCCAUCAGUAGGGAGUAAUACCAAAAAUCAAGGACAAUACGACCGUUGUGGUGGAAGACAUCGUGGUGAUCGUCCUAAGAGUACCCAACAUACUUUUUGCUCUUCAUGUGGCAGGAACUAUUAGGGCUAGCGUCUCGCUAGAGAAAAAGUUUGUUAUCUAUGUGGUCAGCCUAGACACAUUAGAAGAUUCUGCCAUACCUUGUCUCAGGGUGACAGUUCUGUAGGAGGAACAGCCCCACGGUAUCGACCUCACUCUAGCCAGACUCGUUGUCAGAGAGGAGUAUAGACGAGAGGUACUACGUCUACUUUUAGGAGUCAAAUAACUGCUCUAUGUCAGAGAGGUCAGCCUAGUCAACUUCAUACUCAGGCUCGAGCUUUUACUUUGACACAACAUGAGGCAAGUGUUGCACCAGAAGUUAUUAUGGGUAUAUAAUCUAUCCUUAGCUGUGAGGCCCAUAUUCUUAUUGAUCUUGAAUCCAUGCCUUUAUUUAUUUCCCAUACUUUUGCUAUGCAUUUAGAGCAAGAGCCUAAACCACCAAAUUGUGGCUUAGUUUUUCGCACACUUACUGAAGAGUCAUUACUUGCUGAGAGUGUAUAUUAGGAUUGUAUGAUUAGAAUGGGUAAGCAUGAAUUUGAGGCGAAUUCAAUCUCUUUAGACACUCAUGACUUCGAUGCUAUUUUGUUCAUAGAUUGGCUUGAAUUUCAUUAUGCUACGGUGGAUUAUUUCAAACAGGAAGUUAGGUUUAAAAAGCCAGGGAAAGCUGAGGUGAAAUUCUAUGAGAGCGCAUAGUUCUACCCUCAUGUGUCAUAUCUGCCAUUAGUGCAAAACAAUUGCUAAGAAAAUGGUGCUCCGCUUAUUUAGCUCAUGUGAUAAACACAAAAGUUCGAGAAUUGAGAUUAGAGGAUAUUGUCGUAGUUAAAGAAUUUCCAGAUGUAAUUCUAAAUUAAUUUCCUGUGAUGCCACCUAACAGGGAGGUUGAGUUUUCUAUUGAUUUAGUCCCUGGAGCAUCUCCUAUAUUUAUGGCACCGUACAGGAUGGCUCCAGUAGAAUUGAAGAAAUUGAAGGUUCAACUACAAGAGUUGGUGGAUAAAGGGUUUAUUAAACCUAGUGUGUCCUCGUGGGGAGCUCUAGUCUUGUUUGUUAAGUAAAAGGAUGGGAGUUUAGGACUCUUCAUCGACUACAGACAGUUGAGUAAAGUUACAGUGCGUAAUAAGUAUCCAUUUCCAUGCAUCGAUGACUUGUCUGAUCAACUCCAGGGGCCGAAAGUAUUUUCUAUGAUCGAUUUGUGCUCGGGGUAUCAUCAUCUUAGAAUUAAAGAGGCCAAUGUUCCUAAAAUAGCAUUUAGAAGCCAUUAUAGACACUAUGAAUUCUUAGUGAUGCCAUUCGAGUUGAUAAAUGCUCCAUAAGCAUUUAUGGAUCUCAUGAUAGGGUAUUUCGCUCGUAUCUAGAUCGGGUUGUAAUUGUAUUCAUUAAUGAUAUCUUGGUGUAUUCUCGAAGCAAGGAGGAGUAUGUAGAGCAUUUGCAGAUUUUUUUGCAAACUUUAAGGCAAAAACAGUUGUAUGUUAAGUCCAGCAAGUGCGAGUUCUGGUUAGACAGAGUAGGAUUUAUGGGCCAUGUGAUAUUAGCUGAAGGCAUUUAUGUUGAAUCUCAAAAGAUUGAAGCAGUUGUGAAAUAAAUGGGAGUGGCCUAAAAAUGUCACAGAGGUUAGAAGUUGCUCGGGGUUGGUUGGCUAUUAUCGUAGAUUUGUGGAGGGAUUCUCUAAGAUUGCUUCUCUGCUGACACGGUCUGGAUUAUUACCUAAGAUAUCUCCAAAAUAUCAAAGAUUAUAUUAUAAAUGCUAUUAACAUACAUUAGUUUAUUCUUAAUCCCAAAAGAAUAAUAUAACAAAAUUAAACAAUCCCAAAAGAAUGAAAUGAUUAAGAUGUCCUAACAAAAAUUAUCUACAUCUUCUAACACCAUCAUAUAGCCAAGACUCAAAAUAUAUUUACAGUCACUGGUCGAUCUGUUGUACCUGAUAUUAAGGAUCUUAAAGAAGAAAUUAUGGAAGAAGCUCACUGUUCAGCUUAGACAAUGCAUCUUGGUAGUAUAAAGAUGUAUUGCGCCUUGAGAGAUCAUUACUGGUGGCAGGACAUAAAGAGAGAGAUAGCAGAAUUUGUUUCUCAAUGUUUAGUCUGUCAGCAUAUUAAGGCUGAAAACCAAAGGCUUGCAGGGUAUUCUCAGCCACUUCAUAUUCCUGAGUGAAAAUGGGAGCACAUCACGAUGGAUCUGGUAGUAGGACUUCCACAUACGCAGAAGGAACAUGAUAAUGUUUGGGCAGUUGUUGAUCGACUUAAAAAAUCUAAUCACUUUUUACCAUUUAAAACCACUUAUUUGAUGGACAAGUUGAGGAGUAUUUAUGUGGCUGAGAUAGUUCGACUUCACGAAGUACCUUUGUCCAUAGUCUCAGAUAGAUAUUCCCGAUUCACUUCUAAGCUCUGGACUAGCUUACAAAAUGCUUUAGGCACCAAGUUGAACUUCAUUAGAGCUUUUCAUCUACAGACUGAUGGUCAGUCAAAACUUAUUAUUUAAACCCUGGAGGAUAUGUUGCGAGCUUAUGUUAUGGAGUUUAAAGGUAAUUGGGAUAAUUAUUUACCUCUGAUGGAGUUUGCUAACAACAGCAGCUAUCAAACUGGUAUGGGGAUGGCACCAUAUGAGGCCUUGUAUGGUCAAAAAUGCAGAACUUUAGUAUGUUGGGAUAAGGUUGGUGAGCGGAGGUUAUUUGGUCCAAAAUUAUUUUAGGAUAGUAAUGAGAAAAUAUAAUUAAUUCGGGAUAGAAUAAAGGUGGCCCAAAAAAGACAGAAGAGUUAUGCAAACAAGCGUAGACGGGAACUUGAAUUCGAAAUUAGUGACAGAGUUUUCAUACAGAUAUCUUCUUGGAAAGGGGUACUUCAAUUUGGGAAGUGGGGGAAGCUAGGCCCACACUACAUUGGGCCAUAUGAGAUCAUAGAGCGCAUUGGUUCGUUACCUUAUCAAUUAGCUCUACCGCCCGAGUUAUCUAUAAUAUGUUUUAUGUUUCAAUGCUCCGGAAAUACAUAUAUGACCCAAGCCAUGUGUUAUCGAAGCAACCUAUUCACUUGAAAGAAGACUUGACUUACGAGGAGGGCCUAAUGGAGAUACUGGAAGGAAAACACCAAGUUCUAUUUUCUAAGACCAUUCCUCUAGUAAAAGUACUGUGGAGGAACCACACAAAGGAAGAGGCUACCUGGGAAAGCGAGGACUUAAUGCAAGCUUAGUAUCAUUAUCUUUUCUUAUCAGGUACGUAAAUUUCAAGUACGAAAUUUUUAUAAGUGGGGAGGAUUGUAACAUCUGUUGAAAAAAAAUGAGGUGGUGAAAAGGUAAAUAAAGAUAAAAGAAUAAGCUUGAAAUAAGGGAACACAUACACACAUGUGAGAGAGUGAGAAAAACUGUAAACUGACCCAAAACCCAACCCCACCCUUAAAAGUGACUCGGUCGAAUCUCACGAUUUCGAUCAACCCACCGGCCAAACUUGGUACCAAUCUGAAGCUUAAAGACCGGUCGUCGUAUCCCAGCCAUCACAGUUGUCGAUUAACAGCCAAAACACCGGCAUUUUAGCUCAAUAAGCGACGGUAAAACCCACCCCUUCUCGUCGCCGAUUCUGCUAGUUUGAGGUGACACCACCGCCUGGGUUUUGUUCCCUACAACUCCCUUUUGAUUAUUAGACCAUCCACAACCAACGAAAGCCGUCGAUUUACCAUGGUUCAGCCGUUGGAGUUACAUGGUUGUCGAACUAGAUUUCGGCACCGUCGUCACACAUGGGAGCUCACCACUACUAUUGACCCCGUAAAGCUUUUAGUAAUUUCUGAAAUUGAGGAUUGGUUGUAAUUACGGUAAUUCAAUAAUUUUUUUAUUUCAGUGUAUUUUAAUGAUGUACGGAUUAAAGGGUAUUUUAAUAAUUUUAUUGACAUGGGAGUUGUAUAUUAUGGACAAAUGUUCGUUUCGAGUUUAUUGCAUAAAUUUAGUCCUAAUUCUAAUUUACGAAAAUUAAUUAUGUUGUUUCCUUGAUUUAGGAGGAUUCGCGAGCGAGAACCAAUCCGCGAAUGUGGGAGAUAACUGAGUAUGAACAUCUUCAUUAUGAGUGGAAUAUACAAAACCUAUUUUUUAUAGUUUAUUAUGAUUUAAAAAAAUUUUAAAGGCUCCGAUUUAAUGAUUUUUCUAUAAAUGGAUUUUAUUUGCGUAUUGGUAUUUAUUAUUAAAGAUGUGUAUGAUUAAUGAUUUUAUUACCGAUUUUGAAUACAUGCAUGAUAAUAUUUUAAAGAAAAGGAAUUAGAUUUAAAGUAUGUUCAAUGAAAAGGAAAUGAGAUUUCAGAUGUGAUUAUAUGUUUAUGUGUAUGUGUAUAAAAGGUUGUUUACCAAAUCAUUGGACAGUACCAUUCUCCGAUUACAGUGAUACAGAUAUGAUGAGGCAUUUGGGGCCUGUGUGAACACACAUAGAUGCUUCAGGCCAUGUGUUUGAGCGCUUCUACCUUUUGGGGGCAUAUGCAUGUGAUAUGAUGAUAACAGUAAUACAGAUACAGAUGAUACAGAUGAAAUACAGGCCUUUGGGGCCCGUCUGAGUAGACACAGAGGCUUUGGGUCGUGUGAUUGGGCGCUUUUGUCUUUUGGAGACUAGAUUAUGCAUGCAGAGAUAUGAUGAGAUAUAAGAUGACACUUCCAUGUCUAUCCGUGUAGCUCCAGGGCGUGACGAUACCUAGAUAGUACGUCAUUGCCCGUAAGUUGAGGUCCGGACACGAUAAGAUUAUUCCACUGGGUGCUUGUUUAGUGAUAAUUUUAGAUUUUUGUAUUUUACAUGAUAUUAUGAUAUAAUUUUCCAUGGUUAUUACGUACGAUAUUAUAUAUGCUCUUCAAGGUUAAUACUAUGAUUUAAAUGUUAAAUGAUUUAGUAGUGGUUUCUCGCAUAUGGUUUGAUGAAAUCGUGUUUGGAAAUGACGUUAUUAUUUCUUUUAAGGUAAAAAUGUAUUUUCAAAAAUUAUUAUCCACUCAUUGAGUUUUAUACUCAUCUCGUUUUAUUAUAUUCUGUGAUGGUGUUAAAAGAUAUUUUUUUUAAGAUAUCCUAUUUUUUUGGGAUUGUAUAAUUUUCUUAUAUUAGUCUUUUGGGAUUAAGAAUAAACUAAUAUAUGUUAAUAUUAGUUACAAUAUAAUCUUUUCAUACCCUAGAGAUAUCUUGGUAAAAAUUCAGUAUUUUGGUUGAGAAUGAUAAUCAUUGGAGUUGGUUGUAUAUUGAAUUAUUUUAGGAGAGCUUGUUUUGCAUAGUUACAGAUUGAGAGUGUUAUAUUUAUAAAGGAGAAUUUGCCGAAUUUUAGGUAGAAUUCUUACUAAUUGGAUUAUUAUCUAUUUAGUUUUAAUGCGAUUAAAUAGACUCGCCCUGAGGGUUUUGGGCGGGUCGUUUCACGCACACACGCAAGCGCGUGCACACACACACCCGCGAGGGAAAUGAUCAUAUGAUUUUCACAAUAAGGGGGCAAACCAAUUCGACUUUUUCCGUCAGAAAUACAAAACUUACUUCUUGCUAAUUAAUAUUCUGGUGACAUAAAAAUAAAAUAGUAACUAGCAUAUUUAUGGACAAAUCUAAAAUAUUUAUGUUACUUUCAUAAAAUAUUUUAAGUGUUGUACAAAUUUUAAUAAACAAGAUAUAGAUGCACAGCUUUCUGGUUCACAGAAUUUGCCAGUGGACUUUAUUUUAUUUUAUUCAUUAGUUUCCCUUCUUUCUAUAUAUUAAAUAUAUGUCCUUAUAUAACAAGUAACAAGAAUUAUUAGAAUUUGAUAUAUCUCAAUCUGAUGUAUUGACCCGGAGAGUGAGAAUUUUUUUAAUAUUGUCUAUUAUUGAAAUCACCUCCAUUUGUUGACUUUGUAUAUUUUCUAAGGGAUUCGCUUUGAUUUUCUUUAUUAUUUUGGAGAUCCGAUAUUUUCAGAAGCAAUUAUGCAAGACACUUAUAAUAAAUAUGAUGAAUUUGGCUACACACUAAAUGCCACUCAACACUCACUAAAGCCAGUAAAAGAUGGCAGUGACCCUCAAAAAAAAUUUCCCAAUAAUUGCUUCCAAAUUAAUCACCAAUGAUCUCCAGAUAUUCACAAAAAGAAGUAUCAGAAGUGCCACGUCUGAUGUUCAGAUCAUUUCCACCGAAAGAGUCAAACCUUCACUUCCAACCCGAAAACAUCUUAGAACCUAUAAACUUUCAUUGAUUGAUCAAUUAAGUACUGAUUUUUACAUUCCCCUAGUCUUCUUCUACUCGGCCAGUUGCAAGAACCAAGAUUUCAGAAAAAAAUCCGAUUUACUGAAGCAAUCUCUCGCAAAAACAUUAACCCACUACUACCCUUUUGCUGGAAGAUUGAUUGAUGGCUUUUCGGUCGACUGUAAUGAUCGUGGGGCUGCAUUUAUUGAAGCUAAUGUUGGCUGUGAUAUAUCAAAGUUUCUUCAACCACCAGAUAUGGAGCUGCUACAACAAUUAAUCCCACCUAGUCCCCAAUUAUCGAAUUUAGAGAUUUCUGAAAGAGAACUUUUGGCUGUCCAAGUAAACCUGUUCAACAGCGGUGAAAUGGCAAUUGGUGUUUGUUUUUCUCAUGGAGUGGCCGACGGUUCGGCAUUCUUUAACUUCAUGAAAACCUGGGGUGAAAUCGCUCGUGGGGUGAUUAAUGAUAAUGAUAAUAUUUGCAAUAACAAUAUCGUUUUAGAUUGCACCUCUCUGUUUCCGCCCGUAAAGUUCCCACAACAGUAUCAGAUCCGAAGCCCACAAUCUUCACGCAAGAUUGUGUUCAAAAGAUUGUUGUUCAAUGGAAAGAAGAUAGCAACUCUAAAGGAGAAGGUGAAUAAAGAAUUAAUGGCUGAUAACAAUUCUGACGAUGACGUGUUACAAGCAACUCGUUUCAGGGUUGUUUCAGCACUCAUUUGGGGUGCCUCCAUCGCUAUAGCGCGGGAAAGAAAGAGGACAAUUGAUAAUAAGUUGAACUCUCAUUCAAUGUAUUAUCCUAUGAAUUUGCGUAACAAGGUGAAUCCACCAAUGUUUCCACGGUGCAUGGGUAACAUUGCUCGGCUUGUAAGGGCAGAAUGGUCACUAGCCCAGGAUGAUGCCAUAGAGAUAACAAGUUUAGUAAGAGAAGUGGUAAAAGCCAAGAGAAUGGGAAGAGAUGUGAUGAAUAAUGAUGAGUAUUUAGGUUUCAUUAAGGAUAUGUAUGAAGUACCGGAAGAUUCGAGGUCAUUUCUUUUGACUAGUACGGUUGGAUUGCCUUGUUAUGAAGUUGAUUUUGGUUGGGGGAAGCCUGUUUGGUUUAGUUUCGGGCCCAUAUUGUUUCCUGAUUUUGCUAUUUUAUCAAGCACAAGUGACGGUGAAGGAAUAGAAGCAUUGGUGGUAAUGUCUAAGGAGGACAUGGACAAAUUUGAACAAGAAAUUAGCAUCAUGGCUUAUGCUUCCCCUAACCCUAGCAUAUUUUUAAGGAAGUAAGGAGUUAAUUUUAUUUCUCUUGCUUUGAAUAAAAAGAAUUGUCUUCUAGUUAGAAUAGUAAUAUGCUUACAAAGUUGAGAUUAUUGUACAAUAACUGUAUCUCAUUAUUAUCAUACUUCUCUUUAAAUAAAAUCAUGUUAUGUAUGCAUACUUCGAUCAGCGAAAACUGGAAGAGGACAAAAAAAAGGUGAAAAAAAAAUGUACGUAAUGCUUUCCUUUUUUUCCUUUUAUCAUAUUUUCUGAUUGCAAAGGCAGAAUUAUUGUAUCAUAUUUGGCAUCAAAUUUUAUUAAAGGAUCCUCGUAAGUAGUUAUAUUGGAUAUAUAUAUAUAUAUAUAUAACUCUGAAUAUGCGACAUAAAAUGUCUGUGAUGUCAUGUUGUGAAUGUUGCCAAUAAGAAGAAGUUUCAGUGGCGCAGGGAAGGAUUUCUUAUUAGGGUUUGGAGAUUUGAAUACAAUUUUGAGGAGACAAAAGAAUAGGAUGAAAAGAAAUUGGAGCUCCAUCUAGAAGAGGAGAAAUUGGGCCAUCGACUUCAAAACUCAGGAUGAUGCCAUAGAGAUAACAAGUUUAGUAAGAGAAGUGGUAAAAGCCAAGAGAAUGGGAAGAGAUGUGAUGAAUAAUGAUGAGUAUUUAGGUUUCAUUAAGGAUAUGUAUGAAGUACCGGAAGAUUCGAGGUCAUUUCUUUUGACUAGUACGGUUGGAUUGCCUUGUUAUGAAGUUGAUUUUGGUUGGGGGAAGCCUGUUUGGUUUAGUUUCGGGCCCAUAUUGUUUCCUGAUUUUGCUAUUUUAUCAAGCACAAGUGACGGUGAAGGAAUAGAAGCAUUGGUGGUAAUGUCUAAGGAGGACAUGGACAAAUUUGAACAAGAAAUUAGCAUCAUGGCUUAUGCUUCCCCUAACCCUAGCAUAUUUUUAAGGAAGUAAGGAGUUAAUUUUAUUUCUCUUGCUUUGAAUAAAAAGAAUUGUCUUCUAGUUAGAAUAGUAAUAUGCUUACAAAGUUGAGAUUAUUGUACAAUAACUGUAUCUCAUUAUUAUCAUACUUCUCUUUAAAUAAAAUCAUGUUAUGUAUGCAUACUUCGAUCAGCGAAAACUGGAAGAGGACAAAAAAAAGGUGAAAAAAAAAUGUACGUAAUGCUUUCCUUUUUUUCCUUUUAUCAUAUUUUCUGAUUGCAAAGGCAGAAUUAUUGUAUCAUAUUUGGCAUCAAAUUUUAUUAAAGGAUCCUCGUAAGUAGUUAUAUUGGAUAUAUAUAUAUAUAUAUAUAACUCUGAAUAUGCGACAUAAAAUGUCUGUGAUGUCAUGUUGUGAAUGUUGCCAAUAAGAAGAAGUUUCAGUGGCGCAGGGAAGGAUUUCUUAUUAGGGUUUGGAGAUUUGAAUACAAUUUUGAGGAGACAAAAGAAUAGGAUGAAAAGAAAUUGGAGCUCCAUCUAGAAGAGGAGAAAUUGGGCCAUCGACUUCAAAACUCACUGUGAUAUAUGUAAGCUAAAUUAAUUUUAUGGAUCUCUUAUCAAGUAUGGUAUGGACACACUCAAUAUAAUUUUAUGCGUACGGAAUAUCUAAAGUUCUAAACUCUCAAAAUUCAUUCAAAUGUACAAAUAAGAGAGUGGACUGACUGUGAUUUGGUAAAUAGUCUUUUUUUUACUAUUAUAGGCUUUGAUUAUACUAACCCCCGAAAAUUUGGCUUAAAAUCAUAUAAUAAUUUAAUAUUAUAUAUAAUCAUUCUCAGGUGUGGACGCCCGCAUCUUUUUUAAUGCGGACACACUUUUAAACCGUGCGGUUUAAAAGAGUUAGUUAUUAAAUGAACUAUAAAACCGCAUGAUUUUAAAGAAUUAAAAACUAACUCUCUUAAACCAUGUCGUUUUAAAAUGUAUCCGCAUAAAAAAUAAAUAAGGACGUCUGCACUAGAGAAUGACUAUAUAUAUAUUCGUAAAAAAUUUAUUUAUUAUAGAAAUCUAAAGUCAGCCAUUGCCGAACAAAUCGUUGUAUUGAAUCAAAUCUUCAUGAUAGAUUAAUAAUAUCAAAAUAUAUUUUUUUAGAAAUAAAAAUAAUUUUCAAAAAAAUUAUUUAUAAUAUUUAUUUAGGGAUAGAUUCGGAUUGCUGCUUAUGAAAUAAUUCACUUUUGCUGGUAUUGAUGAGAAAAUCAACUGGACAAAUGCAAAGUUUAAGUGUUUGAUAAAAUAAACUACUGAAGUAUUGUAUGUUUGAAGAACAAAGUGCAUAUGUUUAAUAAUUAUUAUAAACACAUGAUGUCGUCCCUCCAGUUUAAUAGAGUUUUUAAAUCCCACCUACUUCUUGAAAAGUGGUACAUUUUAUAAUUACAAUGGAUAUAGGCAUACGCCUAUGAAAACAAAUAUGAUAACAAAUAUACAGCAAUAAGGAAGUACCUUCAUAAUUAAGCUUCCGUUUGAUUGAAAGGAUGUUGUGAAGCUUGAUUAGUUAAUUCUGUUAUUUCUGUUAUGUGAUGAAGUGGCAUGCUGAGUCAGCUUUUGUGUGGGGCCAGAGUUAGUUAAUUUGUUACUGCUAACAGCUGGACAACAGAGCUAUAUAUGCAGAGCUCAGAGCUGAUCAACUAGAGAGAAAAAGUCACGAUUUUGAGAGACCUAGGGUGAGAGAUAGAAAAUUCUCUGUAGGAGAGAUUUAAUCUCUGUCAUCAAUACUCUCAUUGUAAACACUUGGUUAAAUAAAAGCUUCAAGCCCAGAGGGGUUUCUUUGGUCGUGGAUGUAGGUACUUAGGUACUGAACCACGUUAUAUUGUGUGUGCAUUGUUUCUGGUUCAUCUUCCUUUUACUGUUCUUUGGUUAUUUCUUGUGUUUGAGCUGGUUAGUUUUCUUGAGUAAAGAUUGUUGAUCUUGAAUCGAUUGGGUUCUAUAGCUUAGGUUAUUUGAUUGAUUAGAGUGGUUCUUGAGGAAUUCCACAACAGAUGUCACCGUUAUUUUAUCUGAUUCUAUGAUAACAAAACAUAUAGUAACAAUUGAUGGUUAAUAAUAAAAAGAAAAACGAGUUUACAUUGUUGGGAUCAUCUAAGGUCAUGCACAAGAUCUUAUUACCAGAAAUGAUCGAUUUGUCCACCAUUUUCCAUUCUGAUUGGCUUUUGAGAAGUCCAGGGGUUUCAUAAUAUUAUCUUUCAAUUUUAGUUUAAAAAGUCCAAGUGUUUCAUAUGAUAAUCUUUCAAUUUUAAUUUGAAAUUUACCAAUUAAGCUAUCAAAAUAAGUCAAUUAAAAAAGUGCCAACAUUUUGAAGGUAUGUUCAAAUCGAUUAAAAUGUUUUAUUAUCUUUAAAAGGUUAGUUUUCAAAAAUUUUGCACAUAAGUCCAUUAAAAUGUUUUAUUAUCUUUAAAAGGAUCAAUGGUAACUUAGUAAAUAAACAUAAUUAAGUAUUAAAAAUAUAGAUAGAUUAUUUUAACUUGCUCCACAUCCAUUUACUUAAAAUACCAAUUGGAUUACAAUAUUGUUUUCUUGUGUUUAGUUUAAUGCAGGAUUGGACAAAGUUUAUAUAAAUUUUGACAAUAUCAAAAUGAAAAAUAAAUAAAUAUUAAAUAAGUACUUGAAUGGUAAUUUAAGUUUUAUUAUAGAGUUUAUAAAUGCUAUUUUCAAAAUAAUAGAUUUCUAUAUGCAACUUUUAAAUUAUGUAAAAUUACUCAUACCUCAUCACAUAUAUGGAGGUGAGAUAAUAUUUAGAAAAAUAUAAUCUCAAUUAUUUACUUAACAUGAAAAGAAAUAAAUUGUAUAAUAUUUAUUCUAUUACUUAAAUUUAAAGUUGUAAAGAAUGAAACUUAAAUUUAAAAUUGUAAAGAAUUAAUAAUAACUUAAAUUAAUGGAUUAUGGGAGAAUUAUCUUUCAAAAAAAAAUUUAAGAUUAACUAGCUUUUAAGGCUUCUAACGUAAUCUUUUUUAUCUCGAGUUGUUAACAUAAAAUAAAAAUUUUACUGUAAAAAAAUUAUCCUAGACGUCUCUUUAAGGUAAAAAUAUCAUUAUCACAUGAUAAUUUGGUAGGUCCAAACUGUGUUAUUCUUAAUUUACUUAUUUAUGCUAAACACUAUAAAUUGAUUUUUUUGGUCCUCUACCUAAUCAAAAUUGAAUAUAAAACAUUUUGAAGCCUCUACGUAUAUAUUUAUUUCCUUGUAGGCAUGUACAAUUCAAAUUUCAACAAAAGUAUCAAAAGUUAUUUUUACGGUUUUUUUGUUUAAUUUCACAUCCCAUCCUAUACAUAAAUAUCAAUUAAAUAAUUUUCUUUUCCAAGGUUGGUGCGAGGGGAAAAUGAUCUUGUUCCUAUGACCUUUGCUCUCACUAUAAGGGGGCAAACCAACCCGACUUAUCCCCUGAAAGAUACAAAAGUUAUUUUUUGCUAAUUAAUAUUCUUGUGACGUUAAAAUAAAAAAUAACUAGUAUAUUUAUGGACUAAUCUUAAAUAUUAUGUUACUUUCAUAGAAUAUAUAAGUGUUGAGCAAAUUUUAAUAAACUAAAUAUAUAUGCGCAGCUUUGGGAUUCAUCGAAUUCGCCAACGGAUUUUAUUUUAUUUUAUUCAUUGAUUUCCCUUCUUUCCAUAUACUAAAUAUAUGCUCUUAUAUAAUAAGUAACAAGAAUUAUUAAAUUUGAUAUAUCUCAAUCUGAUCUUUUUGCUACCGGCAUAUUCAGACUUAAUUUUAUUAUUAUUGUCUAUUAUUGAAAUUAUUUAUUUUGGAGCCUGUCAUUCCUGAUAAUAUUAUGUAUUAUCCAUAUUUCUAAUCACCUUCUUUUUUAAUUUCUAUCUUUUUAGUCAAUUUAUUUUGAUUUUCUUUAUUAUCUUGGAGUUCCAUUCUUAUUGCGAGUAAUUAUAUAAUUAUGCAAGAAACUUCGCUUGUUUGUUAAACAUUUGGAAUAUGAAGUUUUAUUAAUUUCAGGUUUUUUUUAAGUUUUGCUUUUUUGUUUUUUUGUAAAUUAUGUUUGAUUUUUAAGAAAUUUGCAUCCGAAUAGAAAAAAAAUAACUUUUGUGACUUUUAUUUAAAUGAAAAAAGGCAUGAAUAAAAAAUAAAUAUUAUAUUCUUAAAAUAUCUCUAAAAAUAUACUUAUUUGCUGAAUUUUAAGAUUUUUUCUAAUUUAUAAGGAAAUAAAUGUCAAAUAACCAUGUUUAAUAUGUUUUUUAUAAGGAAAUAAAUGUCAAAAUGCCACUUAUAUUCAGAUAUAAAAAAAUAAAAAAACAAAUACGUCAUUUUUUUUCUCUUUUUUAAACCAAUACAAAUCAACGUGAUUAAUGUCGAAUGUAUGGAAUUCCAUGAGUAUCCAAAUGAAGAAUGCUUGAUAAACUAGUUGGAAGAUCACUAGGAUUGAAAAAUCGUUGACAAGUCUAAUGGGUACAAGCCCAAUUGGCCAUAAAGUCGGCAGCAAAUGUAGCUUCUCGAAGAACAUGCCCGAUACUAAUGGAUGACCUAGAAGCCAAUGCUCGAACACACCCAAUGAUGUAAGUAAAAUCUCAUCGCACAAAACUACUUGAAAUGGCCCAAGAAACUACAAUGGCUGAAUCAGAUUCUACCUCAAGAUCAGAAAAGCCAAACUAAGCAGCAAGAUCUAAACCUUCUAACAAAGCCAUUAAUUCAGCAAAAAGAAUAGAUUGGUGCCCCAAAAAGGAACCAAAAGCAGCUAAUGUCACACCUUGAUGAUCUCGUAAAACACCACCAGUAGCAGCCAUGCCUAGGUUUCCCUUAGAACAACCAUCCACACUCAACUUCACCACCCCCGGUGGCGGUUUCAUCCAAGAGACCAAUUGAGGUGGUCUACAGGGAGGCAUGAUAAUCCUCAAUCCCUCCCCAAUAUGAGUGUCCAAAAUGCCUCUCAAUUGAGAUGUCUUAAAACCAAAUACAUCACUGACUAGUCUAAUAUCCAGAAGCACUCUAAAAAUAAUAGUGUUCACAUUAAAGGCAACUGAAUCUUACCUGAGAGUGUUUCGAGCCUUUCAAACAUGCCAUAGAAUGAAACAUGGAAGAAUGACUCGAAUAUGUUUAGAAGAACAGCAACACCGUUGCCAGUGACUAAGCAAAGCAUGGGGAGACAAAAAAGGGAGAUACGGACGACCAAUCAUUGAGUAAAAUCGCCGCCAAACCUGUUGAACCUCUGGGCAAUUCAAAAAUAAGUGUCUGACAAUCCCAACAUCUCGAUUACAAAGAUACCGAGAAACCAUAUGAAAACCCCUAGAGCACUAAGCAUCAUCCGUGGCCAAGAAACCAUUCAAUAAACGCCACAAGAAAAAAGAAACCUGCGAAGGAAUAUGUCGUUGCCAAAUUAAAGAAAAAACCUCAUUCUGGCUACGGGACCCAUGUACAAAUUCCCAACUACUCCUUAGACAAAAAUUCUCAUCCCUAGAUAUGGCACAACAGAGUAUAUCUGGCCCAGUACCAGAAAUAGGUACUAACACAAUUUGUUCAACAACUGAUGAUGACAGUACUAAUAAAAGCUUCUUCUUAUCCCAAUCCACACCACACCAAAAAGAAGAUAUAGGGGCCAUAGAAGCUGCUGGAGGAUUAAAAUGAAAGAGAGGUGUAAAUUCAAGCCAGUAAUCAUACCAGAAACUACUAUCACCUGAUCUAACCAACCAACGAAUAUGAACCUCAGCAAAUAUGCCAUUUAAAUAUUUGCAUUCCGACUUAUUCAAAUUUUUUUAAAAAAUAAAUUCAUUUAAAUUUUUUUAAAAAAAAACCUACCUUAUAAUAAAUAUGAUAGAUUAGGCACCACACACAGUAGGCCACUCAACACUCACUUUGGUGAAAAUUUUCUCAAAGCCAGCAAGAGAUGGUAGUGGUUCUCAAAAACAUUUUCCGACCAACUGCUCCCAAAUUGGUCACCAAUAAUGUCCAAAUCAUAAAAAAAAAAAAAGUAUCAAAAGUGUCGCUUCUAAUGUUCAAAUCAUUUCCACCGAAAGAGUCAAAUCUUCAUUUCCAACGGAAAAACAUCUUAGAACCUAUAAACUUUCAUUGAUUGAUCAAAUUUAUUCUGAUGUUUACAUCUCCCUAGUUUUCUUGGCCAAUUGUAACCACCAAGAUUUUAGGGAAAAAAAAAUCCGAUUUGUUGAAGCAAUCUCUCCCAAAAUCAUUAACCCACUAUUAUCGUUUUGUUGGAAAAUUGAUUGAUAGCUUUUCAGUCGAUUGUAAUGACCAAAGGGCUGCAUUUAUUGAAACUAAUGUUGACUGUGUGUUAAAAAGUCAGCUUGUUGGGCACCGAAUUCGGUGCCUACCGAAGAUGAAUUUUCAAGGACAUAAUUUAGACAAUUUCAUCAAUUGGCCAGGUUUUUUCAACGCCUCAAUUUGGCUGGCUGGUGUAAAAUGAUCUCUAUAAAUAUAGAAGCAUUUUGCACUUGUUAGCGUCCCAUAUUUUUUAAAGCAAUUGUAAGUGAAGUAAUUUCAGAGAUUUGAGAAAGUUUUUACUUGAGUAUUUUAUUGAAAAUACAAUUGGCUGUUUUUUCGUUUUGGGUUUUUGGAUUUUAAGAGUUUUUCUCGCUUUUAUAAAUUCUCAUUUAUUAGUGAAAUUAUCUUCCAAUUUUUGUCUAUAGACAUAGACUUUAUGCAUAACCAUGUAAAUUAUUGUGUCCUAUUUUCUUUACAUUUAUUUAUCACUACAAUUAUAUUUAUCCACAAGUCGCGACUACCAUACUCAACCUAUGCUUCUGUAACAAUUGAUAUGAGAGCAUAUGGUCUAUACUUUGGUUAAACGACAUUGUUUACAUAUACAAUAUUGUUCACGUAUAUGGUAUUGUUCACGAAUACAGUGGAGCCAACAGUCUGUACUUGAAGUAUCAAGAGCCUACAAUGUAGUUAUGUGGUUAAAUGGGUGUCUGAGAAAUUUCAAGUGGGACCGUCGAGACCCUCCAUUCUCCUGAGAACUUUCCUGGUACAUUAUCUAUAUAAAUAGACACGUAGAUAUUAUUCAUUCGGGUUAGGUAAUUAAAAAAAAAGGGAUGGCAGAGGCAUCAUCUUCAUAUUUCUCAACAAAGACUAUUGUGACGAAUGCAAAAUUUGAAGUGGAAAAAUUAGAUGGUACUAAUAAUUUUGGCAUGUGGCAAUGUGAGGUGUUAGAUGUCUUAUAUCAGCAAGAGUUGGACCUCAUUCUUGAAGAAAAACCUGACAAGAUAAAUGACAAGAAGUGGAUAAAGAUCAAUAGAUAGGCAACUGGCACUUCUCGCCUAUGUCUGGCUAAAGAUUAGAAAUACUCUAUUAUGUGGCAAAUAUCAGCAAAGAAAUUAUGGCAUAUGCUGGAAGAAAGGUACAUGAAGAAAAGCCUUGAAAAUAGGCUUUAAAUGAAGAAAAAAACUCUAUCGAUUCACGUAUGCACCUGACAUGUUGAUAAAUGACCAUGUAAACUCAUUUAAUAGGAUAUUAAUGGAUUUGCUAAAUCUGGAUGAGAAAUUUAAAGAUAAAGAAAAGUCAUUGUUGCUAUUAAAUUCCUUUCCUAAUGAAUAUGAUCAUCUCACCACCACUUUGCUUCAUGGGAAGAACAAUGUCACAAUCAAUGUUGUAUGCAGUGCGUUGCAUAACUAUGAGACAAAAAAAAAGACAGAAAAGAUCACAAUGAUACAGCUAUAAAGGCAUUGACAACAAGAGGUCGUUCACAAAGUCGCAAACCUUCUAAAAGAAAGUUUUUGCAUGUUCAAGCAAAUUAGUUCAACAUUAGCGACAUGACAAUUGGUAUUUGUAUAUGGCACGGAUUGGCAAAUGAUUCAACAAUUUCUAUCAUCAUGAAAUUGUGAACUAAGAUCAAUCUGGGAUAAAUAAAAAUAUUUGCAAUAACGUCGUUUUACAUUGCAUCUUUUUGUUUCCAUCGCAUAAUUCAUUAAAGGAUCAGCAUAUAAAGCCACAAUUAACAUCUAAAGUAGUGAUCAAAAGGUUGUUUUCUGAUGGCAAGAACAUAGCAGUUCUAAAAGAGAAGAUGAAAAAAGAAAUAAUGACAGGCUAUUUUGAUAAUGAGUUACAAGCGUCACAUUUCAUGGUUGUUUUAUCACUCAUUUAGGGUGCUUUCAUUACUAUUGCUCGAGAAAGAAAAACAGCAAUUAAUAGCAAGGCUCAUAGCUAAGGGUUACACCCAAACCUAUGGGAUAGAUUACACUGAUACGUUUACACCGGUAGCAAAAAUUAAUAUUAUUCGUAUCUUAUUAUCAUUAGCAGCCAACUUAGAUUGGCCAGUACAACAGUUCGAUGUAAAGAAUGCUUUCCUCCAUGGAGACCUAUCUGAAGAAAUUUAUAUGGAUCUGCCACCAGGAUGCAGUGGACCAGAGCGACUCAAUCAAAAACUAUGCCAAUUGAAGAAAUCAUUGUACGGAUUGAAGCAAUCCCCAAGAGCAUGGUUCAUGAAAUUCACAAAGGCCAUGGUUCUUUUUGGGUAUAACCAAAGCAAUUCAGAUCAUAUCUUGUUCAUUAAAAAACGACAAAGUAAAAUCACUGCCCUUAUUGUCUAUGUGGAUGAUAUGGUAGUUACACACAACGACGAGGAAGAAAGAAAGGCUCUUCAGAAGUAUUUGUCAAGAGAGUUUGAGAUGAAGGAUUUAGGAGCCUUAAAAUACUUUCUUGGAAUUGAGGUUUCUCGAUCUAAGGAAGGAAUCUUCCUGUCUCAAAGGAAAUAUGCCUUAGAUCUGUUGUACGAAACGGGAAUGACAGUUUGUCAGCCUAUUAACACCCCAAUAGAAGAAAGACUGAAGUUUUGUAUUACCUCAUACCAAGUUCCAGUUGACAAAGGAAGAUAUCAAAGGUUAAUUGGAAGAUUGAUGUACUUGUCCCACACAAGGCCAGAUCUUGCUUAUGCAUUGAGUGUGGUAAGUCAGUUUAUGCAUAAUCCCAGAGAACAACAUAUGAAAGCAGUAAUGCGGAUUCUGAGGUACCUAAAGUCAAAUCCAGGAAAAGGAAUCAUAUUUUCCAAAAAUGAAGAUUAUAGCAAUAUAGAACUUUAUACUAAUGCAGAUUGGGUCGGGUCAGCUAGUGAUAGACGCUCUACCUCAGGAUAUUUUACCUUCGUAGGCGACAACUUUGUCACGUGGAGAAGCAAGAAACAACAUGUCGUUGCCCGUUCGAGCACUAAAGCCGAAUAUCGAGGCAUGGCCCUUGGGGUAUGUGAAGGGCUAUGGAUAGGCUUUAUCUUAAAAGAUUUGGGCUAUCCAUCACAACAACCAAUACAAUUAUACUGUGACAACAAAGCUGCCCGAGAUAUUGCUCAUAACCCAGUUCAACACGAUCGAACAAAAUAUGUCGAGGUAGAUAGAUUUUUCAUCAAGGAGAAAUUAGAUGAAAAACUCUUAGAACUGCCGAAAAUUUGAUCAGAAGAUCAACUUGCAGAUAUUUUAACGAAGGCCAUUUCAAGCAGAGCAUUUACAAAAUUCCUAGACAAGCUAGGUAUACAAGACAUCUAUGCACUAGCUUGACGGGGAGUGUUGAGAAUGUCAAAUAAAACGGCAUUGAAGGAAGUUUUCAAAGGCAUAAUCCGCACUUGUCAAAGGCAAGAUCCGCACUUGUCAAAGACACGAUCCGCGCCGAACGGAUCAACACAUUUUCUUCCGUAAUCACUUAUGUAAUCUUUGAAAAAAAUGUAGCCUCUGCAUCUAUAAAUAACGCUUAGUGUAUAAUGUUUUAUUAAAAAAAUGAAAACGAAGUUUCUUCAAAUGCAACAAUUAAUCCCACCAAGCCCACAAUCAUUGAGAUUAGAGGCUUUUGAAAGAGCGCUUUUGGCUGUUCAAGUAAAUUAUUUCAGUACCGGCGACGUGGCAAUUGGUAUUUGUAUAUGGCAUGGAUUGGCAGAUGGUUCAGCAAUCUCCAACUUCAUGAAAUUGUGGGCUGAGAUCAAUCGUGGAGUAAAUGAAAAUAUUUGCAAUAACGUCGUUUUAGAUUGCAGCUCUUUUUUUCCUCCGCACAGUUCACUAAAGGAUCAGCACAUAAAGCCACAGUUAACAUCUAAAGUUGUGUUCAAAAGCUUGUUUUUUGAUGGCAAGAAGAUAGUGGCUCUAAAAGAGAAGGUGAACAAAGAAAUAAUGGUGGGCAGUUUUGAUCAUGAGUUACAAGCAUCGCGUUUCAUGGUUGUUUCAUCACUCAUUUGGGGUGCUUUCAUCGCUGUGCCUCGAGAAAGAAAGAGGGCAAUUAAUAACAAGUUGUAUUCUCAUGCAAUGUAUUAUACUAUGAAUUUGCGGAGCAAGAUGAAUCCACCAAUGAUUCCACAGUGCAUGGGUGACAUUUUUCGGUUUGUAAGGGCAGAAUGGUCACUAGCCGAGGAUGAUGACAUAGAGGCAACAAGCUAAAGCUUAGUGAAAAACGUGAUCAAAGCAAAGAGAAAUGUAAGCAAUGUGAUGAAUAAUAUUGAGUACUUAGGAUUCAUGAAGGAUAUGAAUGAAGCAUGGGAAGACUCAAGAUCAUGAACUUUAACUAGUGUGGUUGGAUUGCGUUAUUAUGAAGCUGAUUUUGGUGGGGGAAAGCCUGUUUGGCUUAGUAUCGGGUCGAUGUCGUUACCUAAUUCUGCUCUUUUAUCAGAUACAAGUGAUGGUGAAGGAGUAGAAGCAUCGGUGAUUUAUACGAGGAAGACAUGGACAAAUUUGAAAAAAAAGGCUAGCAUCAUGGCUCAUGCUUCCUCUAAUCCAAGCAUACUUAUAGCAAAGUGGCAAAGUGACGAUAUUUAUCUUGUUUUGAAUUUAAAAGAGUGGUUAGUUAAUUGUAUUAAUUUCUCUUUGUUUCUUUAUGAUUUUAAUUAUCUUAUAAUCUUCACUCAAAUGCUACUGCAUGUAACUAGCUAAAUGGUUAUAUAAGCCACGAAGUGAUGAUGAAUAAGGGAUAUCAUUUAUCUUCAAUAUGAAUUUAGAUCUAGUGCUAAAUGUUUUAUAAAAUUAAGAUUUAAUUACAUAUUAUUUCUUAGUCAAUUUCUUAUUCAAUGAUUACCACUCAUUGAAUCCAAAUCCUUUGUAUAUAAUCUCUAACAAUUGUGUUGUUUCAUGGUUAAUUAAAGUUUACAAUUUAUUAAGUGAUCAUGAAUACUGAUAUUUAUGUACGAGAAUUUUUCAGUAUGGCGACAAAAUCAACGUUGACAGCGGUUACCAUCAUGAAAAAAUAUGUUAAAAUCAUAUGAAUUUUCGAUAGUUAAAAAUAAUUAAAAAAAUACGUUAAGACCAUAUAAUUUUAUCACUGUUUUUGACACCAUUCUAAAACACUCUGGAUAUAUUUUUUCAUUGAUCAAUAAGAUCACCUACCUACUAAUAUCUAUAAAAACAAUCAAACCGUUAUUUGCUUCCUCACACUUCUUAUUGUACUCUUCUUACGCAAAAAGUCUGAAUGCAUUGGUUUUGAGCCAUUUCCCUCUCCCCUGUGCCUUUAAAAAGAUAAUUUCUAUUUAUCCCCUGCCUUCUGUCUCAUGAAUCCCCACUUUCAUUCACUUGUUAGAGAAAUUUGCAAAUGGGUAUAGAAAAAUAUCAAGAGGGAGCAUAAAAUAAAUCACAUACCAUACAACAUAGAGAUACAACAAUUUAAUGUGAUUUAUCUUGAAUUGGGCUGCAUACUGAUAAUUAAUAAAUUAAUUUGAAAUUCUCUUAAAUAAAUAACAAAUAAUAUAAUAAAUUACAAAAUGUUCUUUAUUAUUUUAAUUGACUCCACUAAAUAUUUUCAUUAUCAAACAAUUUUUAAAAAAGAAAUUACGAAGAAUUACAUCUUGAAGACCUCAGGUCCAACUAUAUUAUUUGGAAGUUAAAAUUGAAGUUAAGAAGCAUUACUCUUGCUAGCAAUGGCACCAUUCAUGGAGGGAGUUUCUGUUCCAAUGACUUUAUUUGAAAGUUGAAAUUGAAGCCAAGCAUCUAAAAUUUUGAUUUUGAAAUCUCUGAAGACUAGAUAACAAGUUUCAUAAUCAUUAAUCUUUAAUCAUAUUGUCCUUUUUAGAAGAGUCCAAAAUUUUAUUUCAAAUUUCAUCUCAAAUAAUAUGGUAUAUAAUGUGUUAUUUAUUAAGUGGUUGAUUAUUUUUUAUAAAAUCUAAGUGGCUAAAUAGACCAAUCACAUUAUCCCCAAACGAGCAACAUAGAUUAAUUAAAUAAUAUUAUAAACUAUUAUUUACUUAAAGGCUUGGAAGGGGAUAAGAAAUCAUGUUUCACCCUCUAAAUACCAACCUUUCUCCCUAUUAUUAUUCAAAAUCCGGCGAUGACGGAUACAAACCGUAUUCACAACCAACCUAACUAUGUCCAAUAGACUAAUUAAUCUUAUCCUUAAGCUGACCCUGUGAAAUUAGUUACUAAUUUCUAUUUAACUUGAAUUGUUUUAUAUGAUAUUCUAUCAUACCUUUCGACGAAGCAUCCCCGCCAUAUCUUUUACUAAAGUUUAAAUUUAAUGGAGAAAAAAUGAGAAAUGGAUUCUUCAAAUCAAAUAUUUAUGACAUUGAACUUUUAAAUCCAAUAUAAAAACAAAUUCGUAAUCACCUAUUCUCCUCACAAGGCAGAGAAAAAAUUCAUGAGCUCUUGACUUGCUCCAUCUUUUCUCUAGAGUACAUAAAAUUCUAGCAAAGAUUUACAAAAUAGACAUGGUAAGAACUAUUGUCAUUUGCUCUACCAAAUUUCACUACAGAUAAAUGUGCCUUACUUGGAGCAAAAAUUCCAUUGAUCUCAACAAAAAUUUCCAAUGUUGCGAGAAGCAAUAAAUUUAUUUGAGAAAUCAUGCCAUUACCGAAUUAGCGAUGUAGCAGAUUUCACUUCCAUGGAAAGUCUAGCAAAUUUUUUUGUUGCCUGGUGCUCAAAUGCUAAUCGAUUCUCUUCACUGUCGUCCAGGCCAUUGGAAACGAAUCAAACGAUGGAUGGUGGGUGAGAUUGAUUCUCUUCACUACAAAAGCUGCUCUAAUGGAAACUUGAAUUGUCAAACAUUUUUAAUAAUAGCAGAUAUAUAUUUGACUUCUAAGUUGUGUGUUAAGUAUUUAGGAGUAUCUAUAACAAUCCAUUGGUUUUGAGUGAGAUGAAUAUAUUUUUUGUGCUAGUAUCAACAUGUACUUGUUUUGAAUAAAAGAGCUGUUAAUUUGUUAAUUAUAUUUCUUCUCUCUUGUUUCUUUUCUUGAUUUUUCCGAUUGAUUCUUAGAAUGUUAAAUAAAAAUAACAUUUCUAUUAUAUUAAUAUGGACGUAGGAAUUCUUAAAUAAUUUCUUUGUGAAACAUUAAUUUUUUUAAUUUAGUUUAUUACUUAUAAAGUUAGGCGUAAAUAAAGUAUAAAUUGAUUUUUUAGCCCUCUACCUAACUCAGAAUUUGAAUAUAAGAAAUUUCUCUCCUUGUAUAUAAUUCCAAUUUUAGCAAAAGUAUCAAAAGUCAAUUUUAUGACUUUUUUGUUUAAUUGAAAAAUUAUCCAUCGUCCACCUGUUUUUUCUAACUUUUUCAAAAAUACACAAUUCUUUUUUUUUUUACUGGAAUCCACCUGAAGUUACAUUUCUUUUCACUUUUCCACUUCUGUUUGGAGACCGUGAAGAAAAUUAAUGGAAUAUUGUGUAAAUAACUUUUUACCCUCAAAUGCAAAAAAUAAAUUAUCCACCGACCACCUGUUUUUUUCAUAUUUUUUCAAAAAUAUACAAUUCUUUAUUUAUUUAUUUAUUUUUGCUGAACUUCACUUGAAGUUAUAUUGUUUUACACCUUUCCACCACUGUGUCAUUGUGAAAUGACAAUUUUACCCUUAUGAUGUCAGCAAAGUUCUACCGGUGUUAUAACGAGAGUAGACCGAUGAAAAAAAUGUUAAUUUCAGGUGGAGUGCUACAAAAAAAAAAUUGUGUAUUUUUGAAAAAUGGUGAAAAACAGGUGGACGAUGGAUAAUUUCUCUUAUUUUUAAUUUCACAUCUUAUCAUAUAUAUAAACACUAAUUAAAUAACUUCAUUUUCCAGGGUUGGGUUUGAAGGGAAAUUGAUCAUGUGACCUCCUUGUUUUACUACAAGUGGCAAAACAACUCGACUUAUCCCCUAAGAGAUAUGAGAGUUAUUUUCAUUGAUUAAGAUUCUUAUGACAUUAAAAAAAAAUAACUAGUAUAUUUAUGGACAAGUCUUAAAUAUUUGUUUUACUUUACUAGAAUUUUAAGUGUUGUGAAAAUUUUAGUAAACAAGAUAUAUACAUGAACAGCAAAAGUAUCAAAAGUAAACAAAAUUUACCUAUGGAUUUUCUUCACUUUCUUUAUUAAUUACCCAUCUUUCCAUAUAUGUUCUUAUGUAACAAGUAACAAGAAUUAUUAUAAUUUGAUAUAUCUUAAUAGAUCUUUGUAACGACUCUCCCUGAAUUCCAGAGAGAAUCCGAGGGGGGUUCUCGAGAUGCAAUUUACAACUAAAGCAUGGCAGAAGCAUUCAAACUAAUAAACUUUAAAAUAUUUCUACAAUAUAUAAAAUUUUGUUCUUAAAUAGUGGAAAAAUGUAAAAUUUGCCAAACUAUUUAUCAUCCUUAAUUUAGAUUUUCUCCUCACUUAACAUGAAUCAAUCUUGAUCUAUGGAAAUUACAAUAAACUUUAAUGAGUACAAGAAUUAGUAAAGAAAGCAAUUUUUCAUAUACCAGAGUACAUACACACUUAUAUGUCAUACAAAUGCACGAUAUGCAAUGCUCUUUGAAAAACAUCGUAAAAGAAGUUCUUCAAAACUUGGGGUCACUUUCAAAACAUUUCCUUUCAAAUCACUUACUUGAACUAUCUUCAUUCAAUUACCACUUAUUAUAACUCUCACUUAACAUUCAUAGUUUCACAUAAUACUUAUUUUGGGCUUUACACAAGCAUCAUUCACCCACUUAUCUCUUAAAAUAAUAUAUAGAGUGCAUACUAAGAGAGUGGUGAAUUCAAACACCCAAGGAAAAAAGAAAAUUUACCUACUUUCUUUGAAAUCAGCGUGCUAAAACUCACUUUCGCAUUUUAAUAGAAAAUGAAAUGUAUAUGCCAAUACACCUUCUCACACACAUGCACGCACGCACUCAUGCACAAAUACGCACACAUGCAUGUACGCCCGUGCACACGCACACACACAUACGUACGCACACUCAAACACCGACACAUACACACACAAAUAGGCAUACGUGUGCAAAAACGCAUGCAAGUGUGCACGCGCGCACACCGAGAGACACACAAACAAACACACACGUCUAAGUGCACAUGCACUGUAACAUAUGUGAGAAAAAAAAGUGAGGCAGUUAAAAGGUAAAUAAAAAUAAAAGAAGAAUCGGAAACAAGGGAACACAUACACACGUGUGAGAGAGUGAGAAAAGCUGCAAACUGAGCUAAAACUAGACUCGACCUCGCGAACAUGACCCAACCGAAUCUCAUAAUUUCGACCACCCCACCAGCUAAGCUUAGUACCAAUCUGAAGCUUGAAGACCGGUCGUCGUAUCCCAGCCAUCAUCGUCGCCGAUUAAAGACCAUAACGCCGGCGUUUUAGCUCAAUAAGCGGCGGUAAAACCCACCCCUUCUCACCAUUGAUUUCACUUGUUUGGGGUGACACCACCGGUUGGGUUUUGUUCCCACAACUCCCUUUUGAUUUUUCCACUAUCCACAGCCACCGAAAGCCGUCGAUUUAUCAUGGAUCAGGCGUUGAAGUUACACGACUGUCGAGCUAGAUUCCAGCAUUGUCGCCACACAUGGGAGCUCAUCGCUGAUACCAUUGACUCAGCUCAACUAGAAAUAUCUAACCCAAGCUUUCCAAUCACCUUUGCUUGAAUUUCGGUCACCGUUGCCAGCGAGGGUAAUACGAUAAUUUCACAAUUUGAGGGCAAUUUGUAAUUUCUGACCAUGUAGAGAUUUUAGUAAUUUUUGAAAUUAAGGAUUGGUUGUAAUUAUGAUUCCAAGGGUAAUUCGAUGAUUUUCAAUUCCAGAUUAUUCUAAUGAUGUAUGGAUUCGAUGGUAUUUUAAUAAUUUUAUCGACACGAGAGUUGUAUAUUAUGGACAAAUGUUCAUUUCGAGUUUAUUGCAUAAAUUUAGUCCUAAUUUUGAUUUAUGGAAAUUAAUUAUGUCGUUUCAUUGAUUUAGGAGGAUCUGCGAGCAAGAACCAAUCUACGGACGUGGGCAAUAACCGAGUCUAAACAUCAUCACUGUAAGUGGAAUAUACAAAACCUAUAUUCUUUAUAAUUUAUUAUGAUUUUAAAAUAUGGUAAAGCAAGUUUAUGAGAUAAGUUUUAAAGGUUCUGAUUUAAUCAUUUUUUAAAAAAUGGAUUUUACCUAUGUAUUGGUGUUUAUUAUUAAAGAUGUGUAUGACUAAUAAUUUUAUUGCCGAUUUUGAAUAUAUGCACGAUAAUAUUUUAAAGAAAAGGAAUUAGAUUUAAAGUAUGUUAAAUGAAAAGAAAAUGAGAUUUCAGAUGUGAUUAUAUGUUUAUAUAUAUGUGUAUAAAAGGUUGUUUACCAAAUCAUUGGACAAUACCCUUCUUUGGUUACAGUGACACAAAUAUGAUGAGGCCUUUGGGACCCGUCCAAGUACACACAGAGGUUUUGGGCCGUGUGCUUAAGUGCUUUUGUCCUUUGGGGACUAGAUUAUGCAUGCAUAGAUAUGAUGAGAUAUAAAAUGGCACUUCCCUAUCUAUCCGUGUAGCUCUGGGCCAUGACAGUACCUAGGUAGUACAUUAUUGCUCGUCCAUUGAGGUCUGAAUACAACGAAAUUAUUCCCCUAGGUACUUGCUUAGUGAUGAUUUCAAAUUUGUGUAUUAUACAUGAUCUUGUGAUAUGCUUUUCCAUAGUUAUUACGUACGAUAUUAUAUAUGUUCUUCAAGGUUAGUAAUCUAAUUUAGAUGUUAAAUGAUUUAUUAGUGGUUUCUCGCAUACGAUUUGAUGAAACCGUGCUUGGAAAUGAUGUGAUUAUUUCUUUUAAAGUAAAAAUGUAUUUUAAAAAAUUAAUAUCCACUCACUGAGCUCACUGAGUUUUAUACUCAUCCCGUUUUAUUAUAUUCUCCCUCUCCCCCCAAUAGGAAGUUGCAGGUAUACCAAAUCGGCCCAGCGAGUGUAGAUAUAUUUUGAAUCUCAGUCAUGUGAUGGUGUUAGAAGAUAUAGAUGAUUUUUGUUAGGAUAUCCUGAUCAUCUAAUUUUUUUGGGAUUGUAUAAUUUUAUUGUAUUAUUCUUUUGGGAUUAAGAAUAAACUAAUAUAUAUUAAGAUUAGUUAUAAUAUAAUCUUUUGACACCCUGGAGAUAUCUUAUGUAAAAAUUUAGUAUUUUGGUUGAGAAUGAUAAUCAUUGGAGUUGGUUGUAUAUUGAAUUCUUUUGGAAGUGCUCUUUUUCUAUAGUUGCAUAUUAAGAGUGUUAUAUUUAUAAAGAAGAAUUUGCCGAAUUUUCAGCAGAAUUCUUACUAAUUAGAUUAUUAUCUAUCUAGUUUUAAUGAGAUUAGAUAGACUCGCCCUGAGGGUUCAGAGCAGGUCGUUUCAGGUAGUAUCAUAGCGUGAUUUUAGAUUUUGUAGACUUUACUAUAUUAGUAAGAAUAAGUUUUAUUGUUAUUAAAGUAAGAAUUGAUAUUUUGUAGGCACCAUCGUGCUUUGUUGUAGCAGUAGAUGGGGUCGUGGCUGUGGCCGUACUAGGCCAGUAUCUGGGUUGACUUCUGGUAGUGUACCUGUAGAGGAAAGUGAACGUAUAAAUGGGGGAGUAGUUGAAUCCUCCACGCAUGAAAGAGCACAACAGGCACCAGGGAAUGUUCCAAAUAUUGAACAAUCAUUUGAUAGGCUGGCUCAAAUCAUGACUACAGUGGUGCAAAAUCAGACUCAAGCACAUACCGAUAACGCAAACACUAUUGAAUGUGUGAGGAGUUUAGGGGCUAAAAGCUUUAAUGGUUCUAGAGAACCACCUGACAUUGAGUCAUAGUUUGUUAAGUUAGAGCGUAUUUUUGACGUGAUGAAGUGUUCAGAGCAUGACAUGCCAACCUUUGCCAUUUUCCUACUCGAGUAUAGAGCUUACCAUUGGUGGCAGAUAGCAGAGAAAUUAUAGUAAGGGCAUGUUGCGAUUACUUGGGCCAAAUUCUGUAAGGAAUUCUAUGAUCAUUAUUUCCCAACUGUGUAUCAAGAUAUUAAGCGAAGUGAAUUCCUUUAGUUGGUUUAUGGAUCCAUGAUAGUUGAGGAGUAUGAGAAGAAAUUUUUCGACCUCUCCAGAUUUACUACAUUUGUAGUCGGUGAUGAAAAAAAGAGAUGCAGAUUGUUUGAGGAGUGUCUCUAAUUUGAUAUUUGCACCACCGUGACUACAUCACGAUACACUGAGUUUGGAGAGGUGCUUGAGGUAGUCAGGAGAGUAGAACAUAAUAUUUCAGAGGGACGCAGAGUUCAAGCACUGAAGCAGAAGUGUAGUCAGAGCUAGGCAGAGGAUGGCUCUAAUAGCAAGUUACCUAAAAAAGGGGGUAUUCUUACAAUUUACUUUGAUAUCAUACAAAAGAGUCAGGGUAAAGGCUUUAGGGGAGACCCAAGACAGGAUGUCAGUUAUAGCUCAGUGCAGCCAUCAGUGAGGAGUAAUACCAGAAAUCAAGGACAAUACAACCGCAGUGGUGGAGGACAUCGUGAUGAUCGUCCUAAGAGUACCCAACAGACUUCUUGCUCUUCGUGUGGCAGGAACUAUCAGGGCCAGUGUCGCGUUGGAGACAAAGUUUAUUAUCUAUGUGGUCAGCCUAGACACAUCAGAAGAUUCUAGUCUACCUUGUCUUAAGGUGAAAAUUCUACAAGAGAGACAACCCUACGGUAUCGACCUCACUCUGGCCAGACUCAUGGUCACAGAGGAGUACAGACGGGAGGUUCUACGUCUACUUUGAGGAGUCUGACGAUUCCUCCAGGUCAGAGAGGUCAGCCUAGUCGACUUCAUACUUAGGCACGAGUUUUUGCUUUGACACAACAAGAGGCAUGUGCUGCAUCAGAAGUUAUUAUGGGUAUAUUAUCUAUCAUUGGUCGUGAGGCCUAUAUUCUUAUUGAUCCUGGAUCCAUACAUUCUUUGUUUCCUAUAGUUUUGUUAUACAUUUAGGGCGAGAUCCCGAGCCACUAGAUUGUGGCUUAGUUGUUCGCACACCUACUAGAGAGUCAUUACUUGAUGAGAGUGUAUAUUAUGAUUGUAUGAUUAUAAUAGGUAAGCAUGAAUUUGAGGCGAAUUUGAUGUCUUUAGACAUUCAUGACUUCGAUGCUAUUUUGUUCAUGGAUUGGCUUGAAUUUCAUUAUGCUACGGUGGAUUGUUUCAAAAAUGAAGUUGUGUUUAAAAAGUCAGGGAAUGCUAAGUUGAAAUUUUGUGGGAGCGUAGAGUUCUACCCUCAUGUGUCAUAUCUACCAUUAGUGCAAGACAGUUGUGAAGAAAAGGGUGUUCUGCUUAUUUAGCUCAUGUGAUAGACACAGAAGUUUGAGAAUUGAGAUCGAAGGAUAUUGCCAUAGUUAAAGAAUUUCAAGAUGUAUUUUCAAAUGAAUUUCCUGGGAUGCCACCUAACAGCAAGGUUGAGUUUUGUAUUGAUUUAGUCCUUAGAACAUCUCUUAUAUUUAUAGCAUCAUACAAGAUGGCUUCAGCAGAAUUGAAAGAACUGAAAGUUCAACUGCAAUAGUUGGUAGAUAAAAGGUUUAUUCGACCUACUGUAUCCCUAUGGGGAGCAUGCUUGGUAAUUUAGCCCAACCAUAUUUUUGGCCUGAUUGACCCGACCCUAAUUUUUAGGGCUUUGACCCGAAUUUUUGAGGUUAGGGUCGGGUUAGGAUCAAAAUUUUAAGGCCCGAACAAAUUUCGGGUCAGGAUCGGGCUUAUAGCUGACCCGACCCUAUUAUAAAAAAAAACUAAAUUGUGUGUUUUUAUGAGUUUUUAUGAAUUAUGGGUUUUUAUUUGUAUAAGACAUCAGUUUUUUAUUUGUAUAAGACAAUGUUUUUUUAAUGUUAGGUUGUGGAACUAAAUUGUGUUUUUAUUUGUAUAAGACAUGAGUUUUUUAUUUUUUAUUUUUUAUGUUGGGUUGUUAAAUUGAAUUGUGUAUGGCUAAAAUGGUUGUGGAAUUACAUUGUGUGUUUUUACUUUAAUUGUAUUGUGUGUUUUUAUGUUGCAUUUUAAAAUUGAUUUGUGUGUGGGGUUGAAAUAGCUGUGAAAAUUGGAAUUGAAUUGUGUUUGAAAUGGUUGAGGAAUUGCCAAAUUGGUUGAAAUAGUGGUGGGAAAUAGGAGGGUUAACUAUUUCGGUAGGGUCGGGUUGGGCCCAACCCAAUGUUGACCUGAUUCGAGUCCAACCCUAACUAAAUAGUGUUCGAGUUUCAAUUUUUUUUUUAUCGGGUCGGGUAGGGCUUGGCCAAGCCCGAGCCCGUCCCAACCUUUUGCCAUUCCUAAAUUGGACUUUAGGACUUUACGUCGACUACAAACAGUUGAUUAAAGUUACGGUAUGCAAUAAGUAUCCAUUUCCACACAUCGAUGACUUGUUUGAUCAACUCCAAAGGGCAAAAGUAUUUUCUAAGAUCAAUUUGUGCUCGAGGUAUCAUCAGCUUAGAAUUAAAGAGGCAGAUGUUCCUAAAACAGCAUUUAUAACCCAUUAUGGACACUAUGAAUUCUUAGUGAUGCCAUUCGGGUUGACAAAUACUCCAGCAGCUUUUAUGGAUCUCAUGUAUAGGGUAUUUCACUCAUAUCUAGAUCGGGUUAUAAUUGUAUUCAUUAAUGAUAUCUUGGUGUAUUCCUGAAGCGAUGAGGAGCAUACAGAGCAUUUGCAGACUGUUUUGCAAGCUUUAAGGCACAAACAAUUGUAUGUUAAGUUCAGUAAGUCUGAGUUCUAGUUGGACAGAGUAGUAUUUAUGGGCCAUGUGAUAUCAGCGGAAAGCAUUUAUGUUAAUCCUCAAAAGAUUAAAGCAGUUGUGAAAUAGGGGCGGCCUAAAAAUGUCAUAGAGGUUAAAAGUUUCUUGGGAUUGGCUGGCUACUAUCGUAGAUUUAUGGAAGGAUUCUCUAAGAUUGCUUCUCUGUUGACACGGUUAAUCAAAAAGAACUCGAACUUGUAAAUAUGUAAAAUAAAUACUAUCUAAAUAAAUCAAUAUACAACCAACUCCAAAGAUCAACAUUCUCAGCCAAGAUGUUGAAUUAUUACCCCAAGAUAUCUCUAGAAUAUCAAAUAUUAUAUUAUAACUAAUAUUAAUAUAGAAAUUUAUAUUUACAUUCGCUGGGUCGAUCUGAUGUACCUGAUAUUAAGGAUCUUAAAGAAGAAAUUAUGGAAGAAGCUUAUUGUUCAGCCUAUACAAUGCAUCCUGGUAGUACAAAGAUGUACCGCACCUUGAGGGAUCAUUAUGGCAUAGCAUAAAGAGAGAGAUAGCAAAAUUUAUUUCUCAAUGUUUAGUCUGUCAGCAUAUUAAGGCUGAACACCAGAGGUCUGUAAGGUAUUCUCAACCGCUUCUUAUUCCUGAAUGGAAAUGGGAGCACAUCACGAUGGAUCUAGUAGUGGGACUUCCAUGUACUCAGCAGGGACGUGAUAGUGUUUGGGUGGUUGUUGAUUGACUUACAAAAUCUGCUCACUUUUUACCAUUUAAAACCACUUAUUCGAUGAACAAGUUGGGGAGUAUUUAUGUGGCUGAGAUAGUUCAACUUCAUGGAGUACCUAUGUCCAUAGUCUCAUAUAGAGAUUCCCGGUUUACUUUUUAGUUCUGGACUAGCUUGCAAAAUGCUUUAGGCACCAAGUUGAACUUUACUACAGUUUUUCGUCCACAGAUUAAUGGUCAGCUAGAACGUACCAUUCAAACCCAGGAGGAUAUGUUGCGAGCUUAUGUUAUGGAGUUAAAAGGUAAUUGGGAUAAUUAUUUACCUUUGAUAUGUUAGCAUGUAUAUGUUCAUUAUAUUGAUUCUGAUGAUAACAAACUUUAAUGUUUUUUAUUAAAAUGUUGGAGUUUUCAGUAAUAAACAUUUUCUUAAAAGCCGUAUAAUAUUUCUAAAUGUGUUAAUGAAAUAUGGAUAAUCAUUAUUUUUAAAUCAGAAAAACAAUAUGUGUGAAAUUUUGUUAAAACUGUGAUUCUGGAAGUAAAGGGUGAACCGUUAACUUUGAAACAAUUAAUCGAUAAUUUUCAGAGAGGGAUAAUUCUUUAAACUUGAACCUGUUAGCAAAAACGAACAAGGCAAGUGUGUUGGGCAGGUUAUUGGAAUUAAACGGUGAACCGUUUAUAUCAAACGGCUAAUCGAUAAUUUUCAUAAUGAAAUUUUGUGCUAACCUUGAACCAUUUAAUAGAAACGAAUAAGCCUAUUUUGUUUCGCAGGCUACUGGAAAUAACUGGCGAACCGUUAACUUCAAACGGCUAACCGAUAAUUUUCAGAAUGUCAUUCUAUACUAAUCUUCAACCUUUUAGCAAGAAUGAAUAGUAGAAAUUUGUUUUGCAGGUCUCUAAAAAUUAACUGUGAACCGAUAGUGGCUAUCAAUCAACCAUUUAUUUGAAAUUCAACUGAACGGUCACUUAGACCAGUCAAAAUAGUAACCAAUAAUUGUUAAUAGUGAUCCGAUUUCAGGCAGAAAGUCAACAACGGCUAUUUUUAAACUCCAACUAUAAAUAAGCUCAAUCAAAUUCAAAUAAGGGUUGAUCACAACGUUAUCAUUGAGCUUCUAAUCGAGAAUACCACCUUCAUUAAACUUUAAAUUCAUUCUUGUUUCAUUUAUUCACAUAUUGGGUAUUGAUUUGUAAUCUUAUAUAUUGUGUGAGAGAAAAACAUAUUUGUAAUCUUUGUUUUGAGUGAUUGUAAGUGUUGGGAUACACUUGAGUUAAGAGAUUAAGGAUAAUCUCUUAGUGUAAAGGUUAAUUAACACCUUUGAAGUCAAUUGUAAGUGUUCUUAAAGCCUUGAAGGCUUAACUAGUGGAAUCCCCAAGCCCAAUGUGCUUAGAGACGUGGACGUAGACAAGGUUGGCUGAACCAUGUGAAAAUCUCUGUGUUUGAAUCUAUCUUCCCUUAUCUUUUUAUAUUUUGGAUGAUUUAUUUAUUAAUACUUUAAAUUCGUUUAAGAUUUGAAUCAAGUUUUGAUUAAGUUUUGGUAAUUUUUUAGAAACUCACUUCACCCCCCCUCCCUUUUGGGUUGCCUAGAUAUUAUUUCAUUUGGUAUCAAAGUAAGGUUCUCUUAUUAGGACUUAAAAAAUUCAUGGCAACCCAAAAUGAAUCUACCUUUAGGGAAGGACAAUCCACAACUAGGACUCUAUUCUUUGAUGGUAAUGACUAUCCAUAUUAGAAAACUAUGAUUAAAAUUUAUUUGAAAGCCUUAGAUUAUGAAAUUUGGGAAGUUGUUUGUGAUGGUUCAUUCAUGCCUAUUACUAAAAAUGAAGAAGGAGAUGAUAUUCCUAAACCGUCAAGUCAAUAGAGUGAGUUAGAAAAGAAAAAGAUAUCUUUAAACUCUAAGGCAAUGAAUGCUUUGUUUUGUGCUCUUGAUAAGAAAGAAUUUUAUAGAGUAUUUAGCUGUGAGAGUGCUCAAGAAAUAUGGAAUAAACUUGAGCUUGCCUAUGAAUGGACAAAUCAAGUUAAAGAGUCUGAAAUCAGUAGAUACACUCGUCAAUAUGAAUUAUUCCAAAUUGAACAAAAUGAAAGUAUGUAUUCUAUAUAUACACAAUUUACAGACAUAGUGAACACCCUAGGAGCUCUAAGAAAAACUUUUUCAAAUAACAAGAAAGUCAAGAAAAUCAUCGGAUCACUUCCAACAGAAUGAGACCUAAAAAGACAGCCAUUGAAGAAGCCAAAUAUUUAAAUACUUUACUUAUUGAUGAUUUAAUUGACUCUCUCAUUUCAUAUGAAGAAGAUUUGGCAGCAGAAAAAUAGCAUAAAAAGAAUAAGAAAAGCAUUGCUCUCAAAGAUUCAAAACAUGAGAGCGAUGAGGAAAGCGAGCUGGAUAAUGAAGAAAUGUUAUGCUGACUAGGAGAUUCAGAAAAUUCUACAAGAAAACUAGUGAACGGAGAAAGUUUAGAAACUUUAAGAACCAAAAAGAGAAGAAUGAGUCAAUCACUUGCUAUGAAUGCAAAAAGCCUGGACACAUACGGUCUGAAUGUCCUCUUCUCAACAAGCUCAAGAAGAAAGCAAUGGUAGCCACAUAGGAUGAUAGCGAUCAGGAAAUAAGUGAUGAUAAAGAGCACCAAGAAAUGACAAAUCUAGCUCUCAUGGCAAUCGAGGAAGAAUCAUUUGAUGAACUUGAUGAGGUAACUGAACUUCCAACAUAUGAUGAGUUACAUAAUGCUUUUAAAGAAUUUCAUGAUGAGUGAAUAAAAAUUGGUAAAAAGAAUGCAUGCUAGAAAAAGAAAAUGCUAGAACUUACAAAUGAAAAGGAUGCCCUAGAAAAAUGAAAUAAUUCAUUGAAUGAGAAGAUAAAUGAAUUAAAAUUAUACAAUAAAAUGUUGUAUAAUAAGAUUGCAUCUUUUAAAGGUAAACAAACUACCUCAUAUGAGCAUGAAAAAUCACAUGUUGAUGAAUUGGUAAAAGAGAAUGAAGUGCUUAAGAAGAAGAAUAAUGAGCUAAAUUAAUUGUGAUAAAAUUCACAAAUGGGUAAAAGAUGUUGGAUAACUUACUUAAUUCACAAAAAUAUGUGUUUGACAAAGAAGGCAUUGGCUAUAAGCCAAAUUUGAAACAGAAGUAUUAUAAGAAUUAUUUUGUAAAGAGUACCUCCAUUAACAAUCAAGUUGUAUGCCAUUAUUGUAAUAAAAAUGGUCACAAGAAAAAUAGAUGUACAGUAAAAAUAAAUGCAUAUUAUGGUGUGAAAUGUGUUCGAGGUCCAAAAAGAACCAUUACUAACACUUAAAGACCCAAGAAUAUUUUUGGUACCUAAAACUUAGAAACGUUUUCUACAAGGACAAAAGAAAAGGAAAAAAUAAGUGGUAUUUGGAUAGUGGAUCUUCAAGACACAUGACAAGGAAUUACUCUUGGUUUUCAAGUUUUACCAAGAUUGAAAAUGGUGGAAACGUAUCCUUUGGAGAUAACUUAAAAAGAAAAAUCAUUGGUAUCGAAAAUGUCGGUAAUGUAUCCUCUACUCUUAUUGAAAAUGUGUGUUUGGUUGAAAACUUGAAACGUAGUUUACUUACCAUUAAUCUAUUGUGUGAUAAGGGUUAUAAAGUUGUUUUUUAUAAGAAUAGAUGUGUUAUUGAGAGUGCAUGUGAUGGCAAGAUAUUUUUAUAGGAAAUAGAUAUGUUAAUGUUUAUACCAUUGAUAUAGAUUGUGCAUCUACACAUGAUAAAUGUUUUUCCACAUUGCAUGAUGAUGGUUGGUUAUGGCAUAAAAGACUAAGACAUGCAAGCAUGGAUUUAAUUUCAAAGAUUUCCAAAAACGAUUUAGUUAAAGAUCUUCCAAAAAUCAGAUUCCAAAAAAAUAGAAUUUGUGAAGAAUGUCAAUUUGGUAAACAAAUCAAAAUAUUUUUUAAAAGCAAAAAUCAUAUUUCUACUUUAAAAUCUCUUCAACUACUUCACAGACUUAUUUGGACCUUCAAGGUAUGCUAGCUUGAGUGGGAAGUAUUAUGAUUUUGUAAUUGUGGAUGAUUUUUAAAGAUACACAUGGAUAUUAUUCUUAUCUAAUAAAGAUGAUACUUUUAAAGUGUUUUGUAAGAAAGUUCAAAAUGAAAACGGAUAUGGUAUUGCAUGCAUUAGAAGUGAUCAUGCAUGAGAGCUUGAAAAUCAUGCCUUUGAAACCUUUUGCAACAAUUUAGGCAUUGUGCAUCAAUUUUCAAAGUUUUAAAAUCGUGUAUUGAUUAGAUUUCAUCUCAAUAAAACUCCAUAUGAGCUUUAGAAAUAUAGAAAACCCAACAUUGGUUAUUUCAAAGUUUUUGGAUGCAAAACACUAAUGAUAAUCUUGGCAAAUUUCAUCCAAAAUCCAAUGUUAGCACCUUUCUUAGGUAUUCAAACUCAAGCAAAGCUUAUGGAGUUUAUAACCAAAGAACUCUAGUUGUGGAAGAAUCUAUACAUGUUACGUUUGAUGAAUCUAACCCCUCAUUUGCAGAGAAAGUUGUUGUUGAUAAUGAUGCAGAUAAACAGAAGAGUUAUGUAGACAAGCGUAAAUGGGAACUUGAAUUCGAAGUUAGAGAUAAAGUUUUCAUACGGAUAUCUCCUUGGAAAUGAGUACUUCGAUUUGGGAAGUGGGGGAAGCUAAGCCCACAUUACACUGGGCCAUAUGAGAUCUUAAAGUGCAUUGGUCCGUUACCUUAUCGAUUAGCUCUACUGCCCGAUUUAUCUAGAAUCCAUGAUGUGUUUCAUGUUUCAAUGCUCUGAAAGUACAUAUAUGACCCAAGCAUAUGUUAUCGAAGUAACCUAUUCACUUAAAAGAAAACUUGACUUACAAAGAGGAACCAGUGAAAAUACUGGAAGGGAAAUACUAAGUUCUACGCUCUAAGACCCUUCCGCUAGUAAAAAUAUUGUGGAGGAAUCACAUAAAGGAAGAGGCUACCUGGGAACAUAAGGACUUAAUGCAAGCUCAGUAUCCCUAUCUUUUUUUUAUCAAGUACGUAAAUUUCGAGGACAAAAUUUUUAUAAGUGGGGAGGAUUGUAACAUAUGUUAAAAAAAAAUGAGGCGGUUAAAAGGUAAAUAAAAAUAAAAGAAGAAGCUUGAAAUAGGGGAACACAUACACAUAUGAGAGAGUGAGAAAAGUUGUAAAAUGACCCAAAACCCGACCCCACCCUUAAAAGUGACCUGGUCGAAUCUCGUGAUUUCGACUACUCCAACAGCCAAGCUUAAUACCAAUCUAAAGCUUGAACACCAAUAGUUGUAUCCCAGCCAUCACAAUCACCGAUUAAUGGCCAGAACGUCGAUGUUUUAGCUCAAUAAGCGGCAGUAAAACCCACCUCAUCUCACUGUCGAUUCUGCCAGUUUGGGGUGACACCACCAGCUAGGUUUUGUUCCCCAUAACUCCUUUUUUAUUUUCUGACCAUCCACAACUACCGAAAGUUUUCGAUUUACCAUGGUUCAAAUAUUAAAGUUACAUAGUUUUCGAACUAGAUUCCGGCACCAUCAUGGCACGUGCGAGCUCACCGUCAAUACAAUUGAACUCAGCUCGGCCAAAAGUGUCUAACUCGAGCUUCUCGAUUACUGUUGACCGACGAGGGCAAUUCGAUAAUUUAAUAAUUUGAAGGCAAUUUGUAAUUUUUGACCCUGUAAAGAUUUUAGUAAUUUCUAAAAUUGAGGAUUUGUUGUAAUUACGAUUUCGAGGGUAAUUCGGUGAUUUUUUAUUUUAGAUUAUUUUAAUGAUGUACGGAUUGAAGGGUAUUUUAAUAAUUUUAUCAACACGGGAGUUGUAUAUUAUGGACAGAUGUUCGUUUUGAGUUUAUUGCAUAAAUUCAUAUGUAAUUCUGAUUUACAAAAAUUAAUUAUGUCGUUUCCUUCAUACAGGCCCCCAUUUGUUAACGAUAAUCGUUUCGUUAAAUUAGUCAAAGGUUAAUAUCAUAAUUUCAUAUUAGUAAAAAAUUAAUUGACCAAAAACCCAUACACACACUUCACACACACGAACAAAACACACACACAUAGCUCCUCUCAGAUCUUGACAAAUCCUUAACGUACACACUCACACGGUUUGCCGAAAACUACUGCUGGGGCUGCCGCAAGCUGCUGGAUCUGCUCGCGCUACCGCAAGCUGCUGGAUCUGCUCACGCUUCCAUUGCGUCGAUCAAGAUCGCGUCUGGCUGCUGCUCGUGCGUCAUUGUUGCUCGUUCAUGUGGCUGCUGCUCGUGCAUCUUCAAUCCACGGUUCACUUCUCUUAAACUAGCUUUUCUCUCUUUAAUUUUCAUUUUUUUACUAAAUUAACUUUAUUUCUUUUUAUUAUGAUUCAAAAUCCACUAGAAUUUUGGGGAAUUUUUGGACAAUUAAUUAAUUUUCGAGAAUUUUAGACAAUUAAUUUCACCGAAUAAGUAGGCUUACCAUGGGCAUAACGCCAGAAGAUGACAAUGAUAGCUUUUCAGUUACUCAUUAUUCACCCUUCGGAAUGGCUUAAUUAUUUCUUUUUAUUAUCAUUCAAAAAGUUUCUGACCUGUUUGAUGCAUAUGUGAUGUAUAUGCGAGAAUAUAAAUAAAUCAUGAUGAGAUUUUUUGGUUUUUUUUUUUGGUUUAUGGUUGUUUGAUGAAUAUAGUUCUUAAUUUGUCUAGCUUAUUGGUGAUUUAUUGUGCUUAAUUUAUCAAUGAAAAGCAUGUGCUGGUUUGCAGAUGGUAACAAAUAAUGGCCUGCUUUCAGAUAAUACUACAAUGACAUCCUAACAAGAAUCAUUUCAAGCUGAGGUUGACUUCCAUAACACAGAUCCGAAGUCUCAACAGGAUUUUUUUUUUCAAAAAAUAUUAUGGUUAUCGUUGUAAUGUUUACCAAUGCCAAUUUGAUACAAUAUUAUGAUAGAAUGAUUAUUUGUUAUGUUUAUUGGUGGUUUUUAUGUCUAUUCGAUAUGUUAUUUAGUACAAUUAAGAUUUUGUUAACCACGUUUUUUAAUUUUUUUUAUUAUACAAGUUUAAAUGAUUGACAUAUGGAGAAUUGUUAUUCUUAUGGCAUUAAUAACUAAUUUUAUUUAUUUUUAUUCAUGAGUAAUGGAUUAUAAUUAUUUGGCUUGAAGAGAAUUUGAUAAAAAAUUUAUUAAUAAUUUUGUUAUAUGGACAAAAAUUUAAAUAGAGAAAUUGGGUAAUGAGGGUAUAUUCAUAAUUUUAUUAAUAAUAUAUGGACAAAAUGGACAAUUUAUAUGUUAGAAGGAUAUAACGGUAAUUACAUAUUAAAAUUAUCAUUUCUGUUAAAACUAACGGUUUCUGUUAACAAAUGAGGGUAUGUAUGUCUUUUUUGAAACAUUAGGGGGUUUUGUGUCCCUUUACUAAAAUUUGAGGGUGUCUGAGUCCUUUUCCCUAUUUAUAAAGGAGAUUUUACCAAAUUUUCAUAAGAAUUCUUACUAAUUAGAUUAUUAUCUAUUCAGUUUUGAUGCGAUUAGAUAGACUUGCCCUGAGGGUUUGGGUCGGGUCGUUUCACGCAUGCACGCAAGCGCGUGCGCACACUCACACCGGCCCAAAUACACAAUCACACUAAUCACCUAGCACAUCAUAUAUAUAUUUAUGUCUAUGUAUGUAACUCCAAUUUCAACAAAAAGUUAAUUUCAUAUUCCAUCCUAUAUACAUGAAACAUCAAUUAAAUAAUUUUAUUUCCCAGGGUUGGUGGGAAAGGGAAAUGAUCAUGUGACCUCUUGUUUUCACUAGAAGGGGACAAACCAAUUCGACUUAUUCCGUCAGAGAUACAAAAAGUUACUUCUUGCUAGUUAAUAUUCUGGUGACAUUAAAAUAAAAUAGUAACUAGCAUAUUUAUGGGCAAAUCCAAAAUAUUUAUGUUACUUUCAUAAAAUAUUUAAGUGUUGUACAAAUUUUAUUUUACUCAUUAGUUUCCCUUCUUUCUAUAUAUUAAAUACAUGUUAUUAUAUAACAAGUAACAAGAAUUAGUAGAAUUUGAUAUAUCUCAAUCUAAUCUAUUGACCCAGAGAGUGAGAAUUUUUUUAAUAUUGCCUAUCGUUGAAAUCACCUCCAUUUGUUGACUUUGUAUAUUUUCUAAGGGAUUCGCUUUGAUUUUCUUUAUUAUUUUGGAGAUCCAAUCCUUCAAGAAGCAAUUAUGCAAGACACUUAUAAAUAUGAUGAAUUUGGUUGCACACUAUAUGCCACUCAACACUCACUUUGGUGAAUAAUUUCUCAAAGCCAGCAAAAGAUGGCAGUGACUCUCAAAAAAGUUUUCCCAAUAAUUGCUUCCAAAUUAAUCCCCAAUGAUAUCCAGAUCUUCACAAAACGAAGUAUCAAAAGUGCCCCUUCUGACGUUCAAAUCAUUUCCACCGAAAGAGUCAAACCUUCACUUUCAACGGGGAAACAUCUUAGAACCUAUAAACUUUCAUGGAUUGAUCAAAUGAAUACUGAUGUUUACAUUCCCCUAGUUUUCUUCUACUCGACCAGUUGCAAGAACCAAGAUUUAAAAAAAAAGUCCGAUUUAUUGAAGCAAUCUCUCGCAAAAACAUUAACCCACUACUACCCUUUUGCUGGAAGAUUGAUUGAUGGCUUUUCGGUCGACUGUAAUGAUCGUGGGGCUGCAUUUAUUGAAGCUAAUGUUGGCUGUGAUAUAUCAAAGUUUUCAAAGUUUCUUCAACCACCACUGCUACAACAAUUAAUCCCACCUAGUCCCCAAUUGAUAAUGAUAAUAUUUGCAAUAACAAUAUCGUUUUAGAUUGCACCUCUCUGUUUCCGCCAGUAAAGUUCCCACAGCAGUAUCAGAUCCCAAGCCCACAAUCUUCACGCAAGAUUGUGUUCAAAAGAUUGUUGUUCGAUGGCAAGAAGAUAGCAACUCUAAAGGAGAAGGUGAAUAAAGAAUUAAUGGCUGAUAACAAUUCUGACGAUGACGUGUUACAAGCAACGCGUUUCGGGAUUGUUUCAGCACUCAUUUGGGGUGCCUGCAUCGCUGUAGCGCGUGAAAGAAAGAGGGCAAUUGAUAACAAGUUGCACUCUCAUUCAAUGUAUUAUGCUAUGAAUUUGCGUAACAAGAUCAAUCCACCAGUGUUUCCACGGUGCAUGGGUAACAUUACUCGACUUGUAAGGGCAGAAUGGUCACUAGCCGAGGAUGAUGCCAUAGAGGUAACAAGUUUAGUAAGAGAAGUGGUAAAAGCCAAGAGAAUGGGAAGAGAGGUGAUGAAUAAUGAUGAGUAUUUUGGUUUCAUUAAGGAUAUGUAUGAAGUAGGGGAAGAUUCAAGGUCAUUUCUUUUGACUAGUAUGGUUGGAUUGCCUUGUGAUGAAGUUGAUUUUGGUUGGGGGAAGCCUGUUUGGUUUAGUCUGGGGCCCAUAUUGUUACCUGAUCUUGCUAUUUUAUCAAGCGCAAGUGACAGUGAAGGAAUAGAAGCAUUGGUGGUAAUGUUUAAGGAGGACAUGGAAAAAUUUGAACAAGAAACUAGCAUCAUGGCUUAUGCUUCCCCUAACCCUAGCAUAUUUAUAAUGAAGUAAGGAGUUAAUUUUAUUUAUCUUGCUUUGAAUAAAAGAAUGAAUUAUAUUCUAGUUAGAAUAGUAAUAUGCUUACAAAGUUGAGAUUAUUGUACAAUAACUGUAUCUCAUUAUUUUCAUGCUUCUCUUUAAAUAAAAUCAUGUUAUGUAUGCAUACUUCGAUCAGCGAAAAACCAGCAAUCAUAUGAUGUGUGGGGAAUUAUUGUAUCAUAUUUUCUGAAGGCAGAAUUAUUUUAUCAUAUUUUGGCAUCAAAUUUUAUUAUAGGAUCCUCGUAAGUAGUUAUAUUGUGUGUGUGUGUGUCUAUAUAUAUAUAUAUAUACAUGCACACAUAUAUACAUACAUACAUACAUACAUAUAUAUAUAUAUAUGAAUCAACUCUUAAUAUGCGACAUAAAAUGUCUGUGAUGCCAUGUUGUGAAUGUUGGGGAAGGAUUUCUUAUUAGGGUUUGGAGAUUUGAAUACAAUUUUGAAAAAAAAAUUAGACAGAGGAGACAAAAGGAUAGGAUGAAAAGAAAUUGAAGCUCCAUCUAGAAGAGGAGAAAUUGGGCCAUCGACUUCAAAACUUACUGUGAUACAUGUAAGCUAAAUUAAUUUUAUGGAUCUCUUAUCAAAUAUAUGGUAUUGAGACACACAAUAGACUUUUAUGCAUACGGAAUAUCUAAAGUUCUAAACUCUCAAAAUUCAUUCAAAUGUACAAAUAAGAGAGUGGACUGAGUAUGAUUUGGUAAAUAGCCUUUUCUUACUAUUAUAGGCUUUGAUUAUACUAACCCCCGAAAAUUUAGCUUAAUAUAUAUAUAUAUAUAUAUUAUAUUUCUUAUAGAAAUCUAAAGUCAGUCAUUGGCAAACAAAUCGUAGUAUUGAAUCAAAUUUGCAUGAUAGAUUAAUAAUAUCAAAAUAUAUUUUCUAGAAAUAAAAUAAUUUUCAGAAAAAUUAUUUAUAAUACUUGUAUAGGGAUAGAUUCGGAUGGUUGCUUAUGAAAUAAUUCACUUUUGCUGGCAUUGACGAGAAAAUCAACUGGACAAAUGCAAAAGUUAAGGGUUUGAUAAAAUAAGCUACUGAAGUGAUGUAAGUUUGAAGAGUAGAGUGCAUACGUUUAAUGAUUAUUAUAAACACAUGAUGUCGUCCCACCAGUUUAAUACAGUUUUUCAAUCCCACCUACUCCUUGAAAAGUGGUACAUUUUAUAAUUACAAUAUGAAAAGUGGUACAGUUUUUCAAUCCCAACUACGCCCAUGAAAACAAAUAUAAUAACACAUAUACAGCAAUAAGAAAGUAGCUUCAUAAUUAAGCUUCCGUUUGAUUGAAAGGAUGUCAACGUUAUUUUAUCUGAUUCUAUGAUAAAUAAACAUAUGGUAACAAUUGAUGGUUAAUAAUAAAAAGAAAAACGAGUUUACAUUGUUGGGAUCAUCUAAGGUCAUGCACAAGAUCUUAUUACCAGAAAUGAUCGAUUUGUCCAUCAUUUUCCAUUCUGAUUGGCUUUUGAAAAGUCCAGGGGUUUCGUAAUAUUAUCUUUCAAUUUUAGUUUAAAAAGUCCUAGUGUUUCAUAUGAUAACCUUUCAAUUUUAAUUUGAAAUUUACCAAUUAAGCUAUCAAAAUAAGUCAAUUAAAAAAGUGCCAACAUUUUGAAGGUAUCUUCAAAUCGAGCUUUUCUGGUUGAAAGUCUUAUGGUUCAAGCAGCACUUUCAUUGUGUUGUGUAUAUUAAAAAAUUUCAAAGUGAGAAAGAUAAUUAGAUAUGUUUCUCACAUUUAUUACUUGGGUCCCUUUUUUUAAUUAUUCAUUACCAUUCUAUGUUAAAAAUGUAAGGGAAAAGGACAAAAACAUCCUCUUAGUUUGACGAAAUAGUCAUGGAGACUCUCUUAUUUUCAUAAAUAAUUAUACAAAUAAAUAAUUAUAUAAACCCAUUUUCAAGAUAGACAUACUCUUUCUUAUGUUUAGAAAUUGUCAUACAAAGUACAAACCGUUUUAAGACACAUAAACUCUUUUUUUUUUUUUUUUUGGUUCAAAAAUAAAAACAAAUUCACAUAGACCCUUAAGAUUUGUCAAGAAAAAAAAGUUUGUGUCCCAAAAGUUACCUAUGUGACCAUUUUUGAAAAUAUAGAGGUCUCUAUGACCAUUUCACUAAAUUAUAGGAGUGCCGAUAUCAUUUUUUCAAAAUGUAAUAAACAAGAAAAAUAUUUAUUUUUAUUCUUUUGGUAUUAUAACCUUAUUAUUACUCAAAUAUAUAAUAUUCAUUGUAUCAAAUUUUUGGUCAUUUUUUAUUGUAACACUAGUGUCACUGAAAUAUAAUAUGUAAGUCGAUGAUGUUGCUUGAUAUAUAGAAGUUAACUAGCAUUGACUUUAAUUCAUUGAUCCCCAGUUGCAAGUUGAUGGAUUUGUCCAUGUUACCAACUCAUAUAUUUUAAGUGAGAAUUUACAAAUUUAAAAGUUUAAAAGUUUAAAAGUUGCAUAUGUAAUUAAAAAACACUAGGGUUAUAUUCAAAAGUAAUAUAAUAAAGAGUUCCAAACUUACAAUCAUAUAUGAUGAUAAUUUAUUCGCAAUUAAAUAUGCAUGUACAAUGGUUGUCUUAAGACUGAGAAGCAAGAGUUUAGCCUAAUAGUACAUUGCCUUGUUAGAUAGAAUAAGGCUAUUGCUUGAGAGACUGAAGUAACAAGCAUUGACUUAAAUUCUAGUCAUAAUUCCUAACUAUGUGCGUAGCAUUACUCAUAAUUAUCAAUUUCAUUACUAUAUUUAUUCCAUCAAUUGAUUAUUCCAGGCAAACAAAUACAGCAGUAUUAUUAUAUUUAACUAAAUAAUAAUUUGCAUUGAUUAUAAGUUAAAAUUACUUAAAAAUAAUAUUAUUAUAUUAAUAGAGAAUUAAUAAAAAUUACUAUAUGCUAUCUUUAUUUAAUAAUAUAAUAUUAUUAUAUUUAAUAUUAAUAAUUAAUAAAAAUAAAUAGUUUAUUCUAAGAAAAUAUUAAUUUUGUACUAAAUAAUAUUAUAUUAAUAAAUAAUAAAUUUAAUAUAAUUAUAUUAAAUAAAAUAAAAUAAUGUUUCAUUUUAUAUUUACUCUUAUUUUUAUUACUGCUGUUAUAAUUAUAUUUAAUAAAUAUUUAAAUAAUAUUAUUAUAUUUAACUAAAUAAUAAUUGGGUUUGAUUCUAAGUUUAAUUUACUUAAAAAUAAUAUUAUUAUAUUAAUAGAGAAUUAAUAAUAUUAUUAUAUACCAUCUUUAUUUGAAAAUAUAAUAUUAUUAUAUUUAUUUAAAAAUAAUAGUAUUAUAUUUAUUUAAUAUUAAUAAUUAAUACUAAUAAAUAGUUUAUUCUAAGAAAAUAUUAAUUUUGUACUAAAUAAUAUUAUAUUAAUAAAUNNNNNNNNNNNNNNNNNNNNNNNNNNNNNNNNNNNNNNNNNNNNNNNNNNNNNNNNNNNNNNNNNNNNNNNNNNNNNNNNNNNNNNNNNNNNNNNNNNNNNNNNNNNNNNNNNNNNNNNNNNNNNNNNNNNNNNNNNNNNNNNNNNNNNNNNNNNNNNNNNNNNNNNNNNNNNNNNNNNNNNNNNNNNNNNNNNNNNNNNNNNNNNNNNNNNNNNNNNNNNNNNNNNNNNNNNNNNNNNNNNNNNNNNNNNNNNNNNNNNNNNNNNNNNNNNNNNNNNNNNNNNNNNNNNNNNNNNNNNNNNNNNNNNNNNNNNNNNNNNNNNNNNNNNNNNNNNNNNNNNNNNNNNNNNNNNNNNNNNNNNNNNNNNNNNNNNNNNNNNNNNNNNNNNNNNNNNNNNNNNNNNNNNNNNNNNNNNNNNNNNNNNNNNNNNNNNNNNNNNNNNNNNNNNNNNNNNNNNNNNNNNNNNNNNNNNNNNNNNNNNNNNNNNNNNNNNNNNNNNNNNNNNNNNNNNNNNNNNNNNNNNNNNNNNNNNNNNNNNNNNNNNNNNNNNNNNNNNNNNNNNNNNNNNNNNNNNNNNNNNNNNNNNNNNNNNNNNNNNNNNNNNNNNNNNNNNNNNNNNNNNNNNNNNNNNNNNNNNNNNNNNNNNNNNNNNNNNNNNNNNNNNNNNNNNNNNNNNNNNNNNNNNNNNNNNNNNNNNNNNNNNNNNNNNNNNNNNNNNNNNNNNNNNNNNNNNNNNNNNNNNNNNNNNNNNNNNNNNNNNNNNNNNNNNNNNNNNNNNNNNNNNNNNNNNNNNNNNNNNNNNNACAAAAAUAGGGGCAACUUGAAGUUUUCAAAGUAAACGAGUGGUUUGAAAUAGUUAAUUCAUGAGAGGGAUAAUCCAAAAUUUACCCAUUUGACAAAUACAUUUAUAUUCAGGUGGUUAUAUUCCACUCCACAAAUUUUAUAAAUCCACCCCAUUUUCAAAACUUAUUACAACAAGUUUACAUUAGUUUUAAAAAAAUUCAAAUUAAGAGAAAUUUUUAGAAAAAAUUAGUCAAUUAAAUCCAUAUUCAUUUUUUACACUAUUUUUUUAUUAUAUUUGAUCAAUAAGGUUACUUUAACAUAAAUUAAUAUGACUCUUUUACCCUCAUCAUAAAGUUUCAAAAUAUCUAAAAAUUUACUUUAGCUUGAAUAAUUUUUUUCUGCUGUACGGCCAAGGCGGAUGUACGGUACAGCAGAAAUAUAUUUUUUAUUAAUUUUGUAAUUAAAAACUAUAAUUCUUUAAAAAAGGAUAAAAUUGUAGUUUGAAACUAUUUACUCUCAAUCCAAGACAAAGUAAAUACAUAAAUUGGAUUCUGAUCUCCAUUUCAUGCUUCCAUUCCAGUGCAAGUAAACAAGCUACGUCUACUCCCACUCUACACUCCUAAUCCUAAAAUUCUCAUUUCUCAUGAUUUCCACUCGAAUCCAAAAAGUAAACGCUAUCUUAUAGUAGUGGACAUAGGGUGCUUGUUUUUAUCUCUUUACAGCCAAGGCCAUAAAUGAAAUUCUCACUAAAAAAAAUCAGGUACAGAUUGAAGAUAAGCAUUUAAAAUUCAGAUUUUGAAAUAUCUGAAGAUUAGAUAUCAAAAUUAAUUACCAUUAAUGGCAACAUAUUACUAAGCAGUAAUUCUAUGCAAACAACACCAUCUUAUUUUUUUUAUGCCAUGGGAUACAGCAAUGAACUUUGGCCAAAUGUACCAAUCACAUAAUUCCUAAUGAACAAUGUAAAUUAAUCAAAUAAUAUAAUAAAAUACUAUUUACUUAUAGGUUUGGAUGGGAUGAGAAAUCCCACCCUCUAAAUACCAAUAUUUUUUCAAUUACUACUCAAACUUUGUGACUGUGUAUUCACAACCAUCGAGCUAUGUUCAGGAGGUUGAUUAGUCUUAUCCUUAAGCUUACCUUGUAAAAUUAAAUACUCAUUUUUAUUUUACUUGAAUCGGUUUGUAUGGUGUUCUAUCAUACCUUAUGACGGAGCAUCGCCGCCAUAUCUUUCUCUUAAGUUUAAAUUUAAUGGAGAAAAUCUGAGAAAUGGAUUCUUCAAAUCACAUAUUUAUGGCACUAGACUCUGAUAUUCAAUAUAAAAUCAAAUUCGCUGUCUCCUCUUCUUCUCAGAAAGCAAAGGAAAAAAAAAAGGCUCUUGAGCUCUUUACUUGCUCCAACUUUUCUCUAGAGUACACGAAAUUCUGGCAAAAAAUUUACAAAAUAGAUAUGGAAUUACAACUAUUUUUUCCUCUACCAAAUUUUACAUUUAUUAGUAAAUAUAAGUGUGCCUUACUUAGAGCAAAAAAUACAUUGAUGUUUAAAAAACAUUCCUCCGUUGAGAAAAGCAAUCAUUUAUUUGAGAACUCAUAAUACAAUCGACGGAUCAGCGAUUUACCAGACUUAUAAGUUACAAUCUAUGCCAUGGAAUGCCUCUAUGGGGUUGAUGCUUGGUUUCUUCCAGCACGUCUUCUUUCAUGUACUGACUUUUGUUUAAGCCCCUGUAGCUCACAACUGAAGCUUUGUAGGACCAUGGUGCUCAAAUGCUAAACGAUUUUCUUCACUGAUGACCAUGCCCUAGGAAACGAUGGAUGGUUGAUGAGAUUCCAAUGCUUUUAUUACAAAAGCUGCUCUAAUGGAAGCUUGCAUUGUCAUUAGACUUUUAAAUUGUGAGUUGAGUAUUUGUUAGCACUUAACAAUCCCUGGGUUGCUAUUGAGUUGUAUAUUCUGUAUGCCACUGUCAACGAGUACUUGUUUUGAAUAAAAGAGUUGUUAAUUUGUAAAUUAUAAUUCUUCUCUCUUGUUCAAUUAUGAUUUUUUCUUUUAUAAUUUUGCUCACCUUCUACCUUUUAAAUAAAAUGAAAAAAAAUUAACAUUUCACAAAGAAAUUAUUCAAGAAUUCCCACUUCAUAUAAUAUCAAGGAAACUUUAUAUUUAAUCAACAUUGUAAGAAAUUGAUUUUUUAAUCCUUUAUCUCACUAUAAUUUAUUCAUGAUUGGUCAGUCAAAGAAAAUACUAAAACAAAAAUAUAAUGAUAAAAACAAAAAGAGUUAAUCGGUUAUUUAUUAAAUUAAGACCAAACUCUUUGUAAAUCGUUAAUUUUGAAUUAUCCCCUCAUAAAUUGACUAUUUUUAAAUCACCUCUUUCUUUUAAAAACCUCAAUUUAUUUCCAUUUUAUUUUGUUAAGAAAACCAAAAAUCAUCGAUUGAACCCUCUUUUUCUUUAUCUUUUGGACAAAAAUAGGGGCAACUUGAAGUUUUCAAAGUAAACGAGUGGUUUGAAAUAGUUAAUUCAUGAGAGGGAUAAUCCAAAAUUUACCCAUUUGACAAAUACAUUUAUAUUCAGGUGGUUAUAUUCCACUCCACAAAUUUUAUAAAUCCACCCCAUUUUCAAAACUUAUUACAACAAGUUUACAUUAGUUUUAAAAAAAUUCAAAUUAAGAGAAAUUUUUAGAAAAAAUUAGUCAAUUAAAUCCAUAUUCAUUUUUUACACUAUUUUUUUAUUAUAUUUGAUCAAUAAGGUUACUUUAACAUAAAUUAAUAUGACUCUUUUACCCUCAUCAUAAAGUUUCAAAAUAUCUAAAAAUUUACUUUAGCUUGAAUAAUUUUUUUAUACAAAUUUUUUCAUAUUUUAAUGAUAUAGUAGUGAUUUAUUUGUUAUUCAUUUAUUUUUUAAGACUAUUUUUUAUUAUAUUUAAACAAUAACGUUGCUUUAACAUAAAUUAAUAUGAUUAUUUUACCAUCAUAAGGUAAAAGUACCAAAAUAUCUAAAAUUUUGUUUCAAUCUUCUCAUCUUUAAUUUGAAUCAACUGUACAUUUUAAUUUAGAGUUUAAAACCAAUCCUUAAAGAAAUAAUUGACUUAUAAGAAAACUAUUAAAAAAGAGAGAAAGAGAACAAGAAACAAGAUACAUGUAUUUGGGAUUUUAGCAAAGAGAAAGUUAUUUAGAAUAACUGAAAUAACGGUAUUUUUGGAAUUAAAGAGUGUGUUAAUAGUCAUGAUGAAUUUUCUAAUAUUAUUUAAUAGGGUACACUUAAUAACGGGUUUUAAUAGGAUGUAAGAGGGGUGCCAAUAGCUCCACUCUAUAUUCUUUAUGAACCAUGGAAUAAAGUAAUGAAUUUACUUUGACGAAAUGAACCAAUCACGUUAUAUCAAAUGAAAAUUAAUAUUACAAUUAGUUAUUAAUUUUUUUUGUUUCAAUCACGAUGAGUGGGUUCCAACUGUGAGAGGAACCUUUAAGUCCGUACCACAACCCAUACUAAUCUCCGCUCGCACUGGGUCGGCCUAUAAGGGGUAAAGUACUGGCCAAAGUGGUGACUCCAUACGAGAACGGAACUUGAACCCCUGACCUCUCUUAAAAAAUAAGAGUGUCAAACCACUCACACCAACCAACUUUGGUCAGUUAUUAAUUUCAAUCUAAAAACCAAAAACCAAAACAAAUAAAUAAACGUCACUUUUCAACUCGUUACUUGCUCAAUCUUUCCUCCAAUUUUUCUCGGUAUGGAAGAAUCUUCUACAACUAAAAAAUUGCUUUUUCUUCUCGAGAAUGCACAAAAGUCUGGCAAAAAUUUUGAAAAUGGAUAUGGUAUUAAAAUUACUGUCAUUUGCGUCCACUAAAUUUCACAUCUAUUAGUAAAAAUAAGUAUGCCUCAAUAUCAAGAAAACUUCCAAUAUUAAAUGAAGCAAUAAUUUACUUAAGCACAUAUUGCAACAAAGUAAACCCAGAAUUAAUUUCCUUGAGCAUAUUAGCACGUUAGUUCAUAUAAUAAAGAAAUUCAUACAUUAUAUAAAUUAACUUUUAUAUAGUUGCAUGACACUUGUGUUAUGUUUACUUGUUGAAUUAGAAGUGGGGAAUAUGGUUCUUUCACUCUAUUCAUUUAAGGAGGAGAAUGAAAGUCUCAUUGGGUCCUACUCAUUAACAGUGAGAAAUUGAGAAUACACUCCCGUAUUUGUUUUUACUCUUCCCUUAUUAAAUAUAAUAUAAUUAUAUUUAAAAUAAUUUUACAUUUAUUUAAAAAUAAUAAUAUCACAUUCAUUGAAAUAAUAUUAUUAUAUUAUUUAAUAAUAUUAGAUUUAUUAAAAAUAACAAUAGUAAACUUAUUUAAGUAUAAUAUUAUUAUAUUUAGUUAAAAAUGACAAUUUACAUCAAUUCUAAGUUAAAAUUACUCAAAAAUAAUAUUACUAUAUUCAUAGAGAAUUAAUAAUAUUACUAUAUACUAUCUUUAUUUGAAAAUUAUAAAAUUAUUUUAUUUAUUUAAUUUUAAUAGUAUUAUUUGUAUUUAAUAUUAAUAAUUAAUGAUAAUAAAUAGUUUAUUGUAAGAAAAUAUUAUUUGGCCGUACAGCAGUUACGUAAUUGAGAAUAUUAAUAAUUAUUAUUAAUUUAUAUUGUUAAAAUUAAUAAUAAAAUAAGUAGUUUAUUUUACUUUUUUUUUUACUUUGUAAUUAAAAACUACAAUUUUUUAAAUAAGGGUAAAACUAUAAUUUGAAAUAAUUCACUCAUAAUCUAAUAUAAAGUAAAUAUACAUAUGGGAUUUUGAUUCCUAUCCCACACCCAUUACAAUGUAAGUAAACAACUUAUUCUCACUCCCAAUCCCAUGAUUCUCAUUCCCUGGGAUUCCAAUUCUAAUUCAAGUAGUAAAUGCUACCUUAAUACAUUUUGAGAUAGCUAGCAUUCAUAAGUCAACAUUAUAUAAAUUAACUUUAUACAAUUAUAAAUGCACAACACAAGAAAUUUAAAAAUUCAUAUCAACUUAAGAUUUCUUGUUUGAUGUUGUACCCUUAAAAAAACUUUAAAUAUUAAUAUCAACUUAGACCCUAUUUGGUAUGGUGGUUGAGUAGUUGUAACUUAAAAGUUAUGAUACUAAAGCGUUUAGAAAACACUAAUUAUUGAGGUUUAAUUUGCAAGUUAACUUGAUUUUUUCUCUAAUAAACUUCAAUCCAUUCCCCUGAUAAAGUGACAAUCUUUAGUUUAGCCCCUAAAAGUGCGAAACCCUCAUUUUACUCUUAUUUUCGUUCAAAAGAUGAGGACAAAUAGGGUGCGUUGAUAAAUAAUUAUUUUUUGUCUUCUUAAUAAUAAAUAAAGAUAAAUUGAUGUUUUCAAACUUUUGAAAUGUAAAUUAAAGAUUGUCAUUCUAAGUAGAUGUAAAUUAAAAUUUAUCCUUUUAUCCCACACUGGCAUGAUACCUAUAAUAUAUUUAUUACUUUUAUUAAAAUAAAUUUUUUAAAAAUCAUAUUUACUACAUACUAUCAACAACAUAUUCCAUUUCCAAUUUACAUAAUCUUCUUCAGUACUUAUCAAAGAAAAAAAAUCUUGAGUAAGCACAAACUUCCAACGUUACAUUCACUAAUAUUUUUGCUCACAAACUUCCAAGAACAUAAAAGCCCGCUACACAUACAUGCUUGGAUUAUUUAAGAAAUAAUAAAAUAAUCAAUUAAUGUCAAUGUUAUUAUAUAAAAUAAAAGCCUUUUGAAAAGAACAAGUAACAAGAAUUAUUGAAUUUGGAUAUAUCUUAAUAAGAUUUUUUGACUCGAAGGCGCUCAUUCAUAGUCAUAGUUUUUUAUAUAAAGAUCGGUAACAUAAAGCUAGCAUGUAUUUAAUAAUUCUUGUUACUUGUUCUAUAAGGAUUAACUAUUUCUUAAAUGAAUUUAAACUAAAGUGUUGAGUUGUGAUGAUCUUUUUAUAAUUUUUUUGUAUGUAUUUAUAGUAUUAUACGCCAUUAAUAUUUAGAUAUUAUUAGAAGAACUAUUAGCCAGCAACACAAGAUAAAAAGUAAAAUGAGAGAGCAAUAUAAUAUAAAGUGAUUUUACUCAUUCCAAAUGUAUACAAAACAAAAAGAUUAGCUCUUUUUUAUUGUUACAUAAUCACUCCAUGAAAUUAAUGGAAAUAUUAUAGAUCAUAAUUCUUUGUGAGAUAGUAGGAGUUAUAGAGAAGCCAAAUGUGGCUGGUGGGAGAUAGUAGGGAGACUAAGAGAUGUAUGUUAUAAACAUCCACAUUUAUUUUAAUAAAUUUAAAACACUCCCCCUUGAAUGUUCAUUACAAAAGAAUACGCUUCAUUAAAACCUUUACUAAAAAAAACCCUUAUGGGAAAAAAAUUAAUAAAGGAAAAUGAGUACAUUAUUCAUUGAUGUCUUGAAACAAAUAAUUUUGGAGAUAUAGAGAUAAAAACCUAGUGGGGAAAAAGGAGUACAACAUAUAAAAUCCCUCCAAAAUAAAUUAUUUUCCCCAAUAAGUAGACUCCAUGAUGCAACGGAAGUUUCAUGUUCAAAAUAUUAUGUUGAUUCUAGAGAAUACUAGAAUAAAGAACAAACUAAUUUCACAUUGAUUCAAAAUAAUACCACAAAUUUAGGGGACUAAGACUCGUUAAUUCCGAGAAUACUGGGAAUUAAUUAAACUAAAAAACUCACAUAGAGAUUUGCAAAAACUGAAAUAUUAUUGAACUUUAUUUUCCUUUCUAGUUUAGAACUUUAUUUUCCUUUUCUUUAUGGUUAGGAUAUUUAUACUAGUAGUAAAUAUCCUAACCAUAAAGAAAAGGAAAAUAAAGUUCUAAACUAGAAAGGAAAAUAAAAGUCUUAAACCUUUGUUAAUAAGGAAACAUAUUCUAAUAUAAUAUGGAUUCCUAAUUUGCAUCAUUCCCCCAGAAUGGAGAGAAUUCACCUUCAAAUUUGAAUUGUCAACAACAACAUCUUCAUCAUGAUCACCUUUGCAAGGAAUAAGAUGCUUGACAUUGAAUACAUAUGUAGCGCGGUUGUGACUAGGAAGCUUUAAUUGGUAGGCAUUAGGAUUUAUCUUCUUUAUAAUCUCCAAAAGUCCAAUUUUCCUGACAGAAAGCUUGUUGUUGUCACCAACUGAGAAUCUAUCUUUGGUUAGGACAGCCAAACAAGAUCUCCCACCUGAAAUUCUAAAGCUCAAAACCUUUUGUCUGCCUUAAUUUUAUAACCUCCGGUAGUCUUCUUCAAAGACUCUUGCGUAACUUCAUGAAUCUUCUGAAGCUGCUUAAUAAAGUCUUUUGUCUUGCUGCUUUUGCAAACUAAAUCUAGAACUAGAGUUAAGUCAAUGGGAGCUCGUGGAUUAUAUCCAUAAUUCACUUAAAAAAAGACUUAAACCAGUACUACGCUUAACUGCUGGGUUAUAAGCAAACUCGACUUGAUAUAACUUUUGAUCCCAUAUCUUCGGGUUAUCACCAACUAGACUAUGUAGAUGGUUUCCUAAAGAGCAAUUGACAACUUCAGUUUAACCAUCUAUUUGUGGGUGGUAAGUACUUUCAAAAUUUAGGCGAGUGUUAGUCAACUACCAUAAUGUUUUCCAAAAAUGGCUAAGAAAUCACAUAUCUCAAUCAAAUACUAUAGAACUCAGUAAACCAUGCAAUCUAUAGACUUAUUUACAGAAUAGACAAGCAACAGUCAAGGCAUCUGUAAUCUUCUUAUAGGCAAUAAAGUGAGCCAUUUUCAAGAAUUGAUCCACCACAACAAAUAUUGAAUCCAUACCCCUCUGAGUACGGGGUAAUUCCAAAAAUAAAUCCAUGCUAAUGUCGGUCCAAAAUUGUGUUGGAAUUGGCAGUGGCAUAUAUAACAAACACACACCCGCCCAUAUACACAAUCACACUAAUCACCUAGCACAUCAUAUAUAUAUUUAUGUCCUUGUAUAUAAUUCAAAUUUCAACAAAAGUAUCAAAAGUUAAAUUCAUAUUCCAUCCUAUAUACAUGAACCAUCAAUUAAAUAAUUUUAUUUCCUAGGGUUGGUGGGAGAGGGAAAUGAUCAUGUGACCUCUUGUUUUCACUCUAAGGGGACAAACCAAUUCGACUUAUUCCGUCAGAGAUACAAAAAGUUACUUCUUGCUAAUUAAUAUUGUGGUGACAUUAAAAUAAAAUAGUAACUAGCAUAUUUAUGGACAAAUCUCAAAUAUUUGUGUUAUUUUCAUAAAAUAUUUAAGUGUUGUGCAAAUUUUAAUAAAUAAGAUAUAGAUGCACAGCUUUCGGGUUCAUGGAAUUUGCCAAUGGACUUUAUUUUAUUUUAUUCAUUAGUUCCCCUUCUUUCUAUAUAUUAAAUACAUGUUCUUAUAUAAGAAGUAACAAGAAUUAUUAGAAUUUGAUAUAUCUCAAUCUGAUCUAUUGACCCGGAGAGCGACAAUUUUUUUAAUAUUGUCUAUUAUUGAAAUCACCUCCAUUUGUUGACUUUGUAUAUUUUCUAAGGGAUUCGCUUUGAUUUUCUUUAUUAUUUUGGAGAUCCGAUCUUUUCAGAAGCAAUUAUGCAAGACACUUAUAAUAAAUAUGAUGAAUUUGGCUGCACUACACUAUAUGCCACUCAACACUCACUUUGGUGAAUAAUUUCUCAAAGCCAGCAAAAGAUGGCAGUGCCUCUCAAAAACAUUUUCCGAAUAACUGCUUCCAAAUUAAUCACCAAUAAUGUCCAGAUCUUCUCAAAAAGAAGUAUCAAAAGUGCCACUUCUGAUGUUCAGAUCAUUUCCACCGAAAGAGUCCAACCUUCACUUCCAACGCGAAAACAUCUUAGAACCUAUAAACUUUCAUUGAUUGAUCAAAUGAAUUAUGAUCUUUAUAUUCCCCUAGUUUUCUUCUACUCAGCCAGUUGCAAGCACCAAGAUUUCAGAAAAAAAUCUGAUUUAUUGAAGCAAUCUCUCGCAACAACAUUAACCCACUACUACCCCUUUGCUGGAAGAUUCAUUGAUGGUUUUUCGGUCGACUGUAAUGAUCAUGGGGCUGCAUUUAUUGAAGCAAAUGUUGGCAGUGAUAUAUCAAAGUUUCUUCAACCACCAGAUAUGGAGCUGCUACAACAAUUAAUCCCACCUAGUCCCCAAUUAUCGAAUUUAGAGAUUUCUGAAAGAGAACUUUUGGCUGUCCAAGUAAAUCUGUUCAACAGCGGUGAAAUGGCAAUUGGUGUUUGUUUUUCUCAUGGAGUGGCCGACGGUUC